rnacentral:lncRNA from 1 species
UUGGCCCUGCACCAAAAGAUAAGAACUUGUAAGAUGGCUCAUGUUUGAUCUCUCCUCUCUCAUUAAUCCAUCUCUCAGGCUUGAAUUCAUAGCAAUCUUCUCCCCAGAUUGACUUCAUUCUUCCCAUUGAAUACAUACAAAACAAGAUUUUUGUCUUUGGAUGAACUAGAUGCCCGCUAGGAACUAUGUCUGGUUUGACAGGUUCCUUAUGAUUGAAAGGGACUGGUGGAUACAACCUUAAUGCCUCACACAAUGCUCCAUGGAGAUAAACCAAAUUCUUUACCUCAUCGACAUUGAAUAGCCGCCUCCAUUUGGUUUCACCUAUAGGUAUUUUUGAUUCAAGUUCUUCUAUGAUCUUGUUUUCCACUAUUGGAUGCUUGGAAACCAGCCAAGUGAACCAAGUAAGAGCAGUGCUCGUCGUGUCCGUCGCAGCAAUUAUCAUAUUCAGAGCGGUGUCUCUCAAGAACUUAUCAUCACAUUUCAAACCUGUUGAUUCCUUUUCAGUUAUGUAUGAUGUUAAGAUAUCCACACCAUCUUUUGAUACCAACUGUUGGUUCAGCUUGUUCACUUCUUUUCUUUUCUGACAUAUAUAUUCAGAUAAUACAUCAUCAACAACUUUCGAUGCCUUCUUGUAUUUCCCUUCUUGUCCUAUGUUCAACCACUUCUGCAACUUGGUAAAGCUUCGUGGUUUAACAUGCCUAUAAAAUAUUGCUUGCUCGCUAUCAUGCACGGCCAUGGAGAAAAGAACUUAAGGGAGUUCAAGGGAGAGGGAACUUGGAUCAUAGUCGGUAACCAAGAUGCACGCAGAAUCAAAUGUGAACCUUUGGAAAAUGUCUUCUAAGUUGAUGACCAAGCCAUGUUUAGCAGCAUGGUCAAUGAUGGGCAUCAGCCCCAUUUCCACCUUGUCUCGGCUAGUCCUCAACAAGAAUUGGUGGAAAAGGUGAUGUCUCAAGAACCCUUGAGCUGCUAUCCGCUGGUUUUUCCACAAAUCCAACUCGGAGUUGAAAAUCCCGUCUCCUAAGAUAUCAAACAUCUGCUUGUAUUCAGGCCCUUUGAGGAAGUUUUCGAAGUUGGAACUCAUAACGUAGUGAGCAUUGGCAGGGUCACAUGUCGCCACCAAGUUCAUCUUAGCAAACCAAGGGCCUUUCAAAACAAAAGUGCUCUUGCAGCUUUCUUGUGUCUCAGUACACCAGUCGUGGACCCGGUGAACGUUGAGGAGAAGCUCAACAAUGCCAGGAGAACUCUUUGGACACCAUUUUUAUUUCCCAUAAAGCGGUAUAGAAACAGAAAGAAAAUGAGAGCCAAGAAGAAAACUUGAAGAAAACUCUGUAAUGCUAUAAAAUUGAUAUUGCCAAGUUUAGGCAAAUUCCUUGUUUUUGUUAAUUCGAUUUAUUAAGUGAAGUUUUCAAACAUUACUCACCGUCCCAACCAUCUAAUCUCUUGUUUAAGCGCAAUAAAUAAAUUAGAUAUGCAUUAAUCAAGAGAAAAACAAGAGAUUUCUAAGAAAACUUUUGAUAAAAUAAAUCAUGAUUAUCCAUUUAGUUACGUUAAUAUCAUAAUUAAAUUUGGUGUACUCAUUCUAAACCUUUGGAAAAUGUCUUCUAAGUUUAUGACCAAGCCAUGUUUAGUGGCACGGUCAAUGAUAUGCAUCAGCCCCAUUUCCACCUUGUCUCGUUAGUCCUCAACAAGAAUUGGUGGAAAAAGUUGUAACAGCCCGAUUUUCAAUGAUACAGAAAUAGUGAUUUUGAGACCAUAAUUUUGACAAAAUAUUUCGUUAGUAUUAUUUAAUUAGUAUAUUUAUGAGGUAUAUAUAGUCAUUAAAUUUUGGUUGAGAAAUUUCAUUAUUUGGAUAGUUUAAUAAGUAAAAAGAACUGAAUUGGAAAAACUGAAAAGGUUGAGUAGUUAAAUUAAAGGAGCUAAAUGGACAAUUUAACCCAUGGAAAAUUAGUUAGUGGGAUUUGAUGGGAUCAUAUUUAACAAAAUGGUUUAAUUAGCUUAAUUAAGAAUUUAUUAAAGCUCAAUUAAGAAAGUUGAAGUACUUACAAAAAUGACAUAGUAUAUAUAUUAAACUAAACCUAAAUUAAAAACAAAAUUUUCACUAUUUCUUCAUCUUCCUCAUGAAAAAAGAAAGGAAACAAGCUAGGGUUUCAACUUUGAUCUUUAAGCUUUGAAUUGGUAAAAGUAUUGAUGCUCGUUUUUAAUAAUUUUUAUGUUUUUGAGUUCGUAUCAGUUUGGUCUAGCUAAAUUGAGGACCAAUUUGUGAAACUAUUAAAUGUUAUAAAAGUUUUCAUUGAUGAAUGAGGCUAUUUCUUGAAACUUAUGAUGAAAUAUGGAGCUUUGUUGAUAGAUUAGAUUAUUUUGAAAAGUGAUUUUUGAUGAUUUUGAUAUCUAGGGACUAAAUUGAUUAAAUGAUAAAUUAUUUGUACUUGAGGUGAAAUUAUUGUAAAUAGGGACUGAUAUGAUAUUAUAGAAAUUUGGUUAUCAUGGGUGUUUAGGAAAAAUAAGUAAAUUUCAUGAUUAGGGUUUAAAGACUGAAUUGAAUAAGAUGGAAAGUUAAGGGAAAAUAGGUAAUUUGUCAAAAAAGACUUAGUUGCAUGAAAGGAUCAAAUUGUGUUGUUAUUCUAAUUGAUGGAAUGAAAUUAUUAUUGUUAGAUCAAGAAUGUGUUGAUAAUCGUGGAAAAGGGAAAACGCAGAAUAGUCCCUAUGCUUUGAAAUCUUUUGCAAAACAAUUUGGUAAGCUCGUAUGUUCAAUUAUUCUCCUAAAUGCUUACAUUCUUGUUUAUAUAUUGUUAGUGAAUGAUGUUUCAUAUACUGGAAGUACGCUCUAUCGAGCCAAAUCUUAAUGUUAUACUGAAUGAGGCUCAAUCGAGCAAAUCAUACUAUUAUACUAAAUGGAGCUUAACUGAGCAAAUCUUGUUGUUAUACUUACUGAUAUUUAAUUGAUCAAAUUCUACUGUUACACUGAGUGAAGCUCAAAUGAGUAUAAAUCUACGGAUAUAUUGAUGAAAAUUUCAAUCGAGCAAUGCUCACUAAGUAUAUUGAACUAUUGAGUUGGUUGUAAUUACUGUUAUAAACCGCAUAUAAUGGAAAUCUCUAAGCUUAAAGUUGAUUAAAUCUAUGUUUGAUUGGAAAUGUUUUGAAUUUCUAAACGAACUUACUGAGCUUUAUUUAAGCUUACCUAUAAAUUUGUUCAUUUUGUAGAUCGCAUUUUGAAGGCUAAGAAGGUCGGGUCAACGCUAGGAAUCACACUACCCGGGAAUCUUGGUAGACUUCAUUUCUCAGUUUUGGUAUAUGGCAUGUACUAGGACCCUAUGUGUUGUUAUGUCAAAUGCCUAGUUUUUGAGUAAAAUGUUGUGACAUGUUGUGUACUUGAUCAAUUUUUGAUUUCCUACUUGUUACUUAAAUAUGUUUGAAAGGUCAUAGUAUGAAAUGUUAUGCUAUAAGUUAACUUAAUGCUCAUAAUGAAAGGAAUGUAUGUUUAAAGAGGUAAAUGUGUUUGUGGUUACAAGCUGAGAAAGAAUAUAUGAUUAUGUUUGAGAAUUUUUUAUGUUGAAUUGCACCGCCCAUAUGUGUAUUUGAAAGUGUGUAGGUACCUAUGCAAUAAGGGAGUGAAAUUGAGCAAGAAAUGGAUAAAUUUGGGCUCACACAGCCUGAGACACGGGUGUGCGACUCAGCCAUAUGAGGCACACGACCUUGCGACACAGUCGUGUGUCACUUGAUGGCCUUUUGUAUGCAAGUUAGUGAGUUACACGGCCUAACACACGGCCCGGCACACGGGAGUAUUGGGCAACUUCAAGAGUUACACGACCUAGCACAUGGGCAUGUGACAUAGUCGUGUGACCCUACUCAGAGAGUUAUAUGGGUGAAGACACGGGCUAGGACAUAGCCGUGUGUCCCUAGUUUGAAAGUUACACAACCUGAGACACAGGCUUGUCUCUCAGCCGUGUGAGGCACAUAGCCUGGCCACUCGAUUGUGUGUCCCUUUGUUUUCAAAUUUUGCUACUUUUUCCCCAAAUUUUCUACAUUGAUUCAAAUUGGUCCCGAAUUGCCUCUAAGUUAUUUUUAGGGCCUCGAGGGCUCGUCUUAAAGACAGUAUGCAUGUGUAUGAAUGGUUUAUGAUGUGUUUAAAUUAUUGAAUGAUAUUAUGUUUAAAGGUUUCCUAUUGAAUAAAUAUGCUUAUUGCUAAGAUAUGACUAUCCAUUUGGGUAGUUAUGUCCUUGUGAAGACACAUGAGACCUUCUAUAAAUAGGAGAGAAAUUUCAUUUGUAUGACACACCAAAAAUUGUAGAAAUAAAGUUUAUUUAUGUUCUCUCACCAUCUUUUAUAUUUCUAGAAUGUUCUAUAAAGAAUUACUAUAGAAUUUUUUUCUAGUAAUUGAUACCCUAGCUAUGCUCUGCUCAGUGCACAGUAAUGUAACACCCCACGCCCAACCCGUCCACUGAAUCCGAGUAUGGAGCGUCACAAUGGAAUCAAAUUAACUUAACUUAAAUUCUAUCAGCUAACUGUUAUAAAAUUAACUAUAUUAAAAAUUAAUAAUAUUUCUUAUAGCAAUAGCCUCAAGUCUAUUUAAUGGCUUAGUCUCUCAAGGGUUUUAAAUUAUUAAAAACUGUUGGUUUAAAGAUUAACUCUUAAAAAUUUCUAAAGGAUUGUUUGUCCAAAAAAUCCAAAUCAUAGGUAUGUUAUCAGGCUUCACCGUGAUUGAUUCUUAGGUGAAUCCUCUAAUAGUACCACCUUCCUAUAUGCAUGACCUUGAAUCUACAACAAUCAUGAAUCUUCGCCUCAUCUCAUUUGGUCCCUCCUUGAAGUCCUCGAUCAUCCUCGCAAGUUCUACAAACAUUAUUCAACUCUUGAAAGUUUGAACAAACAUAGUGAGUUCCUUCAUUGUACCUUCAAUAUACCUUCACUGUACCAUAUCUAAACCCUAUUGCAUGAGGGUAAUAAUCGUGAAGAAAAAUAAAUUAAAUACAAAUACUCCCUACUUGCUCAAGGCAAGAUUGUGUGUUAGGGUAGCGAUCUCUACUCGAGCUUUCGAGCUACUCGGUUGGCCAUGAGACCUUCAUCUGGUCAAACUUAGACACCUUACCACAUUCGUAAGUCUAUCCCAACUUCUCAUAUUUCCUUUAUGCAUCUCCGUGGUAGUUUCUUUGUCUUUCCGCCCAAGGAUUCUUAGAACAUACCUUCCAUGGCAGACUUGAUCAUACCAGUACCUGAUGAAUUCUUUCCAUCCAUGCCUUAGUCUCAGAGGACUUGUUGAUCUUUCCCUAUCGUGCUAUCCCAUACCAAACCUCUCUACUCUAGCAAUCACAUUCUCAUUCCACCUUAUUGUUCACAGUAAUCACAGCAAUCACACGUGCUCGUCAUCUCAUUUACAUCAUUUCCUUUCUACCGACUAUCUUUGUGGUGGUAUACCCGCGAUAGACUUUCCUCAAAAAAGAAUAGUUUUGAUAGACCUUCUGUCUCCUAGACAAAAUCCUUAUCUUGGGAGUAGGGGUGUUCAAUCGGUUAACCGACCAGUUAACUGACCUGAAAUAACAUUAAUUGAAUUAACCGACCUUUCAAAAUUUUUAACCGUUAACCGAACCAAAACUUUUUAAAAAAAUUAACCGAACCGAAAAUUUUUCUGUUAAUUCGGUCGGUUAACCGAAUUAAUCAAAAAUUAUAUGUUUUUUUUUAUUUUUGGUUAAAAUAAGUAUAAAAUUAACCGAAUUAAUCGAAUUAACCGAAUUAACCAAAUUAUUUGUAUAAAAUUAUAUGUUUUUUAUUUUUAUUUUUAGUUUCAGAUUUUUAUUUUUAUUUAUUAAAUUAUUUGUAAUUUUUAUGAUUGGGUUGGGUUGGGUACUUGGGUUAAUAUAUAUUAGAUUGAGUAUUUGGAUUUAUGUUGGAUUAGGUUUGAGUGAAUAGUGGGUUAUUUUUAUAUUAUAAUUUUUUUAUUAAUUUUUUUCAGUUAACCGAAUUUUUUCGGUUAACCGAUCAGUUUCGAACCAAAUUAACCGUUAACCGAAAACUCAAAAAAAUUUUAACUGACCCCCAACGGAAUUAAUUCGGUUAACUGACCGAUUAACCGAAUUUGGUCGGUUAACCGAAUUUUUCGGUCUUACUCGAGUUUUGCACACCCCUAUCUGGGAGGGUAUUUUUCGAUCCUCCCAUGAAGUUUAGCUUCGUAAAACCCUUCUUAAUAGCUCUUAAUUGUGGAUCCUUUCUUGCGAUCAUCGAACAAUUUCCCUUUCUGCAUUUCCAAGACCAAGCUAGCUCUCCCAUGACUAAUCUUCUCUAAUUCUUGAUGGGUCUUCGCCCAAGCCUUAUUUGCUUCCAUCUCUAUCACCAUUAUGGGCAUAUUCCCAAGGAUCUGCAUACCAUACUUGUAGUUUUAUUUAUCCUUUCCUCCAUCUGUGUGGGGUUCUCAUACUUGGCACACAAACCAGAUCCACUUACCAUUUUUUAUAUUUUCUUCUAACCCUACUUCCACCUGUGUGGUUUCUUAUACCUGCCGCACUGGUAGUUUCCCUUCUCUUGAGGUCUUGGCAGCAUUUUAUCAUUUGUUUCUUAAUAUACUCUACGGGAUAUUGUAGUUUAACUAUGUUCUUAUACCCUUCUUACAUCUGUCUCACUUCCCAACAGACUUACCCAUGUUUACUAUCCGAUUCCAUGUUUACUAUCCCAGUGGACUUUAUCUCUGUGGAUGCCAUGGAGUCUUUCAUCUAUGGUCUUACACCUAUUCGUCAUCCUUACAUACUAUCUCACAGUGCCAUGGAGUCUUUCAUCCAUGGUCUUUCUCAUCAUAUGUGGCUGCCAUAACAUCUUUUAUGUAUGGUCUUACAGCGUAUACCUUAUACAUUGUCACCAUGGCAUCUUUCAUCCAUAGUCUUAUGCUCUAUACCUUUUACUUUGUACCAUGCAACCAUGGCAUCUUUCACCCAUGGGCUUACGCUACGUACGACAUACCAAACUGCCAUAGCCUUUUUCAUCUAUAGUCUUACGACAUAUACCUUAUACCAGUUGCUAAGACAUCUUUUAUCCAUGGUCUUAUGUUCUAUAUCGUCGUCACGGUGUCGCCUUAAAGGACCAGUCGAUACCACCAUCAUGGUAAAUAUCAUUGCAUGGUUUUAUUUCUCGAAUCCUCCUCCCAUUACCUUAUUUACACCACCUAACCUUGAGGCUUGAACAUUGCAGUGUUCCCUCCGUAAGGUUCAAAUCUUCGCUUGAGGCGGUAACUAAUAGGUUCUUGCUCCAUACCCUUUCAAUCUUCAUCUAAACCCUUAAGAUUUCCCACAGUCAUGGAAUGUAUGCUCAUAUCAUCACACUUCAUGCUUUUGCAACAUGAAAUGCUUAACAACGCAAACCAUAGUAACGGGUUUAGAGUUUGGAACUCACCUGAAUCCUUAUCGUUUCCCAAAGCUUAUUCCUUUUCUCGAACAUCGUAGCUUCCAUUCUCUAGGUAGUAUCUUGCAACAAAAAACUAUUAGUUAUACUUUAUAUUCUUAACUUAAUCCAUUUUUCUAAAAUAAGCAGAAUCCUUAAUAUGGUUAUGAAAUUCAUAACUUCAUCCUACGUAUAUAGAAGGGUUGAAAACCUUACUCGCUUGUUGGGUUCUCUACUUUUCCAACUUUAUCAUCAUGAAGUUUGCUCCAUACAAAACCUUCCAAUGACUACUCCUUUUUUUAGCUACCGAAGAAGAUGAAGAACAGGAGAAAUUAGAGCAAGGUCGAGAAGAAAAUCAUCCCUAGAAGCCAUCUCUCAGCUAUUUAUAGCUCUUCUCACGUUAUCAUCAACCUUGUGAGAACUGUCCAUCACUAAUUAUGAUGUCUCCCACUAAGGAACCGAUUGGUUCCAUCGUAAUAGAACCAGAAUUUGAUCUCAAUCAUGUCCAAUUUGGUUUCUAGCUUUCCCAUUUCCUUUAAUAGAGCUUGUCAUCCCAUUUGCAUCAUUUCUUUUCUACUGAAUAUCUUUGUGGCGGUAUACCCGCGAUAGACUUUCCUCAAAGAAGAAUAGUCUUGAUAGACAUUCUGUCACCUGGACAAAAUCCUUAACCUGAGAGGUGCUUCACGAUCCUCCCAUGAAGUUCUACAUCAUAAAGCCUUUCUUGAUAACUCUUGAUUGCGGAUCCUUUCUUGCGAUCCUGAAACAAUUUCCCUUUCUACAUUUCCAUGACCAAGCCAGCUCUCGCACGACCUAACUUCUCUAAUUAUUGAUGGGUCUUCCCCCAUACCUUAUUGGCUUCCAUCUCUAUCACCAUUUUUGGCGGAUUCCCAGAAUUCGCAUACCAUACUUAUGCUUUCCUUUUUCUAUUCCUCCAUCUGUGUAGGGUUCUCAUACUUGGCACACAAGCCAGAUCCACUCACCAUUUUUAAUAUUUUGUUCUAACCCUGCUUCCACCUAUAUGGUUUUUCAUACCUGCCGCAUUGGCAAUUUCCUUUCUCUUAAGGUCUUAGCGGGUUUUCCACAUUUAUUUCGUAACAGACUCUAUGGGAUGUCGUAGCCGAGCUAUGGUCUUAUACCCUUCUUACAUCUUUCUCACAUUUCAACAGACUUACCCGUGUUUACUGUCCCGGUGGACUUACCCUUAUUUAUUAUCCCAGUUCCGCAUUUACUAUCCCAGCGGACUUCAUCUCUGUGGAUGCCAUGGAGUCUUUCAUCCAUGGUCUUACACCUAUUUGUCAUCCUCACAUACUGUCUCACGAUGCCAUGGAGUCUUUCAUCCAUGAUCUUACUUAUAAUAUGUGGCUACCAUAACAUCUUUCAGCUAUGGUUUUGUACCGUAUACCUUAUACACUGCUACUAUGACGUCUUUCAUCCACGGUCUUAUGCUCUAUACCUUUUAUUAGUUACAUGCAACCAUGGCAUCUUUCACCAUAUAUGCAACCAUAGCAUCUUUCACCCAUGGUCUUACGUUACGUGCUACAUACUGGACUGCCAUAUCCUCUUUCAUCUAUGACCUUAUGACAUAUACCUUAUACCAGUUGCUAUGACAUCUUUCAUCCAAGGUCUUAUGCUCUAUAUUGUCAACACGGUGUCACUCUAAAAGACCAGUCGAUAUCGCCGUCAUGGUAAAAACCAUUCCAUGGUUUCAUUUCUCGAAUCCUCCUCCCAUUACCUCCUUUACACCACCUAACCUUAAGGCUUGAACAUCGUAGUGUUCCCUCCGCAAGGUCCGAAAUUUUGCUUGAGGCGGUAACUAAUGGGUUUUCUCCCCAUACACUUCAUAUCUUUAUCUAAACCCUUAAAGUUUCCUACAGUCAUACAAUGUAUGCUCAUAUCAUCAUGCUUCAUGCAUUUACAACAUGAUAUGCUUAACAACACAAACCAUAGUAACAGGUUUAGAGUCUGGAACUCACCUGAAUCAUUAUUGUUUCCCAUAGCUUAUUCCUUUUCUCGAGCAUCGUAACUUCCAUUCUCUAGGCAGUAUCUUGCAACCAAAAUCUAUUGGUUAUACUUUAUAUUCUUAACUUAACCCAUUUUUCAGAAACAAACAGAACCCUUAAUAUGUUUUUGAAAUUCAUAACUUCAUCCUACGUAUACAGAAAAGUUAAGAACCUUACUCGCUUGUUGGUUUCUCUACUUUUCCAACUUUAUCCUCAUGAAGUUUGCUCCAUACAGAACCUUCCAAUGAUCUCAUUUUAUUAGCUACCGAAGAAGAUAAAUAACAGGAGAAAUUGGAGCAAGGUCAAGAAGAAAAUCAUCCCUAGAAGCCAUCUCCUGGCUAUUUAUAAUCCUUCCCGGGCUAUCACAAACCUUGUGGGAACCGUCCAUUACUAUUAUGAAAUCAUCCCUAGAAGCCAUCUCCGCUCAAUGUUCAGUGAUGUAACACCCCCAUGCCGACCCAUCCACCAAAUUCGAGUAUGGAGAGUCACAAUAGAAUCAGAUUAACUUAACCUAAAUUCUAUCGACUAACUGUUAUACAAUGAUAAAAAUUAAUAAUAUUUCUUCUAACAAUAACCUCGAAUCAUCCCUAGAAGAUAAAGAACAAGAGAAAUUGGAGCAAGGUUGAGAAGAAAACCAUCCCUAGAAGCCAUCUCCCGGCUAUUUAUAGCCUUUCCCGCGCUAUCACCAACCUUGUGAGAAUCGUCCAUCACUAAUUAUGAUGUCUCCCACUAAGGAACCAGUUGGUUCCAUCCUAACCGAACCAGAAUUGGAUCUCAAUCAUGUCCAAUUCGGUUUCUAGCUUUUUCAUUUUCUCUAAUAUAGCAUGCCAACUUGCUGGCUCUUUCAAUUUAGUCCCUUAACUAUUCUAAAAUUUUGGGUUAUUAGAAAUUCGGGUGUUACAGAUGAACUGUUUCCAUCAGUACAAAAUGUAGAAAGUAAUUGGGUUUUAUUUUAUCCUUGAGGUUUAUUUGCUAGUAACUCUUUUGCAUACCACAAUAUAGGUAGGGGCGAAUAGAACCUUAAAGAAAGUGACAUUUAUACACGCCUUGAAACCUUUGUUAAUUUCUCAUAAGUUUGUUUUUAUCCCUAUGCAUCAACAUAUAUGAACUUAGAACAUAUUUUAAUUAUCAAUUUUUUAUUCUAGAAUAUAUCACAAACAAAUAAUCAAUCCAAUCAAAAUGUGGAUGAAAAACCUUACUAGUUUUUAAUAUAGAAAUGGAUUUAGGGACUUGAAAUAAAACAAAACUUAUGCUCAAACAACAGUACAUAUCUACAUAACAUAUCUACAUAACUUUAGUUUUAGUAUUUAAAGUUCUCUUUUUAAUUUAAGAAUUUAUAUUUGAUGGUGAAAAAUUUAUAUAUUAUUAAUAAAUUAAAUGAUAUUAUUUUAUAAUAAAAAUUAAAUAAUAAUAAAAAGUUUAUUUUAAAUCAUAUAACAUUAUAUAAUUCACUGAUAUUUCAUAAAUUUUGGGGAAGGUUGAACCAUAUAUGAAAAAUGUAGUGAGAUUAAUCUUUUCCUUUCCGAUAGCCAUUCAAUUGAGAAGUUAAUUAAAUAAAUCUAUAGUUUUAUUUUAUUUUUUUAAUGAAUGUGUUAAAUUCCAAUUUAUUUAGGUGGGCGAAUUCUAUGCACCGUUAGGCUGAUGUUGGGUGUCUAAUUUAUUUGUGUAAAAAUUGACUUUAUAAAUGGAAAAACGUAUUAUCCCAUUAAAUUAAUCCUUUCAUUAUUAAAUCAUUUAAUUUAUUAAAAAAUGCAUAAUAAUUUAUUUAACUUUCAAUUUUAUUGAAAAAAUCAUUUUAGUCCUUAAUUUAAUUUUUUGUUGUUUUUAGUUAAUUUUUUGUUGUUUUUAGUUCUUAAAUUUUUUUUUUACCAAAUCACCCAAAAAUAAAUGGAAAUAUUAAUGUUUUUUAACUCUGCUGACAUAGCAUACAUAUGAAUUGCCACGUGGAUUACACAUAAACAUUUAAUUAGUUUUUAAAAAUUAUAAAAAUAAAAAAAUUAUUUUUAAAAAUUAAAAAGUAUAAAAAAAUAUUUUAAGUUUUAGAAAAUUAAUUAAAUGUUGACAUGUUAUUCAUAUGACAAUUUAUGUACAUGCCAUAUUAGCAAAGUUAACAAAUGUUAACUUUUCCAUCCAUUUUUAGUGAUUUGAAAAAAAAAUACAAAUUCAAAGACAAAAAGAUGUGAAAUUUUAAAUGAAUAGCUAAAAUGACAUCUUCUUUUUUUUCUUUCUUGUUUUUUGUAAACUUGGAGGGCCAAAAAAAUCAUUAGGCCUAAAAAGAAUCAAUUAAGGCCAACUCUUUAAAAAAAAUCAUUUACCACUUAACAGAGUUAAUACUUUUAAAGUUUUUAUAGUUCCGUAAAUAGAAAUUUUUUGUUUAGAAUCAAACUGCAAUUGAGAAAAAAAUAAAUUUCAAGACUUUUUAUAUGAUAAAUGUUUACCUUAUUAUAAUUUAGACUUAUUUGAUUUUUUAAAAAUAUAGAGACUAAUUUGAUCUAUUUAAUAAUAGAGAGAUAAUUUGAUCUAUUCCCUAUAAUUCAAGGAUCUCUUAACUACUUUAAUCUUUUAUAAAUUAAACUUGUCCUCGUAUUUAUACUAAAACAAAUAUUUUCCAAAGCUUUGCAAUUUCAUGGCAAUUUUGGCUAUCAUAUUUUUUUUCCUAUUUCUAUAUUUCUUGAUAAAUAAGAGUUGAUCUCUAACGAGUUUUCAUUAAACUUCAAUUAUUCGUCCAAAUUUGAAUGUUUGUUCAAAAUUUGAAAAGGUCAAAAAAUGAGCUUAGGUAAAAAAUUAAACUCAUUUAAACAUGGAUCGGGCUAGGGUUUGAAUAUUUAAGGCUCGAGUUUAAGUUUAUAAUGUUUUAUAUUAUGUUAUUUUUAUAUAUUAUUUAAUUUAUAACACAUAAUAAAUCUAUUCUAAUAUAUAAUACUACUUUAAUGUUUAAUGUAAACAUUAAAAAAAUUCAAUAAAUAAAAAAUAUAUAAACGUAUUUAAUAAAAUUAAAAUAAUAAAAAUAUUUUUAAAAAAAAUUAAAAUUAAUAUGGACGGGCCUAAAAUGGAUUUGGAUUAAUUUUUUGAAAAUAUAGGCAGACUUUCGCAAAAUUUUAGGCUCAUAUUCUGGGUCGGGUCGAGUUUAAAUAAAUAUAAAAUAUAUUAAUAUUAUGCCUAGACUUGACCCAAACUCAACCAAGCCCAUCCUAUGAACACCUCUUGUUUCCUAUUGUUAGGAUGAUGCCUCAUCUUCUCCGCGACAUUCAUAGGCUCCAUGCCUGAACUACCGAGACUUUACAAAGAUGUAAUGGUACUAUUCUUUUUUGUGUCCCUUGGUUUGCUAGGAUUAACAUGUUGCUAACCUGCAACCUUAUAAAAUAAUAAUUUUAGCUCUUAAUAUUUAUAAUUUUUUUGGUUAAUUUGGUUAUUAAUUUUUAAAAUUAUAUAAAAAUUUUAAAAAAAGUAAAAUAAAUAUUUUUUAUAUUUUAAAUAAAAAGAUUAUAACUUUUUAAAAAUAAAAAAAUAUUUUUUAAAAUUUUUAAAAAAUGAAAAUUUAAAUUAAAAGUCUUUAAAAUUAAGAAAAAUAAAAAAUAAUUUUACAAAUAUAAACAAAAAUUUCCAAAAUUCAAUGUUAAUUGAACUGGACCACAUCGACUAGUCAAAUUGGGAACCAAUUGGGGUAUUGGUCCCGUGAGAGGUAAAAAACGAUUUGACCCAGAAAUCGGAACGGAUUGGUUGAACUAAGCUAAUUAAAUCGGUUGAACUAAUAGUUGAAUCAAUUUUGAACUGGUUUAACUAAUUGAUUCCUAGAACAACCGCUCUGAUCAGCUCGAAACAAAAAAAUUAUUUAAAAAUAAAAAAUAAAAAUAUUUUUAAAAAAUUAUAAAAAUCGAUUCAAUUGCCAGUUGAACUAUUUUUUUGUCCAAUUCAAUCAGUUUGUUGUUAAAAUUUUAUUACUUUUUUAGACCUCAACUUUUACAGUUUUUUUGUUAAUUUGGUCAAUACCUUAUAAAAAUACGUAAUUUUUAAAAAAAUUAAAAAAUAUUUUUAUUUUAAAUAAAAACAUUAAAAUUUUUAAAUAUAUAUCAUUUUGUAAAAAUAAAAAAUGAUAAAAAUAUCUUUAUAAUUUAAAAAUAAAACAUAAAAAGUUUAAAAAUAUAAAAAUAUAAAAAUUUCAAAAAUUCAUUAUUAUCUAAACCAGACCAAACCGUUUUAAGAACUAGUUAGGGUAAAAAGUUGGUUGAUCCCAGGAACCGUACUGACUCGUUGAAUCGAGCUAAAAAACUAGUUGAAAUAACAAUUGAACUCAUUUUUAUCUAUUUUAAUUUUUUAAUUUUCAUUUUGUAAUAAUUUAUUUACUUUGAAUCGACGGAUUGAUCGUUCUGGGAACCAAUUGAUUAGACUAGUUCAAAAUCAAGUUAAACAAUUUUUUAUCUCGAUUCAACUAGUCCGUUCCAGUUCAUGGGUCAAUUAAUUUUUUAGCUCAUGCUAGAACAAUGCCCCAAUAUAUUCUCACUUCGACUAGCUGGUCCAAUCUAACUUAGAUAACAUUAAAUUUUGGAAUUUUUGUUAAAAUUGUAAAAUCAUUUUUAUUUUUAUUUUUUGAAUUUUAAAGAGUUUUUGUUUUUUAAAAAAUUUAAAAUUUUCAGUUUUAUGUUUUUUUUUCAAAGAAAAAAAUUAAGUUUUAAAAAUUUUAAAAUCUUAAAAGUACUUUUAAAGGGUAAGGAUCAAAUUGAUAAAUAUAUAUAUACAUAUAUAUAUAAAUGUUGAGAGCUAAAAAAGUUAUUUUACCUUUGACACUGUUAAAUUUAACAACAAGAUUCGUCAAAGAGACUAAGAUUUUUAAAUAAAAAUAAUAUAGGAACUAAAUAUCUCAAAACUAAAAUAUAAACAUUAAAUUUUAAAUUUUAAAAAAGAAAAAAAGUAAAAAACUUUUUACAUAUAUAAACUAUUUAGGGUAACUGAUUAUUAUUGUAAUCAUAUAUAAACUUCUCAAUUACAUUUACCAAACAAAUAUUAAACUGAGUUAUUUUUAAUCAUAUUGCACUUGGCAUUCAACUUUGUAGUAAGCUGUCAUAAAUUCAAUGCCUUCUCUUUGAACUUAUUUUUAAUCAUAUUGCACUAGUCAUUUUUCUUUUGUAGCAGACCAUCAGACAUUUAUUCCCAUCGCUUGGAGAUCCUAGUCAUCAGUCCAUUCUCGGUGUGCAGGACAACCGAUACGGCCGAAACAACCGGAGUUUCUUCCAUUACAUGAAUACGAUAAUUGUAAAUUAGAGCAGAUGCCACGGCUUUCAUCUGAAUAAAUGAUGUUUCCUUCCCCAAACAUAUCCUUGGCCCUGCACCAAAAGAUAAGAACUUGUACGAUGACUCAUGUUUGAUUUCUCCUCUCUCAUUAAUCCAUCUCUCAGGCUUGAAUUCAUAGCAAUCUUCACCCCAGAUUGACUUCAUUCUUCCCAUUGAAUACACACUAAACAAGAUUUUUGUCUUUGGAUGAACUGGAUGCCCGCUUGGAAGUAUGUCUGGUUUGACAGGUUCCUUAUGAUUGAAAGGGACUGGUGGAUACAACCUUAAUGCCUCACACAAUGCUCCAUGGAGAUAAACCAAAUUCUUUACCUCAUCGACAUUGAAUAGAAGCCUCCAUUUGGUUUCACCUAUAGGUAUUUUUUAUUCAAGUUCUUCUAUGAUCUUGUUUCCACUAUUGGAUGCUUGGAAACCAGCCAAGUGAACCAAGUAAGAGCAGUGCUCGUCGUGUCCGUCGCAGCAAUUAUCAUAUUCAGAGCGGUGUCUCUCAAGAACUUAUCAUCACAUUUCAAACCUGUUGAUUCCUUUUCAGUUAUGUAUGAUGUUAAGAUAUCCACACCAUCUUUUGAUACCAACUGUUGGUUCAGCUUGUUCACUUCUUUUCUUUUCUGACAUAUAUAUUCAGAUAAUACAUCAUCAACAACUUUCGAUGCCUUCUUGUAUUUCCCUUCUUGUCCUAUGUUCAACCACUUCUGCAACUUGGUAAAGCUUCGUGGUUUAACAUGCCUAUAAAAUAUUGCUUGCUCGCCAUCAUGCACGGCCUUGGAGAAAAGAACUUGAGGGAGUUCAAGGGAGAGGGAACUUGGAUCAGAGCCGGUAACCAAGAUGCAUGCAGAAUCAAACGUGAACCUUUGGAAAAUGUCUUCUAAGUUGAUGACCAAGCCAUGUUUAGCAGCAUGGUCAAUGAUGGGCAUCAGCCCCAUUUCCACCUUGUCUCGGCUAGUCCUCAACAAGAAUUGGUGGAAAAGGUGAUGUCUCAUGAAUCCUUGAGCUGCUAUCCGCUGGUUUUUCCACAAAUCCAAGUCGGAGUUGAAAAUCCCGUCUCCUAAGAUAUCAAACAUCUGCUUGUAUUCAGGCCCUUUGGGGAAGUUGUCAAAGUUGGAACUCAUGACGUAGUGAGCAUUGGCAGGGUCACAUGUCGCCACCAAGUUCAUCUUAGCAAACCAAGGGCCCUCCAAAACGAAAGUGCCCUUGCAGCUUUCUAGAGUCUCAGUACACCAGUCGUGGACCCGAUGAACGUUGAGGAGAAGCUCAACAAUGCCAGCAGAACUCUUUGGACACCCAUUUUUAUAUCUCAUCAAGCGGUAUAGAAACAGAAAGGAAAUGAGAGCCAAGAAGCAAACUUGAAGAAAACUCUGAAAUGCCAUGAAAUUGAUAUCACUAAGUUUAGGCAAAUUCCUUGUAAUUGUUAAUUCGAUUUAUUAAGUGAAGUUUUCCAACAUUAAUUACUCACCGUCCCAACCAUCUGACCUCUUGUGUAACGGCAGUAAAUAAACUAGAUAUGCAGGGUGGUAGUUAGAUGCAUUAAUGGAGAGAAAAACAAAAGAUUUAAGUUUUUUAAGACAUCUUUUUCCAUUUGAGAGAAUGGAGGAAGAAACAAGCAUCAUAUCUUACUAGGAAGACCUUUUCUAAUCACUUCAAGGUCGACCAUUGAUUUAGAAAAAAUUAAAUUAACCAUAAAAAUUAAUGGUGAGAUUGAAAUCUUUAAAUGUGGUAAUCAACUAAGCGAGGAAAGUAAAAAGAAGUUAGUAGAACAAUGCAAAGAAUUAUUUGUUUCUAAACUCCCAAGGCAAGGGAUAUACUUCCUUUUAUGCAUAUAGAAAGAAUAAAUAAGUUCAAGAAAAGGGACAAGCGGGCAAAGGUGGAAUGGCACAACGAUGAUGGACUAAUACUGAUAGAAUGUAAGAAUCGUCCAUCAAUGAAUUGAAUCCGAUAGUAAAAAUUAAAUUAUUUGGAUUGAUGCUAAACUUUUGUAAAUUAUUGUAUAUUUAGCUAAAUGUUUAGGAUAGAUUUUAAUUUUCAUUAACUUUGCAUUUUAUAAAAAUCGUAUCAAUCUAGAAAAUGAAAUUUUGAGCAAAAACAGAGCCAGUGUCACAACACAGGAACCCUGUGUCACAACACCAAGGGCAGUUUUUAAUAAAAUUGAGAAAAUCCUCUUGACGUCGCGACACAGACUUUGAAUGUCGCAACACCGAAGCCAGUGUACUAAGAAAUCCAAAAAUCUGAAGUGUGUCGUGACAUCGAACCCCGAUGUUGCAACAAUGGUAAACUGUCAGGGAUGUCGAGACACGAAACCCCUAUGUCGCGACAUAGUUGUAGUUUUUUGCAGGUGACCCAACCCUACAGCGCAACCUAACGACAUUAAAAACCCAUUUCAGAAUAAUUUUAAACACCUAAACCUCUAAUUUUAACCUAAAAACAUAUUAUUUCACUCAUUAAACACAUCUUAACCCCUUAUCCUUAAACCCAUCUUAAAAUCUCUUACAACUCUUUAAACCUUAAACCCCCAAUCUCUACUUCUUAAAACUUCCAUACCUCAAUCAUACUCGGUUCCACAAGGAAGGGGAACACUUAAGGAACAAUAAACACUGUAGGAAACGAGGAAUUCAAACAACUUCUACAAUGUUAAGGGUUCCUAAUUUAAUAUUUUUUACUAUUCCAUUGAAUUUCUUCAUAUUUUGCUCUCAUUCCCAGUCUUGUAAUAAUGCCUCUUAGAAAAGUUAGAAGAAUUACGGAAAUGGAGCCAUCGAUGGUUCAAAAGCCCUCCAGUUUUUCGAAUCUGAGUGUUGAAAAAUAUUUUAAUGAACUUAAAGGAAAAACAUUCAUUCAAAAGAGGGGAUUUGAUCCAUCCAUGAUUCUCUACAAUGAAAUAUAGCUUUUGGUUAGAUAUCAUAGGUGGGAGCAUUUUUGGAUGAUCCCAAAAGAUAAUUUUGUGGUCCCUAUUGUUCAAGAUUUUUAAGCAUCCCUACGGGACCAAGAGUCUAGAAACACUUAAGGUGAUAUGUGGGAAGUAGUACCUGUGCGAGGGAUGGAAGUGCAAAUAACCCAUCGAAUUAUUUUUUAUUUUUAUAAUGCUUCAUAUUAUGAAAGAGAUUUUAUCGAUGAAUCUGAUUUAGAGUAUUUUCGAGACAUAGAUAUGGAUAACAUUAUAAACUUUUUAACUGAAGGAAAGGGCGAAUGGAAAUAUCACCCAGGUACCAAUAUUCUCUCAUCAUUUCAUUAAGCUAUUAUGUUUCCAAUGGCUAAAAUGUGGAUCUAAUUUGUAUACACACAAGUUGUCCUUGCUUUAAACGUCUCUAACAUUUAUACUUUUCGAGUUGUUUUACUCUAUGCUAUUUUGUAGAAAAAGCAGGUAUCUAUUGGAAAAUGGAUCCACCAAAAAAUGAAAAAGAUGUAUUAGUGGAUAGAAAAUGGGAGUUUUCUUUCCCUACUUAGUGACGACCUUAUGUAAAAAGGCAAGUGUACCUAUGACAUCCACUGAGCAGUCGCUAAAACCUUCCCAAAGUAUUAUUGGCGACACCAUGUUCCAACAGUACAUAAGACUAUGAGCAAAACAAAUAAAAGAUUGGAACAAAUGACAACAAAAAGCAACGACUACACCAGCUUCAUGACAGAAGUUGACACUAGGUUAACAAGAAAUUAGUGAGAGUAGUCAUCCAAGGCUAGAUUGGAUGAUACAAUGGAUGCAUGAGUCAGAGCCAAUAUUUCAAGAAUUUGCUAGGAAAAACAACAUCCAAGUCCCCAAUUAUACACCUGACAUGUUUGGGCCAACACAUCUAGAGUAGAAGGAAGAUGUGCAUAACAAUGAAGGGGAAUGAGAGGAUGAGGAAGAAGAAUGAGAUGAAAACGUGGAUAUGGAUUUUGAGGAGGACGAUUGAACAUUUUUAUAAUUAUAUUUUUAACAGACUUGUAUUAAUUUUUGGAUGAUUUUAAUCUAACUUUGUAGGAGUUGGAUUAAUAGCAUAUUCUUAGUUAUGUAGCAUUUUGUUUAAGUUUUCUAUGUUGGAACCCAACACGAAGGAGACACAAACAAUUUCGAGCUUCACACAGUCAAAAUAGGAAACACCAACAUUAGCAAUUGGAGUUACCACGAUCAAUCAGGUAAUUUCUCUCCUUAUUUUUUUAUAGGCCACACAUUGAGGAAAAUGUGUCAACUUAAGCAUGGGGGGUAACAUAGAAAUUUUACUUUAAUUUUUUAUGUUUUUCUUUGAUUUUUCUUGUCUUUCAUGUGCCUGAACUUGUAUAAAUACAAGUGAUUGGUUACGAGCACAUGCAUUGGUUGCUUGUGCUUACAAAUAUAGUUGGCAUGAUGAUAGGUGAUUUUAAUUUUUUUAUUAUUAGACUACUAAGUUUUAUAUGUUACACUGUAAAUAGGCAUUAAGUAAUCAGUUGUUACAAAUGAUAUAGAAAAUGCAAGGAAACAAGCAUACUAGUAUGAAUAAUAAAUGGUUGAAUUUGAGUUUGUUUGGUUGAUUAAAUUUAUGCAUAUUGAGAUAUUAAGGGAUGACCUAAGGCAUUAUUUGGAAUACAUCCAGAGCCAAAAAGCUGUUCUAUAAUUCAUUCAUCUUUAGUACCAAAUUUUAAGCUUGUUGACACUUCUUGAUGAACCUUAUUACAAAAACCAAGCCUAAAACGUUAAUUUGUAUUUGCCCUUUUUCUUUGGUCCUGAACUGCACGGCUAUAGACGUCUGGUCAUACAUAUUGAGGGUUAAGUAGAUACAUCAUGACGGAUUUUGAAAAACCAGAGUAAAAUAGGAAAGAUUGGUGUGAUAUAGGAACUAUAGGUUAGAUUAAAAAGUGCAAAACAAAAGAAAUAUUCAAAAAUAAAAUUGAUAUGAGUAGAAAAUUUUCUUGAAAAGCAAAAAGCAUUUAUGAGUGAGAUGAAUUGAAAAAUAAAGUGACCAAGUCACAAGAAUAAGAAAAACUCGCUCAUUGGUGUACAAAAACUCGUAGGCUAGCGUAGUUACUUUGUUGUGUUAUGAUUUCUUAUGUGGAGCAACAAGGAGGUGAAAGAAGGAAAAAUAAGGCGGUAAGCGGGUAAAGGUCACUAAAGGAGAAUAAUAGGGAUCGAUAUGAUGUGCCAAACUAUUUUUGUGUUCGUUACCCUUUUUAUGCUUACUAUUUUUGAAUUUUAUACCUGUCCUAAGCCUCAGAACAUUACAAGCCGAAAAGUCCUAUGUGACCUAAAUAUCAUUAUGCAUGACUGGACAUUACAUUAAACAAAUCGUAAAAUCAACUAUUUGUAUUCUACUCGGAUAAUCAAAUUACUUGUAUGAUUUGUUGUUGGAUUCCUAUAGGUGAGACCCUUAAUGUUCGUAUAUUUUGUAAUGUACUGAACUUAGAUGUUUGUGGUCCAAAGUCGUAAAUAAGUUAUUAAUCAUGUUAAAGUUGUUUGUGACUAUGAAAUACCUAGUCGUGUGCCCCAAAGUCAAUACUUGAAUGAUAUUUGCUCAAGGGAUGUCUCUUUUAUUUUUUUGUUCUUGUUUGUGUUGCUUGAGGACAAACAAUGACUUAAGUGUAGGGGAGUUUGAUCUGGCAUAAUUCGGUGUAGCAGAUUAAACUAAUUUUUGUACUUUAGGAGCUUGAAAGCAAGCAUUUUCAUUAGGUUUUAAUUAUGUUUUUUCAAGAUUUAUUGAAGUUAAUAAAAUGUACAAAUUGAGUCUUUUAUUGACCUAAGGGGUCAAAUGAGGCCUAAGGGGGAGCUAAUGAAUUGUGUAAGUGUGCAGAGACCAUUAGAAGGCAUAAUAAAUAAAUGAUGGUCACUACGUCGCAACACGGAACAAUCAAUGUCGCAACAUAGGAAGUAGAAUGAAGAAAUCAUGAAACUGCCUUCGAUGUCGUGAUACAAACUAAGGGUAUCGGACAUACCCUUGAAGAUAUCCAAAGAGGAGUAUACUGACUCCUAUGCCGCGACACAAGUCCUACUGUGUCACGCACUGACUCUGGACAGAAAUUAACACGAGCUAAGGGGCGUUUCGGCCUGUACAAUCAAAUUUAAAGCUUGGGAACGUCAACUAACCUAGGUUUAAGGAUGAUGACCACCUAAGAUAUAUAAAUAGGUUCCUUUGUCACAUGUUAUAGACAUAAAUUCCUUAAUGUAGUUUUUUGGUUUUAAUUCUAGUUCAGAAUUUCUUUCUUUUAGGUUUUUAGAUUUGUUUUCAAAUUGUUAUCUAGAGAUUUGAUUUCUGGAGACAAUCAAACUCUAUGGAUUCAUAUUCAUCUUUAAUGAAAAUCAGACAUUUUCUUAAACUCUACACUUCAAUUCAUUUAUCAUGUUCUCUCAUUACAUAAAUUCUAUAUUGUUUAUGAAAUCAUGAAGGUUUAAUCCCUCCAUGGGGAAUUAGCAAGUAAAGGUAUGAUCUAUUAACUAUUUUAUAGGGUUACUCAACAGAUCAACUAUUUGGGAAAGGAAAAAUCUAAACCCUAAACCUGACAACUUUGGGAAGUCAUAAAGGUGCGAAUUAACCCAAAAUUGGUAUAGCCUAUCUGUGAAUACCUUCACCCCAAACCAAUCUGGACUAUGAAGUCGAAAGAUCAGUAGUCAUCGCUAACUCAUUAUUUGAGUGAAAGAUCGAAAGGUCAUGCUGAGAUAGCGACUAGUUGAUUGCUGAAGGACCUGAAACGACAAUUGAUUGGGAUUGCCGAAACGAACUAAUCACCCAUAAUCAAAUUUGAUUUAUUAUGUUCUUUGAUCUUUUAAAUUUUAUUUAUUUAUGUUAUUUUAUUUUAUUAUUUCAAAAAAUCUUAAAAACUCCUUCUUCUUUUUUUUUACUUUCGUACUAUAACUAAAUUAAAGUAAUAAUUAGAUCUUUCGGUGUUUAGGUCAAAAUUGAUCUAGCACUGACCUCCCUUAGGUAAGAUCCUCGGAGUACUCACCUACUCCGUUGUAACUAUAUUACAAUUGGACCUGUAUACUUGCGGAUACUGCCUCAUAUAUCCAUAUUUUUUACUACAGUAUUCACACUCUAAAUGUUAGUAUGUCCGGAGGUAGUUAGUAGCAUUAUGAAGCCAGGCUUCUAAAGCUAAAAGGAUAUUAAAAACGUCCAACCAGUUUAAAAGGCUAGUUGCCCGAAAAUCGUUUGGAAUCAAGUCAUGCAGAUAGUAUUGGAAAACAUUUUUUAUUGAAACCACUUCAACCAAUUCCAGUACAUGUCCUCUGUUUAGUCGUUUGUAUUGUUUCCAAGCAACUUGGGAGUCAAUUGGUUGAAUCUAUGCACAUACAUUCUUCCGAGGAAGAGACCACCAUGUGGGGAAACCAAAACCAGAUUUAAGUUUAUAGAUAACCCUCACAUACUUAUCUUUCUGUAAAUAAAUAUUUGAAUUGCUAUUCUGAAUUAUAGGCUCACAACCUGGGCAUACAUUGAAAUAGACAUUUCCAGCAAAAGUCUAUUGUCUUUUUUUCUUCAACUGGUAAAACUUUUGGAAUACACCCAGAAGUGGUGGCUCUUGGUGCAUGCAACAAUCUAUGAAGUAAGCUAUUAAGGUCCACUAUGAAAAAGUUGAUAUUUGUGCAAGUGCAAUGUCAUAUUCAUUUAACACUGUACAAAAGAAAGGGUGAAGUGAUAGAUGGAAGCCAAUUCCAAUAAAAUUAAGGGAAGGAUAAAGUCAAGGGUAUUAUAGCUUAAGCAAAACCUUUGUGGCCGUCUGAAGCAAUAAUCAAAAUUUGAAUGAAGAAUACCUCAAGCUCCUAAGUAUCUAUUAGAAACCAAACCAACUUUUCAAAAUCAAAAAUUACUACCAAAGAGUUUGUAUCCAAAUUGGCUUCUACCUUAUACAACUUGGUUUUCAAAUUGGAUACAACUUUACAAAUUGGAUACAACUUUACAAAUUGGAUAAAGCUUAUCAUGUUGGAAACUUCAUGAAAAAUCAAGAUGGUAGCAAUAUUGAAAAGUUCUACAAGGCAAGGCAUGUAUAAUGGAUAAGCAUUAUCAUUUAUGAUAUACUUAAGGGAUAAGCAAUCAUUAAGGUAACUAGACUAUGUCUAUAUAUAUGUAUGUAUAGUUCAUGUAUUGUGAGUGCUAAAAAAAUUAGCUAGAGUUUGAGAGAAAAAAAAGUAUUGUGAGUAUAGAAAGAAAAACUAGCAGCAGCUAGUAUAGAGAGAAAAAAAAAAGAGAGUUUGUAUUGUAUUUUGUAUUGUGUUUAUUUGUGUGUAAUGAAAUUAGUAUUUGAGUUUUUUUUUAUUACGCUUCCAACAGUAUCGAUGUAUUUCGUCUUGGGUGGAACUACAAUUGUACAGAGAAGUCUCCACACGCAGUGGAGUAUCAUCGGAACCUUGGGAUCCAUAUGAUAAUGGAUUUAUGGGAUUAACAUUUUGGUUAACUUGGUCUCGACCCUCCUUUUAAUUUUUGUUCUAACCAUUUUGUAUGAAAAAAAAAGGUGAAAGGAAAAAGAAAAAGAGGAAAAGAAAAUGUUACCUUUGAAAAAGAAGAAGACUAAAGACGAAGAAAGUUGAAGGAUUAAGCAGAAAAAAAUUAGGGUUUCAAUUGAUUUGGCAAAGUGUCUACAAGGGAUCUUUGAGAAUCUACUUUAUAGAGAGAAACAAGCAUGUGCAAGAAGUUUAAUUUGUGAUAACUAUGCAACUUCUCUAAUAUAAGUUCGACAUCUAUCAAAAGGGUAAGUUAUAUAAGGUUUGAAAUUUUGAAAGUGACUUUCAAUCUUGAACUCACCAAUUAAAAUAAACUUUUGGCACUCCUACCAACAGGAGAUUUCUAAAGUGUAUGUCUCUGAAAAGAAGUCAUUAUGAAUUUAAAGAACAGUUCGCCAAUUCAUAUUAUACGCCUGGCGCAAACAGUUAGUUAUACAGUUUUUGUAGUUGAAUUUUCUAUGUUAUAAAAAUUUUGAGGGCGAAUUUUUAUUAAGGGGGAGAGAGUUGUGAUACAUCAAAUCUAACGGAUCCAAGUCUAAGGCAUAGAGCUGUGAAGUUAUCUGUUUGGUGUAGUGUAAUCCACUACGUUACAAUUUUUUGGCGAAUGGGACUGUGACGUAUACUAACCGUCGUAAAGGUGAAUACAUGUUUUAGGCUAUUAUCAUUCUAAAAGAAUGGUAUAUCAAGUGAAGUAUAAGCCGAUUGAGUGGCCGCCAUAUGGAUAGUACCUCUUGUUAGUCUGAGUACUGUGUUAAUUGGGUUUUGUAAAAUGAUUUGGUUAAGAGUCAACUGGAUUGACUGGUCAAAUAUCAAAUAUACAAGAUUCUCAUUUAUGUUCCUGUCGGAAUCUAUAGGCCAUUAUGAAGGAAAAACUCUAGAUUCAAUUGACACUUGUAGAGUCCCGCCUAAGGGAAAUUGAAUAUAUUUAUAUUGUGAGAAGGAUUAGUCUGGGGGGUUCUUUCUUCAAAAUCUAUCCUAUGGUUCUUUCUCUUAGAACUUAUAUGUUUUCUUCUUUGGAAGCUAAAGAUUUUGAAUUUAUGAGUGGAUGUUCCACCUCUUGUUGUCUGUUGGUUUGAGAAAAGUGCUCGAGUUUGGAGUUCAAACUACAAUUCAGGUGAGUCUCUAUCCUGACUCUUGUAUAAAAGCUGUUCAAGUAAAAGUAUAUAUAUAAAUGAUAAUGACAUCUCUGAUAAUUGAUAAGUAUAUGAAGAAUAGUAAAAAUGAUAUGUGUACUAUGAUAAUAUGUAUAAAGUUCAGUUUGAAAAGAAUGUUGAAUAGAACAUAUGCAGGUACAGUCUAAUACAAGGAAAAAUAAUAAUAUUUAAACUCAACACAUUGCACAUAAGUUAUAGGUGUCAUGUUAAUUAAUAUUUAUAUACUUUUUUAAUAAAUUUAUUUAUUUUUAAUUUAAGAAUUAAGUCAUUUUAUUUUUAUUUAAUAAUUGAUAUUUAAUCCAUAACAUUUCGGUUAAAUUGGGAUUAUGUGAUUUUUUUAAAAAAAAAAUUGUCACGUAUGUUACAAUAUUGAUCCUAAUAUUGUAAAAAAAAAAAUUUACUUACCAUGGUAUCCACCACGUAAACAAUUUUUUAAGGUAAAAUAAUUCAAUUUAAAAAGAUGUCAUCAAUUAAAAUUUAAUUAUUAAAUAAAAAUAGUAGAAAUAAAAUUCGAAAUUAAAAUUUAAGUGUUAAAAGUAGAAUCACCUAGCAUGUUAGACCCAUCAAUAAAGUAGUUAUAUAUACAUGUUAUUCGAUGAUUAGGAAUGAUAAUUUUAUAUUUAUUUAUACUAUGAUUAAAGAUAAAUUUAAUAAUUGAACAUUUGUUCGUGAAUGUAGACCAAAAACCGAAUAAAUUAUUGAUAUUGCGAUCAUUAUUUUUAAAUGCAAGUAGACUAUUUAUAAUUAUUUUUAUUAAGUUUUAUAAUGUAAUAUCUCUCUCUCUCUCUCUAUAUAUAUAUAUAUGCAAUUUUCACUCACUUUUUAAAUCCACUCAAUAAUCAUAUUCAUUAUUUUAAUAUAAAUGUUAUAUGAAUUACAUAUAUAAAUUAAUAAUAAAUAUUAUAAUUAAAUAAUUUUUACAAUAAAAGAAAAUAUGAAUAUUACACAUUCAUCUUUAAAUUUUUUAAAAGUAUUAUAAGUUAUUAUUGAGGAUCAAUUGUAUAAACAACGAAAUACAUAAGGUAGAGAAAAUCAAACACAAAAUUUUAUGUGAAAAACUCUUUUGAAGAGGAUAAAAAUCAUUGGCAAAUGAGGCUCCAACUUUUCACUAAAUGAGUAAACAAAUGAGAGUACAUUAUGGAGAAAAUAAAUUUAAAUAUAUUAAACGUACAAAUUCAAACCCUGCAAACAAAAUCCUAACUCUCAUAGAGUCCUCUCAAAAUGAAUAUAAAAUUCUCUCCAUAACUACCACGAAAACUCUCACAAAAACUCAUUUGCGACUACAUCUUGUAGCCCCCAAAAGAAAAGCCCUAUAAUACUACAUUUUUAAUUGCAUCUCAAUUGACUUCUCAAAACAGGAUACAAUGUUCAUUUAAAUAGGUUAAGAUUAGAAGUCUAAUCAUACUAAAAUAUUCCUAGAGUAAUCAAAGUUUAACUAGGAAAAGAUAGUAGAGUUGACUAAGAGAAGAAACCCGAUUUAUAUGGAGAACACGUUGCCACGUCACAACAUUGGAAAGCUUCUUGUCAUGACGUCGCCUUCUGUUUGGCUGAAAAUGCGAAGCACAUCCCACAGUUAUAUAAAUGGAUAAAACACCAUAUAGUCAUUAUUAAGUUUUUUCUAACUUGGUCCCGAAUUUUUUCUUAGUGCAAACCAAUACUCAAACUUGAAUUCCAUUAAACGAUUUAGUCCAUUUUUGUAACACCAUUAAAAAAUAUUGACAUUACAUUUUAAAUUUGUAUCACACCGUGACCUAAAAAUUUUAGAAAUAAAUAUUAUACUUAAUUAAUAUAACAUUACAACAUUAUAAACUUCUAAAUGUUUGCUUUAUCCCUUAUAUAAAUUAUUAUUAUACUUAUUAUUAAAUUUUUAAAAAUCAUUAUAAAUAUUGUAAUGUUAUUGCAAUAUUAUUAAAUUUUUAAAAAUCAUUAUAAAUAUUGCAAUGUUAUAUGCAAUAUUCAUUUUCUCAUUUAUAUUUAUUAUACAUUUUUAGUUCAAAAAUGUUUUUGGUGUAAUUUCUUAAUGGCUUUUAUUUUGGUGGUUGCACUACAUUUAGGGAGAGAUUUGAUGAGAUAGGCAAAAAGAUGAAGAUGUUUCAUUUAAUCAUUAGCAGAUAAGAAGACACAUAUUAGGACCUCCUCGACUGUUUUACAUGUGUCUCUUGAUGUUUGGUGUUGACUUUUUUUAGGGCCUAGGUAAAAUAAUAAAAUGAGGUUUUAAGUUCCUUAAAAGUUAGAGAAAAAAAUUUUUAGGUCCCUUAAAAGGUGGUAAAAAAGAUUUGGGCCCAUAAAAGCUAAAAAAAAAACAAAAAAUUAGACACCUUCAAAGUUAGUUUUUUUUUAAAAAAUUAAAAAAAAUUAAACCCCUUAAAAAUUGAAAAAAACAAUAUUUUGGACACUUUCAACCUUGGGCCCUAGGCGGCCGCACCUCUAGACGACCCCAAGGAUGGGCCUGGAUUGUUAGUUAUGUCUCAAAGAUGCUAAUGGUAAUUAAAAACUUAAUCCCCACCUAUAAUUUCAAUUUUAUGAUAUUUUUAGAAGUUUUUUUUUAUUGUUUUGGAUUUAUAUUUUUUAAAUUAAAAGUACCAAAUUGAUGGUUCGUUUGUGGAGACUUUAAUGUGAUAAUGUAUGGUUUUCAAAAAAAGGGAGGGUUACCCCGUGAUGAACGAAAAAUGGAGAAUUUACGUAAUGUUUUAGCGGAUUGUCAGCUAUUGGAUGUGGGGUUUUCUAGAAAUUGGUUUACAUGGAAGAAAGGAAACCUUCCCAAGACAAACAUUCGUGAACGACUCUUCCAUUGUCCUCUUUUAAUUACUACUAAACGGGCUGAAAAUUGGGUGACUGCUAAAGCUUUCAAGUUUGAAACUUUGUGGAUAGUGGAAGAGUCGUUUAAUGAAUAAGUCAAAAAUAUAUGGAAGUCAUCAUCUAGAAACUUGUUGCAAAAGUUAGAUAUUUUAAAAGGGGGAUUGAGACGAUGGGCAGGACAAAUUCGAUUUGAUAGAAGAAGGAGAAAGGAUCUACUCAUAGCUAGACUAUCAGAACUUGCAGGGGCUGACAGAGGUGAUAUCAACAUGGUAGAACUGCUUGAUGCGAAAAUUCAAUUAAACUUUGAGAUUGAAAAGGACGAACAUUACUGGAACAGAGAGCUCGGAUAAAUUGGCUAAAAUUUAGGGAUAGGAAUACUGCAUUUUUUCAAAGCCAAGUGACGCAGCAUAGAAGGAGAAAUGUCGUCCACAAAUUGAAUAAUGAAGAAAGGGUAGAUACGGACAUUGUGAAGGAAAUUGAGGGAAUUGCGCGAUCUUAUUUCCAGAAUUUAUUUACAAUAGAGGGGUGAGGAAAUUUUGACCAUUUGUUGUCGGGUAUUGAAAAAUGCUAUCUAAGGAGGAUAAUCAAAAUCUUAUAAAGCCUUAUAUGGCAGAGGAGAUUAGAGAGGGGCUGUUAGUGAUGGGACCCACUAGAGCACCAGGUGCAAAUGGCUUUCCAGCUCUGUUUUACCAAAAAUGCUAACACAUCAUUGGGGACGACGUCACCAAAUUCUACUUACAAAUUCAUAACGAAGGUAUGGGCUUUCAACAAAUUAAUGCUACUCAUAUAAUCCUCAUCCCUAAAAUUGAUAAUCCGUCUACUAUGAUGAAUUUCAGACCUAUCAGUCUGUGCAAUGUGCUUUAUAAAAUUAUAGCAAAAGUUACUGAAAAUCGUUUCAGGGGAGUUAUUAAAAACUGUAUUGACGUCUCAGAGUGUGUUUGUACCAGGCAGAUUGAUUUCAGAUAAUGUUCUAUUGGCAUAUGAAAUUCUUCAUACUCUUCAACAAAAGAAAGUUGGGAAAAAAGGUUUUAUGGCAGUCAAGUUUGUUGAAAAGACAAAUUAAAAGGGGUGUUGAAAAGUCAAAAAAAUGGGAGGUGCAAGUGGCACCGAAAGAAAAAAAUGGUAGGCAAGUUGUUUAAAGUUGAAUGGGAUAAUUGCAAUUUUGGUCCCUAAUUUUUAGGCCAUUUGCAAGUUAGUCCCUGAACCUCAACUAUAAAUAGGCCUAACCAUUUCUCAUUUACACCAUCCCAACCAAUCUUUCUCUCUUAGUUUUCUCUCUUCUCCCAUUUGAGAAUUCUUAAGGAAUUCUAUUUGUUUGUAAUAUUUUGGAGAUAGUAAAGUUAUCAUCUGGUGUUAGUGCCCGAGGACGUAGGUAUAAUUUACCGAACCUCGUUAAAACUCUUAUGUUCUUUUUGUCCUAUUUUUCUUUCAAUAUUUGAGGGUAUAAUAGUAGUAUUUAAUUGUGCUAUUAAAUUACGUUAGAAGGAAUAUUCUGACUAAGGAAAGACUUGGUAUUUAAGAGAUCCUUGUGAUCCACCUCUCUUCCCUGGGAAUUGAACUUUGUGUGAUUUUUUAGUACAAUAAUUUACACACUUCCGACCCUAUUGGAACAACAAGUGGUAUCAAGAGCCGAAGGUUAAUCGUAGUAUGCUCUGUGGUUGCAGUUUAAACUGAUCUUCCACAUCAAAAAAGAUUUCCUUAGGUAUAUUGAAAGAUUAUGGAGAAAACAGUCGGUGUAGGAGCUUCAACAUCGUCCAUGUAGACAAGACCGACAAUUGCAAAUGCAAGAUUGGCCGUGGAGAUCUUUGAUGGCACGGGCCAUUUUGGUAUGUGGCAAAGUGAGGUUCUAGAUGCCCUUUUUCAGCAGGGUCUAGACAUUGCCAUUGAUGAAGAAAAACCAGAUGAUGUACAGGAGAAAGAUUGGAAGGCGAUCAAUCGGUUGGCAUGUGGCACAAUUCGAUCAUACCUUUCUCGAGAGCAGAGGUAUGCUUUUUCAAAGGAGACUUCUGCAAAUAAGUUGUGGGUGGCACUUGAAGAAAAAUUUUUGAAGAAAAAUAGUCAAAAUAAGCUCCACUUGAAGAAAAGACUGUUUCGCUUCACAUACGUUUCAAGUACCACAAUGAAUGAUCACAUCACCAAAUUUAAUCAGUUAGUCACUGAUUUGUUGAAUAUGGAUGAGACAUUCAAAGAUGAAGAUUUGGCUUUGAUGCUGUUGGGGUCACUUCCUGAGGAGUUUGAGUUCCUAGAAACUACUCUACUUCAUGGCAGGAGUGAUAUAUCUCUGAGCAAAGUCUAUGCGGCCUUAUACAGUUAUGAACAGAGAAAGAAGGACAAACAGAAAAACUCAAUCAGAGAUACAGAAGCUUUAGUAGUCCGAGGUCGUUCAUACACUCGGAAGAAAACUCAAAAGGGGAGAUCAAAGUCAAAGUCCAGACUCGGGAAAGAUGAAUGUGCUUUUUGUCAUGAGAAAGGCCACUGGAAGAAAAAUUGUCCAAAGCUGAAGAAUAAGGGAAAAGCUGCUGUAGAUGCUUGUGUUGCUAAGCAUGAUACUAGUGACUCUGAACUAUCACUGGUUGCAUCAUCAUCGUCGUUCCAUUCAGAUGAGUGGAUAUUGGAUUCGGGUUGUACCUAUCAUAUGUCCCCUAACCGGGAGUGGUUCUCUGAUUUAGUAGAACUAAAUGGAGGAGUUGUUUAUAUGGGCAAUGACAAUGCCUGUAAAACUGUUGGGAUAGGUUCAAUCUAAUUAAAGAAUCAAGAUGGAUCAACCAGAGUUCUGACUGAUGUUCGGUACGUGCCCAGUUUGAAGAAAAAUCUCAUCUCAUUGGGAGCCUUGGAAUCCAAUGGUUCAGUUGUUACUAUGAAAGAUGGGAUUUUGAAAGUGACAUCUGGUGCACUUGUGAUAUUGAAGGGCAUCAGGAAAAAUAACUUGUAUUACUACCAAGGUAGUAUAGUUAUUGGAGCAGUCGCUACAGCUUCCGGUAACAAAGAAUUGGACUCAAUGCAGUUGUGGCAUAUGAAGUUGGGACAUGCCAGCGAAAAAUCCUUGCAAAUUCUGGCAAAGCAAGGAUUAUUGAAAGGUGCAAAGGCUUACAAAUUAAAAUUUUGCGAGCAUUGUGUUCUGGGAAAGAAAAAGAGAGUGAAAUUCGGUACUGCUAUCCAUAAUACAAAAGGUAUUUUGGAAUAUGUUCACUCAGAUGUGUGGGGGCCUUCCAAGACACCUUCAUUGGGAGGAAAACACUACUUUGUUACUUUUGUUGAUGACUUUUCCAGAAGAGUUUGGGUGUAUACCAUGAGAACUAAGGAUGAAGUGCUUAGAGUUUUUCUUAAAUGGAAAACUAUGAUCGAAAACCAGACUGGCAAGAAAAUCAAGCGGCUUAGGACGGACAAUGGAGGGGAAUAUAAAAGUGAUCAGUUCUUCGAUGUGUGCCAAGAGUAUGGUAUUGUUCGACACUUCACAGUUAGGGAUACACCACAGCAGAAUGGAUUGGCAGAGCGUAUGAAUCGAACAUUACUGGAGAAAGUUCGAUGUAUGUUGUCCAAUGCUGGGUUGGGCAAGCAAUUUUGGGCUGAGGCUGUGACAUACGCUGGCCAUCUUGUUAAUCGUUUGCCAUCAUCUGCAUUAGAAAGAAAAACUCCUAUGGAGGUAUGGUCUGGAAAACCGGCUACAGAUUAUGAUUCCUUACAUGUGUUUGGAUCCACUGCAUAUUACCAUGUGAAGGAGUCAAAGUUAGAUCCGAGGGCAAAGAAAGCUCUCUUUAUGGGAAUCACUUCUGGAGUGAAGGGAUUUCGUCUUUGGUGCUUAAGCAUAAAGAAAAUGAUCUGUAGCAGAGAUGUUACCUUUGAUGAAUCUGCCACAUUGAAAAAGGUAGCAGAUAAAGAUAUUCAGACGAGCAAUACUCCACAACAGGUGGAGUGUACUCCAAAACAUGUGGAGUUUGAGCAGAUGGGGAUUUGCCCAGUUAAUAAGUCUAAUUCUCCAGCCACAAUGGAGGAAUUAGAGGUUGAAGAGGUUCUGACCCAAGAACCACUAAGUACACCAGAACCAGUUGCAGUUGCAAGGCCACGGAGAGAAAUUCGUAAACCUGCUCGAUUUACUGAUAUGGUGGCCUACGCCCUUCCCGUUGUUGAUGAUAUUCCUAUCACUUAUCAAGAAGCGAUGCAAAGCUUAGAAAGUGAUAAAUGGAAAAGCGCCAUGGAUGAAGAAAUGCAGUCUCUCCUGAAGAACAAUACUUGGGAAUUGGCGCAAUUACCGAAAGGUAAAAGGGCAAUCGGAUGCAAGUGGGUAUUCGCAAAGAAAGAUGGAUCUCCUAGCAAGAAGGAUAUUCGCUAUAAGGCAAGAUUGGUAGCUAAAGGCUACGCUCAGAAGGAGGGAAUUGACUACAAUGAUGUAUUUUCCCCUGUUGUGAAGCAUUCCUCCAUUAGAAUUUUGUUGGCCUUGGUAGCACAGUUGAAUUUGGAGCUAGCUCAACUUGAUGUUAAGACGGCUUUCUUGCAUGGUGAGUUAGAAGAGGAGAUCUAUAUGACUCAGCCCGAAGGAUACACAGAUGCUGGUGGUAGAAAUUGGGUUUGUAAGCUGAACAAAUCGCUAUAUGGAUUGAAGCAAUCCCCGAUGCAGUGGUACAAGCGAUUUGAUAGCUUUAUGAGAAGGCAGAAGUACACAAGAAGCAAAUAUGACAAUUGUGUAUAUUUGCAGAAGCUGCAUGACGGAUCUUUCAUUUAUCUACUCUUGUAUGUUGAUGAUAUGUUAAUCGCUUCGAAGAGCCAAAAUGAGAUAGAUAAGCUGAAGGCUCAGUUGAAUCAAGAGUUCGAGAUGAAAGAUCUAGGUGAGGCCAAGAAGAUUCUCGGCCUGGAGAUAAGUAGAGAUAGACCGAGAGGCAAGCUCUGUUUAAAUCAGAAGCAAUAUCUGAAAAAGGUAUUACAAUGUUUUGGUGUAAAUGAAAACACAAAACAUGUAAGUACCCCACUUGCUUCUCAUUUGAAACUUAGUGCUCAAUUAUCUCCGAAGACUGAAGAUGAAAGAGAAUAUAUGGCGAAAGUCCCAUAUGCUAAUGCAGUUGGGAGUUUGAUGUAUGCGAUGGUGUGUACGAGGCCUGACAUUUCACAAUCUGUUGGAGUUGUGAGCAGGUAUAUGCAUGAUCCUGGAAAAGGACAUUGGCAAGCUGUGAAAUAGAUUCUACGGUAUCUUCAAAAAACCGUAGAUGUUGGUUUAAUUUUUGAACAGGAUGAAGCACUUGGUCAGUUUGUAGUUGGAUAUGUUGAUUCCAACUUUGCUGGUGAUUUAGAUAAACGUCGUUCAACUACGGGGUAUCUGUUUACUCUUGCGAAAGCCCCAGUGAGUUGGAAGUCUACCUUACAGUCUACAGUAGCUGUGUCUACUACAGACGCAGAAUAUAUGGUAGUUACAGAAGCUGUUAAGGAGGCUAUUUGGCUUAAUGGAUUGUUGAAAGACUUAGGAGUUGUUCAAAGUCACAUAAGUUUAUAUUGUGACAGUCAGAGCGAUAUUCAUUUAGCGAAAAAUCAAGUCUAUCAUUCAAGAACCAAGCAUAUCGACGUAAGAUAUCACUUUGUGCGGGAAGUCUUUGAAAAAGGAAAAAUUCUACUUCAGAAGAUUCCGACAGCAGAUAAUCCCGCAGAUAUGAUGACCAAGGUGGUAACAACAAUCAAGUUUAAUCAUUGUUUGAACUUGAUUAACAUCCUGAGAAUUUGAGCACCUUUAGGUGUAUGGCGCUCGAGAGCGCAUUUGGAGGCACUACAAAAGAUAGCUUUAUCGAAUUUGGGGAGUUGAAGGAAGUAUGUGAAGAUGUGAUUAUCCUAAUCAAAUCUUCAAGGUGGAGAUUGUUGAAAAGACAAAUUAAAAGGGGUGUUGAAAAGUCAAAAAAAUGGGAGGUGCAAGUGGCACCGAAAGAAAAAAAUGGUAGGCAAGUUGUUUAAAGUUGAAUGGGAUAAUUGCAAUUUUGGUCUCUAAUUUUUAGGCCAUUUGCAAGUUAGUCUCUGAACCUCAACUAUAAAUAGGCCUAACCAUUUCUCAUUUACACCAUCCCAACCAAUCUUUCUCUCUUAGUUUUCUCUCUUCUCCCAUUUGAGAAUUCUUAAGGAAUUCUAUUUGUUUGUAAUAUUUUGGAGAUAGUAAAGUUAUCAUCUGGUGUUAGUGCCCGAGGACGUAGGUAUAAUUUACCGAACCUCGUUAAAACUCUUAUGUUCUUUUUGUCCUAUUUUUCUUUCAAUAUUUGAGGGUAUAAUAGUAGUAUUUAAUUGUGCUAUUAAAUUACGUUAGAAGGAAUAUUCUGACUAAGGAAAGACUUGGUAUUUAAGAGAUCCUUGUGAUCCACCUCUCUUCCCUGGGAAUUGAACUUUGUGUGAUUUUUUAAUACAAUAAUUUACACGCUUCCGACCCUAUUGGAACAACAAAGUUAGACAUGAGUAAAGUAUAUGACAGGGUUGAGUGGAAUUUUAUCAAAGAAAUUAUGAUACGAAUGGGGUUCGAUAUGAACUAGAUUGAAACUUUAAUGAAAUGUUUGACAAUUAUCUUCUAUUCAGUAGUUGUAAAUGGAUACAUAGGAGAAAGCUUCCACCCAGCAAGGGGACAUCGUCAAGGAGACCCGUUUAGCCUGUUUCUAUUUCUCAUUUGCGAAGAGGGUUUAUCGUGUUUAAUGCGAUUAGCAAGUAGAGAAGGUCUAUUGAAAGGAGCCAAAGCUAGUAGGAGCGGACCACAGGUAUCACACUUGUUUUUUACCGAUGAUUGCAUUUUAUUUGGCCAGGCUACAAAAAGAGAAGCUAAUUUAUUGAAGGAAAUUUUAAGGGAAUAUAGGAGUUGCUCAGACCAAUGUGUUAACUUUAAUAAGUCCAAUGUCUUUUUUAAUAGAAAUACCAAUGAAUAGGAUAGGCGGGAAGUGGUAAAUAUUUUGAAGGUGCGAAGUUCAAACAAUCCAAAGAGGUAUUUAGGCUACCCAAUGCAGUUGGAAGAAAGAAAAAAGAAUCGUUUCAGGAUCUAAAAGAUCGAAUUAAGAAACGUAUUGACAAAUGGAGCACUAGAUUUUUUUCUUAGGGCGUAAAUGAAGUAUUUAUCAAAUCUGUCCUUCAAUCUAUCCCAACUUAUACUAUGUCUUGUUUCUUAUUGCCCAAAUCUUUAUGUACAGAAUUGGAAAGCAUUAUUGCUCAAUUUUGGUGGCAAAAGAGGCAUGGCAGACGGGGAAUACAUAGGUGUGCAUAGAAAAUUCUUUGUCUAUUAAAAGAAAAUGGGGGUCUUGGUUUUCGAAAUAUGAGUCAGUUCAAUAUUGCAUUAUUAGCCAAGCAAGGGUGGCGCCUUAUUAAUUAUCUGAAUUCAUUAGUAGCUAGAGUACUCAAGGCUAAAUACUAUCCGCAUACGAAUUUUAAUAACGCUCAGUUAAGGAAUCUACCUUCCCUUACCUAGAAGAGCGUGUAGGCUACUAAGGGAUUGUUGAAGAAUGGACUGUGUUGGAGGGUUGGAAGGGAUGAUGGAAUCUCGAUCUGGGAGGGCCGUCAGAUUCCAAGAAUGAAACUUAAUGAGUGGAACAAUAGAAACGACAGCGAAGGGCCUCAGUUAGUCUCAGAAUUAAUUGACCCAAAUACCAGAACAUGGAAGACAAGUAUUGUUAGUAGUACCUUCCAAAAUGAGAUUGCUCAACAAAUUAUGUAGAUUCCUCUUGCGAAAAGUCCUCAUAACGACCUUUAAGUGUGGAAAGGAGAACCGUCUGGAGAAUUUACUGUCAAAAGUGCCUACAAACUAUUUCAAGAAGCUAUCUUGGAUCCUAGUUAUUAUUUUAUACAGGCCGACUCAAAGAAAUUCUACAAAAAAACUUUGGAAUCUAGGACUACCCUCAAAAAUACUGGUUACAAUAUGGAGAAUUACAUGGAACUAUAUUCCAACUAGGGAUUUAAAUAGCAGUCCGAUACGGCUAUAGCGACGCUAUAUAGCAGUAGCGGCGCCGUCCGAAACCGUUACUAUUGAAAAUAACAGUGUGAAGCGGAGUCCCACUGAUAGCGGUGGGUUGCGGCUACAAUUUAACGGGUAAUGGCCAGUUGCGGCAAUAACAGGCCGCUAUUCCCGUUAUUUUCCGUUGCAGUAAAUUAAAAAAAAUCCAUCUCCUCUAGACAAAAAUCAACAAAAACAGUGAAACACAAUAAAACAAAAGGGAAUAUAUUCUCCUGCCUGUAAAACCAGAGUGUUUUCAAUCAAAAAAAGAAAAAUGAAGACCAAAUAAAUAGAAAAAGCAAUCAAAAUUCAAAACUAAAAAUGAAAACCAAAUAAAUAGAAAAAGCAAUCAAAAUUCAAAACUCAAAAGCAAUAGAAAAUAUGAAAUUCUAUUUCUCAUAUUUCGGUCCCUAAACUCUAAACCAAACGGCAAACAAAGCAAACCCUGAUCACUUUCACAUUCAGAGAUUGAAAAUUUUCAAGUAAGUACCUAAAAUUUUGUCUUGAUUCUUGGCUUCUUGCUUGUUUUUGCAAUGCAAAUAUGUUCUUUAGAGUUUAGACUUUAGGUUAGGGAUGAAGGGAGAAGUUACAACCAGCAUAUUCCAAGAAUUUGAUAGAGUUUUGAGAGGAUAUGAGUUUUAAGAGGAUGAUAGACUUUAGGCCUCUUCAGUUUUUCUUUCUAAGUUUUCUGCCGUUUGAUUUCUUUUUUUCUUUAUUUUUUUCAUUUUUAUUUUCCUUUCCUCCUAGCCAAAACCAAGGCACUGUCUAGGCUACCAAUAGUAGGACAGCUGCCAUGCAUUUACUCCUAGCCAGCAUAUUUCAUUUUCAUUUUCCUUUAAUCUCAUGCAUUUACUCCUAGCCAGCAUAUUUCAUUUUUAUUUUCCUUUACAGGUAGUAGGAUAGGCUAGAUAGCUGUUAGGAAUUAGGAUCAAUUUAUUCCUAAUCACUCUUUAAUUGGAGUAAUGUUUGAUUUAAUAUGCUAUAGAUACUUGAAACUAAAGCUCAUAAAUGAAAUUCAUUAUACCGGUUAAACAUAUAUAUAAUCAUUUUUAAAAUAAAACCACUAUAUAUUAUUUAAUGAGAAUGAUAUCCUCACUAUGUUUAUUAAAAUUAUUAUAAAAAACGAGAUUUAAUUUGAAUGAUAAAUUUGAGGAUUUGAAAGUUUUUAAAUUUGAUUAUUGUUUGUAUUUUCUAUAUGUAUUUUGGAUUUAAAUUGAAUUUUAAUAUUGUAUAAAAUGUAAAAACACUUUUAUAUUGUAAUAUUUGCUACUUUGUAAAAAGGUUAUGUUUUUUUUAUUAAUUUAGUUAGUGUUUAGUUGACUCUUGACAUUAACUUGUCGACAAUUAAGUAUAAUAUAAAUAUUCAUAUUCUAUUUGUUUAAUUUUUAUUGAAAUAAAUUUUAAAAUAUUAAUAAUUUAUGAAAUUAAAUUUUACAUACACAUAUGGAGUUUUAAUAAUUUUCUUAUGUAAUUAUAUACUAUGCUAAUGCAACCAUAAAAAAUCAUUUAUACUAUAAAUUAAGGAGUUGAUUGAGUUGAUGUAACCUAAUAACUGAGACCAAACUCAAUUAGAAAAUUAUUAUCUAUUCAUUUUAUAAAACAACAAAUAUUAUUUCAAGGUAUUUAUAUAUUUUUAUACUUGAUAAAUUUAGAAAAAAAAAUAAAGGCAUAUAAAUGUAAAUAAUGACGGUUGAAACCCAACAUUAAAAUCAUCUUAAAUUUAUCAUUUCAUGCCUUUAAUUUUCAUAACAAUUUUUUUAUAAAUAUAUUACGUAAAUGUUUUCACCUGUUGUUUCUAUAAACUAGUAAGUAUUUAAAGUGGAAAAGAGUGAAUCCCACGUCUCACUCCCAUCCUCUUCAUCUUUUAACUUGUUGAAGCAAAGUAUAUUUGGGUUGAUUUAUUAGAGUUUGGAGAGAUUUUAUAGAAAAUGAAAAUUACUUUGACAACAAUCAUAUUAUUAUAUUUUUUAAUAUGAAAGCUUCAAUCUAAUCAGGUUUAUAAUUUUACUUUAUAUGUUAUUUUUUAAUUAAUAUUGUAAUUAUAUUUUAUAAUGAUAAUUAUUUAUUAUUUAUUUUUAUUAUUUUAAAAUUUCAUAACUUUCAUAAUUUAUUAUUUAUUAUUAUGUAUGGGUUAUGCAAUAAAUUUAAAUUUUUCAUGUUAAUAAUGUUUACUUUUUUUGUAUUAUAUUCUUGAUAAUAUAAGUAAUGAGUUGCUUAUAUUUCUAAAUAUAAUUUUAUGUUUCUUAUAUAUAAAUAAAAAUAAAGCAUGCCACCAUGUGAAAAGUUCUCGACUAAAGGAUUGGAGGGUGCACCAAGGAAUGAUAUAGGUUGGCACUUUGGAACUCCGGUGCCAAAUACGAAAGGAGAUAUCAUAUGUAAACUUUAUGGUAAAGUUGUGAAAGGAGGAAUAACGCGAUUUAAAGAGCACAUUGCUCAUAAAACUGGCAAUGUUACACCAUGCCCUAAUGUUACUUGUAUGUGAUAAUUUAUUAUUAUUUUUAAAUGUUAUUGUAAAUUUUUUAUAAUGAUUAUAUAUAAUUGAUAAUAAUAUAAAGUGUGAAUUAUUUUUAUUUUAUUAACAGGUGUCAUUAGAGAAUGUAUGAUGAAUAUACUGAAAGAAAACAAGACAAAGAAAAUAGACAAAAAGAGGAGAAAAGAUGAAUUCUUAUCUCAAUUAAGAGAAGAUCAGGAUCAACACGAGGAAUUCAUUGAUGAGGUUUUUGCUAUAAGGCAAGCAACUCGAGAAAGUAUCCAAUCACAACACGAGUGGCAUAGAAGGGAAGAGUUCAGACAAAGUACUGGUGGUUGGAAUAACAUUUAUGAAGAAGGGAGAUCUUCUCAUGGAUCAGCUAAAGAAUAUCAUAGAGAAAGAACAAGUAAAUCCAUCCCAAGUGAGUCUGAGUUUACCUUAAGGGGAGCUAUACUUGAAUUGGUUAGAAGCAAAAGUUCAAAGCAAGCAAAGGUCAAUGACUCUUUUUUAAAGAGUUUUCGAAGGAAGAUAGGUGAAGCGGUAUUUAAAUUUUUAAUAUAUGAAAGACUUCCUUUUCAAUUAGCAAGCUCUCCAUGGUUGUAUAACUUAAUUCAAGAGUCAACAGAAGUUGGACAAGGUGUAAAGCUCCCAACACCUUAUGAGGUUUCAGAUGUGUAUUUGGAGUCAGAGUAUCAACGAGUUCGUGAUUGGGUAAAUAGACUAAAGACUCAUUGGAAUGAAUUGGGUGCAACUCUAAUAUGUGAUGGUUGGACCAACAGUUUGAAUCAAAUACACAUCAUUAAUUUCCUUAUUUAUUGUAGUAAAGGAAUCAUUUUUUGGAAAUCAGUAGAUGUCUCAAGUGUUUGUAGUAGAGAUGUUGAAUUCUACUGCAGUUUGCUAGAUUCAGUUGUAGAAGAAAUUGGAGAAAAUUACAUUGUCCAAAUAGUGACUGAUAAUGAAGUAGCAAUGAAAGCUGCUGGAAAAAAAUUAAUGUUGAAAAGAAAACAUCUAUAUUGGACCUCAUGUGCAGCUCACUGUUUAGAUUUAUGCCUUGAAGAUAUUGGGAAAAAGCCCAGUGUAGCAAAAGUGUUAGAAGAGGCAAAGAAAGUGACUUGUUUUAUAUACAAUCACAUUUGGACUGUUAAUUUGAUAAAGAAGUAUACACAAGGGAAAUAAAUACUUCGACCCGCACUUACUCGAUUUGCAACUCAUUUCGUUUAACUUGAAGAGAUAACAAGACAAAAGUAAGGUCUGAGAGAAAUGUUUAAUUCAAAGGUUAGUAUUUUAUAAUUAGUUAAUAUAAUUACUUAAAUAUAGCAACCUUUAAUGAUUUUAUUAGUUCCAAAUAAUUUAAAUUAUAUUAUUUUAAAAUGUUUCUUAUGAAUAUAUAGGAAUUUAAAAAAUCAAAAUGGGGACAGCAAAAGUCAGGGCCUGCUUAUGAAGCCAAAAAAAUUGUUUUGAAAAAAGAAUUUUGAAAAAAAGCUAACGACCUCAUAAAAGUUUACGAGCCCUAGUAAAAUUAUUGAGACUUGUGGAUAGUGAUGAAAAACCAACAAUGGGCUUUAUUUAUGAGGCUGUUGAUAGAGCUAAACGAGCAAUUCGACAAGAUUGUCAAUAUUUCACUGAGUAUGAAAAGAUUAUUGACAAUAGAUGAAAUUUUAUGCAUUCCGACUUGCAUUCAGCUGGUAAGAUAAAAUGUUUCAUAUAAUUAAGAACUAUUUUUAUAUUUUAUUAUUUUAAGCUUUAGAUUAUUAUUUGAUGAUAUUCUAAUAAAUUAUACUUAGGUUGUUUUCUCAAUCCUCAAUUUCAAUUUGGGGUGAAACAUUCUGAGAAUGUACUAAUAGAAACAUUAGAAGGUACACGAUUAGUAAUUGAAAGAUUAGAACUUUCUCUUGAUUCUCAAGUCAGAAUGGUUAAUCAGGUUAGAUUCAAGUAAUAUUAUUUGUAACUUAGUUACAUGAUUUGAAAUAUAUUUUUUUUUAUUUUUACUCUAUCUUUUAUUUACGCAGUUGUUACUAUUUAAAGAUAAACAGGAGACAUUCUGUGCUCCACAAGCACAAAGAGCUUGGAAGCAAAUGAAUCCGGGUAAACAGUUAAUUAAAUUAUUUAAUUUAAUUUAUAUUAUUUAAUUAUAUUGUACAUUUUGCAGUUAUUUUGAAAUUUAAAUAAUAUUAUGCAGCUGAAUGGUGGAUAAUAUACGACACAUGUGUUCCCGAAUUACAAAAAUUAGCAAUUAAAGUGCUUAGUCAAACAACUUAAGCAUCGAAUUGCGAACGAAAUUGGAGCACAUUUAAUUAUAUUCACACAAAGGCAAGAAACAGGUUAAAGUAUAAAAAACUUGAGAAACUAGUGUUUACCUAUUAUAAUAUAAGGCAUCAAAAAAGAAUGAGCAAUGAUGAUAUAAACGCUAGUUUUAAUCCUAUCAGCCUUGAUCAUAUCUUUGAAGAGGUUGAUCCACUAUCAGAAAGGCUUCAUGGGAAAGAGAAUCCAUUAUUAGAUGGUGAAAAUGUCGGUGUGUUGCCUGUGGAUACCUCUGAUGAUGAAAUGGAUGUUGAUCAAUCUCAACAACAAAAUUUGUCUCAUUCAAGUUCUAGUUCAACGCCAAGUCAGAGUGGCGAUGGACCCGAUGGUGGUGGUUUAAGUCCAAUUGAUGAGGAUGACAGAUUUAGUGGUGAUAGAGGUGAAAUUAGGUCUUCUAGUCGGUAUGGAGAAGAAUAUGGGGUUGGUACCACUAGUGGACAUUUCCGUGAUAAAUUAGAGUUUGAUGGAAAUAUGUUUCUUGAACUUAGAAAAGAUAGAAGUGAACUUAGAACUCCAUCAAAAGGAAAAUGCAAGAAGCAUACUUUUGUAGGCUCUUCAUCCGGUAGGAGAUCAAGUUCUAGUAACCUUGGGUAUAGUGAUUUAUCUACUAGCACUCAAGGUUUUUAUCCACCAGAACAACCUUCAUAUUUUCAACCUUCACAUGAUUAUCCACAACCAUAUGAAUUUCCUUGUGCUAUACCAGCCUCAAAUACAUCCUCCACCACCAAUGUAUCACCCACCUCCACCUCUCAUGUAUCCUCCUCCUCAAAUAUAUCCUCCAUAUCAAUUAUAUGAAAACCAAAGUGAAAAUGUUACUUUUUUGAAUUUUUUUUAGACAAAGGCCAAGAGAAUCAAGUCAAGAACGCUCUCAAAGUAAAGGUGAAUGAUCCGAUCUUCCUCGUCAUUCCACUAAUUGGUAAAAACUAGUCAUUCCACUAAUUGGUAAAAACUAAAUCGCACCACUACUAUUAUUUGUAAUGUAUGUUUUUUUAAAGAAAACUUUUGUUAAUGUUCUUAAUUUUGAUGAUAUUAAAACAUUUAAAAUAUUUUUUUAGAUAAAUGAAUAGAGUAUAUUUUAUAAAAAAAUAAUUAAAAAUCAAAGCAUGUUAAAUAAUAUAUGAAAGUAGAAUGAGAGUAAGAAUAAAUGGUAAGAAAUAAAAAUAAUUAAUGAGAAUCUAUACAUUUAUCUAUUCCUUUUUUCCUUUUGUACCAUAGAAUGUUUAUAUCUUCACCAUAUUUAAAGCUAUCAAAAAAUAUUAAAGACAUCUUUCGAGUAUAAAUUUUCAAUUAUUUUAUCCAUAAAAACUUUCAAACUUAUUAAAUAUGAUAAAUGUUUAAUAUUUUCUCUCUCUUUUUUACUUUGUUAUUAAUUAAUAUAACAUUCUUAUAAAAUUCAUAAAUAAAUAUACAAAUAAUUAAUUAUUAUAAAAAUUGUGUUCUCAUAUAUAUCAUAUUAAUAAAAAUUCAUAAGUGAUAGAAAAUACUCAAAAAAUCAUUAAAAGUGAUUUUUUUAAAUUGUGCAAAUUUUAAAAAAAUUCACAACCGCGAUACCCGCAUAGCAUCCGUUAUGUCAGCAACUGCGAUAAACGCAACACGACCGAAAACGCGGCCGUUACCGCAAUUUAAAUGCUUGAUUUCGAAUUUUGCAAAUCUAAAAUACAAGCGAGUGAUUAAUAGUGCUUUAUGUCCUUGAUGCGGGGAAUGGAAAAGAAGACUGUGUGCAUGUUUUCCAGCAAUGCCCUGUAACAGUAGAGAUUUGGUAGAAGUUAAAGGUCUCAUGGGUUAUUACUAGAACGGCUCAAAAUAUCUGGGAAUGGAUUACCUGGAUCUUUCAGAAUAGUACUCAUCAACAGUGUCGCCUGCUCUGUUGCGAUUUGUGGAUCAUAUAGAGCUCAAGAAAUAAACUCGUGCAUGAAAGGAAGAUAGAGUUAGGGGGAGAGAUUUCACAGAAUAUCCAAAGAUAUACGGUUGAAAUUGAGGGAUUAGAAGAAAAGAAGUUUACCUCUUCCAUUGGUAGCAGGAGCAACCAUCUAGAUGCAAACACCAGGGCAACGAUUCAGUUUGACACAGCAUUCAACAACAGAAGUCACAAAUCAGCAUCGGGCUUAGUGGUUUAGAGUCGGAUGGGAGAACUCUUUGCAUUAAAGACAGUGGUAAACGCAAACGUUCCAUCUCCGUUUGCAGCAGAGGCUUACGCAGGCUUGCAAGCUGUUCAGUUAGGGAUCUUGAUGGCCCUUCCUUCAAUAACGGUUUUGGGAGACUCUCGAACAGUUAUCAAAAAAUGCCAAUCAAAAAACUCAGACAAAUCAACCAUCGGUGCAAUAAUUAGAGAUAUUCAAAGUAGUAUGACUCGUUUUCGAGAAAUAAAAUUCUAGUUCAUCAAAAGAACAGAGAAUGCCUAUGCUCACAACCUAGCGAAGGAGUCUUUAAGAAAGAAUGAGGAAACGUACCAGAGAAGGGCGGAUCUAACUUAGCACCAUUCGCAAUCGGAGGGAAGAUGGAAAAGCAACCCAGAUUGAGGUUUGCUUAUGGUAAAUGAAAUGUAACAGAUAGCUUAAUAUGGAAUAUGGAGCGGCUAUCGACAACACAGAGGAGAUGGAGAUGUGAAAGAACAAUACGGAAAAGGAGUCCAGCUGUGUCUUUGGAACCGGCUAGUUUCAUUACAAUAAGUUUCCUUUUAUUGUUUUCAAUCAGUAGGUAGGCUUUUAUUAGGGUUAUUUUAUUUGUUUUAUUUUGAAACUAAUGGCUAAAGUCGAAAGCUAGUCUAAUGCUUCAUAGGCCUGAACCAAAAGAAUUAGGCCAUUUAUUGGAUAGUUAGUCUAGUGUGUCAUAGGCCUGAACCAAAAUAACUAGAACUUUUAUUUGAUUUUGUUCUUUUCAUUAUUAAUAAAUCCACCCGAUUUUAUUUCAAAAAAAAGAGUACCAAAUUGAUAUUUUAAUUAGAGUUUAGGGAUCAAAUUAACUACUAAACCCACUUAUGAACAUGCCAUGUGAUGAGCUUGUUGUUGUGUUAAUGGAUAAGAGACCAAAAGCUUAUAAGUUAAUAACAUUAAAUACUGUUUUGUAAUUUUCAUAAAUGUGCACUAAAGCUACAAAGACAAACACGUAACCAUUAUGAGUUGUUUGAUGCGCAUGCUUGUUAUAAACUUUGUUUUGCAUACUAACGUGAGUGAUAAUAGACUUCUUGCUCAUUGCAGACCGCUCUACACUAAUUUAUUCCGAAGCACACUCAUAACUGAUUUUAAUAUUUAAUUUAUAAUUAUUUUUAUUUUUACGAUGUAAAAAUAAUUUUUUAUAUUUACAAUAAUAAAAUAUCCUAAAAAAACUAAAAAUUACUUUUUCAGAAAAAUACAAUAUAAAAGUUAUUAUCUUGCGUACUUGAAAAUUUAUUUUUUUUAGAAAUAUUUAUGAAUUUUUAUCAAAUAAUAUCCAAAAAUCAAAAAAUAAAAUUUAUUUUUGAUAAACUAAGUCCAUAAAUUCAAAAGUCAAAAUUAAUAUGAAAAAACCAAAAUCAAAUCGAAUUCACUCCUAAUAUAGAGAAGACCGAUGCCUAUGAUGUUCUUUUUGUAUUUCACUAUGAUUACCAAAAUCAAAUCGAAUUCACUCCUAAUAUAGAGAAGGCCGAUGCCUGUGAUGUUCUUUUUGUAUUUCACUAUGGUUAAGUUAAUUUAAUGCACAUUUCAGAUAAAAAAGAACAAUUAUGGCUUGUUUCCCAAAGGGAAAAUCUAAAUCAUCCCCUAAUUCCUAAACCCAUUUUCAGCCAUCCUAUCAAUCCAUUCCAACUAUCAAAAGACACUGAUACCUGUAGGCAUGGUCCGAGCUGAACUUGGACAAUGUUAUACUCACAACAGUGAAUUCAAACCAGGCCAAAAACAGGCUUAAACAAAAAAAAAAAAUUCCGGCUGCACAUGAACAGGUCCUAUAUAAAUAGUGACUUGUGAAGUGAAUACUCAGGAAUGUGUCAUUGAGUGAGCUAAGAAUCAAUCAUAAUAGUAGGAUUAAAAUUGUUUGCAACUUGUAAUUUUUUUUUUUUUCAAGAAACACACUUCCUUGCGAAUGUCAAAUAUCCAGUAUGCCCUCGUGUUUCAGCAGAUGGCCGGGCCAUAACUGCAGGAGAACUUGCAUUGUCCCCCACACUUGCUUCACUCGAAGGCUGCCUCCUCUUGCGUGGAGGGCAUGCAGUGGAAUUACCAUCAUCGACUUUCGAGUGAUCCAUUUUCCAUUCACGGACUUCGUACGUGCGGAGCAGUAUUUCCAAGGUCCGUAUAUCUGUGCAUAUUACAAGCAAAGUUCAUGAUGCUUUAAAAGAAAAACUGCUUGAACAAGAUAGGAUAACUCAUUUCUAAUAUGUUACCUGUAAAGUCAGAUCUAAGAGUUUCACAUGAACGUUGCACUUGUUCGAUGCAUGGUGAGAAGGAACACAGAGUUCCAUCUUGUUUCAACAUGUUUCGAGCUGAAGGAAUGGCUAACCAAGGUUGCGGUAGGUCCAAAAAUACAGAAUCAGCCAAUCCAGAAAACUGAUCCGGAAAUCCAUCACCCUGAAUAUCUCGGACUCCCACAGUGACUAAAGUGCUUAUUCCAGUCCUCUCGAAGUCCUCUCUGUUGAAGUAGCAAAAAAUCAUAAAACAUUCCUUCUUUCGCAAACCGACACAUAGAAGAAUCAAAGAAAAAAACAAAAACCAUCCUUGGAUCUUUCUAUUAUCAACUAGAAAACCAAAAACCAUAUAAUAGGAUAAAAUAUGCAUCAUAAAUGAGUCCUACGCAAGGUUCCAUAAAACCGAGAUAAUGUUGAGACUAUGAAGCAUGAAAGCAACAGAAUGUCGAUCGAAGAAUACAUCUACCCAAACAGACUUCUGAAAUCUACCUAGAAUUCAAGCUCAACCUAAGCAGUUACUAAAAUCAUAUUUCAUAACUUGAAUCUUUGAAACCAAAAUUUCAUAACAAUGCCCUCACUAAUGAAACUAAUAAAGAUCCGUAAACCGAGACAAUUAGAGACAAUGAAGUACCACGGCAACAAAAUGUAGAUCUAUGAAGACAUCAACUCAAGAUGACCCAGAAUUUAUGUUCAACCUAAGCAGUUACUAUAUCAUAUUUCAUCACAAUGCACUUUCGGAAACGAUAAACAUUAAGGCUUACCUAGCUGAGGCAGCCCUCUGUUCAUGGAAAUCAAAGGUAUACACAUGUCCCAUUGGAGACACAGCCCUUGCAAACGAUGUUGUUAAUGAGCCACUACCGGUCCCGGAUUCAAGAACCAAACAACCCGGAACUACUUCCAAGUACAUGAUCACAAAGCUAAUAUCCGCAAUAUAAAGAAUCUGAGUCCUAUGACUUAGAACCAAAGUCCAUAACUCCGGUGUUGGAGCCAAUAGGUAAACGAAUCCACCUUUGUUGCUGAAAACUUUGGAACCAAACGGCUUGCCAAUCCAAUCCGAAUGUUUAAAUACACCGAAACGAUUUUGAAGAACCGAAUUCUCGCACACUUUAACAGCUUUCAUGGUAUCAUGCCUCUCAUAUACAAUAACCAAAUCUCCAUCUCUAAUGCAACGAUUGAAAGAUAUCUUCGUCGAGGAAUCCAUAAGCAACAUCCUUAAAAGAUGGAAAACAUAUUCAAUUAAAUACACAGAUGAUGUUGUACUAAUAUGUAAUUUCUGUACCAAACUUUACUCCCCAAAACGAAAAUAAUUACCACAUACCCAAAGUUCCAUUAAGAAUAAACUAUCACCCAGAAUACCAGGAAGAUCCGAAUUCAUCAAAAAAUAUAUGGAUAUAAAUAGGAAAAGAAUGUAAGAUGAAUGGUUUAACCAAUACUUAAGGUAGAAAAUUGAGUAAAAAAAAAGACUUAUCCAGAAGUACUUCUGAAUUAGAUAGCAAUAUUUUCCAGAUAUGAAGAAGAAAAGAGCAUGGAAGCAGCCAAAAACCCUGGGUUUUAUUCAACUUCCAUUGUUAACCAAAUAGGGUUUUGAAUAUUUGAUUAUAGUGUUAUUAAAGUACACCGUGAUCUGCGGGUCACUGAGUUAUAUGUGGAUUUCCGUUUUAAUCUUUAAACUGUAAAAAAUUAUAAUUUAGUCAUUUAACUAACUCAUAGUUAAAUAAUUAAAGAUGACAUGGCUUUUCUAAUUGGUAUAUAUAUCAUAUCAAUUUGUUCUUAAUUUUUAAAUAUUUAACUAUUAAUAUUUAUACAUUAUGAUAAUUUAAUCUUAAUUUUAAAAUUUUAAAAAUUAUAAAAAAAAAUACAAUUUUAAAAGAAUUCAAAAAAUUAUAAUAAAUUAAAAUACAGAGAUGACAACUUGAUCCGACUAAAUAUGAGUAAAUACAAAGGGAAGAAGGAGGUCUUAUCUCUUGGAAGCAGAGGUGAACCAAAAGACUAAAGAUUUCUCAGCCUCUUUUGGCCCUUCACUUGGAUAUAUUUAUGGAUAACAACCACCCUUUUCUCUUUCUUUCUCUUUCACCCCACUUAGGCCUUCAUCAUUUUUUUUGUUCUUUUUAUGCCUUUUCCCUAUAAAACCCCAUUCUAAAUAUCUACCAAAAAUAUCUCUCAACCCUACACUUCUUUUUCUUUUCGCUCUCCUUUUUUGGUUUUCUCAAAAAUGUGCCAUAAGCAUCAAUUCCCUUGUUUGCAUUGCCACCCACAUGACUACAUUAGAAUGGUAUAAACUUCAUAUUAAUUACGUUACUAUCUCCCAAUCAAAGUCUUGGGGAUACUUUCAGAAUCUUGUGCUUUGCGUACAUAUUUUAAACAUUUAAAUUAUGGUUUCCUUUUUCCUAAUGUUUUCUAAGAAAAGAUUCGAUUUCUUUUGUAGGUUCAACAUAUGAUAGAGAGCUGUCUGGUUUUUCAGAUGAGCAAAGAUGAGUGCGUCGAAGCACUUGCUAAGCAUGCCAACAUUGAACCAGUCAUCACCCUAACAGGUAAAACAACUUCCUAGCUUAAUCUCCCAUUCGUAUAUUUCAUCAUAUCAUAACCAUGUUUAAAGCAUUUUGUAUUUAUAUUUUUACCUUUGUAAGUUCAUUUUUUGCAGUUUGGGAGGAGUUGCUUAAAGAGAACAAAGCCUUCUUUCAGCCUUUUUAUUAAAAUAACCCAUAAAUUUUAAAAAAGUUUCAAAAUGACCUACUUUUUUAAUAAAACACCAAAAUAACCUAAAAUUUACAGUAAAAGUUGGUGGAGCCAAAUUAAACAGCGCCACCAACUUGCCACAUCAGCAGGGACCAUAAAAAAUUAAUUUUUUGAUGGAGCAAUGUAAAAUGACGCCACUUGUAUAAAUACCAAGAAAAUAUUGAAAUUUUUUAAAACAUAAGAGGACUUAAAAAAAAAUUAUCCAUUUUUCUGGUGGAGCGUAAAUGGCGCCACCAGUCUGCCCAUCUCUCAGUACUUUUUUUUUUACUUUUUAACUCUUUUACUUUUUUUUUGUCUUUAUUUAUUUUAUUUAUUUUAUUUAUUUAUUAUUAUUAAUUUUAAAAUUUUUGAAAUAUAUAUUUUGAAAUUAUUUUUAAAAAAUUUAAAUAUUAUUUUUUUAAUAUUUAAAUAUUUUAAACUUUCAAAUUUGUUAUUAGUUUUAUAAUAAUUUAAAUAUUAUUUAAUUUGUUUUAUAAUAUUUUAAAUUAUGAUUUUUAAAUUAUUUUUAAAGAUAUUAUGCUUUUUAAUAAAAAUAAUUUGUAAAUUUUAGGUCAUUUUCGUGUUUAAUUAAAAAAUUAAUUAUUUUGAUAAUAAAUUAAAUUUUUUGUGUUAUUUUUAUAAAAAAGUCAAGAUAUUCAAACCAUUUUUUAAAUUCUAUUUAAAAGUUAAAAAAUAGUAUUUUAAUUAAAAAAGUGAAAUUUGAUUAAUUAGAAAAUAAAAAAUAUUUGUUAAAAAAAGAUUUAUUUGUUAAAAAAUAAAUUUAUUUAAAAAUAUAUAUAUUAAAAAGUAAAAAUUAAAAUUAAAAAUUAUAUAUUAUAUAUUAUAAAAUCACAUCAUGUCAGUGAUGUGAUAACACAAAAUAAUAUGUUAUUUGAAAAAUAACUAUUAUUGUAAUGAGAUACAUGUUCUAUUAGGUAUAAGUAUUUAAAUUUAAAUAUUAUUUAAUUUGUUUUAUAAUAUUUUAAAUUAUGAUUUUUAAAUUAUUUUUAAAGAUAUUCUGCUUUUUAAUAAAAAUAAUUUGUAAAUUUUAGGUCAUUUUCGUGUUUAAUUAAAAAAUUAAUUAUUUUGAUAAUAAAUUAAAUUUUUUGUGUUAUUUUUAUAAAAAAGUCAAGAUAUUCAAACCAUUUUUUAAAUUCUAUUUAAAAGUUAAAAAAUAGUAUUUUAAUUAAAAAAGUGAAAUUUGAUUAAUUAGAAAAUAAAAAAUAUUUGUUAAAAAAAGAUUUAUUUGUUAAAAAAUAAAUUUAUUUAAAAAUAUAUAUAUUAAAAAGUAAAAAUUAAAAUUAAAAAUUAUAUAUUAUAUAUUAUAUAUUAUAAAAUCACAUCAUGUCAGUGAUGUGAUAACACAAAAUAAUAUGUUAUUUGAAAAAUAACUAUUAUUGUAAUGAGAUACAUGUUCUAUUAGGUAUAAGUAUUUAAAUUUUUGUUUUUGUAAUGUGAUACAUGCGUGUAUAUAUAUAUAUAUAUAUAAUCAUAUUAGUGAAUCUGCUAAUACAUACUUCAUCCGGAUAAAGUAUGCAUUAUUAAAAUUAAAUUAAAAUAUUAAAUAAGAAAUAAAAUUAUAAAACAAUAUGUUAUUUAGAAAAUAACUAUUAUUGUAAUGAGAUACAUGUUCUAUUAGGUAUAAGUAUUUAAAUUUUUUUUUUGUAAUGUGAUACAUGAAUAAAUCUAUAUAUAUAUGUAAUCAUAUUAGUGAAUCUAUUAAUACAUACUUCAUCCAGAUAAAGUAUGCAUUAUUAAAAUUAAACUAAAAUAUUAAAUAAAAAAUAAAAUUAUAAAACAAUAUGUUAUUUGGAAAUAACUAUUAUUGUAAUGAGAUACAUGUUUUAUUAGGUAUAAGUAUUUAAAUUUUAGUUUUUGUAAUAUGAUACAUGAGUAAAUAUCUAUAUAUAUAUAUAAUCAUAUUAGUGAAUGUGCUAAUACAUACUUCAUUCAGAUAAAGUAUGCAUUAUUAAAAUUAAUGGUUUGUUUAAACACAAUAUAGUGAGUUGAAGGGAAAUAAAAAGAAAAUAAUACAUAAGGAGAGCUUAAAAUGAAAUUAUCCAAAUUAAAGUUUAGUACCGCCACACUGCCAGGCGGUAGCUUACCAUUCCAUUUCAGCAGCCAUUCAAAAAUAGAAAAAUUGCAUAACAAGUCCCUAAAUCUUUUAAAUCAUUAUUUUUUUAUUUUUUUACUAUUUUGGGUCAGAAAUCCAAGGUGAUGGCGCCUAUGCACCACCCUCCACCAAGACAAAUGUACCAUUUUGGUAUCUAAUUUUUGAAACAACUUAUUUUGAUAUUUUAUUUUAUUUUUUAUGUUUUUUUUGGUAAAAAACCCAAUAAAUAAAGACAAAAAAAAAGGUAAAAGACUUAAAAAGUAAAACAAAAAAAUACUGACAUAUGAGCUGGUAACGCCAUUUACUUUGGCUUCACCAGAAAAAUGAGUAAUUUUUUUUAAGUCCCCCUAUAUUUUAAAAAAAAUUAAUAUUUUCUUGAUAUUUAUACAGGUGGCGUCAUUUUACAUGUCUCCACUAAAAAAUUAAUUUUUUAUGGUUUCUACUAAUGUGACAAGUUGGUGGUGCCAUUUAAUUUAACUACACCAACUUUUACUGUAAAUUUCAGGUCAUUUUGGUGUUUUAUUAAAAAGGUGGGUCAUUUUAGAACUUUUUUAAAAUUUAUGGGUUAUUUUAAUAAAAAGGCCCCUUAUUUCAAGAGAAUUUCCAAGCUUUAUCUCCAAGGCAGAGCUCUGUUGAUUGAAACUCUGCAUGCGGAUGAUUAAUGCAGUUCAGCAGAGAGUUUCCACUCAAAAUAUGACUGCUUUUAGAAGAAGAAAGCAUUGGCAAAGAUUCAAAUAGCAAAAACAUCAUCAUCGAAAGCUGCAUGAAUGAACUUCUACAUGUAAGACCUUGUUAGAAAUUUAAUAACCGAGCAGGAAAUUGAGAGACCUGAGAUACAGCCUACAGACUACAAAUUAUAACCGAGUAUAAUAUUCAGGUUUGUUUCAGCUUUUAGGACCUGAUAAAAAUUGUAAGCACGGUACCAGCUAUUUCAAGCAUAUAUCUGUAUGUCAAUCGGAUUCAGGGACGAGCAUCUUUAGAAUAAGUUCGUUCAAAUUUAUCUAUUUCAUUUCAUACAGUUAUAAGUUAAAAUCAUAUACCCAUAUCAGAAUAUAUGUCAAACAAACAUUAAAAGCCAUAAUUUAAAGCUUAGUUCUUAAAAUUUGGAAUAAAGUUGUGAUAUUUGUUGUCGUAUAAACCAGUUCCUGUUCCUGUUUUAUGUUUAUGGUAAAACCACUUAACUGUUCAAGCCAAUCUUUAGGGCAUUUAAGGCAGAAGUCAUGAAGAAAAAAGUCACAGGCAAAACAGCUGAAAUCACAUAGGACAAACAUGACAAAUCUCUAAUUAGAUCCAGCUAAAACAUUUCUGUAAAAAGAAACUUGAACAUGAAAAUAUUACUAGGAAGUUCAACAGCAAUUCAGUUCGAUAUCUAUAUGCUAUACUAUGGAUUCAACUUAAAGGACAGAAUCAACAUGAAAUCAAACUUGGUAUUCGUUUAUUAAUUUUAGGGGAGACAAGCAGCUUAACUCUAUUCUAAACAGAUGAUUUUGUAAAAGCUCCAGCUUCAGUCAGCAGAGGAACCAGCUUACCUUGGUUAUGCAAGCCUGUUGUAGCUGCAAAAAUGUACAGAAACACGGUAAUUAGUAAACAAACAGAGAUGGUACGAGGGAUUUCAUUUGUCUAUGAAUAAAAUAUAAUAGCAUAGAGUUUAAAGGGCAUACAAUCACAGCCACCAAUGUGAUUCCCACCAAUGAAAACGUUUGGCACAGUUCGCUGACCGGUCCACUCAGCCAGAGCUGCUUGAAUAUCAGCUCCAUCACCUGGAAAAAUACAAAAAACGAAAGCCAUAUUUACUUUGACAACCAAUGUGUAUAUAUUCUCACUAUUUAUUUUGAAAGCAAGAAAGAGUUGCAAAUCCAACCCUCAACUCAUAUUGACAAAAUAAAAUUUCCAUGUAAGCAUCCACAACAAUCCUGUGAGGAGCAUACUGCUUCACUAUAUUAAACUACGAUACCAAAUCCCCAAUUGAAGAUAAUGUACUCACACUUUUAUAAGGCCAGGAAAAGACAUUCAAUCACUUUAAAGGCAUUAUUUAAUAGCCAUUAUUAUAGCUAAUGGAUGGAGUUGCAUUCCAUUACCUCAUACCCAAAACCAUACACUUGUGUUGUCCAAACCUACGUCUCAAACCAAUGGAACCACAAACAAUGAAACCAACCAUGCCUUACAGUCUUAUAGGAUCUUUCAAAGCAAGAUUCAAAUCAAUCGAAGUUGGCUUCAAAUUCAUUUGUUCAACAUGAUCGAGACAUGGAUAUUGAUAACAAGACUACAGAUUUUCCUAUACAACCAUGUAAAUAGACCUUCAAACUCAAGAUUACUGCCCACAUAAAGCUUCCAACUGCUCCUUUUUCUUGUAAAGUUCAAGCAACCAACUAAAAAUGGCAGCCAAGUUGAAUCAACAUGAUCCACAUCAGUUAAUCAAUGUUUAAUAGAACGCAAAGUUUGGCUAACCAAAACAAUCCUAAUUGUUCUUAAAAGACUUGGGUUAAAAAGCUGAAUAACUUUGGAUUAAUCAAAUACUACAAACAAAUAAAUAAAACAUGAAAAAUUAACAUGAGCACAGCAUGAAUAUACAUAAUUUCUCUAACUGAAUUGACGUUGAGUUAACUCAUAAGACCAACUCAUUUAGGGCUCAAUAUUAGUUUAGAUGACAAACUUUAUGCAAGAUUUUUCUUUUUCUUUUUCCUUUUUUUUUUUGCUAAUUUAGCUAUAAUUCAUUAGAUUAUAAAAGAACCGUUUCCUAAAAAGUGGGGAAAACACUUUCACACUUGAUAUAACCCAUCACGAACAAAAGUUUCGUUUGAUUUUACUGAAAGAUAUCACAAUAUCAAGACACUAAACAGAAUCGAAUCAAAUUAAUAGUCACAAAAUUCAAGCAAUUAAAAGUAUUUUCAUUUCAAAACCUUAAAAUCACAAAAUUGUUACGAAACGGCAUCGUACCUCAAAAAGGGCAAACUAGAAUAAAAAAGAAAAAGAAAGAAAACUAACUUUCUUUGUCGAGCUCAAUGGCCUUGAAAGAAGCUCCAAGUUUUUGAAGCAAUUGCUUUACAUCCACACAGAACGGACAGUAGGACUUGCUGCAUCAACGAAUACGUAUAAAAUACCGCAAAAAAUGAGCAAAAAUUGUAUACGAAUACGUAUAAAAACUACGGAUACCUGAAAACGACGACGGUAUUGGUAGAUAUGAUGUCCUUAGCCUUUUGCAAAGCCAUUUUUUUCUCUUUCUUAGCCCUGAAAAAUUUACUCUUUUUUUUCUUUUUUGGAUCUAAAGAGAGAGAGCGUUGAGGUUUUUAUAGUGGAGGGAAAAUGAGAUAGAAAAGAGGUGUGGAUAUCGUGAGAGUGGUGGAGUGAAGAAGAAGGAAGGUUCCUAAAAUGAUCUGGGCCGUUGAUUUUAUGCCAAUUAAAAUAUUGGUGGACACUUUUGGAUUUUGAUCCACGAAUCUUUUCAGAUUUUCUUUUAAAAUAAAAAUAUAAUUAAUUAAUAAGUUGAUUUUGAUUGGAGAAACGUGAACUAAACGUGACAUCCUUAUUAAAUUCACUUUUUUUUAUUCCUUACGAAUGACUCCGUCAAGGCCUUAUAUUAUUAUUUUGGGUAAAUUACACUAACAAUCACUCAACUUUGAGGUAGUUGAUAAAACAGUCACUUUGGUUUCAUUUCAGUCAUUCAACUUUUAAAAAGUGACAAAACAGUCAUCUUUAUCGUUUUCUGUUACAGAUGUAACAGUAAUGUGACGUGGCAGAUGACGGCGUCCAGCUGAUCGGUUAGCAUCAAUUUAAACAGCCAUAUCAGCAGUAAUUUAGGGUUUAUAUAGUAGUAUAAUAAGAGAAGAAGAAAAAGAAGAAGGAGAAGAGAAAAAUGGAGAUGCUUGGAGAUAAAACAGAUGAAAGACAUGUUCCCUUCUCUGUAAAUCCUAUUAGACUUUAAUUUCCCCUUUCAUAAAUCUUUGGGUUUUCAUGGUGGAAAUCAAUUUCAAUUUCCCCUUUCAUAAACCAUGACUUACCCCAAAUCUUACUCUAUUUUCAUCCACCAAUUUAACAUCCCUACCAUCGAGCCGACGAUCAUACAGUCGAAGAUGAACCGCCAAGUCCUGUAUCAAUUCUUGAACAGUUCUUUGUAGAAGAGAGCAUUAACUCUCCUAGCACUGUAUCUCUAGCAGGUGAAUGAAUUCCUUUGGUAGAAAUUGCUUAUUAUAUAUAGGGCAUAUGUUUUCUUUUUUAUGGUGAGUUAACAUUUGAAUCUUGUGCAGCUAAACCACCGGUCGGACCAUUUUGUAUAGAUAUCGAAGAACACAAUGUAACUUCGCUAUUGGAAUCCCAGUUGGAUCUGAAGAGUACUGCAGGUACUUCCAAGGAUAAGUAAGGAUCUUUGUCUGAAAGCAUAAGAGUAGUUCUCCAAGUUUUUGGUCUUAAUUGGGGUGAGCUUUCUAGGAGAUGGCUUCAGUUAGACCAAAUGCCUGAUGCAUCCUUGUUCAAUAAUGUUAAAGUAUGGCUUGAGAAGUCCUAUACCGAUCGUAGGCUGCUUUUUGGCUAUAUCAGUGAAAUCAUUUUGGAUAUAUAUAUCAAUGUUAUUUUGGAUGCUCCCUAUGGAUUUCACUUCUCUAUCAACGACUUCAACCGGCUAUGUUAUCAAAAAAUCAGGUUCAUGAAGUGUUGAGACAUGUCGAUUGGCAACUCCUUUUGGAGCUGCCCUAACAGACAUUACAUCAACUUGCUAAAAAGGAUUUGCUCAAGUCUGGAAUAUGGAUGGAUAACCAACUCGAUAUGGAGGAAGUUUUUACAGAGUUAAUUGAUAGCAUUUUAGAGGAUUUGGUAAUUGAUGCUGCUAUUCAAUUGCAAACAUAGAAAAAGAGCAAAGACAUGGAGUUUCAAUGGCAAAGAAUGAAACCCCUCCAAAUUAGGCAAAUAAGACUUUUCUUUUUACAGUCUAUUCUUCUUCUGCUGCUACUGCCUCUUCUUCUUCUUCUUCUUCUUCUUCUUUUUCUUCUUCUUCUUCUUUUUCUUAUUUAUUAAAGGGUUUUUUUUAGUGUUUUUUUUCAAUUUCUUCAUCCAAUGUGGCAAGUUAACUGGCCUGUAACACCCCUUACUCGUAUCCGACGCUAGAAUAGGGUUCGUGGUGCUACCUGACUUAAACUCUAUCAACUGUAUAAAACUGGGCCGUAAAAUUUAAAACAAUUUAAAAACUUCUCCUUUCAUAAGCAACUAUAUCGUAUAUGGGCUUACGAGGCCCAAUCAUAGAUCCAAUGUUGUUUACAACCCAAUCGAGACCUCAUGGAAACUUAAAAAAAAUUCAUGCAACAAAGCUCCACACACUCGUGUGGGUAUAGAGCACACGACCGUGUGCUAGGGACACGCCCGUGUCCUAAACCCAUGUCUGAAAACCUGGGCAUUCUGCCAAAACCACACGGCCCAAGCACACACCCGUGCCCUAUAACUGUGUCCUUCACACGGCCGAGACACAUGGCCGUGUCUCUUGCCCGUGUUCUACUAGCAUGCAUAUUGACUUUAUGACACGGCAAGGACACACGCCCGUGUGGCCUACCCGUGUGCUAAAAUGACUUUAAAAAUUUAAGUGUAGGGGACGCACGACCAUAACACAAGCCUAUGGGUGUGAACCGUGUGUCACACACGGCCUAGACACACGCCUGUGUAUCUUACCCGUGUGGACAAUCUAGGCUAUUUCCCAAGCCCUUUUGUCACCCAUUUUGCACAACCUACACAAGAUCUUUUCAAUAUAUAAAUCUCAUCACAAUAGGCACUAAUUCAUCCAUAGAAAGAACAUUAUAUACAUUCAUCAAAAUGAAUAAUAGCCAUUGUUCCAGGCUUGAAUACAAAAUGAAGGGCCUUUGACUUAAGCCAAAAUACAUGAACCAUUCUCUUAAUACAACAUCCUAGUCUAGCCCUAUACAUGCCACCAUCAAAAAUAUAAAUCCAACUAUAUUGGGUAUUACGGUCGAUAGUGUGAUCGAUAUCUCUGACUUUAAGGGAUCUUUAAGUUAGCUUGAUAACACUGAAAGAAGAGGAAAAUGAAAAAAAAGGUAAGCAUAAAGCUUAGUAAGUUGCAUAUAAAUAAAUAUACAACAAUAAUCUCACCAUUAGUCAUCAUACUUAUAGCUCAAAGGUAAACAUAAUUUAACUUACUCAUUAUCAUCUACUCGAGUCACAUUCUCUAAAAUUAAGCUCAUUUCUCAUGUUUACCGUAUAGGUACCUGUACCACUUACAACAUGAUUAUUCUUUCUUUAUCAAAAUUGAUCUAUAACUCUCAUCAUUGAAACGUUUGGAAUACUAUUGGAUAUUCUAUGAACCUUCAACUUGGGAUAUACUGCCAAUGCCAUGUCCCAGACAUGGUCUUACACUGGCUCUCAUAUACGCGUGCUGACGCAUGUCCCAGACAUGUCUUACACUAGCACAACUCUUAGCCGAUGCGUGUCCCAGACACGUCUUACACUGGCUAUCUCUGUCGAGGCCGAUGCAUGUCCCAAACAUAUCUUAAACUGGCACUUAUCUCUAUGCCGAUGUCAUGUCCCAGGCAUGGUCUUACACUGGCUAUCAUAGUAUGGCUGAUGCAUAUCCCAGACAUGUCUUACACUAGCCCUCGUCUGGAUGCCGAUGCCAUGUCCCAGACAUGGUCUUACACUGGCUCUCAUAAUGUGGCCGAAGCAUGUCCCAGACAUGUCUUACACUGGCGCACAAAUCACCUGAUGCCUUGGCACGAAUAUCCAGUUUGUAUUCUAAUGUCUCAACGGGAUAUUUCUAUUAUCUCAAAUAUCACUAGGCAUUCUUAAUUCAUAACUGAACAACUCAUACAAUAUCAAUUCAAUGGAAAUAUGAAUACAACUAUUAACAGUGUAGUUGUUACAUUUACAUACAACUUACCUCAGUUUACAAAAAGUACUUGACUAUUCGGUUUAGUCGGUUUGCUUGGCCUUCCCCUGAUUUGAGUUAGAAAUUUGGUAAAUCUUGAUCUAUAAUAGCAAUAUACACUAUUUAGUCACCAAUUACAAUUAGGCAAUUAUAAAUUUACAACUUUGGUAAAAUAACCAUUCUACCCCUUAUGCUCGAAAAUUGAUUUUUGUCGAAUUUCUUUAUAUCUUAGGCCUAACUGAACUAUUUUUACUCUUAUAGCAACUUCAAAUUCUCACUAUUUCACAUACUUAUUAACUAUUUUACAACUUAUGAAAAAUAGCUCCUUUAGGUGUUUUCAUGCUAACACAUUUUAUAAAAGUUGUUUAUAACACAACUAGGACUCAUAUUCCUCCAUAAAAACUCAAUAAAAAAUACAAAUCAUUUCAUUGCAACACUCUAAACUCUUGACCAUUUUGCAAGAUAUCACCCUCAUUUGAAAACUCAUGUUUCAAGGGUUUCAAAAAUACAAAAAUCAUCAACAAAGGGUGUGGGGAUCACUUACUUGUGAGGGCUUUUAGUUGCUGAAAAUUUUCAGCCUUCAAAACUCCAUUUUUGCUGAUAUUUUCGAUGGAGAAGAGAAAUGGAGAAGAAAGAAAUGAUAGCUAGGCUUUUAGGCAUUAUUUUAUCACUAAAUCAUGACAUCAUCCACCUAACCCUUUGACCAUUUGCUUAAAAUCAUUCACAUGGCCAGCCAACACUAAUAAAAAGGGUGAAAUUGCCCUUUAAAAGCCCUCAAUUUAAGUUCUUUAGCUAUAUAACUCAUUUGGGUACUAAAAUGAAACUUUUGCCUUUUAUGCGAUUUAGUCUUUUUUCAAAAUUGGGCUAGAAAACAUGAAAAUUAGCUCACCAAAUUUUUCAUGCACUAGUAAAAUCAUACCAUAACCUCAUAAAAAUAAUAAAAAUAAUUUUUCUAACUUCGGAUUUGUGGUCCCGAGACCACUGUUCCGACUAGGCCCUAAAUCGGGUUGUUACAUGGCCACAUCAGUUAGUUAACUUGCCACAUCAGCAGUUCUGUUAAAAUGCUAACAGAAACUAUUAGUCAGUGACUGUUUUGUCACUUUUUUAUAACGUUAGUGACUGUUUUGUUAUUUUUCAAAAGUUGGGUGACUGAAAUGAAACCUAGGUAACUAUUUUGUUAGCUACCCUAAAGUUGAGUGAUUGUUAGUGUAAUUUACCCUAUUAUUUUUUUGGACCAAACCUUUUCAAUCAUAGAAAAGUGUCAAAUUCCCAUGCCAAAACUACAAUCGGUACAAGACAAACAGGACAAGAAGAGUUCCAACAUGCUUGAAACAAGUUCCGAGAGAAACAACAAACUUCACUUGAAUCAACUUGCCAUUCCUUAUAAAAAACUAAGCAAGAGCUAAAACUUUCAUAGAUUUGUUGGUGUUCAGCCGUUAGAUGGGAAACCACCAUGAUGCUUGGAGCCUUUCAUCUCCUUGAUUUUGUUGUAAUUGGUACAUUUAUGCUAAGUUGAAACUAUUAAUGCGAAAAGCUCAAGCAAAUCAGGUAAUCUCAGGAUAUCCCAAAAUCCGUUAUAGGAACUAAACCUUUCAAAUGCAACAUCUUGUACCAAAGAAGUCAAAAACCACCAUGACAAUAGGGGUGGCCACAAGCGCUGCCAACAUCUAUUAGAUCAAUGCCAGUACAUUAUUGUGCCCCAAAAAGGUAGACUCUCAUUCUCAUCUCCACUAGGGGCCAAAGGUUGGCAUCUGGGCUAGUGAAAUAAAAGAGGUCAACAAGGUUAAAAGCGAAAACAAGUUGAAACAAAGAAAAAAAGUGAAGCUGAAGGGGAAAAGAAAGCACAUAAGCCAACAUACUCUCUCACUAUGUAUUGUUGCGUAAGCCGGUGCAACUUAACCCAAGCCUCAUCCUCGAUAUACUCUGGUAAAAUUGUGACUUGAAUUCUCUAUAGAACUCUUUCCAAGUCCAUUUAGCAAUAUUACACCGUCUCUCAUCUGUAGACCUAUGACGCCACCAUAACAAAGCAACAUCAGUAAAAUAUAUGGCAACAAUAUUUACCUUAGUAGCAUCAUCCAUGAUGCCUUUGGCACAGAAGUAUUGCUCCAUCCCUCACAUGAAGUUGCCUACAUCCUUUGUGGACCUCGUCCCAUUGAACUCUUUCGGCUUCAGGGCAUCUAUCCUAUGCCACAACUAACACCCCAUUACCCAAAGCAGCUUUUGCAGAUAUUGAGUUCCCCCUUAAGCUCCUCGAUUUAUUCCUUCAAGGCCGACACCAUUACUUUGAGAGCAUUAUUCUUCUUAGUUACCUCGCCCACAGCGAUAUUCAAGACCCCUUGCAUCGAACCUAUUUUUUGGCCUCUAUGUCACAUCCUGAAUUUGGCAGAUCCAAGAGAAAGGUGAAUAGAUGGGAAAAUUAUUUGUUUUGCGCACUUUGGUAGUUAGUUUACCAAUUUAUAAGCUUUUGGUGAACUAAUGUUUGGCACAUAGAGUACCCGCCCAUAGAAGUUUCUUUGGAUUUAAUUAUUGUAGUAUUCUUCAAUUGAAGAAGGAUAUAACACCCCUAACCCGCAUCCAUUACGAGAUUAGGGUUAUGGAGCAUUACCGUACAAUCAAAAAAAUUUAAACAAAAUUUCAUUCACUAACAUAAACAUAUCAUAUGUCAAUCAUACAUUCACAUUCCAUCCCUAAAUCGAGCCCUCAAUGCCCUAAAAAUACCUUAGAAAUGAUUAAGGACUAAAUUGAAAACAUAUGGAAAGUCUAAGAAAUAUUUACAAAAAUUUGGAAAUAGGGGUACACGACCAUGUGGCCAGACUGUAUACCCUUCAAACUAGGGACAUAUGGCCAUGUCCCAGCCCGUGUCCUCACUCGUGUAACUCUCUGAAUAAGGUCACACGAUCGUGUCACAUACCCGUGUGCUAGGUCGUGUAACUCUAUGAGUUGCCCCACACACCCAUGUGCCAGGCUAUGUGCUAGGUCGUGUAACUCACUGACUUACAUACAAAGGAAUUCCCAAAUGACACACGGUCAUGUCUCCAUGCUGUGUGUCAUACACAGCUGAGUCACACACCCGUGUCUCAGGCCAUGUGGACAUAAAUUUGCCUAAAAAUAAACCAUUGCCUAUACCAUUUUAUGCAUAAUCAUUUGAAAAAAUUGCGCACAUUUACAAGGCGUCAAACCAUACCUAAACAUGCAUAUAUUUUCCAUUCCAAAGGUCCUAAUUCAACUAAUCAAUAUGCCAUUCAAAGGCACCUCAAAAGCAAUCAUCAUAACUUACAUAAACAUGUCAACUUUACCUAAAUUCAAACAUCAAUAUCUAGUUCAACAUUUACCAAAACAUGCCACAAACAUAUCCCUUAACACACCAUUUCAAAUAUACCAUUGGAACCAUUCAAACAUGCAUAGUAGUAUAACCAAGUUGACACAAUUUGACAAAGUAUCACAUGAUGCCAAAACAAGAUCAAAACUUAUUGAUGCAGUCGUUGAAAGCACCAAAAAUAUCUUAUCCUAUAAAAUAAUGAAAAGAAUAGUAUGAGGGAAGUAUGGUCAAAUCCUCAGGGACUAGAUUUGCACAAAUUCCUAUUUCUCGAGAUCCUGGAUAGAAUAGUUCCGAAGAAAACUUGCGUACCUAGAAAAAUAAAAAAAUAGAAUUAAAAACUCGAUUGAAUUGAAAUUGCAGAAAAUAAAAUUAAAAUUGUAGAGAUAAACAGAGUUGAGGGAAAAGAGUUUUUUUUAUUUUAUGGAGAGAUUCUAGCCUCUAGUUGUCUUAAUCCGCCUUUGGUUCAAUCCUAGGCUUUUAGAUGAUCCUUUUCGAACAGAAUAAGCCAGUUAUACUGGAAGAGGAUGCUUACGACCACCAACUCCACUUAGAUUUUAGACUUAUAAUUUAGACGAACCUGACUCUAGCCAACCGUUGCUUUUGUGGGACUGUCUUACAUUAGAUCAUAACUUUUCAAUGGCGAAUGCCACGCCAUUUUGUCUAUUGGGCUCGACAACCACUAACGCAGUAAGCUAACGAACAGACUGUGUAACCUUCCCAAAACAUACAAAGUGGUUGUUCUUUGCACAAGUUGAAAAGAUCACCUUUGAAGGGACAUGGAUAGAAACGUCAGCCCCAUAAUGCAGAGAAACGAUUAAUACUUGUUGAGAAGACUAAGUGCAUAUUCUAAGCCUCAUGAACCCUUUUUGGGGAAUUUCUACGACCUCUGGCUAGAUAAAUUUAGUGGCUCAUGCUUUUUGGGAAAAAAGAAAUAAACGUAAUGAAAAUGAAAUUUUAUUGAAUAAUAUGGAAGAUGGAGUGUUUAUAGAAAAAGAUGAGUCAAAUUUGUGUCUCUCCAUCUCCUAUUUAUAGUACUAGAAAACCUAGUCUAUUCCUAAUUAAAUUCUAAAAGAUAAAUAAAUAUAAAUAAAGAUAAAAGCUAAAAUUAAAUCUAAAUAAUAAUCUUUAACAAUUAUCCUAAUAUAAUUAAAAUUUAAACAGGGCCUUGUGUUUAUAAAAUCUCUUUUUUGUACUUUUGCCCCUCAAGUCUUCCACACUUUGUAUUUUCGGCACCACUUCUUUCUUAUUUCGCAUGUUGGCCCAUUUUAUCUUUAAAUUCAUGUUUUUGCCCCCAAAUUUCCUUUUGCCUUCAAUUUAGUCCCUACAAGAUAAAAAACCAUAAAUAGCUCAAAUUAGUAUGAUCAUACUCAAAAUAAAUAUGUAAUUAAUACAUAAAAAUAUGUCAUUCUAAAGUAUUAUCAUUUAUACAUACCAAAUCAUCCAUUAAACAUUCAACCAAACAUCAUUAUAAGUCCAUCUAUACAUGUCAUUAUAACAUUGGCCAAAACAUUCAAAAACUACCAAUAUUUAUGUUGGAUAGUGUGAUAGAUCUCCGACGAGCUUCCGAUAAUCUAUAAAACAUAGGAAAUAAACUACGUAAGUACUUAAUGCUUAAUAAAACAUAACUUACCAUUUCAUUUACAUAACAACAAGUAUAAGCAUAAUAUAACCCAAACCACAAGCAUGGCACAAGCCUAUAUAUCAUCAUCAAUACACAAGUUAGUGCAUUUAUCCAUAACUCAUUUGAAUUAACCAAUGAUAAGUCAUUUGCAUAUGAAAAUGCAUCAUUUGAUUCAUAUAUCCUUUUCAUAUACAUAUGCAUAAUUCCACUUGGAAACUUACCAUUUUAAUCCCUUUUCUUGCCCGUUGAACCAUCUAGAAUAUCAUUGGAUACUUGGGGAAGCUCACAUAAUUGUAACAUUUCAUUUACAUCAUUGCUCACACGAGCUGUGAAAUGGGUCUGCUCACACGAUUUGUGAGUCAGAAUGUAAGCUAUACGAUGCUGCUCAAACGAGCUGUGGAGUAUCCAUAACAAAUGCAGGACCUCAGCCAUUGUAGGACAUUCAAGACCAACACCCAAAACAUGAAAUCCCUAAUGACAUUUCAUUUGUAUCCUACGAAUUUCUAAGGUUCAACCGGUACUCGAUAAUCGUCAUCGUAUUGAUCUAUUUAAACAUCGAUCAAUUCACACGAUAAAUAUCAUAUUAACAUACGAUUUGAAAUAACAUUAAAAUGACAACUAUUCACACGAACUUACCUCUACAACUAGGGGCGUAAAAGUAAAAACGAAUUAUUCUGAAGCUUUUGGUUUGUCUCAAUCUAGGUCCGUACGUGGUCUAUCUUGAUCAUGCAAGUGCUUAAGCUAACCAAACUUCAAACCUUAAAAAUGGCUUCCUUUUUUACAAAUUUCAGUGGUGACUUUCAUUUAGAAAGAUGAUAUCAUAUUUCUUUUAGUUUAAAUUUAAGUUAAUUUAUUAAUUUACUAUUUUAACCUUAGUUUUUAACUUAAAAUCACUUAAACCGCAUCCAAAUAUGUCCACUAACUAUUCAAAUGGUCUAAUUACCAUUCAAGCCCAUUCGCUUUAAAUUUUCAUAGCAAUUUAACUCCUUUAACUAAAAAAACUCUACUUUUUGCACUUUUUACGAUUAGUCCUUUUCACUUAAUUAAUCAUGCAAACAUUAAAAUUUCUUAACGAAGUUUUAAUACGAUCUUACUAAUAUCCCAUAUAAAUUAAACUAAUAAUAAAAUAAAAAUUUACUCAUCAAAUUUGUGGUUCCAAAACCACUAUUCUGAUUUCACUGAAAAUGGGCUGUUACAUACGCCUCAGAAGUUUUGGUUAAUUAUAACAUGCCAUAUAUGAGUUAUCGCCAAUAGGUAUAGUACGCCAAGUUUACUUGAACAAUGUGCAAAAUGGGUUCUGUAACGUGAUUGGUUGGGAGUCAAUUGUGAAUUUUAUACUUCUAAUCCUUUAAAUUCAUGUUUUUAUACUUAAUAGAGCAUUUGGAAGCAAAAUAAUGAAAACGAGCGACAAUCGAAAAAUCGGAGCAAGCUACAUGAGCCACACGAGCUGACCCAUUACACAAGACUGUGUAAGCCACUCGGGCUACAACAUGACUAUGUGGCAAGUCGUGUCGAUAGCAUGAAUUUGCACUCUAAAUAAUGAAAAAUGCGAGUUAGGUUUUUUGGGCAUUCUAAGACAUAUAUAUGACAAAAAUAAGAAUAUGGAAGUGAGCCAUCAUAGAAUAUUCAAGAAAACAACUCAAAAAACAAAAUUGAAGUCGAUUCUGAAGUAUAUUUCCAUUAAGAUUGAAGACUCCCAGUUGAUUUCUUAGGAGAUUAUAAUGACUUUCUUUAUUUCUUUCGGUUAUACUGUCUUUUGGAUAUUUUUAUUUUCAACCAUGAACUAAUUUUCUAAAUUCCUAGGGAGAUGAACCCUAUGAUGAAUUCUACCGUUUGAUUUUUAUUUUACGCAAUAAAUUCUUAGUUUCUUGUUCUCAAUUAUGUAUUUCUAGACUAUUAAUCCAUGUUUGAUGUGCUUAAAUUAGAGGAAAAAUAGACUAUGUUUAAGAGUAGAUCUUACAUAAGUGAGUGGAGUUGCAUGCAAUCUUAGAAAUAAGAUGACAUAAAUCUACCAUAUUAGAGCCAAAUCUAAUAGGGGAAUCCAUAAAUCGAAUGCGAUAAUAGGGGUUUUAAUUAGAAAGAAAUUCCAAUUAAUCAACCUAGAGUCAGAUGUUCUUACUCUCGAAAGAGAUAUUAGCAUAAAUUAAGGAUUUCUACGGAUCAAGUUACCAAGUAAAGAAAUUACGUAAUUUAGAUUGAAAAUUACAAAUGAAAUCUAGGUGAAUUCUUUCAUUAGUAUUAUUUUGCUUAUUGGUUGUUAAUUGAUUAUUUUCUUGAUUUGUUUUUUGUCAUAUUUAUUAGUUAAUUAAUUUAGUUAAUUUUAGUUUUUAAUCAAUCACUCAAAUUAUUUGGUUAAAUAAUAGAAAGACGGUAAUUACUAGUACUUUUAGUCUUCGUGGGAACGAUAUCUUUGUUCACCAUAGCUAUACUACUAAUUGAUAGAUACAUUUUCCUUAGUCAAAUUUUUAGUUGGUUUCGUGGAUAUCAAUUGACUGGUCAAAUAGCAACGACUUUGGAUUUUCUUUUAUAUUUUCUCUGAUUUUUGUAGGACAUUAAAUGGACAAUUUUUGUAUGCAAUUGACACUUUUCAAGAUCCACUAUGAGGUAUUGAGUAUAUAUAUGGUAAGAAGGGGAAAGUCUAGAUGGUUUUUCUUCUUUCAAUAUUACUCUUUGGUUCUUCUUCUUAAACUUAAAUGUUCUCUUCUUCUUUCAAGUUGGAAGUUAAGGUUUUGAAUUAGUCAAUGGAUAUUCCACCUUUUGGUAAGCCUGAUAGUGUUGCAUAUAGGUUUUUGAAAUAGUAAGGAUGUUAAGAAGCUUAUAAUGUAACACCCCAAACUCGGCCUAGAAGUUUAGACCAAAUUCGGAAUGCUACAUUGAUCACCAAAGUGAUCGUAGGAAAAAUUUUCAAAAUAGUUUAUCUUAUCAAACCAAAUCAUUUAAAACGUUUAUUAAUAAAUCAGUUCAAAUCCUAAAAUAAAGUUCAAUGUAAAACCAGUUCAGAUUAUACGAAUUGAAACACAAAUCAAAAUUGCACCACAGCACUAUAAAUCCUCACAGUUUAAACUUUAACUGAAUAAUGAACAAAACUGAAAAUGUAAACAGAAUUCAUAGUUUAUCCACCAAGACUGUCUGAGAUCUCCGCGUAUUGAGUCCAGUGUUCAGAAUCCAGAAUUGUACCUGAAAGGGGAAACAGAAGAGGGGGUAAGCUAUACAAGCUUAGUGUGAGAUCAAACUAACUAACCAUCGCAGAUAUAGUAAACCGAAAAAUAGUUUAGUAGCGGAACAUACUUACAGAGGGACUUAACAAAACAGACCAUAUGUAACUUUACAGUCAUAUGGCUCUGUUAAACACAAUACCCAAAAUUCUCAAAAGUCACAAACUUAGCCUAAGCCCUUUUCCAGAAUCUGAGUCGAUUGGGCCUUAGCCCAUCACACAAAAUUUCUUUAGGUACGAAUGUCUCAAGUCAAAUAUUGCAGUCAGAUUUCCCAGACAACCAGACAGAAAUGUUUCAGUCAAAUAGAUAUGGCAGUCACAGAAUCAAACAGAUGUAUAUGAGUGCGAAUGAGUUAUAAAAUAACCUACCUAUCCAACCAACACACCAUCUCCGUCCCCCAUCAAACCUCAAUAGAGCUGUAAGCUCAUCCAACCAAUCACUCCAAUUAGGACCUCGAAAAGCCCAUCCAACCUUAUAUCCCCUAUACAUUGUCCAUGACCCUCAGGAAAUUGAGACUAUCAAAAAGCUGUACAGUACCAUGCGGAUCCCGCGGUACAACCAUCUAGUAUAACUGCCAGAUCAGAUAUGUUACGCAGCAAAGCUAGCUUAUACUGUAUGUGUUAUGCGGUGAAUCACAGUACAGAUGUUCAAUAUAAACUGGCAGAUCAAAUAAUAGUAUGUAGCGUAGCUAACGUACAUGCGAUACAGUGCAAGGUGGUAAACCGCUAUAUCGUUAAUGAAAAUGUCCACGACCUUCAGGGUAUUGGGACUGUCUAUGACCCUCAGGGUGUUAUUAAGGCAUUCAGAAUGCAGAUCAACUGCCAGAUCGUAAAUCUCAUUUAUCUUCAACAUCCCACCCAAAAAGAUUUAUGCAAAUGUAUGUAUGUAUGCAGUUAAAUGUACACAAUCCUCAACACAAUCUUAGAUAGACAUUCAGAAACAUUCACUUGCAAUCAGUCAAUCAAUUACAGAAACAUGCACACUUGUGCACUCAGAUUCGAUACCUAACAUGUCACACUUCAAUCACAAACAGUACAUAAAUCAAGGUGAGAACAGAGUCAUAAUCGACCACAGAAAUUUUAGUCGAAAGGUUGGAACAAACAGAGAUCACGAAUACACUUAAAUCCUAAAAUCAAACUUGGCGAAAUAGGGCCACACGCCCGUGUACUCCAGCCGUAUGGAGUAAUCCAGGCCGUGUGGGGAUCUAUACGCCCGUGUAAGGAGUAGCACACGGCCGUGUGGCAGAGGCACACACCCAUGUGGUGCAGAGGCACGGCCGUGUGAUCAGGUCGUGUAAGAUCUGUCAUAUUUCGCUAAAUUCAAGUGCAGAGUAGACACGGUCGUGUAAAGGUGUCACAUGCCCAUGUGGCAAUCAGACACGGCUGUGUAUCUCACAACACACACCCGUGUAGAAUCCCUAAGCCCCAAAUUCGCUACACAACCGUGUGUCCCGAAACACACGCCCAUGUGAGAAUCCUAAAAUUCCCAAAUCGGUCACACGGUCGUGUGGCCAGGCCGUGUGACCCUAAAUUUCAAAUUCCUAAAUUCCCAAACUCACACGCCCGUGUGCCUUAGGUGACAUGCCUGUGUGGUUUUCGAAAAAAAUCCCCAAAUCAGCCAUACGCCCGUGUGGCCAGGCCGUAUGGUACCCAUAACUAGCCUGAAACCCUAAUCCCCAAAUCUACACGGUCGUGUGCCCAUGAGAAAUAAUAACUUUUAUAUUGAGCUCCAUUAUGAAAAAUGAGUAAGGGAUCCAUGAAAUGGUAAGUUCAUGAUAGUUGGAAAUGAUAUUAUGAUAGUGAUCAUUAUAUUGUACCAAAAUAGAUUUGGACAGCAGCAUUGGUCCGACUUUGAAAAUCCACUUAAAAUAGUGGAAAUUGAGUUAGAAGCUUAAUAAAAUAUGAAAUUAAAUCUUAAUGAGUCUAGUUUCACAUAAAGGAAAUGGUGAAAGCAAAAGAAUUCUGUAUCAUGAUAUAUUUGAAUUCUUGUGAGAUAGAGUCGGAGUGAUUCUAGACUCCCCUAUCUCAAAUUUGGAAAAUCACUAGAAAUUGUACAAAAAUAAUUAUGAGUUAAAAUUUAUAUUUCUGAAAUCAUUAAUGAGUCUAAUUUUAGGAGAAAGAGACAGGAACAUUAUUUGAGUCUCGUACUAUGAGAUAAAUAAAUUUAGUGAAAGAAGGUCGAAGUUGUCAAAUAGAGAAAUAUGGGAGACUUUGAAUAAUAAACUGUACUUAUUGGCUAGACCAAAAAUUCUGAAAAUAUUAUGAUUUUCUAGUAAAAUUAACAGAUCUUAAUUUGAAGUUCCGUAACUUCAGAUAUAAAUAAUUUAAUGACUGUGACUUGGGAAAACAGCUUAGCUGGAAUUUGAAUAAUUAGAAAGAAUAUGAAAAUAGCAUGUUAUCGCAUUACUUAUUAUUUUCAUGCGAGUUUACUAAGUGAAAAGCUUACUCCCUCCUUUUCAUUUCUUUUAGUUUUGUCAAGUCAGCUCAGGGUUAAAGAUCGUCAGAGGUAGCAUCACACUAUCGAGCCAUUAUCCUUGGAGUAUGGGCAUGUGUAUGUUAAAUGUUUUCAUGUGAGUGGCAUGUAUAGGGACUUAGUUUCUCUAUGAUGAAUAUUGUUGUGAUUAGCCAAAGGUAUUGGUUUAUAUUAAUUUAUUAUUUAUAGCCAUGAGAUAUGGCUUAUAAUGAUUUUGGCUUGUAAGCCUAUUUAUCCAUGAUAUGUGUUAAUGUCUUGUGAUGUAGUUAUGUGGUUGUGCUUGUUCACUAUGUAUGAGAAGUAUAUGGCAUAUGUACAUGAUGAAUGCCAUUGAAAUCGUGUAUUUGUGUGUAUGUAAAGAUGACAAAAAGGCUUGGAAAUUAGCCUAAGUCUUGACCGCAAGGGUAGAGACACGGCCGUGUGUCUCAGCCGUAUGGAGGACACGGCUUCUGGCCACGGGUGUGUGCCUUGGCUGUGUGCCCUUAAACGGUUGCUGACGUCAUAAACAGAGAGUUACACGGGCUAAGGAUAUGGGCGUGUUCCAAGCCACAUAGACGUGUACGACCACACGGCCCAACCUACACGGGCGUGUAACUCUCCAAAGCUAGAAAAUUGUUAAGUUGCCCAAAGACUUUCAAAAGUUCUCGGUUUAGUCCCGAACCACCCCGAUAUAUGUUAUAGGCUUUAAAGGUCUGUAUAAGGGACAAUAUGCAUGUGUUUGAAAAGUUUUAAUUUUGGGCGAAAUUUGGUAACCCGGUUUUGUAUAUUUGUGAAUGUUUAAGUCCGGUAACGCCUCGAACCCUGUCCCAGAGUUGGAUACGGGUGAAGGGUGUUACAAGUUGGAUGAAUUGCUUUCAGCAAAAGUAUAUACAAUAAGGAGUUUUCAAUCAUGGUACUUCUUGUAGACUGACUCCAUGAUUAAGUAAUUACGAAUUAUCUGAACGAUGCUUUUGGACAUAAUUACAAUCACUAGAGCCUAAUUGUAUAUAUCCGAUUGGUCCUUCAGCUAGCUCAACAAAAGCUCGAUCGAACUGCAUUUGAAUGAGAAGAAAAUUCUAUGACUUUGGGAAUAAUUUAAUUGAGUCAAUUUAUUCGAUGUGGAAUUAAAUUAUGUGGUCAUGAGAAUUGUUCAACUAGAGAAUUUGAUUAAAUAAUUUUCUUAAAAAAUUAAUUUGGAAAAUCAGAGUGAUUUUUGGAAAAAUUAAUUUUGAUUAUGCAAAAUUAAAUUAAUCAAAUUAAUUAAAAUAAAUAUAAUGUUUUUGGAAGUUAAUUUUCAAGUCAGACAAUUGGCUUAAUGGAUAAUUGAACUUGAAAAUUGGACCUAAGAUCGUAAAUUGGGCUCGGGAGCCCAAAAUUGAUACUAAGACCCAAAAACUGGUCGAACUAGGCCUGGUAUGUGAAAAUAGGCUAACGAUCCAACCAGUGGCUAGACUGAACUGGUCCAGUUGCCAUUAACCUAAAUUGAACCGGUACCAGCCGAACCGGCUCAGGGUGCCAUAAGGGUGUCACACCUAAUCACCAAAUACCGCGGUGCCAGUGGCUACGACGGUGGCGUCCCGGUGGCUGACAAUGGUUGGUAAUCGGUGGUUGAGUUGUAGAAGGGUUACACUCCUAUUGUGACUCUACCAAAAAAUUUAAUUUCUGGUUAAUUAUUCCAAAAAUAAUAUUAUUUUAAUAGUUAAUAUUAAAUUUAAUUUAAUACUUAUCUUAAUAGUAUUUUAUUAAUAAUAUUAAAGUGAUUAUCUUAAUAUUUAAUUUAAUUUAAUGUUUAUCUUAUAGAUAAAUAUUAAUCUUACUUUAAUCUAAUUAAAUAUUGGAUUAAAUUCAAUAUUAAAGUGAUUAAGUUUAAUCAUAGUUGAACUCUCUAAACUCUCCCUAUAUAAAGAAAGCUUUCGUGACAUGUUCUGUAAUGCCUUUAUGGCAUAUUCGAUGAAGUCUGCGUGGCUUAUUCUGUGUUAUUUGUGUUACGUAAUCUGUAAUGCCCUUAUGGAGAAGUCUGGUCUAAUGCUUCUGUGUCGUGUUCCGAGUAAACUUCGAGACUUCUUUGCCAACUAAUGUGAUGAUAGAGAAUUGGUAAGUUUGAUGAUCUCUUAGCUUUGCUGGUCUUAUGACAGAAUUUGAAUGUGAUUUAAUUAAAACUUCUAAAAGAGUCUCCAACAGUGUUAUCAGAAUGGUGAAUUCGCCAUAUUAGUCUGUCAGUAUAGGAAAUUUGGUGUAUUUUAAACUAUGAAUAAGUAACUGAUCGACAGUCCUAAGUUCGUCUACGCUAUUUAAGGGAGUAAUUUGAGCUAUCUAGUAACCGCCAAGUCUGAAUUAUUUUCACGUCAUGUAUAGAGGUCAUUUGGAAUCUAAGUUGUUUUGUCAAGUUGGGCGUUCUCAUGAUUUGUAACAUAGUUGUAAGGAAUUCUUUAAAGCAAUUUAGAACGUAUCAUUAUCAGUUUAAGUUAUGAUUUUUGGGUCGAUUUGAGAUACAAUCUGAUUGGUAUUAUGAUAAUUAGCAGAAUCAGUAUGAGAAUUUGCCAAAGGUAAGGUCAUUAUUGAGUUCUUCUUAAAAGAUCAGUUAGUUUAAUUAUUCGAAAAAAAUCAUAUCUGUGAGAACACCAUCUUGGGUAAAGUAUUUAGUGUUCAUCUGAGUGAGAAUCCAUCGAAAGAGGUUCUAUUUUUUAUAAUAGCCCGAUUUUUUAGUGGUGUCAGAAACAGUGGUUUCGAAGCCACCAAAUCCGGCGAGUAAGUUCGUAAAUAUUAUUAUUUAAUAUUUACGAGUCAAAUAUGAUUUUAAAAAGGUUUUUGAAUUGGUAAUUUAUAUUUUAUAAUGAUUUAUUAGGUUCGAGUGGUAAUACCUUAGAUCAAGUGGUUUUACAAAGUGAGGUAUCUGGACCUCAUUUCUAUAAACUGAGCCGUAAAUAUUUUUAUAAAUAUUUACGAAGUGUUAUUAAGGUGGUAUUAAAGUUCCGUUAAAAAUAUUUAACGUUUCAAUACUUAAUUAAUUAACAAAGACUAAAUUGAAACAUGUACAAAACUUACUAAUUAUAAUAAUUUAAGUAAUUAAAUGGCUUGAUUAAUAAAUAUACCUAAAUUAAAAUGAUGAGGCGUCAUAUGAAGAUAAAAUAAUAAAAUAAAGUGAUGGAAUUGCAAAAUGGUAAUUUUGAUGAAAUUAAAACAACAAAUUGAAUUUUAAAACUUUCUAUGCAAUUCAUCUUCAAUUUCGUCCUAAACCGCCAUAGGAGAGAGCUUUAAGCUGGUUUCUCAUAUUUUUGCUUCAUGUGAGUUCAAUUCUUACCCGUUUCUUGUAAUUUCUAUAUUUUUGAGAUUGUUGCAAUUAGGUCUAACUAAACUUUAACUUCGCUUUUUAUUUUAUUAAAAAUUUUGGAAGUUUCCAUUGAUAAAUAUUAUAUUUUUUUAUGAAUAACAUGGAUUUAGAGCUUUUAUUUUGUUGUAUAAUGAUUCUAUAAAGUGAUUUUGUUAAAUACUGAUUUUAGGAUUAAAUUGUGAAAAGGUUAAAAUAUUAGGGUUUGAUAGUGAAUUUUGGCUUUAUUAGGGGCUGUAUGAAGGCCUAGAAUAUUUGGAUAGAUUAUUGAUUGAGAAAAUUAGUUAAUUUGAUAGAUUAAUUAAUUAAGGGAUUAAAUUGCAAAAAUUGAAAAAGUUUGGGAUAAUUACGUAAAUUUGAAAAAUAAAAGGGUAUUAAUUGUGAAAUGAAUUGGAAAUGAAAUGUAUGCUAAUAAAUGAGUAAUUUUUAUGUUCUAAAUCAAGAUCCCGUAGAUACUCGUGAAAAAGGAAAAAUAGCGAAAUAGUCCCUGAACUUCUACAAUUACUACAAAUCAAUCCAGGUAAGUUCGUACAGUUAAAAUUUAAUAUUUUGUAUAAAUUUAUGAAUGAUAUUAUGCAUUUAUUCUAUUGCUAGAAAUGAAUUUUGUUGGAAUUAUAAUAUUGAAUUGGAUAUUCGGUUUGAAUUAAACGUGGGAUUUGAGUACAUUCGUAAUUUGGUGUAUAAUGGUAUUAGAGGGAGAGACCAUCAUUUUACCCAAGUAAAUCAGAGUUCAGCAUUUGUUGCAAACUUUCGUGUUUUACUUUCUGUUUGGCGUAAUUGGGUGGAUCAACUCUUAUGAGCUUCUGUUCAACUCUUACGAACUUCUGUUUAGCUUUCGAGCUUCUGUUAACGAUGUACUCUUAUUCGUAAGUCGUUCUUCGAAUGGAGAAAUUUCAGUAAGGUGAUUUAUUUAUUAAAUUUGAAAGAUAUGUUAUUUAUUUGUAUUGAUUUGAAUACGGAUGUAUUUAUCGAUUGAUGUUGUAAAUGACAGGGAAUUGUCAUGGAUGAUUUUUAAUAUCUAAAUUAAUUAUAGUUAGUUCGGUAAGAUUUUUGUUUAACCAGUUGAACUUACUAAGCUUCGUUAAGCUUAUUUGUAUUGUUUAAUGUCUUUGUAGAUUUUCAAAAGGUUGGACGACCAAAUCGGCACUCAAGUCACAUUGUCCAGCUUAUCUCGGUAGACUUUGAAACGUUAAAUACAGUUUAUAUGGCAUGUAUAGGCUUUUGUACGGUCUUGUUCAAAGUUUAAUUUAUAUAAAUAUUAUGAAUAAUAUUUUGUUUAUAUAAUCAACCUACAUAUUGGUAAGAGAUUAAGGUAUAAUUGUGAUGUUAGUAUAAGUGAUAUAUGUAUGUAUGUAUUUGAAUUAUAGUGAAUUUUGGUAACUUGGUUAUGUAAAUUAAUUAGGUAAGUUUGGAUACUUGGUUGACAUAUUUUUAAGUUGUCAUUUGAGGUGCCUAAAGGCAUAUUGGUUGUAUGUGGUGAUAAUACAUGUUUAAGAUUUUAUUUUAGCUUGUGUUCAAUACUUUGUUAUGAUUUGUUGAUGUGCAAUUUGUUGAAGCUAGGUUGGUGUAAUGCCUUGGAUUUUAAGUCUGUUUUUAUGAAAUCUAACACAAAUAUUUAUCUGCUUCUGUGGUUUAGUGUUCUGGAUGUGUGUAUGAGGUCUUGGUUUCAAGUCCCACAUUUGGAAAUUUUGUUAUUUUUAAUCCAAGCCUUAUCCCUAUUGGGUGGGCUUAUAUAAAAUUGUCUGUAAAUCCAUAUUAGAAUGAACCUGCUGGUUCGAGUGGUAAGGAGUUAGAUUGAUAAAGGUCUUGUGUUUGAAUCCCGGUGCGAGCAGGGGUGAUAAUUUUUUAUUCGGGUGACUGAGAGAUUUUGGUUUGAGCUAAAAGUCUGAGGUAGUUGGAUGUGGUUAGUGGGUAGGAUAUUGAGGGAUUAGGUUGUUAAUGGAUGAGGAGGGGAGUUAAUCCAAAUUUGUAUUUUAUUUUAUUUUAUUUUAUUUCCUAUUCUCUUUCUUUCAAAAAAUAUUCGACGUAAGUUUUUGCCUUUUCCAUUUUUCUAUUUUUCUUUCGUUUUCCCAUUUUUGUUCUUUGCGUGCACUUCAGAAUUUCUGUGUUUUACGUGCAAUCAAGUAAGUGAGGGCUUUCACUUGUCGAUAGGUUUCAAUUUCAGUAAACUAUUUGGGUUUUUCUUUUCGUUUGAAUUCUGAAUGUGUAGUAAGGGAGGUUAAUUCUCUGUAAACGUAUUGUGUAGGAGAAUACGGUGAAAAGGUGGUUGUCGCACCAACGGUCUAAUCGGUGCAUGUGAUCGAGUUUGGAAGUGGUAAGUGUGUACGCAUUGCUCAGUUUUGUAUGGAUGGAUUUGCAAUUUGAUUGCUAAAAAAGUUUUGGGUAUUCUGUUUUUAGGUGUCGGUGGUCUCGGGAGUGGUUUCGCAUCAAAACUGAAUCAAGUAUGUACUCCUAACACGAAAAAUUGAGCUUCGACGAAAGCCAAAAAUGGAGUAUAUUGAUGCCACACGAGCGUAUGGCAGGCCAUGUGGUUGAUAGUGUACGAGACACGGCCAUGUGACCAACAAAGGCGUGGCCUUGCACAAGACACGACCGUGUGGCAGUGUGAGUGUGGCCGUGUAGACCAUAGGGUUAGGCCAAGUUGGCAGUGUGAGCCUACACGAGCGUGUGGGUUUUAAGCCAGGUCCUGUGGGCCACAUGGGUAAGGCUAAUCUGGGUGUGUGGGCUCACACGGACAUGUGGGCCCAAAAUUUUAAAAAUUUCCCUAGGGCCACUCUAGUCGUUCCAAUCGAUUGUGGGCCUACCGUAGAGUCGGUAAGGGCUAAUCAAACCCUAUUUCAUGUGAUUUGAUAUUCUGAUAAACUGAUCUAAGUAGGAUACUGAUAUGUAUGUCUGACUGUACUGUUUAAGUAUGUAUCUAUCUGUAUUCGAGCAUGUUAAGCAUGUUAAUUCUGAUAUUUCUACAUCUGUAUUAUGUAUCUAUGUUUGGGUUGGGAAUUGUAUAUGUGGAGGAAGUGAUCUGUUUGGCGACUCUUCGCCUAUAUUCUGGCAGCUUGUCUAUAUAUUAUCUAUUAUGUGUCGCAUCGACACUAUAUGGUCUGUAGGGAUGGGUGGGUGUUCUUAACCCCAUGUGUUGUGAUGGGAUGGACGGAGAUAGUGUGUAGAGGAUAGGGGUAGGAUUCUGUUUAUCUGUUCUGUACAUCUGAUUUUGAUAUUUAUUUCUGUGAUGGACUUAGGUUCGGAUCUAUAUAUGACAGUAUAUGAAACUCUGUAUAUAUUGCAUAUCUAUCUCUAAUGGGUUACAUACUGAGUUUACGUAAACUCACAUAUGUUUGUCUGUUCUAUUCAGGUAAUCCACAGGCAUAAGCGGGUCGGUACGACAGAGGCUUAACGGUGACCACUCGAUGGGAAACUGUUUUCAUUUAUUGUUAUUUCAUGGUUUUUACUUAAACUUUCGCCUUUCAUGAAAGUUUUGUAAUUUUUGGACUUUCCUGACUUUUUGGACUGUUUGGUUUAAAUUUUUGGUUUGGUUACGUUAUAAUUUCUAAACUGGGACGAUUUGACAAAAUAUCGAUUACACACGAACAAAUGUUAUUUUUGAAAACACGAGCGUGGUUUUGAUUUUAAUAGUUUUUUAAACUUCCGUUGCGAAAAUGAUUUGGUUAACUUUAAAGGAUAAUAUAUAAUAGUUUUAGUAAUAAAUAUAUAAAUGAAAACGAUUUAUAACUUGGAUGUUUUAUCGAAAUAUCAUCAGUUUCAAAACCUUUUUUCGUAACACUCUCAGAUUUGACCAUAACGUCUAGGUCGGGUUUGGGGUGUUACAAUUGGUGUCAAUUUGGGUGAGAAAUGUGGCUUAGAAAAUGACAUAUUUUUGUCCACACGGGUAGAGACACGGGCGUGUGUCUCAGCCAUGUGUGACACACGGCCAAGUGACAUAGUCGUGUGUCCCCUAUAUCUUCUUAAGAAUGCAAGUCAGCAUGCUCACACAGCUUAGCACACAGGUGUGUGACUUGGUCGUGUAACCCAAGUUAGAGAGUUACACGAGCACGGACACGGGCUUAGACACGACCGUGUGUCCAUAUUUCAAAUGCCCACACGGCUUGAGACACGGGCAUGUCUUCUAACCGUAUGAGUCACAUGGGCUAGCUACAAGGCCAUGUGACCCCUAUAAUGCUGAAAAUUUUAAAUAUUUCUGAACAGUUCUCUAAGUUUCUGAUUUAGUCCCGACUUGUUUCUAAUAUGUAUUUCGGGGCUUGAGGGCUCGUUUAAGGGACAAUUUAUAUUAUUUUGAUUGGUUUUAUUACGAAUACUGAUAUGUAAUGCAACGUUUGAAAUUUCUGUCUGAUUGAUUCGUAAAACUCAAUAAUGCUUUGUAACCCUAUUUCGGCGACGGAUACGGAUUAGGGGUGUUACAUUUGGAAAUUCUUCUGAGGAGUACAUUUGUUUUCCAAGUAAGGAAAUAAGGUCUGUAUUAAUUUAUGAAAUCUAAUAUCUGUCAAAAGGGUGAAUAGACUAGUCAAGCUUAGAAGUGGAUGAAUAUGUAUACACCAUUGUGAGAAAGUAUCUGUCAAAGACAGAGAUGAAAUCUAAAGCCUUCAAGAUGGUGAAUUCAAAUGGAAUUACUUCAAGGUAAUUUGGAAUUUAAACACUAAGUUCGUUUGAACUUACAGGUGCUUGUUUAUAUUUCAGGUUCUGUUGUAAGAUUGAGCGUCUAGAGGGACCAAGCCAGAAAUGCGUCAGGGUAGUAGCAAGUUGGGAUAUUAUGCAUACAGAGGACAUCAUAGGUGUAUGGCAUAUAGUACCCUACACCAUAAAGAUUCUGUUUUAAAUAAAAUUUUAUAUUGUAACAUAGUUUACUAUUUAGUACUGGAAUGCAAUUCUUUAAUAUCCUAUUUAUAUUAAAGAAUAGUUCAAAAGAAAUAAUAAAUAUUUUUUAAAUAAAGUUUUCGAUGGUAGUCUGAAUUUAUUUUAAGUGUUUUGUGUUGUAACAUCAAUAUUUUGAUUUGGUAGUUUGGGUUGGGUAGAAGGUGUUACACUUUGCCACAUGAUCCUUGAGCUGAACAUGCCUUGAUUCCAGCUCUGUGGUAUGCCCAUCAUCUUUCUUGAGGGUCUCUUUCACAUCACUUAUAAAGCCCUCAAGUUUGGCAACCCUGUCAUCUAAAGCUAAUAGCAUAUCCCUCGAUUGGCUUGCUUUCUUAGCCCUCCUACAAGUCUCCAUUGGCUCUUUCUCGUCUACGCCUUCUGACAUCCCAAACGGUGUCUUUGUAACCUUAGCUCGAAUACCAACUGUCACAAGCCUAAACCUUUAGUCUUACAAUUCGUGCGACCUUAGGCGAUUUUUUCGCUUCAAAUGCACCUAAGUUUUCCUAUCUCUCAAAAGAUGAGAAUUCUCCCGAAAAUUGUCUAAGCGAUACAUGUACGAAUGGGGAAAAAUUUAUUAAAUUCCAUUCACUGGAGCUACCAAUUUUCAAGUUUAGAAAAUCAAUCAACUUGCAACAACUUUUUGAAUGGGAUCUAGACAUUUUUGGGUUAAGAUAUCUCACAAAAUUCGAAGAUCUAUCUCUUAAUUUUGAAACGCACUUUGAAUCACUAGAUUUUGAGUUUGAGAACUCAUAUUAUGAUUGUUUUAAUGAAGACUGCGUGAGCAGAAUUUCUAAAUAGGAUUAUUAUGGAAAUUACGAGUUUCGUACUUUUAAUUUGAAUUCAAAUCAUAUUGGGUUCGAUUUUUAGCUUAAUUUUUAUUACAUAUGGGCCCAAUAUUGUAUUUAUUAGGUAUUAUUAUUUUAUUAUUUAUUUAUUCCAAAAAUUUUUAUAUUUUUAAAUAUUUUAAGUUAUUUAGGAAUUUUAUAUUUCUUAAUUAACAAGAAAGUUAAUUUAAACUAUUUCUUAUUUAGAUUAAUUAGAGUUUCAGUAUUCUUUAGAGUUUCAUUUGGUAGCUUAUAUAAAGACCUCUUUAUUGUUCAUUAGAGACACAAUUGUAUUCAUUAAUAAAGUUUUCAACUUGGGAGUUAGUUUCUUUGUGCAAGAUUUUUUUCUUAUAAUUUUUAAUAGUUUUUUUUCUCAUUUUUUUUCAAGGACUCAUGGGAAUUCAUUCUCCAUACUUCGAUUUGCCAAGAAUUAUUUCUUGUUGGAGGGUUUAUUAAAGUCAUUAAUUGAGUUUAUUGGGAUUUAUAUCUCAAAUGGUUCAAUUGGACACUUAUCCAUCUAUUCAUUAUAUCCAUCAGUUACUCAUUCCAUCUCCCACUUUGUUUGUUUUUUUUCUAAUUUUUGUAUAUUUAUUUAUUAUUUGUUCUUAAAUCUCUUAUUUUAGUUAUUUUUGUUUUCGUUGUUUUUCUAAAUUUAUUUGGUGUUUUCUUUUCAGGUCAAAUUCAAAUAUUUUUUUUGAGUCGAACAACUUGAAUAUGAUCCUCCUUUUGCCUCUUUUACUUCACUCUUUUAUCAUUAAGGCAUCGAAAAAUAUAAUGGAAGCAACUCGAAAUGAAAUAAGCAACAAAGUAUUGAAAAACCACAAGAAAACAAUGCAUAUCAAGUGUUUGAGUAAAUGCUCUCAAUAUAUUCUUAACUCAAGAAUAAUUGAAUAUAAUGGGAUGAAUACAAAUGAAGAUGGAGACUUCUAUUUAUAGUUGAGCUCCCCAAAAUCAACGGUAGAGAUUAAAUUACAUCGACGUUCAAGAUUAAAGUUUAUAUACAAUUGAGAGUUCUAAAGGAUUUAAACUUUAUAUAAUCUUAUCCAUUUAGGGUUACCUUAUUUACCUUGGUAACUCUAGUUUGACUGAAGUGUUUCACUAGACUACCAAGACUUUAGAUAGGUUUCUCCAUUAAUUCCACGAGUCAGGCUAGUUUAAGCUGGUUAAAUGAGUCAUAUUUAAUAAGCUAAGUUGACAUUUAUGGAGUGUUCUAUGUGCAAUAGUCACAGGUUUUGAUCCGUAGUCCGUGACAUAAACACCUUGUUGCAUACUAGGUUGCACCAAAGGUGUUAAACCAGAAAUAUGGCAAGAAGAUAGAUGUGUGGAGUGCUGGUGUCAUUUUAUACAUUCUUCUUAGCGGAGUGUCUCCAUUUUGGGUUGAUAUGUACGUGGAAACUUAUUUUGUUUUUCAGAUACGUUCUUUUGGUUGUGAUACCUCUUCAACUGUUGAUGAUAAUUUUGUUGCAGAGACUGAGAAAGAAAUAUUUAAAGCGGUUUUAGAAGGUAAUCUUGACUUGAAAAGCUUGCCAUGACCAUCUAUAUCUGAAGGUGCAAAGGACCUCAUCCGAAAGAUGCUAGCAAGAGAUCCUAAGAAACGGAUCACUGCUGCUGAAGCUCUAGGUAAAAACAUUAAGCUUUCUGUAGACAAAACCCUUCAAAAUAAUGAAAAAAGGGAAUAGUAGGAUUGGCAGCAUUGAACAUUGGUUCAUCCUUACUAAAGAACACAAUUAUUAGAUAUGUGCCACUAAUGUUUACAUUUUGUGAAUAUGAACCAGAACAUCCAUGGGUGAAGAAGGGUGGAUUGAUAGUGCUGUCCUUAGUAGGUUGAAGCAGUUCAGAGUAAUGAACAAGCUCAAUCUAUGAUAAAUUUACUCGACCAUAAAAGCACAAAUUUCUUUUUCUCUGUUUUAUGUUCCCUCAAGCUGAUAUUUUUGUCUGUAAAUAUGGUUUGUGGAAGGUGAUAUCAGAAAGCCUAUCAACGGAAAAAGAGAUCAAGUGCUUGCAACAGAUGUUCAAAAACAUCGGCACUGAUGGAAGUGUUACAAUAACACUAGGGGAACUCGGAUGGAUUAGGUCGCUUGGGAUCUAAGUUAACUGAAAAUGAAAUAAAGCAACUUAUGGACGCUGUCAGAUUUUAUCCAAUUAUAUAAUCCCUUCCCUCCACCAUCCAAAUUAUGUUAUUUAUAUAUAAUAGUAACCAUUUCCAUAAUAAUGAAACAAGCUGCAACUUCCGAAUGCCUAAACCCCAUUCUGUCAGGCUGAUGUUGACAAUAGUGGAACUCAUUGAUUACAUCGAAUUCAUAGCUGCUACAAUGCAUCGACAUAGGCUUGAGAGGGAAGAAAAAAUAGUCGAGGCUUUUCAGUUCUUUGACAAGGAUAACAGUGGGUUAGGAUAUUGCACUAUUGCUUUUUUCAGUUUUGAACAUUAUAUUACUUGAUUGAUUGACUCUGCCUAUUAUUCUUCUUUUCAUUCAGGUUUAUUACAAGAGAUGAACUAAGACAAGCUAUGACACGGUACGGAAUGGGAGAUGAGGCUACAAUAGAGGAUGCUGAUACUGAAAAGGAUUUUCGUUUGCUUCUUUUAUUUAAAACAAAUAGUUUGUUUGUUAGUGUUUUUUGCUUGACAUGAUCGGUUGGAUACGAUGGGAGGAUCAACUACGAGUUUGUAGCCAUGAUGAAAAGGAGAACUCAUGAUGGGGAUUGCAAUUGGCAAAUGAACAACUAAGGGCUUUCUUUAGUCGGCGAUGGCUGCUCCAUUUGUUGUAAACUUAUUUCCAUCUUCAAUACUCCUCAUCUAUUAUGAUGCUGAAGCUAAACAAUUCAUUUCGUUUAUUUGGAUGGGAUUAGAUAACAAUCAUUAUUACCAAUAUUAUUAUAAUUGGAUUGAUUUCUGGUGAUAUUAAAUGGAUUUGAUCGACUAAGCGAGUCACUUUCUGGGUUGAUAACUUACAUUUGCCAAUUUGGCACCAAAUAUGCUUGGUUACAAGUUCAGCAAACUGCCAUGGAGGCAAUGCAAAGGAACAUUUGUUUCCCCCCUUCAAUUCAAUGUUCAAUCGACGCCAACAUACAAAGGAACACUGCAGUAAAAUCGAACUUUGAUUUCCUUUAGUUUUUCCUCUCAAUUUUCUCAUCAACCAACUUCUGGAUAUGCGGGAAUCACAAUCGAACAAGGCUAACGCAUAAGCUAAGAAAUGAAUCAAUUUUUAUAAGACCAAAAUACAACAUUUGUUCUUCCUUGAAAGGAUAACCAAAUUCAAAAUUAGAGAGAGUAAAGAAAUGAAUCGAUUAUCACCGACCAUCUCCCCGCUCCUUCUGAAUCUGAUGCCUCUGCUUUUCCGCUAGCUUCUCCAAUGCAGAUUCAACCGCAUGACGCCCACCGAUAAGCAAUCGGGUCACAACUUCCGGAUCCUUCUCGAAGCGAGCUUCAUCGAACUCCUUCCUUGCAUUCUCUCUCAAUAUGUCUCUCCACAGAACGCCCCGAGAAUCGGGCCACAUGAAGAAUCGGGUGGCUCGAAGGAUGUCGCGGUAGAGACUCAGUACCUCUCGUCGAGUGCUGGUGAGGCGCUGUCGGUUCAGCGACUCUUCUUCCUCAUCCUCUAGGGAUUUCUCCUUCACAACGUGUCUGUCAAGAAGCUCUUCCACGGUGUCCGGACCAUUGUGUAGAAAACGCUGGAGGAAGACAACAUUGUUUCCACAUACGAUAGUUAAAUUUGGACAUUUUCGUAGGUAUGCGAUCAUCCUUUUUACUUUAUUUCUCUGACAAGCUUAUUUUCCGUGCUGUUUGACAACCAUAAAUGGUGGAGUUCAACACGAAACAAUUCUUGUUUCAGGCCCAAAAUAAUUCUAAGCUUUGAUCCAUAUAUCAUUUUUUAAGCAUUAGGACUUAAACGUACCAUAUUUAAGGGAUAAUAACAAAUUUAACCCUAACCCAAUAACUAUUAUAAAACAGUUAAUAGAAACCUCAUAAACACUAUAGAAUCGAAAGGAAAGUAAAAAGAAAUAUCUGGGAUUGGAAAAGUAUACUAAAGGAACAUAGUCGAGCAAAGCUGCUACAAAAUUCUUUUCAUUUUUGCACACCAACAUUAAUUAUCAUCCAAUACCGCUUUUUUAUUCCUUUUACAAACAAAUUUCCACCUUAACUCAGAUAACCUACCCCCCAAAAUGACAUCUACAAACUACACUAAAAUGAAACUUCCCAAAAUUAAACACACACACAAUAACCUUUUACCUGUACAAUUUUGCAAAAAAAAUAAUUGUAAACACAAACAAAAUAGCAAAAUUAUUGAAUUUUGAAAAGGAAAAAAGAAUUAAGCUGACCUUGCCUUGGCUCUAAGCUGGAAUCCAAAGUACCAAGGAUUACAUACAACUAGAAGUACUAAGUAACCAAUUCAGCUUAAAGGGAAAUUCUUUAAAAAAAAAUUGUAACUUUUGAGGAACUAAGCAAAGAAAAGGAAAGGGAUAAUAAUAAAAGAAAAAGAAGAAGAAAAAACAAAGAAUAAAUGGAAUAAUGAAAAAGGGGGCCACAAGCAGUAGAAGAACAAAAUGAGUUAGGGUUUAUAAGACAUGAAAUGUGUAGUAAUAGGUUCUCAAACGGCAUUGCGCGCAAGGAUUUUAUUUGUCACCUUUAUUCAAAUAUGAAACUUUGAAAGAAAACUCAUUGUACGAUCAAAAAGGCAAAUAAACUGUGUUCCUUAUAAGGAAGAAAACAACAACAAAUAGUUAACAUCUUCUAAUGCAACACAAUAACAAUUCGUAACUACUUUGUAUUAUACAACAACCUCUUUGGUUCAAUUACAUCCCUAAUUCCAACCAUACCAUGCAUUUAGAUAUUACCUGAAUAUUUUAAUCAAAAUCCAUUUUCGAAUCAUCUACACACCAGCACACAAACAAUCCCAACAAAUUUCAUCGAUGAGUUCCACUCAACCAUUUUAAAGAAAAUCUACCCCAAUCCUUACUGAUGAGUGCAAACACCUAGCAGUAUGAAAAGAAAACACAAUAUGCAUUGAUCUAUGGACUGACUAAUAUGCACCACCUUAGCACCAAAUAAAAUACGAGGCUAACUGAAAAAAUCACAAAUCUUCCAUUCCAAAAAUGACCACAUUUGAUAUAUGCACGAAUGGAGUAAAAUUUAUUAAAUUCCAUUCACCAAAGUUAACAAUUUUCAAGCCUAAGAUAUUAGCAAACUUACGACGACUUUUUGAAUGGGAUCCUAACAUUUCUGGGUUGAGAUAUCUUCUAGGCGUUUGAAGAUCUAUAUCUCAACUUUGAAACACACUUUGAAUCACUCAAUUUUGAGUUGGGAACUCAAAUUAUGACUGUUUUAGUGAAGACUGCGUAAGCAGAAUUUUUGAAUAAGAUUAUAUCGGGAUUUACGAGUUUUCAGCUUUUAAUUCGAGUUUAAAUCAUAUCGGGUUCGGGUUUUUAGCUUAAUUUUUAUUAUAUAUGAGCCAAAUAUCUUUUAUUAUUUUAUUAUUCUGAAUUUUUAAUAUUUAUUAAGUAGUUUAAAUUCUUUAGGAGUUUUAUAUCAAUAAGAAAGUUUAAUUUAAAACUACUUGUUUAGAUUAAUUAGAGUUAUAAUAUACUUAAGAGUUUUAUUUAAAUUUAUUUAACUAGCCUAUAUAUAGACAUUUGCAUUGUACACAAAUCAGACAAUUGAUAAUUAUUAUAUUUCUCUUUUAAGUUAAUAAAUUAAGACUUUUACAUGCGAUGUUCUAUCUUUUCCAUCUAUCUUUUUUUAAUUUCUUCUUUGUUACUCUAAUCUUUGGUCUCAUUAUUCUACUUUACUCAUUUUGAUUAUUUAUUUUUAAUUGUUCUCUUUUUUUUUAUCUGACUGGGAUUCAUUUGUGUUUCAGGUUGUUUCAAAAUUCAAUUUUUUUUCAAAACAUCUAGAGCUCUAAGUCAAAUUCGCGACUUUAACAAACUUUAUGAUCCGCUUUUGCAUUCAUCUGCCUCAUUCUUUAUUAUUUGGUAUCAUAUUUGAGCAUUAUUAGGUGUUCUUUAUGUUUUUUAUAAAUUGAUUUCUAGCAAAUAGCCUCAAAACAAUUUUUUUACCCCGACAGUUUUUAAAAAUAUAUAUUUUUCAGUGGGUAAAUGUUUUUCAAAUGAUCUAAAAUUUUGCAUACUAUUUCUCGGUACUAUUUUAGAGUACAAAAAAAAUUUCCCACAAAAAAAGUGAUCGAAAAAGUAUAGAAAAAAUAAAAUAUGAAAAAAUAUAAAAAAUAAUAAGAAAAUAUUAUUUGGGUUGAGUUUUGUGUCAAAAGUUUCCAUAUCAGAUCUACAUUAUUUGAGGAGGCUCCAGUUUAAAUUUUGUGAUUUUUGGAAGUCAAGAACACCUCGAAUAAAGUUUGUCAAGUUGCUUCACAGUUUUUUAGGUUUUCAGGUUUUAACAAUUUUCAUUUACUCUUAGCCUUAGGGUUUUAUUUUCUUUAUUUUUUUAUUGUUCCUUUACGCAUUCUAACACUUUAUUGUUUCUUGUGUUAGUAAAUUAAAGCACGUUGCACAAUAUUUCCUCUAUGCAACAGAAUUCUUUGAUAUCUAGUUGUUUUUGAACUCAUAAUGCUAUUAGAUUUUCUUUGUUAGUUUGAUUCUAAUACAUUCUGAUUGAUUGAUGUAGAAACUUUUUAAAAGACUCACAAGAUUAAUUCUUAUCUCAUUGAGAAUUUAAUUUUCAUUUCUGAGUGCAUUAACAAGGUUUGCUUAAUUUUUCUUUUCUUGAAUGUUGUGUUCUUUUCAGACUUUCAUAAUGAUUCACAAUAUUAUAAUUAGAAAGUUGAGAAAAGAUCAAGGGGUUCGAAAUGCUCAAGAUCAGCAACGUAACACUAUUCUAGACACGAUCAACAAAAAUUUGGAACAUCUAAGUACCAAAAUUGAGCGUUGGAAUUGUAAUUGAGGAGAUAAGAUUGAUCAACCUUGUCUUCGUGCAAAUAAUACUCGACAUGUCUCUUAUGCAAAUGAUGAGACUUUGGUUAAUAGUGACUGUGGGCAACAUUUUUUUAGCUAAACUAAAAUUCAACAUUUCACAAUUCCAACUGAAGUAUGAUCUUGAAGCAUAUUGCGAGUAGGAAUCAAAAAUUGAACUUAUGUUUUGUUACUAUAAAUGUCGAAAAGAGGAAAAGGUCCCAUUGGCGACUCGUGAAUUUUCGAAUUAUGCGUUGAGUUGAUGAAUUCAACUUGGAAUUAAUCGUUAAAGAAACUACGAAAGAGUAAUUGCAACAUGGGAUGAGUUGAAGCAAGUGAUGUGAAAGCGUUACAUUCAUUCUCAUUACUAUAGAGAGGUCUCAACGAGACUUCAACGCCUUAUUUAAGGUAAUUGAUCUAUUGAUGAGUACUUUAAGGAGAUGGAGAUGCUUAUGCAAAGAGCAAAUAUACGAGAGGAUGACAAGACUACCAUGGUACAAUUUGUAGAUGGCUCGAACAUUUCGAUAGCCAAUACUCUUAGUCUUUAAACUUAUAUUGAUCUUGAAGAGAUGGUACAUAAGGCAAUUGAGAUUGGGCAACAAUUUUAGCAACAUCAAUCACAUCCAUUUGGCGCAUCACACAACACGUGGAACACAUUAUGAAUGCACUCCAACUCUGGAGGUAGAUCCAACCAAUAUUCCAUUAAUUAAACUCUCUCAAGUAUCAUGUAAAGUCCAAUAAAAUAGGAACUCAACUUUUCUAUGUGACCACACUAAAAGACUUUUUUUUCUUGACGACACUUUCAGAAACACGUUACCCUUAACAUUAAACUCAAUCUCCUUGCACUUCAAGUCAACAUAAAACUUUUUUCUAUCAAAUGUCGCUUUAAACCUAUCUCAGAUCAACUUGACUUUCUCCUUGGUCUUAUGGAUCAAGUCAAGAUCCCCCAAUUUUCUCAUGCUUAGCUUAACCCAAAACCAAGAUGUUUGAUACUUACAACCAUAUAGUGUCGGGAAUGGUGUCAUCUGAAUGCUUGUUUGAUAACUAUUAUUUUAGACAAACUCAAUCAAUUAAAAGGUGUCUCUCCCAACUACCCUCAAAAUCAAUAACACAACAUUGAAACAUGUCCUCCAAAAAUUGAAUUACACAAUCAGACUAUCCAUCAAUUUAAAAAUGGUAAGCAAUAUUGAAGUUCAACUUUGUACCCAGAACCUCAUGCAACUCUUUCCAGAAUCCAGAUGCGCAUAUUACGUCUCAAUUAGAUAUAAUAAAGAUAAGAACACCUUGCCUUCAUACAAUCUCAACAGUGUACAACUCGACCAACUUUUCCAAAGAGUAAUUGUUACGAACUAGGAAGAAGUGCGUUGACUUAAUGAGUUGAUAAACAAUUACUCAAAUGACAUCAUGCUUCUUUAGAGUAAGUAGCAAGCCCACAACGAAAUUCAUAGAUACUCAUUCUCACUUCUACUAUGGUAUUGUGAUAGGUUGUAACAAGCUCGAAGGAACUUGAUAAAAAACCAAACACUUUGACACAAACUCUAUUACCUCACAUUUCAUUCCAAGCCACCAAUACAAUUAUUUUAGCUCAUGUUACAUUUUAUUACCACUAGAGUGCAUGGCAUAAGAACUAUUAUGCACCUUAUACAAACAUGUCUGAACUUCGUAUUAUUCAACACAAAAAGCCUUUUUCUGAAACACAAUCUACCCUCGACAUCCAAAUCAAAACCACUCGGUUCGUUCUGUUUAAUUUGCCAAUCUUUAGCAAUCAAUUUCUCAUCUCCUAAUUGUUUCUUCCUAAUCUGCUUGGAUAAAGUCAAUUUAAUUCGAAUUUCCACCAAUAACUUACCCAUUUUCAAUACUUCAAACUUGACAUUCAUCAAUUUAAAGGCAACAAAGGACUUUCGAUUAAACGCAUUAGCGAUUGCGUUGCUUUACCAAGAUGGUAUUCGAUAAAUAAUCGUAAUCAUUUUAAUGCUCAACCCAUCGUCAUUACAUCAAUAUAUAACUUUCAAAUACAUUUCUUCCGAAACAUCGAUAGGAAGUACUCCCAAUUAAUCCUCCUUGCAAGCGUAGUCUAGACCACAAUGAUCCACCACUAAUAAGCCUCUCCUUCAGUAAGGAGACUACACACUGAACUCUCUCAGUAGAUGUACAUUCCAACUAAUCAAAUGACUCUUUUAGUCGUCUCCAACCAAUACUCUUUGCCCAUUAGGUAAUACUCUUUUAACCCUUCAAGUCCUUAGCACCAUAUUUCUGUAGUUUUUCAAAUGGUGCUCUCCUAACUACAACAACGAAUUGAACCUAAAGUAUUGCUCCAACAACCCUCUAUAACGCAUCAACCAUCGCACAUGGAAGUGUGACUUGAUUAGAUUUGUAACACCCUAAGCUCGGCCCAGAAGCCAAAUUGAAUCAAGAGUGUCACAAUGGUCGCUGGAGCGACCCGCUCAAUCAAACAUUCAUUUAAAACACAAUAAAAAUAUAUAUUUAAAUCCUUCAAGUAAAAACAAAUAAUAAAAUCAUUUAAUAAAAAUAAGUUCAAAAAAUUAUUUAACAACAAUAGCAAUACUUCCGAACGCACAAGGCAACUUGCACAAUACAAUAAAUAAUAUGGAGAUCUCUAUAAUGACAUGCCAACUAUGUCUAACUGACAAAUUUUACCAAAUUGUUUUAUAAUGAUAAAAACAAUUUAUGUAUACAUCCAAAAUCAACUUGAUUCAAUUUCACAAUAAAUUUUAAGCCAUUCAUUUAAAUUAACCACAAUAUUAAGACAAUUGAACUUUAGAGAUCACAAAUUGAAUUUUUCAAGCGUUCAAUGUUUAGAAGCGAGCAUUCCUCGAUGAGGUUUGUCUUCGUCAAUUCACUAAUCCACUAACAUAUUAAAGACCUUGACUUUCUUGGACUCAAAUUAAUCAAAAAUUCAACCAUACUCGUAUUUUUAAAGAUUAAAAACAUUUCAAUCGAGCCCAUAAUUAAUCAAAAUUAAUGUUAAUCUAAGUUAUUGAUUCAAUUUAAUCAAGAUCCCAACAUAUCACGUGACCAUUCAAUAAUGUAAUUAAUCUUUUGAAUAAAUUAAUAUAAUCAAAUACUUAAAGAAAAUUAAAGCCUAUCUAUUCAAUUAUCCUAAAUCAUAUGUAAUAGUUAGUCUAAUAAAUCAUCUCUAAACUAAUUCAAAAUAAAAUUCUAAAUGUAGCAGAUGUUAAGCAAUAUAGUUGGCAAGAAUGCAGCUGAUUUGGAGGCAAAGAGGCUCACGGCAAUACCAAAAAUUGAAGUGGGCAUAGCAGCAAACUGAGGGCAAAGCAAUAGCAAAAGUUUGUAGCAAUUUUUAGGAGAAACUAAGAGAAGCAAUUGUUGGUGGCAGCAAGGAGAACAAAAAGAAAAUAGAAUGGUAGGUCAAUUGGAGAUGAGGACUAAUUCAAUUCUACUUCUAUUUAUCAUAAUAAUAUAACACAAUAAAAUAAAUCCUAUUAAAAAUCUAGUAAAAAGAUCCUCAUUUAAUUAAACUAAAUAAGAAAACAUUAAAAGAAAAUUAAAAGAAAGGUUAAUUGCAAUAUUAGUCUCUCGUUAAUAGUUGAAAUUUCAAUUUAAUCCUUAAAAUAUAAUCAAAAUCCUACCUAGUCUCGAAAUUAAACUAAAUUUAUCAUUUCAUCCGAAAUUUCCAAAUAAUUUAUUAUAAAAAAAAUUCUUUUACUAAACUUAUCUUGAUUUAGUGUGAAAUAUGAUCCCAAAAAUUUCAAGACAUUAUAAAAUGUUCAAUGUGAAUUACUAAAUCAUUAUCGUACUUGGUGUUAACAUCAUUAGUAAAUUGCUAAACCAACCAAUGAUAAGUUAACAUGUAAAAUUUUCUUUUUCAAAUUAUGAAGUCUAAAUGGAUAAUAUAAUAUGUAAAAAAUUAAAUAAAAAACUAAAUUAAAUUAAAAUAUAUAUAACUAAACAUAUGAUUAAUAAAACAAAUUAAAAAUUAAACUUACAUAAGCUAAAACGUCACAUUCUCUGUUUAAGUAAAUGAUCCUCUUCAAAGAGUUUUUCAUUUGAAAUUAUUUUUUUAAUUGAUUUUUUUAAAGAAUUUUUUAGUCAUCACUAUUUACAUUUUUUUAUUCAUCAUAUGCUUAGUUAUUUGUUUUUUAGUUUAAUUUAAUUUAAUUUUUUAUUUUAUUUAAUUUUUCACAUAAUGUUAUAUUAUCCAUGUAGACAUUGAUGAUUUGGAAAAAAAUUUCUACGUGUCAAAUUUUAAUUGACAUAUUUAUCAAUUCAAAUAAAGGUGUUAACACUAAGUAUCAUAAUAAAAUACAUAUUGAUAGUUCAUAUACCAUAUUGGACAUUUUCAAAGUACAGAUACAACAUUGAACAUUUUAUGAAAAUACAAGUAUCAUAAUAAAACACAUAUACAUAAUUUAAGCACCACAUUAAACAUUUUAUAAAAGUACAUGUAUCAAAUAUGAGAUUAACAUAUUUAUAAAAAAAAUUAAUGUUAAUAAUAAAUGAAAUUUGGUUAAAUGGUAAAGUACAAAUGUUGGAAACUCUUGAGUCUUGGUUCAAAUCUUAUUUAAGUGUGCAUAUUUUACUCUCUCUUUUUUUUAUGUAAAAGAUAUAAAUUGGCAAAACACCUUCAAAAUAAUACAAUUUACUUUGUAAAAUAAUGGUGUUUUUGUCAUUAUCCAACUGAAUUGAUACUCGAUUGACUCAUGACACCAACUCAAUCGUGUAUUAUAUAAAUGAGCCUUCUCUGUAACAACAACUCUUUAUAACAUUUCAUCAUAACCAUUAAAUUUAUUGUAGAUCCGAUUUUUUUAUUUUUUAUAUUUUUCAUCUAUAACAACUUUCCAUCUAUAACAAUCAUAAAAUAUGAAAUACGCUCUUUACAAAAUUAUUUUUUUUACAACAAAUUAUCUCAAAUUUUAGUAAAAUUAGUUCUAUUACCAAGUGAAAGAAAUAUAAUAAAUUUUAAUUAAGCUAUUAAUUCAAUAAAAUAUUUAAAGUUUAUAUAGAAAAUAUAUUAAUAAUAUUUUAUUAAAUGAAAUGUUUAAUAAAUUGAACUACAUUCAUAAAUUUUAUUAAAGAUAUUAUUUAAAUCUCACUAAUUAAUAAUAUUAUUAAUAUAUUAUAAUUUUUUAAAUUUUUAAUUUUAAAUAUUUCAUAUAUAAUCUAUAUCUCAAAUGUUUUUAUAGUUGUACAACAAUUAUCUCUCUAUGACGUCAACAAUUUGAUAGGCAAAUAGAAUUGUUAAAGAAAAAGGUUGAUUGUGAUCGUAACUAGAAGAAACGUUUAAUCAACUCCUUUUAGAUUUUUUUUCCCCUUGGUUCAUCUCCUUCCAACUUUUUUUUCUAACUAAAAACAAAGUAGAAAAAAAAAACUAAAAUUAAAUCAUAUCACACCUACAUGGGUGUGAAUACAAUAUUUUUUAAACAUUUUAUGUUAAAAAUACUUUCUUUAAUUUAUACAAUUAUAAUUAUAUGUAGAAUGAUGAAGAACUUGUAUCUUAUUAAACGGGUGUUUGAUAUUCAAAUGUGUUUUUUAGUUCUUUUAUUAAAAGAAAUGGUAAUAGUCUUUUCUCGAUUAAGUUUGUAGGAAUUAACCCGUGACACAAACUCAAUGAGAGGUUUUAUAAUUGUUGAGGGGAGAUCGGUCUCAAACCCUCAAAAAGUGAAAAUAUUAUGCUCGAGAUGUCUAUGCUCUAUUUUACCCUCAAAUUGUUUCCCAACUUUGAAGAGAGCCCUACCAAAUUCACGAAGUUUAGGAAAUGCCUCACCAUCAAGGAAAUGUGAACAUUUGGCCUAGUUGGGGUUCAAACCCGUGCCCUUAUAUGGCAUUAGUGGGUAAGAACACUACCACCUAGCUAGCUAGGCUAGCCAAAUAGAUAAUCAAAUGUCGGUUUCCAAUACUAACUUAAGAAAAAUGAAAAUUGCAAACACAAACAGAUAAUCAAGACAUAAAGCAAAGAACAACACAUUAAAGGAAAAAUAAUACAGCAUAACAAGUAAUAUACUAUUAAAAAAUUUCAUCUCAAAAGAGAAGGAAAAUCAGAGUGAAACCACACGUAAAUGAAGAAACAAUCAAGAGAUAGAAAAAUUAUAUCUAACAACAACUAUACUAGGGGAGCAAAUGAUAGAAUUUUCAAUACAUGUCUCGCUCACGAAUAUGAUUCCUCAGUUCAAAUCAGAAAUCUUAGUGCUUGCAUUGCCAAAUAUAUGAACCUCAUGGUACUAAUAACCCUUGCAUACAAAGCAUCCCUAUUGCACUAUAUUCAUCUUUCAGCAAAGCCAACAGACACAGAUCAAAUUCCAUUUUAAGUUCUAACAAAGGAAAUCAUUGAAAAUAGCACUUAACAUGGAAGUAUAGAUGAAAUAGAGCAGGGGAAGUCUUUUUCUCACCAGAGGCACCAAGAAUAAUUAUUGAGCUAAUCUUAGUACUUGAGUAGCAUCUGAGCCUAAUCUUGUUUUUUUUUUUUUUAUAAAUAUUCUUUCAAUAUUUUUAACCUUAAAUUACUACUUUACUCUUAAUAUAUGUAUGCUUAAAACACAAACCCUAAAUUUUGUUGUUUAAAUAUAUAAAAAAAUUAUAUAUGAAAUGAAUGAGUUCAAACUUGAGCUCGGGUAUGUAUAUCAUGUAAACAAACUCAAACAAGCCGAGCUCAAAUAAUUUGAUUUUGCCUCAAGCUCAAGCUUCUAGAAUCAUAUACUUGAUCAAGCUUGAAUUGAGUUUUAAGCAGCUUCAAAUAGAUCUCAAGCUUCUCACUGUUCAAGAUCAGUUCAGCUUGAUUGCAACCCUAGUUUGUGGUUAGUGUUACAUGAAGCAGGCUCAUUAUUCCUGUUAUCUAGUAAUCACCUGUUGAAACUAUUUUGUGUAAAUGGAUUGAUGCCAACUAGUUGGAAUUUUCAAAUCAGGAGGGUAAUGAAUCCUGACAGUGUAUGCUAAACUUGAUUUUUUUUGGAUAAACUUUGCUUUUUUUAUUUAUCCAAAGGAAGCAACAAAAGCUGCUACAAGUGUAACAAUCAAUAAAAGAAACUCAUCUCGCAAAUGUUCUUCAAAUCUCAGGGAAUCACCUGACAAUAUAAGUAUCUACUAGCACAUGGUCGGUUGCUGAAGCUUCCGCUCAAGAUUUAUGGCAACAGCAUCAACGAAGUCUCCAGUGGUCAAGUAAAACUCUCUUGAUACCCUGAAUUCAAAAGAAGUAACUUGGUGACUUUAAAGCCAUAGCUUGGUUUUGUAUUACAAAGUGGUAGCUGUGAGAUAAGGAAGAGCCGUCCAAUGAAAGGUCACAUUGAGGAAGUAAAGUUCACAAUGGAAAAACAUCGACAGUGGAAAAAUAUCUAACAUCAGGAGAACGUGUAACAUACUUGGGGCCAUGGAUUAAAAUGGCGAGAUCUUUGGUCAUUUUUCCUGCCUCAACUGUCUCGAUGCAAGCAGCCUCCAACUUGUGAACAAAGUCCAGCAACCUUCCAUUUUUAUCUAGUUUGGCCCUGCGAGAGAGAUCACAACGAACAUCAAAUCAGAGCUGUACAAAUGUUAAAAAAGAGAAACAAAAACAGCUACGUUGUACAAACAAUAAAACAGAAAAUAGAACUUCAUAAAGUGACAUACAACUUUUGACCAAAACUAUUUUUUGAAUAUUCGACCAAAAAUAUUUGAUACAUCAACGGAAAGCAUAAAUACAAUCAACUAUUCAAUGGUGGAUCUCGAGGUUUGAUUUGGAGGGCCAAAUAAUAUCAUAAUUUAUAUCAAACUCCUUUUAUCACGUGUGUGUAUAUUUAUGUACAAACAAUAUAAUCUUAAGAACAGAAAGAAUAGAACUUUACGAUAGUGUCAACAUAGAAUAGAAACCAAGAGUAAAAAUAAAGGUGAAAAUUUACACGAAGAUGAAAAAAUGUAAUAAGCUAGAAAUGGGAGGAAAACAAACAUUUGGUAUUUGUUUAAAACUUGAAAGUUUUGUUCAAAGUACAAAAGUUAAUUUGGUUGCUGUUAAGUUCUUAAUUUGGUUGCUGUUAAGUUCACAUGAUUGUAAUUUAAAAGUAAUGACAAGUUUUUUAAUUUUAAAAAUUUGUAAGUAAUUAUUUUAAAAUUUUGUUAUAUUAUUUUAACUUAUUUUAAUUUAUAAUAAUAUAAAUUUAUAUUAUGAGAAAAAAAAGAGUAAAAUUAACAAUUUUAAUAUAAAAAAAUCAAUUUAAAUUUAUGUAAUUAAUCUAUAUGUUAUAUAUAAUUUUUUUUUUAAACUUUGGCUCCCUUAAGUUCCCAUGAGGAGCCGUCUCUGAAAGCAUUGUUUAUGUAUCUAUUAUCAAAUUCUUUACAUAAAAUAAGCAGAAAGAAAAACAUGAAGGAGUUUAUUUGGAAUGGAUACUAAUCAAAUAAAAUUCAAAAGAAAGCUGUUAACUUCGAAUGCAUAAGAAACAUGAAGUACCUAUGCUCCAGUCCUCUUGUCCAUGCAAAUAUAGAGGCAAUACUGUUUGUACUGGUUUCUUGUCCCUUUUGAUAAAGCCUGAAAUGUCGAGUUACAGUCCCAUGAGCUGCCUCAGCUUCUAGUGUCUUCCCAUCAGAUGACAACUGCAGAAUUUGUGAUUUUGGAGAUUUUCAACAUUCAAUGGCCAAAAUGAAGAGACCAAUCUAAAACAAUGAGAAACAAAGUCAUUUGUUACAAACCAACACAGAAGUCAUCAAGCCCAAAGAGCCAAAUCCUGCAUACAGCAAAAAAAUGUUUAGACUCCACGAAAAACGGAGAGAGAUCCAGUUAAAGUUGAGCAUUGACUUGUAAAUGAAUAGAUAAUUACUGCAAAGAAAUGCAUCCGUCUUUUCAGUAGGAAAUUCAGAGAGAGAGAAAAGAAAAUUAUAUGAAUGGUUCAUUCAUUAAUGGAUAAUGCUAGACAUAUAAUUAAACUAUGAGUACCCCUUUAGACUUUCUUUUCUUUUAUGUUUGUGUGAGGGUUUGGUGGUAGGUAUUAUAAACUAUUUAAAGCCUCCAUCAUAAAUGAACCAUUAUUUUUAUUGAGGAAAAAAGAAACUCUGGCCACCUAAUUCAGAAAAAGCAUUAAACAACACCUUGAGCAAGUAGAUCACUUUGGACAUCUCCAUCAUAAUUUUUGCAUGCCCAAACAUAUCCCCCUUCACUUUUUAGGGCAUAUGCCACCAUGUCAUCAAUUAGUCGAUGUUCAUACCUAGAUACAGAAUCAACCAAAUAUUUAGAAAUACCUCAAAAGAAAUCUUAAGCAUAGUUCACUGAAGGAACAAAUCCAACCAUAUAGAAUGUGCUUCAAACUUGUCCUUCCAAUUUUUCUCAUACACAUCCUGGAAUAUGUCCUUAAACCUGUAAUGGACUUCUCAGAUGAGCAUUGUGCAAUUCUUCCACAAGUAAUAAAUCAUACAAACCUUGAGUAAAGAAGUAGUCCAAGAUACAUGGACAUUGGAGGAGGGCAAAUUAGAAAAGAAAAUAUUACCUGCCAUCAUACUUCUUAAGAAUAGUAUUCUUUGUGCUCAGGUAAAGAGGCCACUUCUUUGAAAAAGCCAAUGACAUAGAGGAUUCAGCAAAUACACGAAUUGACUGAAAAGCACACAUGAUUUUUUAAACUAAUUAAUCAAAAAAAGGCUCCAAACAUCUUGAAUAGUGGGUGGGUGUGAGUACAAAAACCUUUAAUACAUAGAUAUAUUCAUAUAGGAAGAGAUAAACACAAAAACUUUACGAACCUCAUCAACAUUAUACAUAGAAAGUGCUAUGCCAGGGCCUUUAAAAUUGUAGACAUCAAGCUCCACUGGCUUGUCUCCACCUUCUGGGACUAAGAAAGAAAAGAGACAACAUGCAGUGAAGAAUUAAAAUUUUAAGAAAUAAGGUUUUCCAGUUUAGUUACAUGGCACCAUGCCAAUCGUGACAGUUAAACAGCUUACCAAAAACCAUCUUAAGCUUUCCUGGUCCAGUAAUUAUUGUAUCAGUGGCACGAUACUGGUCACCAAAUGCAUGUCUGCCAAUACAUAUGGGUUUCUUCCAACCUAUAACAAGGCAAAAGUUCAUGGCAGCUUUCCACCACAUUUCAGUUACACUGUUACUAUGCGAAGAAAUCAUUACCGGGAACAAUUCUUGGAACAUUCUUGCAUAGGAUAGGUUCACGAAAGACAGUACCUACAAGAAGAAGAAACCCUUCAAUUAGGAAGCACUAAGAAACCCUUCAAUUAGGAAGCACUGAAACAAGGAGAAAACAUCUUAUAAAUAUUUAUGGUACUAGUAGAUGAUUUAAAAUCUUGUCUAAGAACAAAUCCACAAUGGCAGCCUAUGGAAGGUAAAUCUUACAAACUUCAGGAUAAUAUUUAAACAAAUAAAAGAUGAAUCCACAUAUGUCAAACAUUCAAAAUUUAUCCUUGAAGUAAGAGCUACAUGAGAGAUUAUUAAGAAAUAACCAUUCAAGAUGUUUCUAAUAGUCCCAUUAGGACUUCUCCACAUAGAUUUCAGUCCAAAUUCCUUGACUCUUGUCUCAUCUGCAUAAUCAACAUAACCAGACUUUAGCAUUAUAUAUGGUUAAGAUAUUUUUUUUUAUUUAAUGAAAAAACAAUGCAAAUCCUUGGAUAUUUGUAGACCUGUCACCGGCCUGGCCCGAAUUAGAUUUAAAUAAUAAAUUUAUAAUUAAACUAAAUUAUAAAAAUUUUAGGUUUAAGUCACAAUUUGGCCCCUGAACUAUACUUGUUUUACUACUUUGGUACUUCAAACUUUUUUGUCCCACUUUAACUAUCAUUUUCGUCCCAUUGUACCUCCAAAAAUUACUUGAGUUCAAUAAAAAUAUGGCAUGUGUCUUGUUCUUAUUGACAAAUUUUAUCUUUUUAGUUAAACAGAGACAAAAAUGAUAGUUAACCAAAGUGGGACAAAAAAAAAUUUAAGUACCAAAGUAGUAAAAUAAGUUAGUUUAGGGGCUUCUUUCAAAAAAAAGGAGUUUUAAGAGCCAAAAUGUGACAUAAACCUAUAUUAAUAUAUAAACAGUGAAACAGGCUGCCGGGCUGGGCCAAAUUUCAGUCUGGGCUUAGAAAACUUUUGGGACCAGGCUAUAGCCCGUUCCAACCAACCCCUGAACAGGUCUAGAUAUUUACCAUAAAUGAUAAGGAAAUACAUGAACUGACAAGAGUAGUAAAGAUUAAAGAAUCACGAGAAUGACUAACCAGGAGUUAUUGUUGCACAUUUGAUAGCAAUAUUAUACCUAAAAGAAAUAAGGACAUUAUUUACAACUGCAGACUUUAAGUGCAAAUAAAGAUACCAUAAAAUUCUUCAAAUUUUCAAGCAUUCGCUUUACAAUUGCAAAACUUUUUGCUUAAAUGAUGGAAAAUCUUAAAUCUUCCAAACUAAAAGAACAAAAAAAACACCGUUUUCCAAUCGGAUGCUAGAACUCUGUACAAAUCUCUUAACAAACCUCAACCUAGGCAAAGCUUUUUCUAUCAUCCAGCCUUAGUCCAAUGACUCAGCAAACAGAAAAAUCACAAUCGUUAAUAUUAAAACACUGUACUCAUCUUCGUCAUGGUACUACAACUUAUUUUAUCCAUUUACAAAUGGAUGAAUGAUAAUGUCUCAUCCGUGGCCCUAUUAUGUUAAUAAUGCAAUUCUAGAUACCCAAGCUUCUUUCAUAUCCUAUCAGAUCAUGUAUAUUAUCAACAGAAUCCAUUAGUUACUUUUCAAAAUUAAUAAUAAUAACAAUAACAGACCAAUGAUCAUGUCCAAAGAGCCUUCAGUAAAUACUACAUACUUCAGGGCUGCUUCAGCAGCUUCGACAGUAACUUUGUCAUCAGUCGCAUCCCGACUCAGUAUCCCUAAAUCGAAGUAUUUUAUGUUCAAAUCAAGAUAAGGUAAUAUAAGCUGCAAUUAAAUACAAAAACACUCGGCAUUCAGCAUUAAUUACAAAUAAAUAAUUAGCGAAAUGUAAAAGAAAUUCAUGAAAUAUGCUUCCAUACUUUGUCUUUUAUCAUACUCCAGAUAAUUCUCGUCAUUUCAUCACCUAAGAAUUACAAACAAAAAGAAGUAACAGUGAUCACAUUUUUCUAAAAUAAGAAAAAGCAGAAAACAAAAACAAUUAAAAACAAACAUAAAAACUAAUGUCAACACGAUUCUCAUCAUAUAUCGCCGUUUGGUCAAUUGCCUCACCAUCCAUCUCGACGACCGGAUUUCGAACUUGAACUCGAUCGAAUCCGCUGGUAGAAGCGUAACACCGAAGGGAAACGACACGAGAGAAUUGAGCGGUGAAAACGACUCGGUUGUUGAGAGCUCCAUUUCUCAGAGAUUUAAGAAAAUUAGGGUUUUUGUUUCUUAGAGGGGGAAUCGUCGAAGAAGAAGAAAACGAAGAAGAGAGCAUCUGUUAAGGCGGGUGAAGACGAGGAGAUAGCGCGGAGUCGAAGAGCGAGAGUUUUCCAAAAUUUUCCUUUUUUGACGCUCGCGUUUGAAGGACACUGCGUUGCCGUUUUGAAUGGUUCAUGUUACGGCUUUUUAACAAUGAAAAAUGUCGAGGACUUGCUUUUGUGGUAUUGUGAUCCAACGGCUACGGAUAGCUAAUCAACUAUUGGAUUAAUUAAAAAACUUUUGAAUUAUAAAAUUCCGUUUUCUUUAUUUUCAAAUAUACUAGUUAAAGUUUGAUGAUUUAGAGCUAGUUUGGCAAUGCUUUUAAAAGGUAAUUUUGAGAAGUGCUUUUGAAAAGUUUAAUUUAAAAUUUAAGUAUUUGGUAUUGCUGUCAAAAAGUGAAAAAUAAAAUGUCUAUUUUAGACAUGAUAUUAUAAAGUAACAAAUAUGUAUUUAAAUAAUGUUUAAAUUAGUUAAUAUUAUGAUAUUUUAGUAAUAAUAUAAAAAAUAAUUUAUUAUAACUUAUUGUUAAUAUUUUAAUAUAUAAUAUUAAUUUUAAAUAAUUCUAAGUAAUUAAUAUUAAUUAUUUAUUAUAACUUUAGCAGUCUUGUAGUCUGCUGGAAAGAAGAAAACAUAAGGCUAAAAAAGUCACAUAAUGCCAAAAGCACUUUUGGCUUAAAAAAAGUGGCAGAUUUGCUACUUUUUCAUCUGUAAAAAAGUGAUUUUGUUAAGUUGAAAAAUGGUCAAAGAUGGAGGCUGUUCUUUAAUGCUUUUAGAAAAAAAGUGAUUUUUGGGCAAAAGCCCAUCACAGAAGCAAGGCUGAACGGAGCCUUAAUUAGCAAAAUACACGAAGUCAGCACCUUGGGGUACCGGGUCACUCGAAAAGUAUGAGGAUUUAGGUAAAAAUAUAAGUUCAAAAAAUGAAGUUGAACAAAAAAAUAAAAAAUGAGGUUGAAUAAAAAAAAAGACCUGUUUAGAAAUCAAGUUGGGUCUUAGGUAAUACUUUUUUUGCCCGAGCUUGGCUCAACCUGACUCGAAUAUAGUUUUUUUUACUGCUUUCUUGCUUUUUUUCUUACUUUUUUGUUGUUUUUUUUAGUAUUUUGCUACUAUUUCACAUUUAUGUUUCUAUUAUUUUGUGGUUAAUAUUUGGAUAUUAUAUAACUCUUGUUUUAUUGUUAAUUUUGUUAUUAUUUUAGAGUUAUUUGUUUGUUAAGUUGCAUCAUCUUAGUGUUAUUUAAGUAUACAUAUUUUUUAAAAUUUAUUUUCAAAUUGUUGGGAAAUAUUUAUUUUAAUGUUUUUAGUAUUUUUGAUGUAUUAUAUAUAUUUUUAAAUAUUAUAUAAAAACUAUAAAAGUAAAUAAUACAGUUGGGCCGGACUUGAGUUUUAGCAUUUUUAUCUGGACCGGGCUUGGAUAAUAUUUUAGGCCCAUUUUUCGGGUCGAACCAAGCCCGGACCUAACAAAUGGGCCUAAAAUUUUUGUUGGACCCAGCCUGGCCCGACCAUGGACACCUUUACUUAGGGGGCAACUUUACUAUUUUAAAACAUAAAAAGUUGUUUGCCUAUGACAACAUGCAUGAAAGAAGCAAUAAAAUGCAAUCUUUUGUUUGCAUCCAACACAGCAAAGAAAUAAUGGAACCUAUGAUAAUACAAGCAUGCAUGAAUGCAGUAGAAAAAUGCAAUAGAAAAAGUAUACUAGCACACAAUAGGUAAAUAAUUAAGGUAGGUAAGUAGGGGUAUAUUAUUAUUUUUUAAUAAUAGUUCUAAAUAUUAUGCAAUUUAGUCCUUUUAGUUUGUAUAUAAAUGCACAAUCACUAUUCUCUCAUUUUCUGUCAAAAAAUUUUUCUUCUCUCAUUUUCUCCUAACAUAUUUUUCUUCUUUCAUUUUCUCUCCAACAUAACAUAUUUUUAACAUAUUCUCUACAAAUCCAUCACUAACAAUGUUAUACCCCCAUCCAAGUGAGGCCACGUGGCAAGCCAGAAGGAGACCCGAACAGCAAGACAGUUAGUGGCAAAUCGAAAAGUCACCCACAAGUCCUACCUUCCAAAACAACUAUCCAAACAAGUGCAAGCCAUCUGAUAUCCGAGUCUUCAGGCUUUUAUUGGGAACAUGAUGUUGUUAGUCACCAAACACUACGUGGGCUCAACCAUUCUAUACCAUCAAGUCAGAAUAAAUGACAAGAUCUGUCUCAUCACAAACAUCCUCGUCUCAUCAAAGGCAUUCACCCCACACAUUUCGUAAUGAUGGCUAGAUAGUUAGUCCAACACGUUAACAUCACUUUAAAUGGGACGCUUACCUAUAAAUACCUCUAGGAACGAUGAAGAAAUGAUUAACUCUCCAAAGAUACCAAGCUUAUACUCUACUAACUUACUUUAAAAUCUCAGCCUUAACAUCCUCCUCACAUCCAUUCUUUACAACCUACAGCUCUCCAUCCUGACUGGGUGAUUUGACCUAUAUGACAACCACCACCCUCUCCUAUAUACCUCAUCCUUGUUGUAUCAUUGCAUUAACACCUGGUACGGUGAGCGUAGACAGCAUGGCUUUACAACCCUAGAAUGGUAUUCCUUGUCAACCUAGCUAACCAGACCAAUGAUCCAGCCAACCAGACCAACUCCUUUGCUCUACCCAACACAUCCAUCCUGCCUAGUUUAGGAGCUUCUUCUGACCUAAAGACUAUUCAAGUUACUUCUUCUAUCCCUAAAGGAACUUCUCUGCAAUAUGCACAUGUUUUUUCCCCACCCUAAACCAUCUUAUAAAAGCUUUAGGUGUCCCUUCGAAUCCUGACCCUACCAUAUUCACAAUUCCAGCUAGAAUCGUCCCUCCAGCUACUUCAACUCCCCCAAGUACAAAAAAAAAAUUAAAUAUCACCUGGUGUGUCUCCCCUUAAACCCAUGGAUCAAAUAACACACUAUUUGCAAGAAGUUAUAACUUGCCUCAUAACUACACCACCCCUGCCUACUAUAAUCUCCACCCAUUUGAUCAAGGUUCUCACCAACAAGCUUUUGGAUCCCAACCUCAUGAUUUAGAAAUCUAGGAAAAGACUACUACAUUUGGAAAAACAUUUUUCUCAACAAGAGUGCCACUUUAAGGAACAUCAAGAAUAACAACGCAUCUUUGACUAAGGGAUUGUCAAAUUGGUAAAUGUGUUUAUCAAAUCAAUUAUAAUCUAGCAAUUACUAAUCUAAUUGAGUUGGAAAUUAUUAGGCAAAAUCAAAUAUAAAUUGUUUAUAAACUAAAUUUAAACCAUUAAUUAAACAACUUAAGCUAAACUUUCUUCCUAUUUUUUUAAACAAUGCAAAUGAUAUAAUGAUAGUUGAUUGAUUAGUUGAUUGCUAGUUAAACUAAUAACCUAUCCCAAUUAUAUUGCUAGCCAUUCCUAACUAGGAACCUCCUCUCGGUCUUAUCCUAAUUUGGAAUUACCAACUAAGUUCUCCUCUCGAUCUUACUUAGACAAGUAGCUCAUAAAUAUAGGACAUAGAAGGGUUGAGUUUCAAACUCAAAUUAACUACAAGGUUUCAAAGAAUAGAGGUUCACCAAGAAAGAAUGGAUAAAGGCUCAAACAAGGAACUAGGGAUACAUAUCAUUAAGGUUGGUCAUUAAGCUCUUGGCUACUUAUACAAUACUUUAGGUUAUCCCUAAACAUUUCACAAAACACAAUUUCAAUCAUGCCUAUAUUACCCAAUGAAUAACAAUUGAUUCAAACACUAUUUAUCUACAAGCAUCUAUACAAUCUAUCUAUCAUUUGGCACAAAAAUCAAACGUAUUUACAAAGAUUAAUUACCUUUAGUCAUUAUGCAAUUUAACAAAGUGAAUAACUAAUCAACUUUUAAAAGAACCAAAUUAUCUAACAUCAAUCAAAAUUUGCAUGCUUGAAAGUCAACAACCAAUAAUCCCAAUGCUAACAUGCUUCAAGCACCAUAUGUGAAUUUUUUUUUAAAUAUUUUUAUAUAUUUUUGAAAAAUUUUAAACAAAACAUAAAAUAAGAAAAUAAAACACAAAAAAUAAAAUUUCUAUGUACAUUCCCAUACUUAAGUUACAUAUUGUCCUCAAUGUGUCCUCUACUAAAGAUUAGUUUGAGAAAGCUCCCUCGAUUUAAAAUUAUGUGCAGCAAAAUGGUAGAGUAGUCUUCAAACUUCAUUAAAGUUCAUUGUUGUGUACUGUAAUGGCCUAAAUUCAAGGUCAUCGGAACAAUGGUUUUAUAACCAUAGAUCCGAUUUAAAGAGAAAUUUAUUUCAAUAUUUUUGCUUGAAAAUUGAUAUGAUAGGAAAAUCGUAUGAAAAUAUUGAUAGAAAAAUUUUACCAAUUUAGUGAUUAGAUAGAAAAAGAAAUUAUUGAAGAAAAUGGGUAAAAAUAAGGUAUCGAGACCUCUAUCUCGUAAAACCGAGUCAAAAAUAAUUUUAUAAAUAUUUAUGAAAUGUUAUUAAUGUGGUAUUAAAAUUUCGUUAGGAAAUUUUAAUGUUUGGGUAGUCAAUUAAAUGAAAAGGACUAAAUUGUAAUAGGUGUAAAAGUUGCUAGAGUGAUUAAAUAGCUUAAGAGUCUAAUGAGAAAGGAUUUAAAAGGAAAUUAGACCCAAAAGUUAUUUGGGCUGGACGGCAAGGGUAUGAAAUCAGCAGAAAAAUUGAUAAAUUAAGGGUAAAAUUGGAAUAUUGCAAAAUUAACUAAAUAAAGCUAGGACUAAAUAGGAAAUAUCUAGAUUUCUCUUCAUUUCUCUUCAAUUCCAGCAGCUAAAAACGCCAUAGGAGGGUUCUCUAAGCUGAUAUUUCAUAACUUUUGCACCAAGUGAGUUAAUCCUUGCCUUUUUCUUGUAAUUUUUGUGUUUCCAAGACUUUUACAACUAGGUCCUACUAUUAAAUUCAUUAGUUUUUGAUUUCAUCGAUGAAAUUUAAAGCCACCAUGGUUGAGUGCUGUAAGUUUAUGAUGAAAUAGAAUUAAAUUAAAGCUUUAAUUUGUUUAUGAGAUGAUUUUAUUAGGUAAUUUCAAUAGAAAUUGAUUUUUAGGACCUAAUUGUGAAAAUGCUUGGAAUUAAAGUCUAUUGCUGAAAUUAUGAUUCCUAAAGGUUGUAAACUAGUUUAAGGUGAUAUAAUAAAAUUUUAAUUGAGAAAAAUCAGCUCAAUUGAGAGGCUAAUUGAGUAGGGACGAAAUUAUCAUUUAUUAAAAGAUUAGGGGAAAAAUGGUAAUAAACAGCUUGCACAAAAACAGUUUGGACAGCAGCAGUAGACUAACUUUGAAAAAUCACCAUAAAUUGUAGAAAUCGAAUUAGAAGAUGAAAAAAAUACAGAAUUAAAGCUUAUUGAGUCUAGUUUCUUAUAGAAGAAAUAGUGUAAGCAAUGGAUUUUUAAAUUUUGAGAUAUAAUGAAAUUUGUGAGACAAGAUCAGAAUGAAUUCAGGUUCCCCUGUUCUGACUUUGAAAAAUCAUAAAAAAUUAAAAAAAAACAAUUAUGGGCUUAAAUUUAUAUUUCUAAAAUCCUUAAUGAGUCUAUUUUUAAUAGAAAUAAACGAUAACAUUAUUUGAAUUCUGUAUGAAGAGAUAAUUAAUUUUUAGUGAAAAAGGGUCAAAACCGUCGACAGCAGAACAGGGGUGACUUUAAAGAAUAAACUGUACUUAUUGGCUAAACCAAAAAUUCUGAAAAUUUUAUCGUAAAAAUAUAUAUGAGUCUAGUUUCAGAGAAAAUUAACAGAUCUUAAUUUUGAGUUCCGUAGCUCAAGUUAUAAAUAAUUUAGUGACUAUGACUCAAGUAGACAGCUUUGAAUGAACUAUAAAUAAUAGUUGAAUUAUAGAGAAUGUUGCAUAUGAACAUGAAAUGUAUUAAAUUGAUAAUUAAAUUUAUUUAUUUAGAUCCGGAAGAUUCACAUACGAAGCUAGAUCGAGGAAAGGAAAAAGUUCGGGAUUAGUAGAUUUUUAUGUUUACAAACAAGUAUCAAGGUAAGUUCGUGUAACUUGAAUUAUAUUCUUAAAUACUUGAGAAAUUAUGUUAUUGAUGUGAAUAUGAUUUGAAUGUUCAUUGUAUGAAAAUUUAUGAAACAUUGAUAUAUUUGAUAAAAUGGGAAGAAAUCUCGGUUGAAUGAAAGGAAAAUUCGAUGGAUCUCUGAAAAGGAAUUGACGGUAAAAAGGAUCUAGCCCGGACGGGUGAUCCUAUCUUGAUAUAGCCCUCCCGAAGAAUAUGCGUAAAAUGGAUUUAGCCCAGACGGGUAAUCCGAAUUAGGAUCUGAAUUUAGCCUGGACUGGUAAUUCAGAUCCAAGCUCAUUAGAGUAAUUGUCGUUGCAGGGGAUUUAGCCUGGACUGGUAAUCCCGACAAUACUCUAUGAGUUUAUAUUGCAGGGGAUUUAGCCUGGACUGGUAAUCCCGCUGCAAGGUUGAGGUUCGCGGGAGUGUGCUCUCUGAAAUGGAUAUGUACGCACAUGAAUAUGAAUUGACGGACACGGAAUUAUACAAUAAAUGUGUACCUUUGAAAAUCCAUUGAAAUUUCGAUAAAUUCAACGGGAUAAAUAUGGAAAAAUAACAAGGAAAUGGAAAUCAUGGUAUUGACGAGCUCAUCAAUCAUGGUAUAUAUAUUAUUGAUACAUGGAAAUUAUUGUACUAACUUGAAUGUUGAGUUUGUGCAUGUUAGGGUAAUAAUGCAUUGAAUGGAUAUAUGAAUGUUUAUUAUAUUAUAUUGAAAAUAUUAGGUAAGUAUAAUUCUUGUUACAUGAGCUUACUAAGCACAAAGUGCUUACCCCGUUUUCUUUUUCCCUGUUUUGUAGUGUUAAGAGCUCAGAGGUCGGAUUUAGUCGGAGACACAUCACACUGUCAACCUCAGGAUUUCGGUAUAUAAAGAAACUUUAUUUUGGAAAUCAAUGGCAUGUAUAAGCUAACAAGGUAAAUGUUAACGUGAAAUGAAUGUAAAGUUAGCCAUUAGUAUGGUUAACAAACCUGGUUUUAGAUAUGUGAUGACGUUAUCUUAUAAAUAUGCAUGAAUUUAUCUUGAAAAUAUGUUGAAUUGAUUUGGUUGAUGUGGAUUGGUCUCGAUUUAAUAUUGCAGGGAAGGUUAGAUAUUUAUAAAGGGGCUAUAUUGAAUAUAAAAAAAAAAUUUAAUUCGUAAACUCAGGUAAUGGCUCGUACCCUAUUCCGGCAAUGAAUACGGGUAAGGAUAUUACAUGUAGCUCUCGAUAGGUAGACCUACAUAGAAAAACAAAAUAAGCACACACAAAAAAUGCAAUAAUAAGAAAAUAAAAACAAAAUAAGAACUGGCAAUAAGAAAACUUAUCGGGAGACCCCGUGUCCUUUCUAUAGAAGAGCUUCCGAGAGGUUCUCGACAAUUUGAAUCGACAUUUGUUUUUCAUGACCAAAAUAAGAAUCCCCUUUUCGCUUAAGCACAUUGUCAUCGUCUUAUUUUUUACCUUCUAGAUAGCCACAUCACGAGCCACUUCUUUCCAAAUUCUAACUAAGUCCAAAAUUCAUUCUAGGGUACUAAAGCCUCGGGCAUCACAAACUCAAUGUUGUAAUAAGCCGUAGAUACCCAGUCUUCACUUUCUGCUUUGAACCAAAAAUAGAUAUGCUCAUUAAGUUUGCCGGUUAGCUUCUCUACAAAAAUGAUUGGAAAAUGUGUUGGCUCCUCCACACCUUCAUUUUGUUUCAGUUUAAGCUCAUCCUCAAUAUCUAACUCUACUUCAACUCCUACUCAUCCACACUUAAGGCAAUCCUCCUAUCUUUCAACUAAUAUUGGUCUUCUGAAACAACUAACUUAACAACACAUUUACACCGUUACAAUCCCCGGGCAACGGUGCCAACAACUUGAUCGCACCACAACGUACGAACACUAAUUAGAAAAUUAGCACAAAAUAUAAGGAUUUAAAAGUGGCUUUAUUGCAAGUGUGACAAAUAAGUUGUAAUAUUUAUAAGUGUUUCAAUGAAACACUCUGAGUAUUCCAAUUAUCGAACCUAAGGGAUUCCAAAUUGAUAAAUGUGUUUGCCAAAUUAAUUAUAAGCUAGCAAUUACUAAUCUAAUCAAGUUGGAAAUUAUUAAUGCAAAAUCAAAUAUAAUUUUUUUAUAAACUAAAUUUAAAAUAUCAAUUAAACAAAUUAAGCUAAACAUUCUUCCUUUUGUUUUAGACAAUGCGAAUGAUAUAAUAAUAGUUAAUUGAUUAGUUGAUUGCUAGUUAAACUAAUAACCUAUCCUGAUUAUAUUGCUUACCACUCUUAACUAGGAAUCGCUUCUCGGUCUUAUCCUAAUCUGGAAUUACCAACUAAGUUCUCCUCUCGAUCUCUCUUAGACAAGUAGUUCUCCUAUUGGUCUCACUACCCGAUACAAGUAUACUGAACUAUCAAGAAUAAACUUCCCUCUCAAUCUUGUUUAUCUAGAUUUUCCACUAGAGGCGUUAAUUCUAGCAUAUUAAUAAUUUCGAUAUAAUCAAACAAUCAAUUAACUAAGAAUAAACAUUAACUUAAACUAAAAUUUUUAACAAAACCACUAACCACCAACCAAUUUAGCACAUGAUCGUCAUUUAAUUCCAAACAAGCAUUUUAUCAAACACAUGGUAGGCAUAAAAUAAAUGUGAAUGUUUUAGGAAAAUGCCCAUUUAAUUGAUGGAUACCGAACGAAGCCCAAGAGUUUGAUCAUCUUACUUUUGCCUAGUCUUCAACAAGAAAGGAAGAAAUAGAAGACAACAAAAAUUAAAGUCUAUUCUAAGAAGAAAAAGAGAAGAGAAAACCUAAUCUAGUCUAACUCUCAAAACUAUUAUCUACUACUCAUCCAUUUCUUUUUACUCCCCUCCAAAAUGAUAGCAAAGUGUUGUUUAUAUAAGAAACAAUUAGAAGACUAAAAUUCCCUUAAUGUUAUUACAAAUUUUAAGGCUUAAAAUUGAAGAAUUACCACAAAAUGCCCUUAAACACACAAGUCAACAUACCUUAAAAUCGUCACGACAUACGGCGUCAACUACUCCUCAUCAUGACGUAAGGUUGUGAAGUUGUAAUGUUGACUGUUUCCACGUGGCGAUGAGAUGGCUUGGAUUGCUCCCCCAUGCUUUUAUUUCAAUGUUGUAGCUGCCCAGCCUCGUGGUUUCGACCUUGGCUACAGUUUAGCCCUUGAAAUGCAUCUUCAGCUCCCAAUUGAUCUAUGUAACCACACAAUUUUAUUUAGAUAUCAAAAAUAUAAAAUAACAUAAAAAUUACUCAAAAAUCACACUUUUACUACCUAAACUCUUAAAAAUGCAAAUUAACACUAAAAUGACUCGAUUCUACUUAAAAUAUGUUGAAAUGUGUGUAAAAGAACAACAAAUAAACAUGCCAAAUUACAGUAGAUCACUUAACCAUAAAGGGAGGCCAAUACCAGCAACCCUUAGCCUUGUACAACCAGUUUAGGACCUAUUAUGAGCUCAACUUCUCCUAGCCUAGGUAUUUGACCAUGUAUAAUUCAAGGAAUCUUAUCUCUCACCCAACUAGUAUCGCAGUAACUUUAAUCAUCACUACAAAUACCAUAACAGUAGGGGGCAUCGAACUGAGCAACAUAUGCAUUUAAAGAAUGCUAUUGAAAUGGCAAUUCAAAAGGGGCAUCUCAAGUUUAGCUAAACAAAGCUGAAGACAAUGAAGUAGGACAAUCAAGGUUAGAGUGCGAUGACAAGAGAAAGAAACCAGUAAGGGGAAUUAAUGAUUUGCUAGUAGAAGGAAGCACAUAGAUUAGGUCCAUCAAACUUGAAGCAGAAGUCUCAUCUAGGAAGUGUCUUAUUGGUUUUAGCCACGACUAAAAAACCAAAGCCUUCUCCAUGGGAGCCUUAAUUUUUAGAACAUGAUGAUAGGGAUGUUUUAGAUACGAAAAGUGAAGACACUUUGGUGGUCUCAACCAAUAUCUCCUCUUCCCAAGUUAUAAGAUUCUUGGUCGACAUAGGCAGCUUGCUGGAUAUCUUGACAACUAAAACGUUUCAUCAAUUGGGCUUAAGUUCACACAACUCAAGCCCAUAAGCCUAGUAUAUGGCUUCACAAACUAUCCAAUCAUAGUUAAAGGAUGUUGGAUCUGGUGUCCUAAGUGUAGUAUAUUCUUUUGUAAAAUUGUAAGUUUUUCAAACAAAUUGGUUAAUAAAAUAAUUCAUGGAUUACAUUAAUAUACUUUGUAUAAUGUCAUCAUGCAGUUUUUGCAUGCAAAGUAAAUAUUGACUCACUGGCUAUUUAAUGUUUAAACUAAUACUAAACAGUAUUGCACGGUCGAAUCGUAAUACGGAAAGACAACUUAUAUUAGUAGAUAAACCUAUGUUUGAAAAUCUGGUUUGAAAAAUGCAGCGAAAAAUAAAUUUAGGGAAAAACCAAAGUUUUAAAAGAAAAUUCCAGAACAAGAACUUAGUUGUGAUAUUUCAAGUAAUAAACACUUAAUCAAAAUUAUUCCUUUUCGAUUCGUCUAGGAUGAACGCUUCGAACGAGUAGUCUUCUCUGCUAUCCUCAAGCUCACGUCUGCCGAAUGUGGGCUCACUUCGAAUAAAAAAAUUUCACAAAAAUUAUCAAUGGGGUAAUUUUGCAAUUUCUCUAAACUCUUAGGCUGAGUUGUAAAUAAGAAAAAUAUCUCUAGAAAUUUUUUUGAAAUAAUUUCUUCAUAGAAUUUUCCCUCUACAACUUUUUCUUGAAUUUAAGUGUGUGAAAAAUAAUGACGCAAGGCUCUCUUUAUUUAAGUAAAGUUUAAAGAGAUCAACUAUGAUUAAACUUAACCACUUUAAUAUUAAAUUAAUAUAAUAUUUAAGAUUAACUUUAUUAUUAAAUUUUAUUAAAUUAAUAGUAUAUUUAUCUACAAGAUAAACAUUAAGUCAAAUUUAAUAUUAAAUAUAUUAAAAUAAUAUUAUUUUUGGAAUAGUUAAUCUAAAAUAAAAUUUUCUAAUAGAGUCUUAGUAGGAGUGUAAUUCUUCCAUUGCUCAACCACCGAAGAUCCACUACCAACAACCAUUUUUCGACCAUCGAAAUUUUGUCGUCGUAGCCACCGACACCCUGAGUUGGUUCGGUUUCUAUCGGUUCGACUCAAGCCAAUGACAGCCCAACCGGUCUGGUUUAGCCAUCGGUUGGACUGUCGGUCCGUUCGACAAACCAGACCCAGUUCGAGCAAUUUUUGAGUUUUGGUCUUGAUUUUGGUUCUCAGGCUUAAUUUACGAUCUCAGGUUUGAUUUUCUGGUUUAAUUACCCACUAGGUCAAUUGUCUUACUUGAAAUUAAUUUCCAAAAAUAUAAUAUUAAUUUUAAUUAAUUUGAUUAGUUUAAUUUUAUUUGAUCAAAAUUAAUUUUCCCUAAAAUCACUUAGAUUUUCUAAAUUAAUUUUUCAAGAAAAUUCUUUAAUAAAAUUCUCUAGUUGAACACUUCUUACGACUGCCCAAUUUAAUUCCACAUCAAAUAAGUCAACUCAAUUAAAUUAUUUCCAAAGUUGUAGAAUUGACUUCUAAUUCAAAUGCAGUCCAAUUGAGCUUUUGUUGAGCUAGCGAAUUGACUAAUCAAACAUAUACAAUUAGGCUCUAGUAAUUGCAAUUAUGUCCAGAAGCAUUGUUUCGAUAAUUCGCAAUUACUUAAUCAUGGAGUCAAUCUACAAAAAGUACCAUGAUUGAAAACUCCUUAUUUUAUACUCUUUACGAAAGUAAUUUAUCCAACUAUUUUGUCCAAUGACUUCGUCAUGUGUGUGUUACCCUCAUAUGAUAUCCUUGAUUCCUUUGAAUUAAAUUCCUUCACUCAAUACAAUCAUAUUUUAUCUCAUUGUCACCAUUGUGUCUUCUUAAUGAUUAAUAUGAUCACUAUCAACAAAUAGUUGUGAUAAAUUGCUCAUUAGAUAAUAAGAAACUCGUGGCCACGUUCCAUAUUUAUCAAUCCAAACAAUAGUAAUGAAAAGAUAUCGUUAACUUUUUAAUUGAGCUAUUAAUUCUACUGUUGCUAGUAAAUUCAUGUCAUACACAAAGCCAUAUACCCAACAUAUCGGCUAUUGGCCCGAUCAUCUUUAGAGCAUAAGCCUCCACUUAUAUCAAAGCACAUGAGUUACAUACGCACGGUUAGCGACUAACUUAGAAUUUAGGUAAAUCACACUAUGAAUGUCACGAGUGAAUUAAUUCACAAAUGGAUAGCUGAUAUCACAUAUCAUUCAGAAUAUAGCAAGUCGUUUGUAUCGCAUAUCAAGAGAAGGAAGUAGGGAGUUGUGAAUAGCUUAACAUUGAAUUAACCAUGUCAAGCAACAUUAUAUUCCUUUUCUCAGCUAUGCCAUUAUUUUGUGGAGUGAUCGGCCCAGUUAACUACGAUAAAAUCUCAUUCUCUACGAGGUAUCCAAAAAACUCAUCGGAUAAGUAUUCCCCACUUUGGUUAGGUCAAAGAUUCUUUAUGGAUAAACCUAAUUGCUUUUCCACUUCCACACGAAACUCUUAAAAUUUAUCAUAAGUUUCGCUUUUAUAGUGCAUUAGAUACACAUAUCCAUAUCGUGAAUAGUCGUCGAUGAAAGUUACAUAAUAAUCGUAACUUCCUCGGGCAUUGAUGCUCAUAGGACCACAUACAUCAGUGUGCACAAGUUCUAAAGAUCAGUUGGCCCAUAUAUCUUUCACAUUAAAAGACCUCUUAGUCAUUUUACCUUCUAAGCAAGAUUCACAUUGUGGAAGACUAACUUCCUUAAGCAUACUUAGGAGACCAUCUUUCACGAGUCUAGUGAUUCUUUCUUGGUUAAUAUGACCAAGUCUUAAGUGUCAUGGGUACCCCUCAUUCGAGUAAGAAGUUUUAAGCUUUUUAUUCACUAUUUCAGUUUGAAGUAUCAAAUAGUUAUUUGGUUUGAUAAAGUAGUAAUUAUUUUCCAUCCAUCCAUUAUAGAUUAAAAAAUGAUUUUUGUGAAUAACAAUCUCUUUAUUGAAUGUCACGAUAUAACUGUCAUAAAAUAAAACAUGUUAUAGAAAUUAAAUUCCUCUUAAAAUGAGGUAAAUAAAAUACGUUCUUUAAAACAAUCUUCCUAAAAUUAUCAAAAUGUAAAAUAACUUCUCCCACAGCUUCAGCUGAAACAUAGCUCCCAUCUUCAGCCCACAACAGGAGGUUUUUGUCACGCGGACUUCUAGUCUUGUUGAACCCUUGUAAAGAUACAUUAUUAGUGCCUUCAGAAUCAAUAACUCAAUUUUCAAUUGAUUCUUCCACUAAGCAAGCUUCAACCACAAAAAGUUCUAUACCUUUUCCCUUUUCAGCUAAGUCAUCUAAAUAUUCCUUAUAGUUUAAUCUAAAAUGUCCAUUCCUCUUGCAAAAGAAACAUUUGAUCUUUUUAGGAUCUUUUGACUUCUUAGCCUUCUUCCUAGCCACACGAGGUGGAAUCGAAGACUUAGUCAGUUUCUUCUUUCCUUUUGCUUUCUGCUUCCCUUUAAAGGACGAGGGACACACAGCUAAAUUUGCCUUAGUAUUCUCCUGAAUUGGCUUGCCACCAUUCAGCAUCAACUCAUGGGAUUGUAAUUCCUUCAUGAGCUAAGUCAAGGUAAGCGUCUUAUUCUCCAAGUUGUAAGCGAGCCUAAAACCAAUAAACUUAUUGAUUAAGGAUUUGAACACUAUUUCAAUCUAAUGUUCACGUCUAGUUCAACCCCAUUGUCUCUCGCUUCCGCAAAGAAUUCCCAAAAGCUUAAGCAUAUGUUCUUUGACCGGAGUGUUGGGUUUCUACUGAGAGUUCAUCAAAUUUUUAAUAGUGAAUUGUCGAGCCAAUGCGACUUGGUUUCUGAGCAAAUCCUCCAAAUUUGUCAUGAUCUCUUUGGUAGUACAGAAUUUCUCAUUUUACUUUUGCAACACACUACUCAUGCUUGCUAACAUAUAACAUCAAAAAAUCGAGUCAAAAUCUCUCUAGCGAUUUCUCACUUUGGGCCGAGCUUUAGGAGUACACGUUUUGUUAAAAAUGAAUUUGUGUUUCUCACAGCUGAGAAAUAUUAGCAAAUUCCAUUUCUAUUCUCAAGAAAAAUAUCUCCAUUUAAUUUAUUCUUAGUAAGAAUGCUAAUAAGAGGAGCAGGACACAUAUUUGAACUGAAAAAUAAAGAUUCACUAAUUACUAUCUUUGUAUACAAGCAAAUAUUUUCAUUUCAGCAACACGUCUUUUUAGUAUAUCUUUGAAAAAACAGUUUUCUGUUGCUACGAUCAUUCUCACACCAAUCAACUAUGUCGCUUUGGGGUCCCAUGAUUAACUAGUAAGAACAUGGACUCCACACGAACCAACAACUUUUUAACAUUUGGUCAUCAUCUCUAGCUUAAAUAUCGUUUCUUGGGAAACUAUUUAAUAAGAGAAGAUCUUGAGUGUGUAACCAUUGACUCAACACCCAUCAUGAACAUGCUUUCAUUUUUUAGCCAUCUUGGGAAAAUCUCACUAAAAGUCAUGCACGACUACUUUUCCUUAAAAGGAAAUCUCAUUCAGUGAACCCACAUGAUAAAGUUUACCUUGGGGUGCGACCAGGGUUGGAACCGGCUCGAAAUUUUAUCAAGCUAUCACUUAGGGACCAUAAAUAGGUGUCGCAGGUCUUGUUCAAAGACAUUCACCCACUCAAUAUUUUAAAAUAACAUGUAAGAUUUCUUUUUAUCCUAUAUUUCAAGAAUGUACAUACAAUAGUCCUAAUGGCUUUCUUACUUAAUCUAUAUGACAUGCUUCUAAUAUAUGCACGGUAUGCUAUGACAAUUUUAUAAUAUUCAUAAGAAUCAAUAAAACAUAAAACAAACAAUUUUGAUUUUACACAGUUUUUCUUUUAAGGGAAAAGCCGAGAAAGUGAAUGUGAACCAUGCACCAGGUACGGUCUUAGGAAAGAGAGGUGAGUCAAAGUCAAUCUUAGACAUGCACCUUCUCAUUACCACACAUCUCAUAGUAAUCGAAUAACCUAAAGAAGUGAAUAGAACAAUACAACACAUGUAUUUUCUUAUUACCACACAUCUUAUUUUUUAAUCGAUCAACUAUGGAUCAUCUCAUAUAUAUAUAUCACUAUUAUAACAUUACAUAAUAUAAAUAUUAUAAACAAUUAGACAACAUAUAUAUAAGGAGAUAGGUAAUUAAAAUAAAAUUGCUAGCCAAGGUUUCUACGGUUCUAUUUCUAGAAAAUAAAUAAAAAAAUAAAAUUACAUAGCUUUUUGCCACAAGGAAUUCCUUGGGUCUUCAACUGCCAUCUCUCCAUCUUUUCCUCAUCAUGAACUUCUUUUGAAAAAAAUUACAUUUAAGUCCUAUGUCUAUUUCUAGUUCAUAAAAAUUCUAUGAACUAAAAAAAAGUCUUACAUGGAAAUGAUAGUUCACGGUCUAUUUUCUAAGAACCACAACCUUGGUAAAAAAAUAAUUAUAUAACAAAUAUAUAAUAUCGCAUCCAUUCCCAUAUAUAACUCACAACAUGCAUAAGAUUUAAAGAAUGCAACUUUCUAUGUAAUCAGAUUAUUCAAGAAGAAGAGAAAUUUAUUUUGAUUAUCUGUUUAUACUUAUAGAUAGAGUACAACCUAACUCUGAUACCAAUUGUUGGAAAAUCGAAUUUAAAAAAUGUAUCAAAAAAUAAAUUUAGGGAAAAACUAGAGUUUUAAUUUUUUUUCCAAAACAAGAACUUGGUUGUAAUAUUUAAAGUAAUAAACACUUAAUAAAAAUUGUACCUUUUCGAUUCAUCUAGGAUGAACGCUUCGAUCGAGUAGACUUCUCCAUUAUCCUCAAGCUCACGUCUGCCAAGUGUGGGCUCACUUUGAAUCAGAAAAUUUUUUACAAAAAUUACCAGUGGGGUAAUUUUGUAAUUUUCCUAAACUUUUGGGCCAAGAUGUAAAUAAGAAAAAUAUCUUUAGAAAAUUUUCUAAAAUAAAUUCUUUAGAGAAUUUUCUCUUUAUAACUUUCGCUUGAAUUCAAGUGUGUGAAAAAUAAUGACCUAACGCUCUCUUUAUUUAGAGAGAGUUUACAGAGUUUAACUAUUAUUAAACUUAAUUACUUUAAUAUUAAAUUAAUAUAAUAUUUAUCAAGAUAAAUAUUAGAUUAAAUUUAAUAUUAAAUCUUAUUAAAUUAAUAGAAUAUUUAUCUAAGAGAUAAAAUUAAAUUAAAUUAAAUUAAAUUUAAGAUUAAAAUAAUCACUUUAAUAUUAAAUUAAUAAAAUACUAUUAAGAUAAGUAUUAAAUUAAAUUUAACAUUAAAUCUAUUAAAAUAAUAUUAUUUUUGGAACAGUUAAACUGAAAUGAAAUUCUCUAGUAGAUUCCAGUAAGAGUGUAAUUCUUCCACUGCUUAACCACCGAAGACCCACCGUAGUCAAUCAUUUUUUGACCCCCGAAAUGCCACCGUCCCAGCCAUCGGCACCCCGAGUUGGUUCGGUUUCUACCAUUUCAGUCCGGGCUAAUGAGGCCCAACCGAUCCGGUCCAGUCAUCGGUUGGAUCGUCGACUCGGUUUCACAUACCAGAUCCAGUUUGACAAGUUUUUAGAUCUUGGUCUCGGUUUUGACUCUCGAACCCAAUUUAUGAUUUCAUAUCCAAUUUUCAAGAUCAAUUACCCACUGGACCAAUUGUCUUACUUGAAAAUUAAUUUCUAAAAUUAUCAUAUUAAUUGUAAUUAAUUUGAUUAGUUUAAUUUUACUUGAUCAAAAUUAAUUUUCCAAAAAAUUACUUAGAUUUUCCAAAUUAAAUUUUUAAGAAAUUUUUUUAAUAAAAUUCUCUAGUUGAACACUUCUUACUAUUGCCAAAUUUAAUUCUACAUCAAAUAAAUCAACUCAAUUAAAUUAUUUCCAAAUUUGUAGAAUUUACUUCUAAUUCAAAUACAGUCAAAUACAAUUAGACUCUAAUAAUUGCAAUUAUGUCCAGAAGCAUCGUUCCAAUAAUUCGCAAUUACUUGAUCAUGAAAUCAGUACACAAGAAGUGUCAUGAUUGAAAUCCUUAUUAUAUACUCUUUACGAAAGCAAUUCAUCCAACUGAUUUUUCUAAUGACCUUGUCAUGUGUGUGUUACCCUCAUAUGAUAUCAUUGAUUCAUUUGAGUUAAAUACGUUCACUCAAUACAAUCAUAUUUUAUCUCAUUAUCACCAUUGUGUCUUCUUAAUGUUUAAUGUGAUCACUGGCAACAAAUGAAUGUGAUAAAUUGCUCGAUUAAGAACAAGCAACCUGUGACUACGUUCCAUAUUUAUCAAUCUACACAAUGCCAAUGAAAGGAUAGUGUUAACUCUUUAAUUGAGCUAUGAAUUCCAUUGUUGCUAGUAAAGUCAUGCCAUACACAAUUCAUGUACCUAACAUAUUGGUUAUCGGCUCAAUCAUCUUUAGAGCAUAAACCUCUACUUAUAUUAAAGCAUAUGAGCUACAUAUGCAUGGUUAGUGGAUAACUCAGGAUUUUGGUAAAUCACACCAUGAACGUUACAAGUGAAUUAAUUCAUAAACGGAUUCAGAAUUAAUUCAUCCUGGGUUUAGUCUGAUGUAUCAUUCUGCCAAUGAAUACAUUUAUGUCUCUACCCAUGGAGUCAACUGCUCCGAUAGCCAAGACUAGCCAUCUCCUCAACUUGAAUUGUAGACGACAUAAUAAUUCUUCUCAGUAUUUGAAUCAAAUGCUCACUUUGAUUAUUUUACGAUAUUACGAACUUGUUUAGAUUAUCUACUAAAGUAAGUUGUCUUUCUCACAAUGUAAACGUUCUUACAAUGCCACUUAUCAUCAAUUUGAACUUAGGCAAUCAAUGAGGUAAUAUUUAUUUGUCACAAUUUCUCUAUGCAUGCACAAUAUGAAAGAUAGAAAUAUGAAAGGUAAAAUAGUGAAAUGUGAAAUUUAUUUAUUCAUAGUUCAAAUACAUAGAAAACAAUUACAUGUUUACUACAAUAUGGGUACAUUUCCCAACAACCUAAACAUGUCGUUAGUAUAAUCGAAAAUGAGAAAACUAAUUGAAAGACUAAUAUAUCGUCUAUCAAGUCUGAUUGAGGAGAUGUCUUGUCUUGGGAUCGGAGAGCAUGACUCCUAAAAGAUAGAGACAUAAAUGAGACUGAAUAGACCAGCAGUACAUCGGGCUAAACCCCAAAAAAAUAGAUUUUGAAUCUGUUUAUGGAUUUAUUCACUUGUGAUGUUCAUAGUGUGACAUAACUUAAUCCUGAGUAGAUGACAGAAUAUGUAUGUGUGACUCGUAUUCUUUGAUGUAAGAAAAAGCUUGAGUUCAAAUAGAUAAGGAAUCGAAAGCUGGUGCAUUGGGUAUACGACUUCUGUAUUAUGGAUCGUCAUUCACAACAGCGGAAUUCAUAACCCGAAAUAUAGGUAAAUGAUAUCUUCUUAUUGGCAUUACAUGGUAGAUGAAAAAUAAAUAUGGUCAUGAGUCGUUUGUCUUUGUGAUGAAUGACUUGAUUACUAUUUGAUAGUAAUUGACUUUUUAUGAAAGAAGAUGUAAUGGUUACCAAGAGAUAAAAUAAGAUCAUAUUAUGAGAGUGGAUUUAUCCCAAAGAGAUUAAGGAUAUCCUAUAAGGGUUACACACUUAUGACAAGGUUAUUGGAUGAGCACUAGUCGAGUUACUUUCGUAAUGGUAUGUCAUUAAGGAGAGCUCAGUCACGAUACUAUAGUCGAAUAACUUCAUGACUAAAUGAGUUUAUAAUUACUAGGCGAAAAGUUAAAACUUAAUAAUAAAUCAUUUGAGCCCUAAUCACAUAUGUCUAAUUAGUUCCUUUCCUAGUUCGUUGAAAAUAGAAAUGAAUUGCAUAUUGAAUCAAAUAAACAAAAAUAUAUAGAAACGGUAAAAUUAGAGAAAUGGGAAAUGUUUAGAAAGGAAUGUGGUUUUCUCUAAAUAGAAAUGACCAGAAAAUUAAUUUAUAGUUUUUCAAAUUUUUAAUUAAUUAAUUGAAGUUCAAAUUAAAUUAUUUGUUCAUGUUGAAUCUGUUGAAUGUAGAAAUACUAAAUAUAUUUUCUCAUAGAUUCUUUUAUGGUAAAGUUGUCAUGAUUUUAACGGAAUUAGAAUCAAGUUAAGAAAAUUAUUUAAUUGGGAAUUUAAUUAAUUAAUUAAUUAAAUUAUGAUAUUUAUUUUGGGAAAUAGAAAAACAUGUAUUGAGUUAGAUUGAAUUAUAAAAUACUGGGUUAAAAGUUUAAAAAAUACUUAUAAUAAGACCCAAUACAGGAGAGGACCAAAAGCUUCUCAUGUUGAUACAUGAGAUGGUAAACCCUAGUUUAUUUAACUAAGGUUGCCGCCUCUCUCUUUCUUAGUUAGACUAGAAUUUUCUUUUUCUAUUGAAAUACACUUCUACUAAAUCAACAAGGGUUUCACUUCUUCUGCCUAUAAAUAGAUGGCCCCGGUAGGGCUAAAUACACAACUUUGAGAUAUUGUUAUUCUACCCAGAAAUAGUGAGAAUUUAUUUUCUAAAUAUAAAUUCUAUUUUCUGAAAUAACAAUUCUAUCGGUUUCUAUUAAAGAGAGAUUUUCUUUCCGACUAAAAGUAAAGUAAAUAAUUUUGGUUCUGUGUUUGAUUUGAAUUUGUUUGAGUCUAUACUCAAAGCAGUUCGUGGUACAAGAAUAGUGGAAAAGGUCAUUCGGUUGAAAGUCGAGAACGAUAAGGAUUUGUCUAGUUGAAGCACAUGUGUAACAACCCAUUUUUCAGUGGUUUUGAGACCACAAAUUUCCUUCGUGUCAGCCUGUAAAUAUUAUUUAUAGAAUAUUUAUGAUUCAUUAGAGUCAUAUGAAUUUUUUGUUAAGAAAUUUUACGGUUUAGAUAGUUAAUUAUAGAAAAAUGACUAAAUCAUAAAAACCGCAAACGGUUAAUCACUAUUGAGUUAAAUGUAUUAAUUGAAUAUAAUAUCAAGAUUAGAGGGUUUUAAUAGGUAAAUAGACCUUAUAUAAACUAAUUGGACGGUCUAGUAUGGUAUUUAAAGAAAUUUUUAUUGAUUUUAAAUGUUAAAAAGGUAAAUAAGUAUUAAAUAAACAAAAAUAAAACAUAAAAUCUAUCAUUUUCUUCUUUAAUUUUGAUGCAAAAACUGAAUAUCCAUGGUUUUUUAAGCUUGGAGAAUUGAUCAAGUUCAACACCUUUCAUGUUAGUGAUUUCUUUACCUAUUUCUUGUAUUUUUUAUGUUUUUGAGAUCAUUGCAACUAGGUCCAGCUAGUCCGUACCUUCAUUUUUGAAUUUGUUAAAAAUUUUGGAAGUUUCCAUUGAUGAAUAUUUGUUGUUUUUUUAUGAUAAUUAUGUGUUUGAAGUUUUGAUUGUGGUAUUUGGUUGUUUUAUGAAGUAAUUUUUAUUAUUUUUUUAUUUAAGGAUUAAAUUGUUAAAAUGUCAAAAUUUCAAGGUUUAAUGGUGAAUUAGAAGUGUAUUUGAGACUAUUUAAGGGUCUAGAAUAUUCUUCUAUAAACUAAUUUCUAAAAAGUGGUCAAUUUGGUGAUUUUAGGGUUAAGAGACUAAAUUGCAAAAGUUGUAAAAGUUAGGGAAAUUAUGUAAUUUCAAAAAAUAAAAGGGUAUGAAAUGCAUAAUUAAUUGGCAUAUGAAUAUAAGAUAAUAAUGGGAAAAUUUUACAUUUUAGAUCAAGACCAUAUAGAUUUACGAGGAAAAAGGAAAGUUACGGAAUAGUCCCUAAACUUCUGCAAAGUUAUGGAAUAGUCCCUGAACUUCUGCAACUACUACAAUUCAGUCUAGGUAAGUUCGUUCGGUUUGUAAUUUAAUAUUUAUAUGAAUUGUAUGUUGAUAUGAUAUGAAAUAGUGGUUAUUAAUUGUUCAAUUGAUGAUGUAAAGUUGUUAGGGAAAAUGUUAUUGAAUUUUGAUACUUAGGCUGGAUGAAAGCGAGAUAGAGUGCAACUGAAUGACGGUGUGUUAUGCAGUGAUUGGAAUGGAGAUUGAUGUGGUGUGCUUAUUAUAUAUUUUUCCCAAUUAUACUAAGGUUCAGCACUUGUUGCAAAACCCCGUGUUAUUUUAUCAUGUUCUGUCAUGUUAUGGGUCUAGGCACUUAGUGCCGAGGCACGUUAUUGAUUAGAUUAGCUCUGAUGAGUGUCUGGCGUGUUUUGGUUGGAUUACUUGUGUACUUGUAUCUGUAAGUCGUUCAUCAGGUCGUAAAUUGUUAUGUUAUAACUUGUUUAAUAACUUUGAAUGGCAUGACAUGUACUUGACAUCUUGAAUUGACUUCGUCGUGGAUAUAUAUGUUUUCCCGAAAAUUAUUAUUUGAGCUUUGAAUUGAACUAUACAAUUUACCGAUUUGACAUUGUAGAUGACAAGAAACUUUUAUUGUUGAAUUAUUUUUGAUUAAUGUCCGUCGAACUUACUAAGCUUCAAUAAGCUUACUUGUGUUAAUUUUUGUUUCUUAUAGAUACUUGUGAAGGUUAAACGAUCAAAUCAACACUCGAGUCACACUAUUCAUCCAUUUCGGUAGUUUCUGAACAUUUGUUUUGGAUUAUAUGGCAUGUAAUUAUUUCGUCAUUACUUUUUUUUUUGGUAUGUAAAUAUAUAAAGAGUGAGCCUAAGUGUAUGUAGAUAACCUAUUGUGAUAUAUGUAAAUGAUGGAAGAUGUCUUUGGUACAAACUUUUAGCAUAUGUAUGACAAAUAGAUUAUAUUGAAUUGUUGUGAAUUGAGGUGCUUAUGAUAGGCAUAUUGGUUAGAAGUUUAAGUUGUGUGAAUUGGCAUGUUUAGGUGAUGAUUUAUAUUGUUGUAUAAGUGUGUAUACUUGUAGUACCAUUGAAGGUACAUUGGUUAGGCACUUAAGAUGGUUGAAUUAGCAUGAUUUGAGCUUGUUUAAUGGCAUUUUGAAUAGGUCUAAUGGCUGGUAAAUGGAUUACUUACUAUCUAAGAAAUCUUGAAAUAGUAAACUUGAUAUUUAAGAUUCCUUUAGGUGUACACGACCUGGGACACGGGCUGCCACACGGUCGUGUACCACACACGGUCCACACAUGCUCUGAGACACGACCGUGUGUAUUAAGUCAGUGUGUUACAUGGCCUAGCACACGACCAUGUGUCACAAGUUAGAGAGUUACAUGGUCUGGUAUACGGCCUGUGACACGGCCGUGUGACCCAACUCAGUGAGUUACACGGGCAGAGACACGGGCUAGGACACAGCCAUGUGCCUCAACUUCUAAAGUCACACGACAUGGUGCAUUCCACACGACCGUGUGUCCCCUGUUUUUGAAAUUUUUCAUAUUUUUCCUAAAAUUUUUUGAUUUGUUUCAAAUUAGUCCCUAAGGGUUUUAAGAUUAAUUCUUUAGUCCUUAAAGCUCGAUUUAAGCCUUGUAGAUGUAAGUAAUUAUAGUAAUUCAAUUACUUUAUGGUAUUUGGGAAACUAUAAUGUAAUGAUUAUGAUUUUACCUAUUUAUUUCUGUUAAUUUACUGUAGCAUUCCCGUAACUCUAUUCCGACGACGGAUACGGAUUAGGGGUGUUACAACACGUGCAAUUUUGGUAAAGGGUUUAUUGAUAUAAAUAACAUAAACUGGCUCAGUUUUUUUUUUUAAAAAGUAGUUUUCCACUAUGCAAGAAACUAUUUUCGAAUCAAUUUUUUUUUCCAACAAUUGGUAUUAGAGCUAGGUUAUGCUAUGUUUGUAGUAUAAAUUGAUAUCAACAUUUUUCUCUCUUCUUCAUGUGUGAUUAAUUUUGAUAAAAUGUGACAUUCUUGGAACUGUAUGCAUAUUUAGAGGAAUGAAUGCAAAUGAUGUAUGCUAUUAUUAAUUUUGUCAAAGUUGUGAUUCCUAGAAAAUUAAAUGUAAUUAUUAUUAAUUUUCAGGUAUUUAUAAAUUAGAUCGUGGGCUAUCAUCUCCACACAAGAUUUGUUUUAUUAUUUUAGAAUAAAUUACAUGAGCCGGAAACGAACAUAGGACCUAUGUAACCUAUAUUUUUCGACGAAACCCGAAAAACUGAGACGUAUCCAAGCUGAUCGAGGUAACGUGAACUCGACUUAACCAAACCAGCGUAAACUGAUGGUAGUCCAGUAGCAAGAGGCUAUCGGUGGGCUAACAGAGAUGAUUGACGGUGAUUCGUCGAUGAGUUGAGGAGGUCUGGUGGCAGUUUGUUGGUGGUGGUAACGAUGACGACACAGAAAUAGUGGCAGAAAAAUAGUCAUGACAGCAACAUGAACCAGUACUGCAGUGGAAGUUCGUAGUGGCAAAAUAGAAUACCCAAAGUAUACUUUGGAGUGAGUAUUUUUAUUUUUAUUGCUAUUAUGAUUCGAAAACAAAAUAAACAAUUAUAAUCAAGUUAAACAUAUACAUUAAUAUGUAAUUCAAAUAUAAAUAUUAACAUGUCAACAUUUCUUGUCUCAUGCCUUAUUAUCAUGCUUUCAUGCUUGUCUAACAUAUCACAUGUAUUUACUUUGAAUUCAUCUAUAAUAAUAUUUCAAUUACAUGGAUUUUUAAGCAUGUCAUUUACACAUUAAUCUAUCAUACUUUUAAUAUAUCAUCUCAAUCACAUGUAUCAUAUGGCAUUUUAUAACAACAUAUUCACUUUCUCGUUUUGUAAUCAAAUCCAUUGAUUUGUUUUAUAACCAUAUCGACACCCAAGGCUCGUAAUAACAGAAUAGCAUGAUCCACACAUGCUAUCAUCAAUGCUAUGAUGUUCAUAUAUAAUUUCAAAAUCAACAUUCAAUAUUCAGCAUCAUUAACCAAUUUACAUGUUUAUAAUCUCUAUUAAUGGGAUAUAGAUCCAAGACGGAUACACAGAUUAACCAACAAUCACACCAAUAUAAUAGGCACUUAGUGUACCAUCAGAAUGUCUGAAGUAAUGUGCUUUCCGCGCCUCAUCAAUAUAAAUCGAAGUAAUCAUAUCAUUGGUAUGAGACCAAAAUAAACCCCGAAUACAAAUCCUAUGGCAUGCCAACUAUACUCGACUUAAUCCAAAACUGUUAAUAAGGUAUUUGAUAUUUCAAUGCACAUAUGAAUCACAUGUUAUAAGUCAUUACAUAGCAAUUUCGUCUCACACUCAAUUCAUUUGCAUAUAAAUACUUAUCAUUACAUGACAUUAUCAUGCUUUCUCAUAUUACUUGUCACAUUCAUUUCAUAUUCAUAAUUUUACCUCAAAUAUUCGAGACAUAUUAACAUAUAUAUACUUUCACAUUUAAUAUACAACCAAUAUGAUAAUUCACAUUAUUCACAUAUCAUUUACUAUUUGAAUUCAUUUUUUCACUUAUCACUUAUUUCAUAUCUAUACAUUUACUUUAAACACAUUAUACAUACAAUUACAAAAACUUUCAACAAUUCAUCAUAUUGCAAAUACUUACCAAUCAUGAGACAAGUAGUUUUUUACCUUAACCAAGUUAUUACUUAUCAAGCUAUAUCAAACCAAAUUAGCCCUAAUAACCUGUUUUCAGUGGUGUCGGAAACAGUGGUUUUGGGACUACAAUUUUGACAAGCGAGUUAGCAUAUUGUUAUUUAUUUAAUGUUUAUGAACAAUUAUUAGAGUCAUACUAAAGUUUUGUUAAGAAAUUUUAACGUUUAAAUAGUUAAUUAAUUAAAAAGGACUAAAUUGUAAGAGCUUUAAACGUAAGUUUCUAUUAGUUAAAGGUUUCAAAUGGCUAGGAAAAAAUAUGCCAUUUGAUUUUAUAGUGGACAGUUUUGGUGAUUAAAUGCAUGAAAUUUGAUUAAAUUUUAAAGGAUAAAUUGGUAAUUUAGUAAAUUAAUAACAUAAACUAAAAUAAAAAAAAAUGUGGUCAUCUUCUUGCUUGAGAAAAAUUGAGAGCCGAAAACACCAUGGGAGGGUAUUGAAGGUUUGGCCAAACAUCUUCCUUGCAUGCAUGUGUUUUUGAAAUCUGUUUUUAGUGAUUUUUACAUUCUCGAUAUCGUUUUAGCUUAAUUUAGUUAACCUGGGAGUCAAUUCGUGAAACUGCUAAAAGUUUAGUGAAUUACCAUGAAUGUUUUUAGUGUGUUUUUGAAUUGUGUUGAUUUAUUCAUGAACUUGAUAGUUAGAUAUAAGUAUUUUGUUAAGUGAUUUUUGGUAAUUUUAAGGUUUAAGGACUUAUUUGUGGAAAUAGUAAAAUUUCAUGGAACUAUUGUGAAAUGAUGAAAAAUAUGGGCUGCAAUGGGUCAUUAGGAAAUUUUACUAGCAUGAUUGGAGAGUAAAAGUGGUUAACUUGCAAGUUUCAGGUUUAAGGACUAAGUUGCAUAAUGAUUAAAAUAUUGGGGGUAAUUUUGUAAAUAUUAUUAAAAGGGCUUAUUAGCUUAAGAAUAAUUAAUUGAGAUGUUUGGAUGUAUUAAUUGAGUGGAAAUUUUAAUUUAGAUCAAGAAAUAACUCAAUCAGAUGUUAAUUGCGGAAAAGUGAAAGUAGCGUAAUAAACGUCAAUUUCGUGUUUGUGAUUGUAUCUAUCUAGGUAAGUUCAUAUUUCAACUAAAGUAAUUCAUUUGAUUGCUAGAUGUAAAUUGAUAUAUAUAUCUAUAAAUUGGUGAUUGGAUUCAUUGAUUAGAGAAACGAGAAAAACUAUGAUUGAAAGAUAUCGGGACAUUAUACCUGAAAUGAAAAAGACCAUAGUUGAAAGAUAUUAUAGCAUUAAAUCGAAACAGGUAAGACUCUAGUUGAAAGAUACUAGACACUAUAUCGGAAAAUGAACAAGACCAUAGUUGAAAGAUACUAUGGCACCACUCUAGGAUUGUGUAAGACAUUGGUUGAAAGAUACCAUGGCAUCCUCUGAACAAUGAAAUAAUCGAAAAAGAUAUCAAUUGAAUGGUUAUUAUAUUAAUUUUCUAAGGUUUUUCAUGUGAAUAAGAAUUUAUGAGUACAUAAGUGAGAUUUGAGAUAAUAUGUGCUUUAUGUAAAGUAAUUUUACUAGGUAAGUUAUGUUUACAUAUAUUCGAACUUACUAAGCAUAUCGUGCUCAUGUUAUUAUGUUUUUCUUGUAGAUUACGAAAAGUCUAGUUGAUCGGGAGUUCAAGUUGGGGCAACAUACUAUCCAUCUCUCAUCUUGGUAGAUGUUUUGAGUUAUUUUGGAAGUUGGUUAUGAAUGGCAUGUAUUACGAUCUUUUGGUUUAUUUGUUCAUGUUGUUAUGUUUAGUAUUUAAAAUGGUGUUACUUUGUAGUCAUGUAUAUAUGUUUGGUAUUUUGGUUUAAUGGUAUUGUAAUAAAUGCUUUUCGUCUUUGGUGAAUGCUUUAUGAUUAUAUAUAAAUGUUGUUUAAAGGAUGUGAAGAAAUGGAAUAUUUAAGUAGUGUUAAGUACAUAUUUUAGAUAUUGCCUUGGGAUGAAAUUGUGUGAUUGUUGGAAGUAGUCAUGAAUGAUUUGAAUUAAUGAUAAAUUAGGUAUGUGAUUAUCCUUGUUCAAUGUGAAUUUGAAUGCAAUAUAGCUUAGCGUGUGAUAGGUGUUUGAUUUGGUUUAUUUCGACAAAUGAAUUGUGGUGUCAAUGAGGGCACAUUGGUUAGGCACCUAGGUUGAUUGAUUUUGGCAUGUUUUAGGUGUGUUUAAUUGAGUUUUAAUGUGUGAAUGUGUUUGGAAAUGGUAUGUCUUGGUGUGUAAGAAAAGGCUAUUAAAUUGGCUUGCAUUAAGGGUUAUUUUGGCAGCACACGGCCUGAGACACUGGCUAUCACACUGUCGUGUGCCACACAGGGUCACACACACGACCAUGUGUCAUUUAAAUUUUAAGUGCAGGACGAACAACACAGUCAUAGAGAGUUACACUGCCUGGUGACAUGGCCGUGUGACUUUACUUCGAAUACACACACGGUCUGGCACACGGUCGUGUGACCCCAUUUCGAAUACCCACACGGUCGAACACACGGGUUAGGAUAUGACCAUGUGUCCCAUAGUUCAAAUGUUACACGGUUGGCCACACGGCCAUGUUUUGAGUCACACAACCUAGGCUUUGUCACACGACCAUGUGAACCCUAUUUCCAAAAUUUUCUGUUUUGUUUCAAAUUAAUCUUUAAAUGUUCCUAAAUUAUUUUUAAGGCCCCGUAGACUCGGUUUAAGGCUCAUAAGUGCACUUAUACUAUAAAUGAAGUGUGUAUUUGAAUGUUGGUUUGUAAAUUGAAUAAUUAUUUUUGUUUGAAGUUAAAUGUUUCGAAUUGUAUUCUAAUACUUCGUAACCCUAAUUUGGCAACAGAGACAGGUUAAAGGUGUUACAGUGCUACUCAUCUAUAGCCUUUGCCUUUGCUUAAUCCCACAACAUCUCAACCUCGCCUUUAAUUACUUAAUUUGGUGACCGAAUGUUAAAAGGAGAAAAACCUAAAAUUUCAAAUUUUCUCUUAGCAUGAACGACAUAAAGGAAGAAGAAAAUGAAAUGGUUUUAUCUCUCUCAUAACUCAUUAUAUAUACUUGGAUUAAUGAACUAAUUAAACUUAAUUAGAAAACAAAUCUUAUUUAAUUAACUAAAUAAAUAACACUAAUCAUCAUUUAAUAUACUUAGUGGAAAUAGAUGAAGUAAAUUGUUGUUAUCCACUAACACAUUAAUAAUAAUGGUUAAAUAAUCAUUAGGUCGUUUGCAUAAUUUUUAAUUAAGCCCUCAAAUAUAUAUUUUUUUAAAUUAAAACAUAAUAGCUAUUGUACAUUUACGAUUUAAUUCUUAUACUAUAAUUAAUAAUUUUCUCGACUUAAUUACUUGAUUGUUCAACAAUAUAUAUUUUUGGUGACAACCGUUCAACAAUAUAUUUUCAUACUAAAUAUGUAGAUCCUUCUAUUCAUAAAUUCAUCAACUCAAUUUACAAAAUUCGAUUUCAAAACUACAUUUUUUGACAUUAGUUAAAAUCAAGUCAUUGUAAAAAGAUAGAGGAAAUCGAAGAAAGAGAAAAAGAGAUUUUAGAGAGAGAGAGAAGAAAUAAUAUGAAAGAAAAAGAAAUGUGUUGAGAGGAGAGAAUGAAAAAAUAUCUUUUUUAUUUUUUGGCAAGUGUGAUAUUCUAAUUGGUUAAAGUGCUUUUUAAUGAAAAUAUAAGUUGGAUAAAAAAAUAUAACGGAAUAAUAGUUUAAAUAUAUUUUUAACAAAAAAAAUUAAGUACCUAAAUGAAAAAAAAUCAUAAUAUAGGUGUAAAAUUUUCAUUCAAGUUCUUUUAUAAAAAACCCAAACACGUCCUAAGGCUUAACACUAUGUUUGGAUAAAUAAUUAUAAAAGAAAAAUAAAGAAAAUGGAAAGAAAGGAAGAUUAAGGGACGGAUAUUAUAUAAGAUAAAAUUAGUAAAGUAAAUGAAUAUGUAUAUUUUGAUAAUAAAUAAGGCAACUAAGUGUCUUUAGUUAGCCUUUACAAAGGAAUUACCUAAUAUAUCUUCUAACAAAAAAUUUUUAAUAUGAAAAUCAAUAAUUGAAAGUUUGAAUUUUCCUCUCGAACAAGUUCUAACGAUCCAAUUAGUAAUCACGUUUCCUCCUCUUUGACUAAAUUGGAACUUCAUUGUUUGAAAGUACCUAUUACCUGCAAAGAUCUUCCAAACCAAAGACAACAAGUUACCUUCCUUAAAUUUAUUUGUAAGGUACUCCAAAGUAAAGGAAUAUUUAUAAUCAUUAAAUUAAUAAAAUGAUUGAUUAUAAUAAUUCUGUUUUUCAAUUAUACCCUUUUGUAAGUAAGAUUGGUCAACUAAAAACAUUUUACUAGUAGAUAGUGAGAGAUCUCUUUUUCUUAUUCUUCUUCAAUUUUCUCUAUCAGAUACGUAAUCGGAGCCGCCAUCUUUCUAGGAAGCACCUCGUUGUGACAUCUGCAAAUGCAGCUUCAACACUUUCAGGCAUUAAGGUAUUUUCUUUCUUUUCUCAAAUCUUUUACUUUUUUAAAAAAAAUUCAUUUUCUAUAUGAAUUAAAUUUACCGAUCGUUUUUAUUUUACUCUCAGAAAGAAAGCAUUUUGGGAUUUAGUUUUUGAGUUCUCACUUCUCAAAAAUGAGCGUUUUGACUAAGUAGAGCUGUAGCAGAGCCAUGAAUCCUUGGGUUCUUCAUCUCCAAAAACUGGGUCUCAAGCUUAAGUGUCCUCCCCUUUUGAACUUGUUUAAGCGGCCACUGUUGCUCCCUUGCAGUAGUGGAAUCUAUAGAAAUUUGGGUUCUGCAAACAAUCUCAUUCCAUUGAAGAUGGGUAGGCAAAAAGGAAAAUUUUGAUAAGUGCAACAUUCAAAGACGUGCUACAGAUGAACAAUAAGAUGGGGUUGAUUUGCUAUGAUCAGUUUGAACAGAAGAUGCAUGUCCACAACUUGUGUAUCGAAUGGGCACCUGGAACUAUGCUGACUUUCUUUUGUCAACUAACUAAAGAAUGACAAUAGUUGAUUCUUUUUAGCUAGAAAAUGAUCACUAACUUACUAAGCUUUCUCUUUUAGAAGUUACAACUUGCGUUGAGGUGGAAUUGAAUAGGCGAUGCGUUUACUGAAAAUUAAUAUAAAAAUAGCGGUGAUGAUAAAAUUAAAUACUGUAGUAAUUCUGUAGUGUGAAACAAAAAGUAAACUAAAUAUAUUACACCGCACCCUACUGCCCAUCUAAAUCAACCCUUAAACUCCUUUCUUUGUAUUGGAAUAGUUAUACGAGCUCUUUUGAGUUGGGCUGUAUUGUUGGAGAAUUGAUUGAAAUGUAAAUGUUCUGUGUUUGGCACGCCAAGGAAAUAUUAUUUCUAUUCUCAAUAAAUAAACAUGAGGUUUUUCAUUCUUUUAAUUGCUGAUUCAGAGUUCAUUUGAAGUUGAGUUUUGAAAUAUUUUUGAUGAGCGAACUAUUUUAAAAGAAAGAAUAUAAAAGAGUGUUGUUUCAUAAAGAUAACAUGAAUGUGGUUAAAACCAUUAAAGAUAAAUAAUCAACAAUUGUGAAUUCAAUAUUGGUUAGAAGAAUCAAAUAAAUAUUAAAAUAUGAAAGACUGUAAUAAUUGAACUGCUGAUGGGAUUGUAAAAUUGAUUUCUAAUAAUAAGAAAUGUGUCUAAAUUUUUGAGAAAAUUCUUUUAAGGGAUUUCGCAAGACUUAUGUUGAGAUAAAACAAAUGAAUUUUUAAUUUCUAAUAAUUUAGUAUAAGCACUUUGAAUUUGGUGAAAAUCAAUUUCUCCAAAAAUCAAUCCAUCUUUCAAAAUCCACUUUCCAGAAAUUUUUUUCACUCUAACAAUAACACCCUAGGUAAUUUAAGUAAAAUUAAGGGUUCAAUACCUUUUCCUUUCCCUUGAUCGAAAAAAAAUAAAAUAAAUAACGAUAAUUAUUUAAUUAUUAGUAAUAUUAAUCAAAUAAAAAAUAUAAAAUAAUGUAAAAUUAUUUUAAUUUUUAAUUUUAUAUGGUACAAACGAAUUAAGAAUUGAACUUAAAUUAUAAAAUUUGCAUAGAAUAUUAAUUAAAAUUAAAUACUUGUUGGAUAAAUAAUGAUAUAAUAAUAUAAUAUAAUAAAAAAUAAAAUUUUUUCUUUAUUGAAUUAUCUAUUUAUAAUUUUUAUAUAUUUUUAAAAAUAUAGACUGAAUUUUGCACACCUAUCCUACGUAAAAAGAAUAAAAAACCGCAGGAAGUGUUUGUUUCGCAUGAAAAUGUCGCGCCCAAAAUAGUAAAAUACACCUCAAUGCACCAAAUCAAACCCUAAAACCCUCCAUUUUGUUGCCACCAAAGCGUUCUCCCCCCCCCCCACCCUUAAACCCUAAACCCCAGAAAAUUCGAAACCGAACUCCUUUCUUACUCUACAAUGGCAAUGUUCUCACUAGCUAUCAGAGCUCGAGCCAAAGCUAACCCUCUCCUAACACGGAGAGCCUUACAUUUUCGCAACUUUUGCAACGGCCGUUUUGGUUUAUCGACGUCGGAGUCCAACCCGCCUGACCGGCCAGUGGCGGGGACCAAGUUUCUCGAGUCUUUCAAAGAAGAGUUCGAAAUUGGAUCUCGGGUAAUUUCGCUUGAAACGGGUAAAAUUGCUCGUUUUGCUAAUGGGGCCGUUGUUUUGGGCAUGGAAGAGACCAAAGUUUUGUCCACUGUUGCUGCCGCUAAAGGCGACGCUGUUCGAGACUUUCUACCGCUUACUGUAAGUAAUAUUAUUCAAUUUUGUCUUCUCUUUUUCUUCCUAAUCUAGGGACAAUUUGAACAUCUUUAAUGUUUUAGUUUUCAUUUUGGGUUAAAUUUAAUCUUGGGUCAUUGUUAUUUAAUAAUGUUUUGUUCCAUACAAAUGUUCUAAGUUUGCUCAGCUAUUUAGGUUCUGUUUGGAUUGUAAUUUUGCUUUUUGAUGUUUACUUUUUGAUUUUAGUUUUAUAUAUGGCGUUCUUUACUUUCUAUUGAAACAAAUAGAAAAUAGAGAAAGCAUGAACCUUAGUAUGUCCUUGAAGAGGGUUCUAAUUAUGGGUGAAAGAGCAAGUUAUUGAUUUUUUAAAGGGAUAUGAAAUCUGGGUUUGCAGAAUUGUGCUUGGUUAUUUGUUUAUUACUAUUUGGUUAUUGCUUCAUCAGAAGUUGUUCUAUAAAGAGUAGAAAGCAAAUUUAUGAUGAAAACAUGACCUAAAAUCAAACCCCAAUUUUAACAUAGUUAUUCAUAUAAAAGUAAAACCAUGUAUUUCCUUGUGUAGAAAAUACAAUUUUUCUUUUUUAGUUCUUAUGAACUUAUAUUUUCUGAUUUUGCAUCUAAAUCAAGAUUUUUUUGCAUUUUGAUCUUGUAAGCAAGAACGCCCAACAAAAUUAAUAAGGGGCUCUAUUAACUAUUGAAUUGUAAUUGAUCAUUUGGUUAUUCAUGGAGUAGACAUUUCUUGAAUGUUAGGGGCUUGCUAGUGUGUGGUCUCAUUGGGAAUUUUCUUCUUUUAAGGUUGAUUAUCAAGAGAAGCAAUUUGCUCAAGGUCUGAUUCCAAACACAUUCAUGCGGAGGGAGGGUGCUCCAAAAGAACGUGAACUUUUAUGUGGUCGUCUCAUUGAUAGGCCCAUACGGCCUCUUUUUUCCGCUGGCUUUUACCAUGAGAUCCAGGUGUUGUUACUUUUCAGAUUCAAACAUGUGCAUGUAUAAAUAUAUUUCAGUUGUCAAUUUGAUUGGCAUUGCCGUAUUCAAUAGGUAAUGGCAAGUGUUCUUUCUUCUGAUGGCAAACAAGAUCCAGAUGUGUUGGCAGCUAAUGCGACUUCUGCUGCUCUUAUGUUAUCAGAUAUUCCAUGGGGUGGACCCAUUGGAGUGGUACGGAUAGGGAGAAUUUGCGGGCAGUUUAUUGUUAAUCCAACAAUGGAUGAGGUAUAAACAUAAGCUUUUGUUUAGUUAUGGAUGCUGAUUAAGGUGCCUCUUUUGUGAUUAUUAUAGGUAGUCUUAGGUCAAGUGUAGAGUUUUGACUUAAUUGUAAUUUCCGACUUACCUUUUGUUUUUUAUAUAUUGUAAUGAGUUAGUUGUUAGAUGCUCAUCGUAAAGUUAUCUCAUUGCAAAGUUCUUGCUUAUGUAGGACAUGUUUAGUUGUGUCAUUAUUAAUUCAUGGUGUUUACCUUCUUUGUUUACCUCGUGAAGUAAAUCAUCUGGUUGGAAACUAGCUAAUAACUAAAACACUUAUUGGAAUCAUGGCUAGUUAGAAAGGCAUAGUGUAGGGGCAAAUAAAGGUAAAGACUGGUCUCAGUGGCAUGUGGUAUAGUUUGUUUAUUUAUUCAGGUUUACUCAUACUGCUAGGUUUUCUUAAAUUCUGGCGGAUUGUAUGAGAUGCUAUUGUUAUAGUUGGACCAUGUUGGGAUGGUGCUUUCAGUGUAGCUCUUAUAGGCUUUUAGCAGAUGUGGAGUUGCUCAAGACUGCUUUGGAUGCUUAUAUGAACUUUCAAUUUCCCCACCUCCCUUCCCUUAGGAUCUGGAUUAAAAUUUUUUUUCGUUCAGUUUUCCCUCAGUUGGUAUUCCCUUAUAUUUCCCAGUUUGUUGUCAUUUCUUGGGUUCUGCUCUGGUCUCACCUUGAUGGUCCUUUGAUACAAUUUUAAUGUGUCAUGCACAUUGUAUAUAAUGCUAUUUAUUGUUAUUUGGCGAGGAAAGUUGUUACAAGUUUGUCUAACCUAUAUUGAAGUUGCUUUUAGGCUUUGUAACCCCUGUAAAUCUGGUUACAAUGAAUAUAGAUCUGUCAGUUACCCUCCUCUGAUAAGUCCUUAUUUGAUGUGGUUCAGCUUAGUUUAAGUGAUCUCAACUUGGUAUAUGCAUGUACGAGGGACAAAACCUUGAUGAUUGAUGUGCAAGCUCGCGAAAUCACUGAGAAAGAUUUAGAAGCUGGUUUAAGGCUGGCUCAUCCGGAAGUGAGUCACAGGCUUGUCAUAAACUUUUCUUGUGUAUCAAUUAAUGGAAAAUGGCUUUAAGAUGGUUUAUUGAUUCAGGCAGUUAAAUAUCUGGAACCUCAAAUCAGACUGGCUGCAAAAGCUGGCAAACAAAAGAAGGAAUACAAAUUAUCCAUGGUCUCAGAACAAUUCUUUGAGAAAGUUAGAAAGCUGGCGGAAGCACCAAUUGAUGCUGUUUUUACAGAUCCUUCCUAUGGAAAGGUGAUUACAUUUCUCCUUUCACCUAUCUUUCUCUAGAUAUGAAAAUGUUACUUAUAUACACAGAUUCAUUAGAGUUUCUUGUUUUUAAUUAAUUUAUUUUAAUGUAUUAUUGGGUUUCAUGCUGUGGUAAUUUGUAAUAAUAUAGUUUGAACGUGGCGAGGCUUUAGAGAAGAUAACACAAGAUGUAAAAAGUGCACUUGGAGAAGAAUGCGAUGAGCAAAGCUUAAAAGUUCUGCCAAAGGUUGUGGACACUGUCAGGAAAAAGGUGAGCUCUGGAUAAAGCUGUUAAAUGAGUUUCUUUUUCAUCUUUUUGGCUUGACAAAAGAUUUGAUUGCAUAACAAGUAUAACUUUAGACUUUUGGUGAUCUUGAGCAAUCUUCUAGUUUCUGAUGAUAAGUAAAUGGGAAUUUAAACUUCCUUAAAACUGAAGAAGGGGGAUGAAAAUUGGAUGAGUUUUGCUUCACUCUUAUAUUAUUGCCUAUCCUUGUUCUUGAACCUCUUGAAGUUGCCAUAGCUCAAGUUGAAUGAAAAUAUCAGGUUGUUCGCAAAAGAAUUAUUUCUGAUGGAUUUAGACUUGAUGGAAGACAUCUUGAUGAAGUUCGGCCAAUAUACUGUGAGGCUGGCCAUUUGCCUAUAUUACAUGGAUCUGCUCUUUUUAACCGUGGGGAUACUCAGGUUAAGGAACAGUUAUCCUUGUCUCUACUUCUACAUUCUAGAUAUCCGUAGGUUUGACCUUUCUUUGUAGUGGAGACUUAUAUUUGAUGUUUUAUUUCAGGUUCUUUGUACUGUGACACUUGGGGCACCUCAGGAUGCCCAACGCUUGGACUCCUUGGUUGGUCCCCCAACGAAGCGCUUCAUGCUUCACUAUAGUUUUCCACCGUUUUGUAUCGAUGAAAUUGGUAAACGAGCUGGCUUGAACAGACGUGAAGUAGGGCAUGGUAAACCAAUUUCUUAAUCACAAAAUAUGUGUUGUAUGUAAAAACGUUUUACCAUUUAGAUGAGCUUUUGCUUGUCUCUUUUGUUACCCUUAGGAACUCUUGCGGAGAAAGCUCUUCUUGCUGUAUUGCCUCCUGAAGAUGAUUUUCCAUACACUGUUCGAAUUAAUUCUGAAGUCAUGGCUUCAGAUGGUUCAACAUCUAUGGCUACUGUUUGUGGAGGUAUCAAUUUCACUCUGUAAAUCAGUUAUAUUUAUUUCCUUUAAACCUUUAGCCUGAUGGGGUUUCUUAAUACAGGCAGUAUGGCUUUGAUGGAUGCUGGCAUUCCAUUACAAGAACAUGUUGCAGGUGUUUCAGUCGGUCUUGUUACUGAUGUUGACCCAGAAAGUGGUGAAAUUACGGAGUAUCGUAUAUUGACUGAUAUUUUGGUGAGAUGUUUUACUUGACCAAUUUUGGCAUAUUGUUUAGGUGACAGAUCUUGGUUGCUUUUAUUUUAUUGAAUAAUAAAACCUUUAAAAAGAUGUUAGAAACCAACACUAGAAACUUUUCUACCUUUGAUUAUGUAUGGAGUGGUUUUUUUCUUCAUUCUCUUAUUAACUUAAUGAUUGCCUCUAGUUCUAAGGAGUAUGGACCAAGGAGUUAGCUACAUGGUACCAAGGUCUUGUUGGUAAAUACUUUUGUGACAAUAAUGUGAAGUUGGUAAAGUUCAUUAAAACAGUGAUUUCUCUAGGGUCUUGAAGAUCAUCUGGGAGACAUGGAUUUCAAGAUUGCUGGGACAAGGAAUGGAGUUACAGCAAUUCAAUUGGACAUAAAACCUGCUGGGAUUCCUUUAGAUAUAAUAUGCGAGUCUUUGGAUCCUGCACGUAAAGGACGCCUUCAAAUCCUUGAUCACAUGGAACAAGAGAUUAGCGUGCCUCGAAAUCAAGAUGAUAGAAAUUCUCCUCGUCUAGGUUCAAGUUUUGAUUAUGUUUGUUAGCUUUUGGUUUUGUACUCAAGUAGCUCAGAUACUCUGCAACAAUUGAUUUUAUACUCAACUGUAAAUAAUGCUCUGUGAUGCAGUAACUUUGAAGUUUAGCAAUGAUGCUAUUCGGCGAUUUAUUGGGCCUUUAGGUGCUCUCAAAAGAAAAAUUGAAGAGGAAACUGGUGGGUGUUGAACUUGAAAAACAUUUUGCAUUUGGUUGGGGAUGUAAUCUGAUUUUGGUUGUGGUUAAGUUUUUUGAUCAUUUCUGCCAUGAUGGUACUCUUCCUAGAAUAAUGAUAUGAAUUAUUCUUGUAGUUCAUAAUUGUUUCCUUCGUUAAUACCAGUCAUUGAGGAUAUAGAUUUUCACUCUUCACAUUGGACAUGGAAGAGGAUUUAUUUUGUUAGACUCAAGCAUCAGUUGGACAGCUAUGAAAAUUAUAUUUAUGCUGAAGAUUAAAUAGUUCUUUUCAAUUAUGGAUGACUGAAGGACACAUCUUUUGUGUACUUUGCUGAUUACAUUUUAUUGCUGCAAAUUAUUGUUGCAUAUUGUUCAUUCAAGUUGAUGCUUUUCAAAAUUCAGGUGCUCGGAUCUCUGUUGGUGAUGGGACAAUUACUAUAGCUGCUAAAAAUCAGGCUGUGAUGGAAAAAGUGCAAGAUAAGGUAUUCAUAGCAUUCCUUAUUUUAAUUAAUGUCCGAUAUUCCUGUAGUUUGUUUUAGAUAUAUGCAAACCUUUUAAUACUUAUUCAUUGUACUUAUUACUUCCAAUUCUAAAAGUCGUUGAAGGCUUUUUUGCAAAUUUAAUGUACUAUAAUAUCAGUACUCACUUUGGCUAGCUAAAAGUAGACAAUUUUUUGAGGAAUGGUGAUUAUUUUCAAAUUUAAAUGCUUGAACCCUUUUGGUAUGCUGCUUCAAUACUUCCUGUCUAUGUUGCUCGGACUCGGGUACAGAUUUUGGGUGCUGCUUUGUUUCUAGAUGUCUUACUCAAUUGUCUUGAACUUAAGACAAGGGGUUACAACAGAAAAGGGUCCAAGAUCUGGACACAUACCAUUCACUCUAGGAUUAAUUUGGUCCAUCUUGCUGCUAGUUUACAAUAUCAUGAGCUUGCCUGUUCUUCAUGCUUUAUCCUAAUUAAGUUCCUUGAGUGAUCUUUUGUGCUACAGGUUGAUUUCAUCGUUGGCCGUGAAAUCGUAGUUGGAGGAAUCUAUAAAGGUAUUGUGAUGUCAAUUAAAGAAUAUGGUGCCUUUGUGGAGUUUAAUGGUGGACAGCAAGGUCUGCUACACAUUUCUGAGCUAUCACAUGAACCGGUAGGUGACAAAACAUUACCAUUGAUUUAACCAUUACUUUUUCUAAAUGCCCUUUCAGCCUUUCUGAUUUCUAGGUUUUGGAUGUGGUUCUCUCUUAUUGGUUUUUUGGCUCAUAUAUAUGGUUGCUCAGGGUCUUGGUCAUUUAUUUAAGUUUGAAGGAUUGGUGAACUUGAUGCUUUUUGUUUUGCUCUCAAAUUGGAUCGCUAUUUAAUAACUAUAAUUCACAUUAAGCAUGUAUCUGGUAUGAUAAUCAAUUUUUGCAUCAGUCAACAUGAAAAAAAUUCAGAAACUAAUGAGAACGCUUCAGAAUACUUAUCCAUAUUAUGUUUAGGGUUUAGGCAUGUUUUUAAUGGAUGGUUUAUUUUAUAAAGCUUUUGCGUCAAUAUGGAAGGCCACACCAACUUACAUGUAUCUUUCAUCAGGUGUCUCGUGUUUCAGACGUGGUGUCUGUUGGCCAGCAAAUUUCUUUGAUGUGCAUAGGACAAGAUGUUCGUGGUAAUAUAAAAUUAUCUCGUAAAGCAACUUUACCCCGGCCUGAAUCCGAGACAAAAAGUGUAGUUGAAGGAUCUGCUCCUGUUACUAAAGAAAAACCUAAUAUUUGGGCAUCACCUGAGAACAUGUCAAAAGGUGAACAGCUGGAGUCCACUCUCGAGGAGCUGGUGCCGAGUAAAAUGGAGAAUACUGAAUCAAACCGAUCCGCCUCUUUAAUGCCAUCAGUAGUAAUUCGAAGUGCUGCGGAGUGUGACGAGGAGGAGAAGUCUGCUGGUUUGAGUAAGACUUCCAAAAGUGCUCCUAAACCAAAGGGCACGUUGAAAAAGGGUAGUAAACAGAAAAAGAUCCAGUCUUCUGAUAACAUGCCUGAUUUGUCUCUCAGUAUUAUGUUAUCGGAAUCCUUAUCCCGAAUGGGAGGGAAUCAAGAAGUUACUUCUCAAGAUGAAGGUGAGGCUAAUCUGAGUGAUCAGAAUGACAAGGAAACUGUUGGUAACACUCCAGUGACACCUCAAAAACUGAAGCUAGGAACAAAAGUUACUGCUAAGAUUUAUCAAAUUCGAGCACGUGGUUUAGUUCUCGAUUUGGGUGGUGGAAUUCGUGGCAUGUACAAGUAUGAGGUACGGUCCUUAUUUUAAGAAAAAAAUCGUCUCUUUCCAUGUACCACCCUUUUUCAAGUAUGGCCUUUUAUUAUCAUUUUUUGGUUGGCUCAAUUCUAAUGUUCUAUGUUACUUGGGCAUCUGUGUUUGAUACAAGCAUGUGUCUAAUACGAGAAUAUUCAAUUUUUUCCAAGUUUUAUUUAUGUAUUUAGAGAGUUUUUGGAGGGUCAUUUCCCCAUGCUUGUGUCUGAAAAUAUGUUGAAUACAGGUGUUGGGACACUGGUACUUCAAGAAAAAUAAAAAGUAGAAGCAACAUAGCUAAUGUUUUAAAACCAUUCCAUUUUCUUGAUAGGUGCUCUAUCAACUUACAGUUUAAUUAUUUAUUUAGUUGACUUUGGCAAAUCUAGAUGAUGAUGUCCAAUCAUCGUACUAGUGGAAUUUGUUGAUCUGUUUUAUCUCGGCACCCCGUGAUCUCUGCUCUCUUUUAGAUAUUGGUUGAUUAAUUCAGGUCUUGUUCUAAUUUUCAAGACCAUCCCAUUAUCGGUUUCCUUUCUUUAGACAGGUGCUCAAAAGAACAUUUCUUUGUUAGAAAUAUCUAAGUUGUGGUUGCCACACUGAGUAUAUUUGCUUCAGCCUUUGAACCUGCUAACCUAUUUUCAUUUCCUUGCAGUCCAAUGGUGAGAGGGAGUUUACUGUAGGUGACGAAUUGCUAGUCCAAUGUUCAAGUUUUACAAGUAAAGGUAUCCCGGUCAUGUCUAUGGUGGAUGAAGAAUGAUAGCACAUUGACAGUCCUUGCUGGGAAUAAUGUUCUUAUAGAUGUAGACGAGAUUGGUGUUCGAUGGAUAUUCUUGUUCCAAUGGCUGAAUAUUAUUGAAUUAUCGACACUGUUUUGGUGAACAAGCAUCUGCAAAGGUGGAUCAAUGAAUAUAAAUUUACCCUGAAGUACACGAGGAAGCUUUCUUGGUGGCUGUACAAGCAAGGUAGUCUUUACAGCUGGGCGAACCAUAAUACUUCAAAGAUUUCAUUUUUCGUUUUUUGCAUGACAUACUUUUGCAUGGGCCCUGUACGAUGCAUGGUUUGCACUCUUAAACCUCGGGGAUUUUGAAAUUUUGGAGAAUUGACUGUAUUUGGGAAUUUGAAGAUAUAGAGGAAAUUGUAGCUCCUAACCAGAUUAGGUUCAUUGAUUAUGAGGUUGGAUCCUUCAUUGUUGGUAUAUAAAUAUUAUGAGUCGGGCAUAACAAUGAUUGUAACUUGUGAGCAGGGUUAUUGUACCGUAUCGAUAUUGAUAAAAUUAUUGAAGAUAUUACCUUUGUACUGUUUUGAUUUUUGUUGCCCGAGAUGCAAUCUUUCUCCCUGUUUAGAGCCCAUGUUUGUAAGGUGUGCCAAAAGUUGAACUUGAAUUAAAAACGAAAGAUGUGCAAUUUUUGGUCUUCCAAACUGUCUACUAAUGCAUAAUUAAUUUUUUUUUUUUGUAAUUUUGUUUAAUCACAGGAAUCAAAUCACUAGCAAUAAGGGUUUGAUUCUUUGAAAUCCUGGGUUCCUAUUGGAGCCAACAUAAAGCUGUUAACCCUCUUUCAAUUUUGGAGCAAUAACAUGCAAACGUUAAUUAAGCCUAUUUCUUUUAACUUCAAUGGCAUAUUAUAGCUAGUAGUGUGCAUGGGUCAGGCCGGGUUGGGGCCGGGCUGGGCUUAGAUAAAUUUUAGGCUCAUUUUUUAAGCUUGGGCCCGGUUCGGUCUGAAAUAUGGGCUUAAAAAUUUGUCCAAGCCCAGUCUGAAAUAAAAUUGUUAAGUCCGAGAAUGGCCCGGCCCAUAUUAAUUUUUUAACUUAUUUCAUUAAAUAAAAAAUUGUAAAAUAUAAUAAAUCAUUAAAUACAUUUAAAACAAAUAUUAAAACAAGAAAACAAAUAAAAAAUUAUAUUAAAACAAUUUUUAAAACAAUACAGAAAUUGAAAAUAUAAUAAAAAUUGAUUAUAUUAAAAAUAAAAAUAAAAUGUAAAUAUGAUUAAAAAUAAAAAAAAUAUUUACUAUUAAUUCGGGCCGGGCCAAGUCGGGCUUGGGCGAAAAAAGUUUUACCCGAGUCCGGCCCGUUUUCUAAACGAGCCUUGUUUUUUUUGCCCAAACUCAUAUUUCGGGCCUAUAUUUUUACCCGAAUCUUCCUAUUUUUUAGACGGGCCUUCGGGCCAGGUCGGGUAACCCAGACCAUGCACACCUAUAAUUAUAGCCGACAAUAGAAAGAUACAAAACCUUGCCUACCCUCUUCCGUUAAAUUAAAUCCCACAAAGUUCCUAGCUCAGAAGAGCCUUAGCUUUGACAGUUCCGGGAAUGAAAGUUAUUGUAGGGAGACUAGAACCUGGCAACUCAAUUCUCCGAUCUUACACCAAGAAGCUCCCAAUCCUCUCCCUAAAUGUUUUAGCUAUAGCUGCAACAACUAUAUAUCAUGGCACCCUUAUAUACAGCCCUUAACUGCCUGCUCAAAUUUUGCCGAUGCAAGGUUCCACGAUAAAUUAAAAAUGUACGAUGCAGCAUACAUCAUCCUUGAAAUCUAGAUCAUAUCUGUGAGUUAGGAAAGAUUAGAAUGUCGGAAUAUGUUUAGGAUCCGUCAUUUCCGAUCUCAAGAGCUCCAAGAUAUCAUGAAUCUCUGCUGAUUUCAAGUGUGUUCCAUCUUCCGAAUAAAAGGAAUGCAGAUGGCUUCUCACCUCAAUCCAACUGAAGCCAACACUCUUUUUCAAUCCCUUCUCCCUCAUUAGUUUCCUAAUAUUUGAAACAUCAAUCCAUCUCCCCGCUGAAGCAUAUAUGUUGGACAACAAGAUGAAUCCAGCGGAGUUUUUCUCUGCUAGUUCGACAAGUUUUCUAGCUGUUCUCUCUGCUAUCUCUUCGUUUCUGUAUGUCUUACAACCACUUAUUAAAGCUGCUAGUGCACUAGCUUCGGGUUGAAAUGGCAUGGAGUUAAUUAAUUCUUCAGCUUCAGAUAGGCGUCCAGAUCGAGACAGCAUAUCCACAACGCACGUGUAAUGUCUUCCCUUCGGCCUUAUACCAUAUUCCAAUUCCAUUGCACCAAAGAACUCGAGUCCUUUAUCGACAAAUCCGCAAUGAGAACAUGCAAAUAGAACUGAUAAAAGCAUGAGUUCGUUAGGAGCAACAGAGGAAUUUCUUUUCAUUUCUUCGAACAAAGCAAGAGAUUCUUUUGCAAAACCACUUUCCGCUAGACCUUGAAUCAUAACAGUCCAUGAGAACUCAUUUCUCUCCGACAUUCUAUCAAAGACCUGCUUAGAGUUUUCAAUAUCUCCACAUUUUGCAUACAUAUCAGUUAAGGCAGUGCCCAAGUAAACAUCAUAUUGAAAACCAAGUUUUAAGAUCUUUCCAUGAACAUCCCUGCCUUUCUCUAACGAGGUCAGACUUGCACAAGCACAAAGCACACUCGAAAAAGUGGGCUUUGUCGGAGUCUCCCCUGACAAAAGCAUCUCAUUGAAAACUUCGAACACCAUAUCGAAUUGCUUAUAUUCUACAUAACCACCAAUAAAAGCCCCCCAGGAGAUGUUAUUUCGAGCAGGCAUGUUAUCAAAUAAAUACUUAGCUUCAUCCAUUUGACCAUUCGUACUAUAGCCACCGAUCAUCGAAUUCCACAAAACAACAUUUUUGUUUUCGAUCAAGUCAAAAACUAGCCGUCCGUCUUUAGUUUCCCCACACUUACAGUACAAGUCAACAAGAGAGCAAGCAAUAAAAAGAUCUCCCUCAAUCCCGAUUUUCAUAACAUGUGCAUGAAGGUUCUUUCCUGCUUGUAAACUCUCAAGGCUAGCCAAUGCACAAAGAAUACUAGAGAAACACGAGAUUGUCGGCUUAAAUCCUUCUCGAACCAUGUUUCGAAAGAGUUUCAGUGCCUCUAUAUGAUCGCCAUACUGACUAUACCUCGCAAUUAUUGCACUCCAAGAAACUUCAUUUCUUUGUGGCAUCUCAUCAAAAAUCCUCCUUGCCUCUCCUUGCCUCUCCCCUCUCGACAUACAUAUCGAGUAUUGCUGUCCAAGAACAACAUCUCUUGUUUCCAUUCGAUCGAACACCCUCCCAGCCUGGUCAAAUUCAUGCAUUCUUAAACACAAUGUUAUCAAAGAGUUGGAAACCGAUACAUUAUUCUCGAACCCGGUUUUAAUUAUCAACCCCAAAACACUCAUUCCCAAAUCAAAAUCACCCAUUUCUAUACAUGCGCUAACUAUAGAACUAAAAGUAACUUGAUUUGGCUUAACACCAGAUUCAAGCAAUCUUACAAAAAGCUUCAAACCAUGAAAACUUGACCCGUUUUUAACGAACCCAGUAAUUGCAGCUGUCCACGAAACCACACUUUUAAAUGGGUUCCUUUCGAAAUACCACAUUGAUUCUUCCAAUCUUCCAUAUUUCAUUAACCCUGAAAUCAAUAACGUCCAUGUAAUAUCGUUUCUUUCAGGCAUUUCGUCGAACACUUUCCGUGCUUCACUCAAAUUCCCCAACUGAAUAUUAGCCUUAAUCAAACAAUUUUGAACAACUAAAUCGAACCCAUUAAAGUCCUUUAUAAUCUGAUUAGCUUCAGACAAUUUCCUGAAUUCAAGGUACAUUAUUAAUAACUUGAUAGCUAUACAUCUCUCUGAUGAAACACCAUUCUUGAGUAAAUGGCAAUGGAAGACAGUUCCUCCAGCAACCAAGCCUUUGUUUGAGAAUAUCUUUAACAAAGAAACACAUUUUUGAAUAUAGGAGUUGAAGCUUUUGCUUGGAUUCGUCAAGAAAAGGUUCUUCAACGCAGUUUUCAUCCCACUAAAAGUUGCGAGGGAAACAAUUUUCUUCUAUGAAAUUUGGUUUCUAUUUAGAGGAGAGAUUUCCACGUGUUAAGCUACGAUUGGUUGUUGGAAUGAAAAAAAGCCAUUUAAGAAAAGGUUAAAUCACUUUCUGGAUUUUAAAUUACAAUUUUUAUGGGACUGAAUAUUUCUUCUUUUUUCAAAUUAUUCACAUUCGACUCAACUUUUUUUAUUAGCACUGAAUUUAGAAAUUAUUUUCAUGAGUUUGAAUUUUUUUAUAUUAUUCAUUGAAAAUUUUAAAAUUCAAGCUACAAUUAUUAAGUUAAAAUCUUACUAAAUUAAUUGUUAAAUUCAAGAUUUAAUUUUAAAAAAUUUAGGUCCUAAUAUAAAAAUAAUUGACAAUUUCAAGCCUCAAAUGUUGAUUUAACCUUAAAACAAAUAUCUUUUUUCUUUACAGCUGAACGAAAAAUAUCUCUCCAUAUAUAACAAUCUUAUGAGAAAAAAAAAAUAGAAAACUAAAAGAAGAAAAGAAACACCGUGAUAAAUCAAUAAUGAUAGCCAGUGGGGUUCCAAUUUACGAACUAUCAGUCCCAAAAAGUUGUAAUUUUUAUGAAAAAUUCAGUUCAAGCAAAUCAAACCCAAGGUAAAUUCCAUGAAAAUCUUUCAAAAUUUUGUAUAAACUAAAAUAUUUAUGAUUGAUUCCUUUUUUUUUUUUUAAGGUUGGGGCCGAAAUGGAGUGAAAUAAGAUGUUGUAGAAACCAAAAGAUUGGAGGAAAAUCAAAAUCAAAAUCAAAGAAAAACUACUAUGAGUUACUUGGAAUCCCUUUCGAUUCUACUAUGCAGCAAAUUAAAGAAGCUUAUAGAAAGCUGCAAAAGAAGUAUCAUCCUGAUAUUGCAGGCCAAGAGGUUAGUUCACUUCCUCUCAAUUUCUUAUUCUAAAUUUUUAUUAAAUUGAUAGCUUUCUUUAUUCAAAAACUCGAAAGUAAGUGUUGGAUAUGGAUCAUAUUUUCAUUCAAAUGAUUACUAUUGUUAAAAGUUUUAAUUUUUGCCUCAAUAUAUUGCUCACUUUUAUUGUUAAAAGUAUCGUGGUGCCACUAUAGUAAGGGCUUAAAUCGCAUUUGGCCCCUUUUAUUCAAAAAAUGAGAAAUUUAGCCUCAAUUUUUAUAUUGAAGACCAAUUGGUCCAUUCUUUUAAAUAUUUAUUUAUAUUGUUAAAAAUUGGUGUCACACAUGUGCCUCUUACUGAUGUACACUGACAAAUUUAUGAUUAAUUUAUUUUUUUAUCUAACAUAUAAAGAUUAAUUUGCUCAUCUUUUUAGUAGAGGGAGUAAAAUACAAUCUGACUAGUUUGCAUGGUAUUUUAUCAUAGGAGGACUAAUUCGCUCUCCUACCUAUAAUAUUGGGAACUUCCAAAUGGUUUAACUAUCUAUUUCUUAUAUUAAUGGUUUGAAUUUUAUACAAAUUUUACUUUUGUAGUUUUGAUGGGUUAAUUUUGUUAUAUUUGUUUAGGGACAUGAAUACACUCUAAUGCUGAAUGAAGCCUAUAAAGUACUGAUAAAAGAUGAUCAAAGGAAGGAAUAUGAUGCUUCCAUUGGUUCAAUGAAAGCAAAAUUUGGAAGCAAUGUAUCUGGUUUUAGCUCUUGGAAAGGGCCCUUAAGACCCCAAGCUUUAUUUGUUGAUGCAAACAAUUGCAUAGGUUGUUCCAUUUUAACCUAUUUUUAUGUCCUAUUUAUUGCAAGUUUUAUGUUUAUGUUCCAAAUUCCAGCCUAGCUCCAUUGACAUCCACGUUUGCAGGUUGCAGGGAAUGUGUCCACCAUGCAAGCAACACAUUCGAAAUGGAUGAGGCUCUCGGAUGUGCUUGAGUUAAGGUUCAAUAUGGAGACGAUGAUCGUAAAAUCGAUGUAAAGAAGCAUGUUAAUGUUGUGUGUAGAAUCUAAUUGCUGUAAAAAUGCAUAAUUUUGGAACCAAGUUUUUGCAGGUUUCAGUUGAUUCAUGCCCAGUGAACUGCAUACAUUGGGUGGACAGUGAAGAACUGGCAGUGCUUGAGUUCUUGAUACAACCUCAGCUAAAGGAAGGGUAUGGAGUAUUUGGUGGAGGUUGGGAAAGGCCCUUAAAUGUAUUUAUGGCUGCUAAGGCUUUCACCAAGCAGUUAAAACAACAAGCUGAGGCUGCUCAAGGACAACACAAAAAUGGUAAUAAAAUUGGCAAAAAUUUUUCAUGGAAAUGAAUGCAUUCAACAUUCUAUUUUGUACUUGUCUCAUCCCAUUGCCAUCCAUAGCUUUAAUCUCUACAUUAAUGAAUUCACUGUUGUAUUUGGUUUAUGGUGGUAAAAGUCCUGGACUAGGCCUCUACUAAAAAAAAAAAGGAGGUAAAUUAGUCUCUAUACGUUAUAUCAAAGAGCUAAUUGAUCUAUUUGUUAAGAAUUUCAACUAUUUUUACGAUUAAAAAUUGGUUCAUGUAAAUAAGCAUGGGGUGUAUGUGGCAUGCCACAUGUUACUGUCUGAUUAUUUCGUCAAUCAUGUCAGUUUUUAACAUUACAAAUGUAUGGAAUUUUUAACAAAACGAACCAAUUUGCUCUUUGAUCUAACGUACAAGGGCUAAUUUGUCUAUUUUUUAAAUAGAGAAGGUAAAAUAUAAUCUGACUCCUAAUACAGGGCCUCCAUGAUACUUGUACUGGUUUAUGGUAUUUGUUUAUCUGGUUCCUUUAACUGCUGCAGGGAGAGUGAGAUCAGUUGAAGAAGAAGAGACCCCUGCUCAAGCUGAGGCUCGAGCCAAUGCUACCAUGAAAUUGAACAUGGAAAGAUUCAACAAAAUUUGGGGUAAAUUUAAACAAUUUUUUAUAAUCUAAUAUAGGGAUUUGAAUGACGGUGUAAAUUGCCUAUAUGGAUAUGUUAAAAUCUAAUGUCAACAUAUGAUUAUUCUCUCUUUCAAUCCAUAAUAAACUUAUUUAAAAAUCUAAUUUUUUAUCUAAAUUCAAAAAAAAAUUUAAAUAAUAAAAUGAGGACAUUUGUGGUGGAGUUUUUAAAUUUUCAAUGGGAGUUAAAAAGAUCUUCAUGUUUCCUAGUUAUUUAUUUAAAUAUUAAUUACGGGCACAUGAUAGUUUUUUUUUUUUUAAAAAAAUCAACUUAUGAAGUUAAAAUAAUUUAUCAUUAAUAUACUAAAUAGUUAUCUUAAAAGGAUGAAAUCUAUUUUUAAAUAAAGAUUAUUACUGUAUGGGAAUAACGAUACAAUAUACGUUUGAAUUAACCGAACUUGAAAAUGAAAUUCGAAUACAUAUAUAUCUAUACGAUUUGUUGAAAAGAUGCACAUGCAUAUCGAUACAAUAUAUUUUGAUGGGUGUAAAAUAUGACUUAAUCCAGUAAAUAUCUCAAUAAUAUACAAAAAAUAAUAAUAUAAAAAUUCAAUUACUCUGUUGAUUUAGUCUUAACUUGAUUAAUAUUGAUAUUAUUAUCAAUAUAGGAAGACGUGAGUUCUAUUAAGUGCGACUAACUUCGAAAAAUUCAUCUAAAACCUUACAAAAACCUAUUUAAUUUCACUUAAUGUGAUUUCUAUUAUAAUUUUGAUGUUUUAUUUUCAACUUACAAACAUCUAAUCACUUACUAUAAUCCAACAAUAAAACAAAAAAAAAUUAAUCUGUCUCCCCCAAGAGUAAGAUUGACGUGAAACAAAAGAAAAAUAGGUGGAAAAAUGUUGAAAUCUUAAUUUUAAGAAUUGAAAUGUUCUUGAAUGAUGAUGAAAUCAAUGAAAAUUAUAUUUUGAUGAAAUGUGAUUUGAAGAUUGAGAGAGAAUUGAAGAAAAAAUUUCCUGAUGAAUCUCUCAAGCAUGCGUGAAAUGAAGAACGGGAUAACUGUUCCCACCUACCAUUUUUUACAAAUGGGUUAUUUGCUAAAAUGCGUUUAGAGAGUAAUUAUCACAUAAACCUUUUCUUAUGUCCAAAAUCAUGUUUCUAACUUUUAGACAUUUGACGACCCUUAAAUUUACUUUUUAUUACAAAAUAGUCUAUACCUCAAAUUACUAAUUUUAUGAUUCUAACAAAUUUAACAAUAAUAACUAAUGUAAAUUCACUUAUAUCAAAUUAUAAAAAUAACACAAAAAUUGUUUUCGGAAAACCUCGCAGUUUAAAUUCUCAAAAUGUCACGAAAUUUUGAUACCAAAAUUUUGAGAUAUUACACAAACAUCUAUGAUCCUUUCUUCUCCACACAAAUGUUUGCCUUUAUUUGUGAGUAGUGUCAUGAACAGUUAUAACUACAAUCAUAUUUGCCUAUUUUAACCUUAGGUCUCUUGACAUCAUGAAGCAUCUUGGUUUUGAUAUGCCUAAGUACUCAUUUGUAGCUUUGACAAACAUUGUAGGAGUCUGUACAACAACCUUUCCUUUCUUUUUGAUGUAUCCUAGGGCAUUCUUUCUUGAGCUUUUCUCUCUCAACAAUUAGUAUUUCAUCAAGUUUCCCACUACUAGUAUUGAAUUCAUCCAACAUACACUAAGUUCCUUCCAUGUAGUGUAACACUCCUCGCCCAACCCAGUCGCUAGGUUCAAGCUAAAGGAUGCACAUUUGUUGCCAGAGUAACUAUAAUCAAAUACACAGUAAGUAACCAUUCACGCAUGCAAUUAACUGUUAAACACAUUUAAACCAUGUUAAACAAUCAAUUCCGAGUCUUAAUCAAGUUUAUGAAAGCUAUUUUGUCAACCCAAGCUCGAAAUAUGACCAAAUUGCAAAUUUUAAAAAUUUAGGACCAAUAUCGUGAUGUCAUCCCUUUUAUGUCAGGAUGUCGCCAAAAUAGUAUUGUAACACCCUAUUAUCUAGCUUGAUUAUCGGGUUCGAGUAAUGGAAUGUUACAUUCAUUGCCUGGGCAAUUUUCAUCAUACGUUUCAUAAUUAAAUCAAACACAUGGAUAUAAACAUACAUACAAAUUGAAUUAGCCUAAAUCUAGCAUACGAGGGUCAAAAUUUGAAGUCUGAGCAUGAAAUAGGACUGAAUUGCACAAAUUUAAAACUUUAGGAGCAGGUAUCGAUACUUUGUGAAAGUAUACUUUGUAAUAAGUAUAGAUACUUGGUGCAAAGUAUAGAUAUUUUGUGCAAAGUAUCGGCACCUUGGCUUGGUACCGAUAGCAAAAACAUUAUGUUUGUAUUAUAAAUUGAUUCAAAUGGUUAAGUAUCCAUACCUUUGCCAAAGUAUCAAUACUUUCUUUCCAAAAUGGUAAAAAGAACUUUCUUUUGCAUGCUUAAACCAUUUUAGUUCUAAUUGUACUUUAUUACUUUAUAAACCUAUAAAAACCUAGCCAAUUACAUCAACGAAUCAUCCAUUCAUAAUAACACAAACAUGCCAAUCAUUCCAACACAACUAACUCAUACCAAAUCCUCAAUUUCAUAUACAUAAUCAAUUUCUCAAUUCCAAAUAUGUGAAAGCCUAUUUCAUCACAAAACUGAUUCAAUUACACAUUUACAAUAAUAUACAAUAUUUUCAAAACUAUUCAAUUUGUCCUUUUCACUAACAAUCAAUUCAAAUAAACUCUAUUCAACUUGUUUUAUCAUUUUAAACAUACCUUAUGAUCUUACCAUGCAACAUAGUUCAUAAGUGCAUCAAUUGAAAAGGUUCGAAUUAUAGAAAUACAAACAGUAAACUUCGAGCUAUUUGUUGACAGCCUUAUUCUUUCCCUUUCUUUUCAAGAAAUCCACGUCUUCAUUAGCUAUGGAUUAAAUAAAUAUACAAAAAUGUCAAUAUAUAGUCAAUACUACACUUAAUUGUAAGUUUACACAAAUUUUACAUUUUAUUCAACUUAGUCCCUAAAAUCGGGACUAACAUAACUUUCAAGUUAGAACUCCAAAUUAAAUUCUGAUUUCAAUAUAAUCCAUUAGGGACCUCCUAUUUCCCAUUUAUACAACCAACUUUACAAAUUAUUCAGUUCGGUCCUUAAUGUACAAAACUAUCAAUUAACUUUGCAAUUAGUCCUUUUUCACUUCUAAGCUUAAAAUCUAUUGAUUUAGUACCUAAAACUUCAAGAGUUCAACCUUGGCAUCUUUCUUAACCUUUAACACUUCCGAAAAAUAACACAUAGGUUAGAUAGAUUAAGCUCUCGGGAUUUCAAAAACGUAAAAAUUUUUAAAAAAAUGACUAAACUACACUAAACAAUUGAUAGCUUAAACCCUAGAAUUUUUUUCGAAACUAUGACUUCCUCCUUGCCCCUAAUCAAGCUUGGAAAGAUAGAGAAGAAAAUGUCUUUCUAUAACACCCAUUAACCUGUAUCUGUCGCUAAAAUAGGGUUACGGAGCAUUACCAUAACUUUCAGAAUAUUUUUCAGAUAAUUCUUGUAAAUUACUAUUCAUUAAUCUAGAUCAUUCAAAAUGUCCCUUAAUUGGACCCUCGAGGCCCAAUACGAGCAUUAGAAUCGAGUCGGGACUUAAUUAGGAACUCUAAGAAUUAUUCGUGACAUUUUAAAAAUUUUCCAAGUUAUAGGGCUCACACUCCCGUGUGGUUCAAGGGGCAAGCUCAUGUGACCCUGGAACAAGCCCGUGCUGCAGGCCAUUUUCGACCCUGUGUAACUCUUUGACUUGUGCACACAGCCAUGCCACAUGCCCGUGUGCUAGGCCGUGUGGUUAAUUAAUUCAUUUCAAAAUUAGGUGUAGGUUUCACACAGCCAAGACACACGCCUAUGUUCUAGGCCGUGUAGCACACACGGCUGAGACACACGCCCGUGUGCUCAAUUCUGAACAUUUUGUUUCUUAAAAUUUAGAGUGAAUGGGACACAUGGCCUAACUACACGCCUAUGUACUCGGCUGUAUGUCACACAAGGUCUGGACACACGCUCGUGUGUCUGCCCGUGUGGACAAAAUAAAGCCAUUUCUAGCUUCAUUUCUCACCCAAAAUCACAUCCAUGACCUGCACUUGGAACACACAUCCAAUACCAACCAUUCCAAGCAUUCAAAUUAAACAUAUUCUACCAUUACAUGCAUACAUGUUCAUAAUCUUGCCUUAGUUUGGUCCAUAUGUCAGACAUAAUAGAUCAACUACUUAACACAUAUGUAGUUACCAUAGUAUGACAUUACAAAUAUAUCAAAACAAACCAUUACUAGCCAUUCCAAUGGCUAGAUUACAAGAAUCAUUUACAUUUACAUUUACAUGCCAAUAUGGCCAAUAUAACCUAUGCAUGCCAUUACAACCAUACCAUAUACACCGAUAUAGGCCGAUGGAUAGUUUGAGUGAUCUCCACCAGACUUCCAGUCCAACGAGUUUUUGAUUUAUUAUAAAACAGGGAAAUAAAACUAAGUAAGCAUAAAAUGCUUAGUAAGUUCGUACAACAUGGUACUUAACUUACCAUUCAUUCUAUUUUGAGGUAACUAUGUAAGGCAUAUUCAAUCAAUUUGCCCUCAAGCCCUACACAAAUUCUCAUUGCCCUUGUUAGUCAUAUAAUCCAUAAUAACAUCACAAACAUUUAUGGGCUCAACAACAAUCAAGUUUCCAUACACAUAUGCUUUCCACAACAUGUAUUCAUUUAACAUGUAUAAAUCAUUUCUUUAUAUUACAAGUAUAAUUUCAUAAUGAUUCAUCUCUAGUUCAGAUAAUUUAAUAUCAGAACUUUACCCAUAUUACUCGGAAUAUCAAGGUCACGAUUAGUACACUCAAGGUGCACAAGUCUAGAAUCAAGGAUAUACAUACUCAUAAAAUAAAUUCCAUGUACAAUAUCAUCAUUUCAUAUUCCCAUAUAUCAAUUACCACGUAUCGUCAUUUUCAUGUAUUUCAAGCUGGUAUGUGUAAUAACUCAUUUCUUAUUCAUAUAUUCUCAUGUCAAGAACUUUUACCCGUUGAAUUUAUCUGAAAUAACGAUGGAUACGAAUCAAAAUCCGUCAAUUCAUGUCCAAUGGUACCCAUAAGGUACUAUAUCAGAGAGUACACUCUCGAGCCACACAUGUAUAUGAUAGGAUUACUAGUCCAGGCUAAAUCUGUAAUAGCCAGAUUUUGGGCCUAGUCGAAAAAGUGGUUUCGAGAACACUAACCCGAGGUCAGAGAAAUUAUUUUUUUAUAUUAUUUUAUUUUAUGUGUGUUGGCAUGCUUAUAAAGGUGCAUGAAAAUUUUGGUAAAUUAAUUUUAGCGUUUGUGAGCGUAAUUGAAAAAAAGGACUAAAUCACAUAAAGUGUAAAAGUUCUAUUUUGAUAGCUAAGGGUGUCAAAUAGUUAGAGAACCUAAAUUGGAGGUCUUUAAGGGGAAAUUAGACCCUUUUGAAGAGCAUGGCCGACCAUAGGAGACAAUUUUGGUCAAAAAAGUCAAAAGAGGGCUAGGGUUGGUAUUUGAUGACAUUAGCAAAUUGAAUAUUAAAAUAAAAAAUCAAAUGGGUCAUUUUUCUUCUCUAUAUUUCCACCGAAAAUAGAAUCCAUUAGAGGGUUUUGAAAGCUUGAAAUUUCAGCCACUUAGUCUCUCUACAAGUAGGUGAUUUUGAUGAUUUUACUUGAUGAUUUUUGCCCUUUUAGAACCCUUAUAGCAUGGGCUUUCAUAUGAUGGGGCUAUUUUACAAAAUAGUUGAAAGUCUAGGGUUUUAACAUGAGAGUGAUCAUGUUAUUUUCUAAAAUUUUAUGGAAGAAUAUGAGUUAUGGUUGUAUAAUAAACAAGUUUUGUGAAGUAGUUUUCAUGGAAACCCUGACUAGGGACUACUUUGCAUAAGUUGAAAAUUAGAUGAUAAAUGUGUGAAAUAAUGAGAAUUGUGGGCUGCUUUUAGUAUAAAAAGUAAUCGGCUAGGCUUAUGAUAUGAAUAAAUUCUAUAAAAAUUGAUUUUCGGACAUAGGGGUAAAAUGGUCAUUUUACAAAAGUCUAGGGGCAAAAUGGUUAUUUUUCCUAAUUUUAAAUUGUUGAGUACCUAGAUCGAUAAAAUAAUUAAAUUUUUGAAUUUUUGUUAUCUUAGAUCAAGAAGUACAAAAUUUGAACCUAGACCGGGGGAAGGCCAAACAAGUUGAUUAAACCGACCAAUCGCUUACAUUUUGUAAUCCGGGGUAAGUUGUAUGCAAAUAAUACUGCUACAUUGUUAUUAUACGUGGUUGAACUAAUAUAGCAUAAAUUGCUUGUUUUUGGAAAUGGUUAUGCAUGUUGAAUAUUGAGAUAGUAGAACUCUCGUUUGAGCCGUAGGAAAUAUAUCGGAUAUUCAUGCCAUGACAUUUGGGUCAUAUGUGUGCUAGUGUAAGACAUGUCUGGGAUAUGCAUCGGCCACAUUAUGAGAGCCAGUGUAAGACCAUGUCUGGGACAUGACAUCAGUAUUGAGACAAGAGCUAGUGUAAGACAUGUUUGGGACAUGCAUCGGUCUCGAGACGUAAGCCAGUGUAAGACAUGUCUGGGAGAUGAAUCAGCUAUGAGAUGUGUCAAUGUAAGACCAUGUCUGGGACAUGGCAUUGGCACGGAUAUGUAAGAGCUAGUGUAAGACCAUGUCUGGGAUAUGGCAUCGGCCUCGAUGAUGAUAGUUAGUGUAAGACCAUGUCUGGGACAUGGCGUCGGCUUCAAUGAUGAUAUUCAGUGUAAGACCAUGUCUGGGACAUGACAUCGACUUAAGAUAUGAGCCAGUGUAAGACCAUGUUUGGGACAUGGCAUCGGUAUUCUACCCAAUGUUUGAGGCUUAUUGAAUAUCCGGUAGUGUUCUAAAUGGUUCAAUAGUGAGAGUUAUGGUUUAAGUUAAUGAGAAAAGUAUAAUCGUGUUAUGAGUGAUAUAGGCACCUAUUUGGUAUGUAUGAGAUGUGAGUUCAAUAUAUGCUACAUGAUGUGUAUUAGAUAGUGAUGAGUAAGUUGUGCUUAUGCCUACCUUUGUAUUAAGAGCAUGUAGAUGAAUGGUAAAGUUGUUAUGUAUUUGCAUGCUACUUAUUAAGCUUUAUGCUUACUCCCUUUCCUUUCCAUUUCCUUAUAGUGCCGCCUAAAUAGCUCGAGGACCAAUCGACGUCGGAGGCAACGAUCACACUAUCAUCCGAAGCACUCGGUAUAGUUAGAUUACUUGUUUUUGAGUAUGUCAUGUAUAGGGUUUGGACUUUAAUGUUUUGGGUCAUUGAAAAAUUGGCCAAAUGUGUUGGCUUGGGUUGAUACCCCUUCACUUUGUAUUAAGCCUUGAAUGAUGGCUAAUAUUCAUUUUGAUAUAUGCAAAUUAUGUUAUUUUUAUGGAUGAGCAAAUUCUAUAUAUGAACUGUUGUCUAUUGUGGUUGUGUUAGUUAUGAGGAUCAUUCUUGUAUUGGUGUUGGUUGAUUUUGUGUAGGUUGUAUAAGUAAGGGUGACAAAGAGGCUUGGUAGAUAGCCUUAUUUUUGUCCACAUGAGUAGACACACAGGUGUGUGUCUAGGCCAUGUGUGACACACUGUUUGCCCCACGGGCGUGCGAUCCGGCUAUGUGUACCCUGCACGUAAAAUUUGCAAGCCAGUAAGCAUGGUAGUAAAUACACGAGUAGAGACACGGCUAUGUAUUUCAGCCGUGUGAAGGGCACGGCCCAGCAUACGGAUGUGUGCCUUGGCCGUGUCACCCUUAAAGAUUGCUGAAAUUAGAAACAGAAUGUCAAGGUUUUUAGACACGGGAUAGGGCACAGGCAUGUCAUGGCCAUGUGAGGGACACGGGCGUGUGUCAGGUCGUGUGAAAACCCCUGUAGGUUCGAGUUUAGAAUUAAAUUCACAUGGGCAUGGGACAUGGGCAUGUCCCGAUAUGCUUAGGCCGUGUGUGUCACACGGGCCAUCAGUACGACCAUGUUGAAUUGGUCACACGGGUGUGUUGCCUCUCCCACACGGGUGUGUGCCCUUGUGUCUAGUGUUAUUUUUCAGAGUUCGUUGAAGGGCUUGAAUUGGUCCUGAUUGGUUUUAAAUGAAUGUUUGGAGUCUCGUAGGCCCAUAUUGAGGAAGUUUGAAAAAGUUUUAAUUUUGGUUAAGUUUUAAUGAUCCGUUAAUGUUGGUAUGCUUGAGUUUAAGAGUAGUAAUGCCUUGCAUCCCGUCCUGACAUAGGACUCGGGUAUAGGGUGUUACAAAAUCCUUUUUAUGACAUAUGCUCUAAAGAUAUUGAUCUGGAUUACCCGUCCGGGCUAAAUCCAAUCCAUAGCAUAUGCUCGAGAGGACUCAUAUCAGGUUUACCCGUCCGGGCUAUAUCCCGUCCGCAACAAAUGCAGGACCUCAUUCACUUUGGGAAAUCACAUAUCCAUCGAAUUUUUCAUUUAUUCAAAUGGAAUUUAGCAUCUUUCAAGCAUUAUCAAGCAUGUGGUCAAUCUCAUAUAUUUAUGCAUUUAUGCAAUUCAAAUGUUCACAUUAAACUCAAGCAUAAAAUUAACAUUUUUAACAUUUUUAUCAUUUAUCAUUUGUCGGGCGUUAUAAUUGAUUGGGCACUUUCACUUAUCAGGCUUUAACGAGUAUGUGAUCAUUUCACAUAUUUAUGGAAUUUAUACAAUUCACAAAUACUAUAUUUAAUUCAAGCAUAAAAAACAUAUACAAUUUAGUUACAUGAACUUACCUCAACAAAUGUUCGUGUAAAUAAGUAUACUAAUCCGACAUUUUCCUCAUUUCCUCGUUCUAGCUCCGAAUUUGGUCUAUCUCGAUCUAUAUGAGUAAAUUUAACAUCAAUUUAUCAUAUUUUAUAUUCAAGUGGACUCAAUUUUUAUCCUAGGAAAAAUUACUAUUUUACCUCUAACAUUUUCAUAAAUUCCCAUUUCGUCCUUAAGCUCGGAAAAUAAAAUUUGUGCAAUUUACUCCCUAUUCUAAGCCUAAAAAAAAUCCCAUUAAAAAAUUUACAGCACAUGUAUUCAUAAAAAUUCAGUAUUUUUCUUUAAUUUACAACUUUACAUUUUAGUCUGUAAAUCAUGUUUUCAUCAAAAAUCACUUUGUAAAAGUUAUUUAUCAGUCAGCAACAUUUCAUUUUCUACCAUAUUUCUAAUUUUCAGCAUAUACAUCCAUGACCCAUUUUCCAUACUUUGAUAACUUCUCAAAUUGAACCCCCAAAUAGAUAGAUUAAGCUAUCCCGGUUUCAAAAAUAUCAAAAUUACUAAAAAUGGGCCAAGAAAACUUACGCAAUUUGGCCAUUAAAGUUUCUUCUCUCUCCCCUAAGGUUUCCAUGUAUUUUUUGGGAAGAAGAUAAAAUAAAAUGAUAUUUCUUUUUUUUAUCAUCUUUUAAUUAAUUAAAUAUUUUCACUUUCCAAUUUAGUCCUUGUCUUUUUUCUAAAUUUACAUGAUUGAGUCACCAAAAUAGCUACAUACUUUUUAUUAAUGGUUUAAUUACCAUAUAAGGACCUUAAGUUUUGAAUUCCAUAGCUAUUUGAUCCUUCUAGCUACUAGAAUCCAACUUUUGCAUUUUAUGCGAUUUGGUCCUUCUCGUAAUUAAAUACUUAAUCGAUAAAAUUUUCUUAUCAAAAUUUUCACAUGACAUGUCUAUCAUAAUACAAACUAUAUAAUGAAAUAAAAUAAAUUUUAUUUUUCGGCUCGAAUUUGUGGUCCCAAGACCACUGUUCCGAUUUCACCGAAAUUGGGCUGUUACACUUUCUCUUUCUUUCCAUUUCCAAGAUUUUAUCUUUCUUUAAGCUUAUUUUAAUUUAUUUUAAUUAAAAUUUUCUUGCUAAAUUCAUAAAAACUAAUACAUUACCGUCCACUAUAGAUUAAGGAGGUAUAAUUGCCUUUUUAAUCCCUUCCAUUUGUUUCUAAUUAAAAUUUCUCUAACAAUUGAACUUUUACUAGUUUUAUGAUUUAGCCCGUAUGCCUUAAUUUAUCACUAAUUCGAUAAAAUUACUUAUCUAAAAUUCAAUUCACUUUUAAAAUAACUUCAUAAAUAUUUAAUUAAAAAUAUUUACGGUCUCGGUUUAAAAAAAUAGGGUCCCAAAAUUAGAUUUUUAGACAUCACUGAUUUUAGGAUUGUUGCACUUGUACCUUAAUAACUAUCAAUUAAAUAAAAAUACCAAACCAAACCUUAAUAUAUUUCUAUACUAGCCUUAUAAAUAUUAAAUCUUUACGAACACAGUUUACUAAAAUGGCAUUUUGAAAUUGGAGUUUUCGACACCACUGGAAACCAGGUCAUUACAAGUAUGUCAUGUCAUGACGUUAGGCCACUUGAUGUCAUGACAUCACUUACUGUCGGCUGACAUUGCGACGAGGAAAGAUGCUUGUCGGGACGAGGACUCUAUUUUUGGUAAAAAUAACCAUUUGGUAAAUAUUUCAAAGCUUCCAACCGAACCUACAACACUUGUACUAAACACCAAAUUCAGUUGAUGCAAAGCAUACCUAAAACCAUACCAAACAAGCUUAAACACUCAAUUCAACUUCUUAAUAAGAUAUUCAAUAUAUUUUCAUCAAUUAAACUUAAACAUUUCAAUACCAAUUGACAUGUUAACCAAAACAUUCAAAUGCCUAUUUUUACCUAAACCAAAUCAAUCAACACAUGCCAUUUCACUUUCAAUACAUACACUAUUCAUUCACCUACACUUUUAUAACGUACUUCAUGAACCAAACAUACUAUUCAGUACUAAUAUGUAACUUAAGCAUAUCAACAAGUUAUACCUUUUCAACUGGGUAUCAACCAAUUCCAAAUCAUGCAUUUCUAAUUCACAUACUAACUAUUAGGUUCAUGUUUUAACUUACCAGUGUAUCUAACAUUGCUUAGUCAAUAUCGACCAAUUCACUAGCUAUGUACAUCAUUUAAAUUCAACAUAUACCAAAAUCAUUACCAUAUUCAAUCUAACAAGACUUUUAUACAUUUAAGUAAGUAAGAAGACACCUAUAUACAUGCCAUACCCUAAGGUUUAAAAUGAUCAAACAUCUACUAAUUCGAUGAUAAAAUAGUGUGAGCUUCGAGCAAUCAAGCUUGACGCAUUCUACAAGGAAAUAAUCUACAAGGAAAAGGGAAAAACAACUAGGUAAGCAUAUGAAAUGCUUAAUAAGUUCAUAGGAGUUAAACAAAAAACUUACCUUAUGUAACACCCCUUACCCGUGUCUGAUGCCGGAAUAGGGUACGACGCAUUACCGGGCUUAAUCGUUCACAAACAUGCAAAAACUGGGCUAUAAAAUUUCUUUUAAUUCAAAACUUUUUCAAACACAUGCAAGUCAUCCCUUAUUUGGGUCUACGAAGCCCAAAACAUACAUCGGGAUUGAUUCGGACUAAACCGAGAACUUGAGAAGUUUCUUGAAAACUUAGAAAUUUUUUCCCAUGAAACAGGGUCACACGCCCACGUGACAUAGGGACACACCCGUGUCCUCAGGCCGUGUAAUUCUCUAUUUAUGACGUCAGCAUGCAAGUUGAACCACACGGUUGGGCCACAUGCCCGUGUCUCCAGGCCGUGUCCCUUACACGGUUGAGACACACGACCAUGUCUCAGCCCGUGUAGUCAACACUUAGGAUAUUUUCCAAGCCUUCUUGUUACCCAUAAACCCUUACAACCUUAUAUAUAUUAAAACCACAAAUCAUGGCAUCAUUUUAGUGGUUAAACACUCUUUAUUAAGACAUAUUCACAACAUUAACAUGUCCUCUUACAUGUAAUGCAUCUACUCAUGCAAUACCAAGUCUAGAUUCCUUAAUUCACAUUCAUAAGACUUGUCAUAUUGAUGAUCACUUUUAUCAUUAUACUAUGGUUACCAAUUUAUCGUGCAAUUACUACAUGGCUAUGAUCACCUCAAUUGGUCAUAGAGCAUACAUCCAACACACACAUGUCAUAUUACCAACCAAGCAUGGCAAACAAACAUAAUCACAUCAUAAACCUUAGACAUGACAUGAAUGCUAGGUUUACAAGCCAUAAUAAAUAUGAGCCACAUCUCAUGGCCUAUACAUAUAACUCAAUAUAAACCAAUACAUUUGGUCAAAGCAUAAUAACACAUGUCAAUAAACUAAAUUCCUAUACAUGCCACUCACUUGAAAUUUCUAAUAUAUGCUUCAUUAUUCCAAAAGUAGUGACUUGAUAGUCUGAUGCUGCCUCCGAUGAUCUCCAACCCCGAGCUAACCUGUCAACACUAAAGAAAGGAAAGAAAGGGAGUAAGCUUUAUAGCUUAGUAAGACCGUAUGAAAAAUAAUAAGCCACUAUCAACUUGCUCCUCAAGGUAAUACGACCAUAUUUGCACUUUUACUGAUGCUCAGGUCAAGCUGUUUUCUCGAGUCAUAGACACUAAAUUGUUGUAAUUAAAGUUUCAAACCCCCUAGGCAGAUUUGUUUUUGUAGAUAUAGUUUGUAAGAGUUGUCUGUUAAUAUUUCGAGACAUUUGUUUUCUGGCUGAUCUAAUUUUAUUGCCCUUUGAUGAGUUUGAUAUAAUUUUGGGUAUAGAUUGGCUAAUUUUGCACGAUGCUAUUAUGAAUUGCAAACGAAAAAUUGUUGAUUUGAGCUGCAAGAAUGAUGAAAUAAUUUGAAUUGAAUCUAGUUAUUUAAAUGGAUUGCCUGUUGUGAUAUCUUCGAUGAAAGCUUUGAGUAUUGUAUGAAAAGGUGGUGAAGCUUACUUUGCCUAUGUGAUUGAUUCGAAAGUGUCUGAAAAGAAAGUUGAAUCAGUGCCUGUUUUCUGUGAAUUCCUUAAUGUGUUUCUUGAAGAACUUCCGGGACUACCUCCGAUUUGAGAAGUUAAAUUUGGCAUUGAGUUAUUAUUGGGAACUAAUCCGAUUUCGAUAGCUCUGUAUAGAAUGGCUUCGACCAAGUUAAAAGAAUUAAAGUCUCAAUUACAAGAGUUGACAGAUAGAGGACUUGUAACACCCCAUACCCGAAACCCACAAUGGGGUGGAGUACAAGGCAUUACCUAAUUUGAUAUCAUGCUUACAACCAACCUCAAGUCACCGAGACUCGGUCCAAAUUAAAACUUUUUCUAUUUCUACUUUAACCUUCUUAUUAGAGGCUUACGAGCCCUAAAUCGAUCAUUGAAAACUAUUCAGAAACUUUUUGGGUCCUUAAACCAACCUUAAGAAAUUUGCCUUUAAAACAGGACACACGCCCAUAUGAAAGGGUAACAUACCCGUGUGACCAUUUUGACAUGGUCGUGCUAAUGGCCCGUGUGGCUCACAUGGCCUAAUCACCCUGGGACACGCCCGUGUCCCACACCUGUGGAGAAUUAAUUUCUACUUUUCACCUACAUGGGUUUUCACACGGCCGAACACACGCCCGUGUCAAUGGCCCGUGUCCCUCACACGGCCAUGACAUGCCCGUGUUCUAGCAUGUGUGCAAAAACUUGGACAUUCUAUUUCUGACGUCAGCAUCCCUAAAAUGUCACACGGCCAUGGCACGCGCCCAUGUACUAGACCGUGUCCUCCACAAAGCUGAGACACAUGGCCGUGUCUCUUCCCAUGUGUUUAUGCAUACUGACUUGAAAUUUUUACGUGCAGGGGACACACGGCCGAACUACAUGCCCAAGGGGUAGACUGUGUGUCACACACGGCCUAGACACAUGCUUGUGUGUCUACCCGUGUGGGCAAUAUAAGGCUAUUUGCCAAGCCUCAUUGCCACCCUUAUAUACCUAGUUCCAUGCAAAUACCAACCAAUACCAAGACAAACACAAUUUCUAUAAUCGAUUACCACAAUAGACAUUCAUUUAACCAUGGCAAUAUAUCUUUAUAAAUCAAAAUGAGUGCUAGCCAUCAUUCAAGGCUUAAUACAAAAUGAAGGGUUCCCAACCCAAGUUGUUACCAUUGGCCAAUUCUCAAAGGCACAAAAUAAUAAAGUCUAAGCCCUAUACAUGCCAUAUUCAAAAAUAUAAAUCCAACUAUACCGGUUGCUUUAGCUGAUAGUGUGAUCAAUAUCUCUGACUUUUGGUGAUCCUUAAGCUAGAUAGGCGGCACUGUAAGGAAAUAAAAAGGAAAGGGAGUAAGCAUAAAGCUUAGUAAGUUGCACAUAAAUAGAUAUACAACAAUAAGUCUACCAUUUAUCAACAACUCAUGAUACCAAAGUGGGCAUAAGCAUGACUUACUCUUCACUUCAUACAAAUUACAUAGCAUAUACAGUGAGUUCACAUCUUAUACAUAUGUAUCACUUAGGUACCUAUAAUACUCACAAUACGGUUAUACUUUCCGUAUUAACUUUAAUUUAUAAGACUCACACCUUACACUGGCUCUCAUAAUGUGGCCGAUGCAUGUUCCAGACAUGUCUUAACUAGCCUAAAAUAACCUAUAUGUCAUGGCAUGAAUGUCCGAUUUAAUUCCUAGGUUUGAACGGGAACUCUGCUAUCUCUAUUAUCAUUAUGCUUUCUCAAUUCUAAAAUCAAGUAAUUCAUGCUAUAUUAAUUUCAAGUACAAUUCAACACAUACACUGAUAAUGUAGUUGUAUUAUUUACAUACAACUUACCUCAGAUUUCAAAAUAUAACGAAUAUACAGUUUAGUCGAUUUGCUUGGCUUUCCUCCGGUCUUGGUUCUAAUUUAGAAAUUCUUGAUCUAUAUUAGAAAAAAUACACUCAUUUAGUCACUAAUUGCAAUUAGGCAAUUAAAAAUUUACAUAUUUGGUAAAAUGAUCAUUUUGCCCCUAGACUUUGGCAAAAUGACCAUUUUCCCUCUAUGCUCGAAAAUCGAUUUUUAUCGAAUUUCUUCACAUCUUAAGCCUAGCUGAAAUCUUUUUACUCUUAUAGCAACUCCAAAUUCCCUCUAUUUCACACACUUAUCACUUAUUUUGCAAUAGUCCCUUUAGGUGUUUUCAUGCUAACACCUUUCACAAAAGUUGUUUAUAAGACAACCAAGACUCAUUUUCUUCUAUAAAAACUCAGCAAACAAUACAAAUCCUCUCAUGGCAAAACCCUAAAAUCUUGAUCAUUUUGCAAAAUAGACCUCUCAUUAGAAAGCUCAUGUUUCUAGGGUCUCAAAAAUGUAAAAAUAAAAUCACUUACUUGUGAGUGCUUCAAGUUGCUGAAAAUUUUUGAAGCUUAAAGCCCCAAAAAUGGCUGAUAUUUUCAGCUAAGAAGAAAUAUGAAAUAGGGUGAUAUCAUCUUCCUUUUUCUAUUUUUUAUUUUGGUCAAAAUUGGUUACCUAAUCCCAGGAAAAUUGAAAUUUUUUACCACACGUCUCCUAUGGCCGGCCACACUAUUUCUAGGGGUCUAAUUGCCCUUUAAAGGCCCAAAAUUUAGGUUCUAUAUCUAUUUAACACCUUUAGCUAUCAAUUUAGGACUUUUGCACUUUAUGCGAUUUAGUCCUUUUUCACAAUUGGGCUCACAAACAUUAAAAUUAGCUCACCAAAUUUUUCAUGAACUAUAAUAAACAUGGUAUGACUCUAUUUUAAAAAGAUAAAAUAAUUCCUCCAACUUCAGAUUUGUGGUCCUGAGACCACUAUUCCGACUAUGCUUUAAAUCGGGUUGUUAUUUUUCUCCCCCUUAGGGAUUUUCGUCCUCGAAAAUCUUACCAGUGAAUAAGUUCAGAUACUAAUCUCUUAUAGUCUCCUUGGGUUCCCAUGUGGCUUCCUCAACUCCAUGUAUAUGCCAAAAAACUUUCACAAGUGCUGUAUUCUUAUUUCUCAACUGUUUGACUUCCUGAGCCAAAAUCUUGACUGGCUCUUCACCAUAAGUCAUGCCUGGAUGAAUCUCCACCUCUGACAGCGUAAUCACAAGCGAAAGAUCUGAUCUAUAUCAACGUAGCAUGGAUACAUGAAACAUGUCAUGAAUCUUUUCCAACUCUGGUUGUAAAACCAAUCGAUAGGCAACCGGCCCCACUCUUUCGGUAAUCUCAUAAGGUCUUAUGAAACAAGGACUCAACUUACCUUUUCUACCAAAUCUGAGGAUUUUCCUCAAUAGAGAUACUUUUGAAAAUACUUUAUCACCGAUUUGAAACUCAAUUUCCUUUCGUUUCAAAUCCGUAUAGGAUUUCUGUCUAUCUGAGGCGGCCUUCAAGCAAUCACAAAUUACUCUAUCUUUCUCGUCAGUCUCCUUGACUAAUUUGACCCCGUGAAUCUGACCCUUUCUAAGCUCAGUCCAAUAUAAGGGCAUUCGACAUUUUUUCCCAUAUAAAGCCUCAUAAGGCGCCAUUUUUAGACUUGUCUGAUAACUGUUAUUAUAGGCGAAUUCAACCAAUGAUAGAUAUUUUUCCCAACUACCUUGGAGAUCGAGGAUGCAACACUGUAACAUGUCGUCUAAUAUCUGAAUUACUUUUUUGGACAGACCGUCGGUUUGCGGAUGGAAAGCUGUGCUAAAACUCAACUUUGUUACCAAAGCCUCUUGUAACUUUUUCCAAAACCUCGAGGUAAAUCUCGAGUCUCUAUCUGAAACAAUCGAUAUGGGAACCCUGUGUAGUCUCACAAUCUCGGAAACAUACAAGUCGGCUAAUCUCUCAAGGGAGUAGUCGGUACACACAGGUAUGAAGUGUGUCGACUUUUUCAGCCUAUCCACAACAACCCAAAUAGCAUACUUUUUCUUUAGGGUUACCGAAAAACCCGUCACAAAAUUCAUAGUGAUCCGAUCCCACUUCCACUCGGGGACCAUGAUAGGUUGAAGUAGACCCGAAGGUACUUGGUGUUCAGCCUUCACUUGCUGAUACACUAGGCAUUUAGAAACAAACUCUAAAAUGUCUCUUUUCAUACCCUACCACCAAUACAUUUUCUUAAGGUCGUUGUACAUUUUCACACUGCCCAGUGGACGGACAAACAACCAUUAUGUGCCUUUCUCAGGAUCUUCUGAAUAAGCUCAUUGUUCUUGGGAGCACAAACUUUGUCUUUAUACAUUAAACAUCCGUCGGUACCAAUACAAAACUCGAACUCAUUUUCCUUUUUACACUGAGCCAUCUUAGCUUGCAACUUCUUAUCACCUUUCUGAGCUUCACGAAUCUCUUGUAGAAAUGUCAGUCUAGCUCUCAACUCUGCCAAAACCGAACCAUCAUUAGACAAAGCCAUAUUGACAUCCAUUACUCUCAGUGCAAAUAAUGAUUUUCUACUCAAUGCAUCAGCGACCACGUUCACCUUUCCCGGGUGGUAGUUAAUUACCAACUUGUAAUCCUUUAUCAGGUCUAACCACCUUCGUUGCCAUAAUUUAACUCUUUUUGAGUCAUCAAAUGCUUAAGACUCUUAUGAUCACUAAAUACUCGACAUUUCUCUCCAUACAAGUGAUGUCUCCAAAUCUUCAACGCAAAUACUAUAGCCUCCUGUUCCAAGUCAUAUGUCGGAUAGUUUCUCUCGUGUGGCUUGAGUUGUCUUGAGGCAUAGGCUAUGACCUUGCCUUCUUCCAUAAGCACACACCUCAAGCCAAUCAAGGAGGUAUCACUAAAAAUCACAAAUUCCUUGCCCGACUCCGGUUGCACUAACACUGGUGCUUCGGUCAUCAAAGCCUUCAACUUUUCGAAACUUUGCUGGCGCUUUUCUGUCCAUUCAAACUUGGCAUCUUUUUAUAGCCUCGUAAUUGGAUUAGCGAUCAUAGAAAACACAUUUACAAAUCGUCUGUAGUACCCAGCCAAUCCCAAGAAACUUCGAACCUCUAUCACCUUCUUUGGAGGUUUCCACUCAACAAUAGUCGAGAUCUUACUUGCGUCAACUCGGAUCCCGUCUCCCGACACAAGAUGUCCUAGAAACCUGACCUCCUUAAGCCAAAAUUCACACUUACUGAACUUGGCGUAUAUCUUGACUUUCAAGGUUUGCAACACAACUCUCAGAUGCUCCUCAUACUCUCUCAUCACUCGAAUAAACCAGUAUGUCAUCAAUAAAGACGACGACAAACUUAUCUGGAUAUGGCCUGAAAAUGCGGUUCAUCAAAUCCAAAAAUACCGCCAGGACAUUAGUGAAGCCGAAGGGCAUGACGAUGAACUCAUAAUGCCCAUAUCUCGUCCAAAAAGUAGUCUUUGGUACAUCUUGCUCUUUUACUCUUAACUGGUAGUAUCCAGAUGUUAGAUCAAUCUUGGAAAAUACCGUGGCUUCCUUUAACUGAUCAAAUAUGUCGUCAAUCCUUGGCAAGGGAUACUUGUUCUUCACUGUUACUUUAUUAAGCUAUCUAUAGUCGAUACAUAACCUUAUCGAUCCAUCUUUCUUCUUCACGAAAAGCACCGGGGCACCCCACGGUGAAGAGCUCGGUCUCGCAAAACCCUUAUCCGUUAACUCUUGCAACUGUACCUUCAAUUAUUUCAAUUCUGUCGGAGCCAUCUGAUACAGAACAAUCGAGAUGGGUGUCGUACCGGGGACCAACUCAAUUCCAAACUCAACUUCCCUCACUGGAGGUAUUCCGGGUAAUUCCUCUACAAACACAUCUAUAAAUUCUCAAACCACUGGUACCGAUUAAAUCUUCAACUCGGACAUUUGAGUAUUCAGCUCAAAAGCUAGGUAAGGCUCAUAUCCUUUCCUUAAAUAUUUCUCAAUAGUUAAAAACAAUACUACUCCAGGCAGAUUAUCUGACCCAUUUGGUCCAACUCAAAGAACAUUCCCGUCUUUACAUUUCAACUCAAUUAUCUCUUUCCCACAGUCCACCACAACACUAUGAGUAGUCAACCAAUCUAUCCCAAGGUUUACAUCAAAUUCAUUAAAAGACAAUAACAUCAAGUUAGCUAGAAAAUAAUGACCUCUAAUUGUGAAAGGACAAUUUCUACACACUUGGUCCACUAACACAUAUCUACCCAAAGGAUUGGACACUUUUAUCACAAAUUCAGUGGACUCUACUAUCAUGUUCAUUCGAGGUAUCAAUUCCAUACAAAUAUAGGAGUGGGUAGACCCCGAAUCAAUUAAAGCAAUGAUAGACAUAUCAUGGAUAGAAAAAGUACCCGUAAUCCCUUUGGGACACUCCGCUUUUUCGCGGACACGAAUAGCAUAAGUCCUUACAAGCACUUUGCCCUCGGACCUCACCGCAGUAUCUUUUGCUGUACCCCAGCUACUAGCCCUACUCUCGAGGUUCUUUUGUGAUCUACCCCUUAAUGGAGCACUGCUUGCCUUCAUUUCUUGUUCUUUUCUCUCUCUUCCAUAUCAGGGCAAUCACAGAUAAAGUGUUUUAGUGACCUACACUUGUAGUAGCCCCUCUCGUUUCCUUGGUACUCGCCAAAAUCACGCCUACCACAUUGAGAGCAUUCUGUCCUAUUUGCCCAAGCGCUACCGAUUCUUGCGACUGAAGUGGUCUGGGCUCUCGAAGUGGUGUUCUGCCGGUUCUUAUUUCUAUUUGAAAACCCCACUUCGAUCGGGUAGUGAAUUCCUCACAUUUCUUAGACGAGAAUUGAUAUGAUUUCCCCAUCUGUGUCUUCUUGAAAUCUCGCGACUCAAUAGCCGUUUUCUUCCUCUCUUUUACUAUCUCCUCUGCCUUGCAUGCUCUCUCAACGAGCACUACAAAUUCUCUCAGUUCUAGGAUGCCAACAAAUACUCAGAUAUCUUUAUUAAUGCCAUCCUCAAACCUCUUACACAUGGUAGCUUCAGUGGAUACGCAUUCCCGCGCAUACUUGCUGAGUUUCACAAACUCGCAUUCAUACUCCGUCACAAACUUAAUACCUUGCUUCAACUCUAAAAACUCCUUCCUUUUUUGAUCUAUGAAGAGCUAAUAUACUUCUUUCGGAAUUCUUCUUGGAAAAAUUCCCAAGUUACUCUUUCUCUCGAUACACGGAAACGAGAGUAUUCGACCACUGAUAUGUUGAAUGUCGUAGGAGCGACAAGCAUAUUUUACACACUCUUCAGGUGUGCAUGAUAACUCAUCAAAUACCCUAAUGGUAUUUUCUAACUAAAACUCUACUCUCUCCAGGUCAUCAUCUAUGCUAGCCCAGAAUUCUUUUGCCCAUUGUUUUCGGAUCUUGUCGACUGGAGGUUUCUCUCUUCUAAACAUGUCCGCACCUUGCGGAGCUACCGGGGCAUACUGAGGAAUCGGAGGAGGUGGGGGGGGGGUGGAGUGUUCGGGUUCGCACAAACGAACUCCGUGUACCAAGCAUCUAUCAUUCGGAGGUAGGCUUCUCUAGCCGCUCCAUCUUGGCCCGUAGUCACGGGCUCCCUCUCAACUAGUGCGGUCCUUUCUGCGGGAGAUGGCGCAUUACUUUUCAUGUCAUCCUCUGUGGUUCUAUCCAAAUCUAUUUACUAUUUAAAAACAUAAUUAUAAUCGUCAGAAAUCGUCACACUAAUAAUAUAUAAUUAUGGCAUGUAUGGCUAGACUUGUACUCUGGCUAGGUUAGUCCUAGAACUGACUAAACCAUAGCUCUAAUAUCACUAAAUGUAACACCCCAUACCCGUAACCCACACCGGGGCAGAGUACAAGGCAUUACCUAACUCAAUAUCAUGCUUACAACCAACCUCAAGUCACUGAGACUCGGUCCAGAUUAAAACUUUUUCUAUUUCUACUUUAACCUUCUUAUUAUGGGCCUACGAGCCCUAAAUCGAUCAUUGAAAACUAUUCGAAAACUUUAUGGGUCCUUAAACCAACCUUAAGAAAUUCGCCUUUAAAAUAGGACACACGCCCGUGUGGAAGGAUAACACGCCCGUGUGACCAUUUUGACGUGGUCGUGCUGAUGGCCCGUGUGGCUCACACGGCCUAAGCACCCUGGGACAUGCCUGUGUCCCAUACUCGUGUAGAAUUAAUUUAUACUUUUCACCUACAGGGGUUUUCACACGGCCAGACACAUGCCCGUGUCAAUGUCCCGUGUCCCUCACACGGCUACGACACGCUCAUGUUCUAGUCCGUGUGCAAAAACUUGGACAUUCUGUUUCUAAUGUCAGCAUCCUUAAAAUGUCACAUGGCCAUGGCACAUGCCCAUGUACUAGGCCGUGUCCUCCACACAUAUGAGACACACGGUCGUGUCUCUUCCUGUGUAUUUAUUACCAUGCAUACUGACUUGAAAUUUUUACGUGCAGGGGACACACGGCCGAGCUACAUGCCUAAGGGGCAGACUAUGUGUCACACACAGCCUAGACACAUGCCUAUGUGUCUACCCAUGUGGACGAUAUAAGGCUAUUUGUCAAGCCUCAUUGCCACCCUUAUAUACCUAGUUCUAUGCAAAUACCAACUAAUACAAAGACAAACACAAUUUCUAUAAUCAAACAGCCAUAAUAGACAUUCAUUUAACCAUGGCAAUAUAUCUUUAUAAAUUAAAAUAAAUGUUAGCCAUCAUUGAAGGCUUAAUACAAAAUGAUGGGUUCCCAACCCAAGUCAUUACCAUUGGCCAAUUCUCAAAGGAGCAAAAUAAUAAAGUCUAAGCCGUAUACAUGCCAUAUUCAAAAAUAUAAAUCCAACUAUACCAGUUGCUUCGGCUGAUAGUGUGAUCGAUAUCUCUGACUUUUGGUGAUCCUUGAGCUAGAUAGGCGGCAUUGUAAGGAAAUAGAACGAAAAGGGAGUAAGCAUAAAGCUAAGUAAGUUGCACAUAAAUAGAUAUACAACAAUAAGUCUACCAUUUAUCAACAACUCAUGAUACCAAAGUGGGUAUAAGCAUGACGUACUCUUCACAUCAUACAAAUCACAUAGCAUAUACAAUGAGUUCACAUCUUAUACAUAUGCAUCACUUAGGUACCUGUAAUACUCACAGUACAGUUAUAUGAUAAACCGUAAUUUAUACAUAUUUCUAUCCCAUGCUUAGCACAUUUUAUGGAUGAUUUUUCCUUAGAUUUGGUGAAUUCGCUGCUCCUCAUGCCUUAAUUUCAUGUUUUAUACUUAGGUGAGUAUAGGAGAGUGAAAGGAAUGAGAAACGGGCCAAAAACGGAGAAAAUGAGCCAACGUACGAAAUCAACACGGCCUGGACUUCCUAACACGGGCAGACCACACGGUCGUGUCAAUUUGGCAGAAUUGAAACACGACUCACAUGGGUAGACCACACGCCCGUGCCUAUUUAACAUGCUUGACCACGGCUUGAAGUAAUUGCACACGGGCGUGUCACACGGGCGUGUCCCUGUCGAGCCAAAGCAGAGUCCUAUUCCGAAAAGGCCACUUUUGAGGGCUCUUAGGCAUUCCAAAGCCUAUAAAUACACCCUAGAAGAGGAGAAGAGGGGGGAUGCACAGGAGGAAGGAAGGAAUUGCUCAAAGAAAUCUCUUUGAUCCAUCUUAGAAGCCGGAUUCACCAUCAAGACUGAAGAUCUCCCUUCAGAUUCCCUCAAGAGUCUUGGGUUUUCUUAUGUUUUGUUAUUUUUAUUCUUUUAAGAUGUUUUCUUUCAUUAGUAUGAACUAAAAACCCUAAAUACCCUAGGGGAAUGAAACCUAAGAUGGAUCUUGUUUUUAUUAUCUGAAUUGUAUGAUAAAUGUUUGACUUGUUCUUAAUUAUGUGUUCUUAAUUCUUGUUUUAAUAUUCCAGGAUAUUGAUUCAAGUUAAGCUCUUAUUCAGAGGAGGAAUAGACCCUGUCUAAGAGUAAAUUUGUCAAAUUGAAGCGGAGUUGGUUGCGCGCCUAGAGAUAGGGUGACAAGAUUUUACCGGAUUAGGGUGAAACCUAAUAUGGGAAUCCAUAGAUCGAAUUAAUGCAACCUUAGGGCGUUAAUUAGAAAGGGAUUUUAAUUAUUCAAUCUAGGGUUAGACGUUGUUAGUCUCGAGAGAGAUAAUAAUAUAACUUAGGGAUCUCUACGGAACAAGUUGAAUGAAUAAAUCGUUCGAUUCAGAGUCAAAUGACAAGUGAAGUCUAGGUGGAUUUUUCCUUAGGUAUUGUCUUAAUCAAUCGAAUUUUCCAAAAAGUAUUUUCCCCAAAUUUCUUUUUUGUGAUUUCUUAGUUUAAUUAAUUAGUUAGAUAAACAAAACCCUUUUAUUUUUUAGGAUAGAUAAUAAAAAGAAAGUUGAUACUAGUACUUUUAGUUCCUUUGGGUUCGAUAAUCUGGUCUUGCUAAAGCUAUACUACUGUUCGAUAGGUACACUUGCCUUCAUCGUGAUAAUAGUUAGUUUCAAGAAUGAUUCAUUAUAAAUAUUUAAAACCUGUCACGAAUAUCACGUAUCAUUAUACUUUCCUAAUUAACUUAAAUUUAUAACUCUCGUUGUUGAACCAUUCAAAACACUACCAGAUAUUCCAUAAGUCUCAAUCAUGGGUAAGAUGCCGAUGCCAUAUCCCAGACACGGUCUUACACUAGCUAUCAUCACCAAGGCCGAUGCCAUGUCCCAAACAUGGUCUUAUACUAGCUCUCACAUAUUUGUGCUGACACCAUGUCCCAGACAUGGUCUUACAUUGACAUAUCUCGUAGCCAAUGCAUGUCCCAGACAUGUCUUACAUAGGCUUACGUCCCGAGGCUGAUGCAUGUCCCAGACAUGUCUUACACUAGCACUCUUCUCAAUGUCGAUGCCAUGUCCCAGACAUGGUCUUACACUGGCCAUCAUAAUGUGGCCGAUGCAUGUCUCAGACAUGUCUUACACUAGCCCACAAUAACCUAUAUGCCAUGGCAUGAAUAUCCAAUUUAAUUCCUAGGUUUAAACGGGAACUCUGCUAUCUUGUUAUCAUCAUGCUUUCUUAAUUCUAAAAUCAAGUAAUUCAUGCUAUAUUAAUUUCAAGUAUAAUUCAACACAUACAUUAACUAUUUAGUUGUAUUAUUUACAUACAACUUACCUCAGAUUUCAAAAUGUAGCGAGUAUAUAGUUUAGUCGAUUUGCUUGGCUUUCCCUUGGUCUUGGUUCUGCUUUAGAAAUUCUUGAUCAAUAUUAGCAACAAUAAACUCAUUUAGUCACUAAUUACAAUUAGGCAAUUAAAAAUUUACAUCUUUGGUAAAAUGACCAUUUUGCUCCUAGACUUUGGCAAAAUAACCAUUUUGCCCCUAUGCCCUAAAAUCAAUUUUUAUCGAAUUUCUACACAUCUUAAGCCUAUUUGAACUCUUUUUACUCUUAUAGAAACUCCAAAUUCUCUCUAUUUCACACACUUAUCACUUAUUUUGUAAUUUGUGGAAAAUAGUCCCUUUAGGUGUUUUCAUGCUAACACCUUUCACAAAAGUUGUUUACAAGACAACCAAGACUCAUUUUCUUCGAUAAAAACUCAACAAAAAACACAAAUCCUUUCUUCCAUAAAAACCCAGCAAACAACACAAAUCCUUUCAUGGCAAAACCCUAAACUCUUGAUCAUUGUGUAAAAUAGACCCCUCAUUAGAAAGCUCAUGUUUCUAGGGUCUUAAAAAUGUAAAAAUCAUUAAGAGAGACUAUCAAAAUCACUUACUUGUGCGUGCUUCAAGUUGUUAUAAAUUUUUGAAGCUUAAAACCCCAACAAUGGCUAAUAUUUUUAGCUAAGAAGAAAUGGGAAAUAGGGUGAUAUCAUCUUCCUUUUUCUAUUUUCUAUUUUAGUCAAAAUUGGUCACCUAAUCCCACAAAAAUUGAAAUUUUUGACCACACAUGUCUCCUAUGGCUAGCCACCCUAUUUCUAGGGCUUUAAUUUCCCUUUAAAGGCCCGCAAUUUAGGUUCUCUAGCUAUUUAACACCUUUUAACUAUCAAUUUAGGACUUUUUCACUUUAUGCAAUUUAGUCCUUUUUUCUCAAUUGGGCUCACAAAUGUUAAAAUUAGCUUAACAAAUUUUUCAUGAACUAAAAUAACCAUGAUAUGACUCUAUUUUAAAAAAAUAAAAUAAUUCCUACAACUUUGGAUUUGUGGUCCCGAGACUACUAUUCUGACUAGGCCCUAAAUCGAGCCGUUAUAGGACUUGCAAGACCGAGUUUCUCAGCUUGGGGUGCUCAUGUUUUGUUUGUGAAAUAGAAAGAUGGUACGAUGAGAAUGUGUAUUGAUUAUCAUUAGUUGAAUAAAGUAACUAUUAAGAACAAAUACCCUCUUCCCCGAAUUGACAAUUUUUUUUGAUCAGUUAAAAGAAGCUACUAUGUUUUCAAAGAUCGAUCUGAGAUCGGGCUAUUAUCAGUUGCGAGUAAAAGAUUCAAACAUUUUGAAAACUACUUUGGAAUGAGGUACGGACGCAACGAGUUUUAGUUAUGCCUUUCGGAUUAACAAAUGCACCUACUAUCUUUAUGGAUUUGAUGAACAAAAUUUUUAGACCAUAUUUAGAUCAAUUUUUUGUCGUAUUCAUUGAUGACAUAUUGAUUUAUUCGCAAGAUGAAUCAGAGCAUGCCGAACAUCUGAAAAUAGUGCUACAGACUUUGCGAGAUAAGCAACUAUAUGCAAAGUUUAACAAGUGUGAAUUCUGGUUACGAGAAGUUGGUUUUUUGGGCCAUAUUGUAUCAGCAUCUGAUAUUCGAGUUGAUUCAAACAAAAUUUCAGCUAUUCUAGAAUUGGAAGCCUCCGAGAAAUGUCUCUGAAGUCCAUAGUUUUCUGGAACUUGCUGGUUAUUAUAGGCGGUUUGUAAAAGGCUUUUCUAUGAUUGCAACUCUGCUGAUGAAAUUGCUUCAAAAAGAUGUAAAAUUUGAAUGGUCUGAAAGGUGUCAGAAAAGCUUCGAUUGGUUGAAAGCCCUAUUGACUGAAGCUCCAGUGUUUGUACAAUUCGAACCGAGUAAAGAAUUUGUGAUCAAUAGUGAUGCUUCGUUAUACGGUUUGGGAUGUCUUUUGAUGCAGGAAGGGAAAGUCAUUACUUAUGCUUCGAUAUAGUUAAAGUCACAUGAAAAGAAUUAUCCGACACAUGACCUUGAGUUAGCUGCGAUUGUGUUUGCUUUGAAAAUAUGGCGUCACUAUCUGUUCAGUGAGAAAUGUCACCUUUAUUUUGAUCAUAAGAGUUUGAAAUAUCUGAUAACUCAGAAAGAUUUGAAUCUACGACAGAAAAGAUGGUUAGAACUGUUAAAAUACUAUGAGCUUGUUAUUGAUUAUCAUCCGGAAAAAGCAAAUGUUGUUGCUGAUGCUUUGAGUCAGAAAUCAUUGUUUGCUCUACGUACGAUGAAUGCUUAUUUGGUUGUGUCUGAUGAUGGUUCAGUUUUAGUUGAAUUAAAAGUAAGACCGUUAUUUAUUCAACAAAUUAUCAAAGCUCAGAAGAUUGAUAAUUAAAUUUUUGCAAAACGAGCUUAGUGUAAUUUAGAUUCUGAUUCAGAAUUUAGAGUUGAUAAUUAUGAUUGUUUGAGAUUUCGAGGUCAAAUUUGUGUUUUGAUAAAUUCAGAGUUGAUUCAAAUGAUUUUGAAUGAAGCUCAUAACAGUCGUUUAUCUAUUCAUUCUGGUAGUACUAAAAUGUAUAAUGAUUUGAAACAGCAUUAUUGGUGGUCUGGAAUGAAAAGAGAUAUAGUGUCCCUUAUCUGGCAUUGUUUCUAAAUGUUUAAUCUGUUAGCAAUUAAAACUUAACAUCAAGUGCCAUCUGGUUUGUUACAACCAAUUAUGAUUUCGAAAUGAAAAUGAGAUAAAGUGACAAUGGAUUUUGUUUCGAGGUUGCCCCUAUCUCCGCAUAAGAAAGAUGCUGUAAGGGUUGUAGUUGAUCGAAUGAUGAAAUCAACCCAUUUUAUUCCGGUAUGAUCUAAUUACUCGCUUGAUAAGUUAGCUGAGUUAUACAUUUCCAAUAUUGUGAAAUUACACGGUGUACCAUUAUCUAUUAUGUCAGACAAAGAUCCCAGAUUUACAUCACGAUUCUGGAAGAAAUUGCAAGAUACUUUGGGUACGAAAUUGCAUUUCAGUACUACUUUCCAUUCACAAACGGAUGGUCAAUCCGAGUAGAUUAUUCAGAUUCUUGAAGAUAUGUUGAGAUCUUGCAUUCUUGAAUUUGGAAGUACGUGGGAACAAUAUUUUCCUUUGAUUGAAUUCGCCUACAAUAAUAGUUUUCAAUCAAACAUUAAAAUGGCACCGUACAAAGCCUUAUAUGGUCGCAAAUGCCGUACAUCUUUGUAUUGAACUGAGCUUUGUGAAAAUAAAAUACACGAGGAUGAUUUGAUAAAAGAAACUGAACAAAAUGUAAAAGUGAUCCGAGAUAGUCUGAAAGUGGCUUCGAUCGUUAGAAAUCAUAUGCAAAUUUGAAACGAAAAGACAUUGAAUUUGAGAUCAGCGACAAGGUGUUUCUAAAAGUAUCCCUAUGGAAGAAAGUACUCUGAUUUGGCAGAAAAGGCAAAUUGAGUCCAAGAUUCAUCGGGCGUAUGAGAUUAUUGAGCGUAUCGGGCCAGUUACUUAUAGAUUGUUGUUGCCACCAGAAUUAGAAAAGAUUCAUGAUGUGUUUCACGUAUUGAUGCUUCGACGAUAUAGAUCCAAUCCUUCGUAUGUAAUUUCUCCGUUUGAGAUUGAGAUUCAGUCUGAUAUGACCUACGACGAAAAAACGAUCCGUAUCUUAGCGUACGAAGUUAAAGAACUACGAAAUAAGAACCUUUUGUUAGUUAAAGUAUUGUGGCCUUCUAUUUGUUAAAAGUGUCUAUUUGAUAUGGCUUAUUAAUUAUGAGGUCCUUAUGUUGUUAUUAUUCCAUUUAUAUCAAAAGUGGACUAAAAUGGCCUUAUAUGUUAAUGUUUUUAUAUAUUAUUAAUCAAGGGCAAAAUUGGAAUUUAGUAAUUUAAGUUAUAUUAAUAAAACAAAACAUAAAAACAGGCCAUUAUAUGUUUGUUUAUGUCAAAAAUUGAUGAACAAAAGAAAAGAAAAAGAACUCUAGGGUUCGGCUAAAGAACUCUAUGAUUAAAGAAUGUGUUUUGAUCCAUUUGUGAUCAUUUCUACGUUUUUGUAAUCGUUGCUUAGUAAUCCAUCAAACCGAUGUCUCAAUUUCUGAUUUUGUUGAUGAUUUUGAGUUGAGCCAUUGAUGAAAUUAUAAGCUUUGUUGAAAAAGAAGCUUGAUGUUCGGUUAACAUGUUUUGUCUUUGAAUUUUUGAUGAAUUUGAGUACAAUGGACUAAAUUUUGAAAAUGAGUUUUUGAGGGACUAAAAUAUGAAGUAAAUGAAAUAUGUGGGCUUGUAUGAGCUAUAUAAAAAUUUGGCUAGACAUGUGUAUAAUGAAAUUAUGUGUAUUUUGUGAUUUUGUGAAUUAGGGACUAAAGUGUCAAAAUGUGAAAAUGUGAGGGCUAAUCUGUAAAAUACCCUAAAUAUGUGUUUGUGGAUUAAUUUGAAUGAAAAUGAAAAUGAAUGAGUUUAAUUUGAAUUGAUUUAGAUCAAGAACCAAAGAAAACAGAAUUAGAUCAGGGGAAAAUGAAAGUCGUUGAAUAGUUGCUUAUUUCCGUUCAUUUUCGUACGAGGUAAGUCUACAUACAGAUAAAUGUAUUUGAAAUUGUUUAUUUAUAUGUUGGCAUCGACUUACGUGUAAGACCACGUCUUGGACGUUGGCAUCGUAUUUUAUUUACCUGUAAGACCACGUCUGGGACGUUGGUAUCGUAUUUGAUUUUAUGUAAGACCCUGUCUGGCACAGUGGCAUCGAUAUUUGAUUACAUGUAAGACCACGUUGGGGACGUUGGCAUUGUACAAGCCUUCCGAGUUAUCUGCGUAUCUUUAUGAUUACGAACUGUUCAACUGGCAUUCUGAGAAAUGAAUGAUAAUGAAAUUUUUAUUCGAUUCAGGUACGUUCGAAGUUGUAUACCAUAUUUGAUGUUGAAAGAUAAGUAUAUGUAUCUUUAUGGUUAGAUAAGUAUAUGUGACAAAAUCAUAAGAAAAUAUGCAUUAUGUGCAAAUGGAUGAAGAAUAUGUGAAAUGUAUUUGAGCUAUGUGUUUUGUGAUAGCAUGUGGUUAAAGAUUAUACGUAUAUUAUGGUGCUUAUAUGUUUAUAUUGUUAAGUUUUUUUGUAUAUGGCUUACUAAGCUUUUGAAAGCUUACUUUGUGUGUGUUUACAUUGUUUUAUAGAUAUCGUAGCUAUUGGGAGCUCGGGGAUCAUCGAGGAUCAUCACCACACUAUCAAACUAUAUUUUGGUACCUUUUGAAAAUGUAUAUAUUGAAGUAUGGCAUGUAUAGGCUAAAAGUACUUUGAUUAUGUUUUGUCAUGUAUAUAAAUCUAGCCAUGUGAUUUGGCUUGAUUAUGGUUGUGUAUAUGAAUGAGUUUUUGCUAUAAAAUAUGUGAUGCAAUUGAUUAUUAUGAUGUAAUUUGAAUGGCUAUAGAAAUUGGUCAUUUUGGUAAGUAAUGGUAUAUGUUUAUUUGAGAAAAUGGUAAGUUUUGAUCAUGAGAUUGAAUGAUGUAAGUUGAGGUAUUGAAACAUAUAUCUUGGUAUGAUUUUGGUUUAGAUUUGAUAUGAUUUGGUUGAUGAAUUGAGACUGAAAUUUGUUGAUAAUGUAAUGGCAUGAAUAAUGUAUGUUUUGGUAUUUAAUUGGCUUAAAUUAUGAUGUAAAUGUGCUUGGUUUGAUGUUUAUAGGUUCGACCCAAAAUGGGUGGCAAAUUGGCUUUUCAAAUGACCUAUUUUUGUCCACACAGACAUGUGCCUCAGCUAUGUGCGACACACGAUCAUGUUGCACGGUCGUGUGUCCCCUAGGGUACCCUACGAUUUUAAGUCAGGCUUAAGCACGGGCAAGGCACACGGACGUGUCUUGUGGCCGUAUGAUUAAGUCAGUAUGGAUGCCUAUUUUUACACGGCCUAGACACACGGACGUGUCUAAAGCUGUGUGAGGCUCACGGCCUAUUCACACGGGCGUGUGACCUGUAUAACUUUGAAAUAUGUUUAAGUUUUGAAAAAUUCUGUAUGAGCUCGGUUCAGUCCUGACCCCUUUCUAAAACAUGUUUAAGAUCUCGAUGAUCUAAAUAAAUGACAUUAUAUUGAUGUUUGAUCUUUGAUGCUAUGGUAUUUUUGAAAUGAAUGUUAAAUGUUCCGAUUUGUCCGGUAAUGGCUUUAACCCUAGUUCGGUGAUGGAUAUGGGUUAGGGGUGUUACAUUUGGUUGGUGUCAGAGCUACGGUUUAGUCGAUUCUAGGACUAACGUAGCAUAUGUGAGUCUAGCUAUACAUGCCAUAUUUAUGAAUUGUGAUAGUGUGAUGAAACCUGAUAAUGAAAAUGCGUUUUUAUAUAGCAUUUGGAUCCCAAACGAGCCAUAGCUGACAAUGUCGAGAGUAAUGUGCCUGCUCCCGAGUAAGGGACAGCGCCAUCUGAUUCUAGACCAGCUACGAGUAGCCAUGAUGGAAAGGCUAGACAAGCCUUCUAUCAAAUGAUGAAUGAUUGAUUUAGUCAGUACAUUAGAACUAAUCCGGCUGUUCAACAACCCCCAACCCCGGCUAAUCCUUCGCAAGUCCCUGCUAUGUUGCAAGUUAAUCCGAAUCAGUGGAUUAAGCCUCCGGUUGAUAAGAUUAGAAAAUAUGGGGCCAAAGAGUUUCGAGCUACCACUAGUGAUGAUAUUAAGAGAGUUGAGUUCUGGCUAGAGAAUACGAGAAGAGUAUUUAAUGAAUUGUCUCUGACUCUGGAUGAAUGCAUAAAAUGUGCCGUUUCACUUCUGAGAGAUAUGGCGUAUCAUUGGUGGAAGACUUUGAUAUUAGUGGUUCUGAGGGAACGAGUUACUUGGGAUUUCUUCCAAGUUGAAUUUUGAAAAAAAUACAUCAGUCAGAGAUUUAUCGAUCAGAAUCGUAAAGAGUUUAUUGAGCUUAAACGAGGCCAUAUGUUUGGUACAGAAUAUGAGUGAGAAUUUGUAAGACUGAGUCAAUAUGCUUGAGAAUGUGUAUCUACUGAGGCAAUAAUGUGAAAAAGAUUUGAAGAUGGCUUGAACGAGGAUAUCUAUUUGUUAGUCGGGAUUCUUGAGAUUAAAGAAUUCGUUGUGCUUGUUGAACGAGCAUGUAAAGCUGAAGAGCUCGGGAAAGAGAAAAGAAAAGAUGAUUCAGAAACUAGAGAUGUAAGAAAGAGAUCUGCAAGUAAAUCAUUUCAAUCUGCGUCAAAGAAAUUCCGAGAUGAUUAUAGCCAUUCAAAGGCUAAUGUGGGACAUUUGAGUAGAGAUUAUGCUAAAUUGCAUUCAUGUUUCAAAGCUCCAGAUACAUCUGUUGCUAGUGUUAGAAAUGUUCGAUUUGAUCGCCCUGAGUGCAAACAAUGUGGUAAAAGACAUCCCCACAAUUGUAGACUGCAGGAUCGAGCUUGUUUCAAAUGUGGAUCAUUAGACCAUUUCAUCCGUGAUUGCCCUGAAUCUGUUGAGCAAUAAAUUGUACAAAAUCUGAGACCUAGAAACACUUUAGCUCGAGGUAGACCUUCUAGAAAUACGGGUAAUGUGAGUAUCAGUCAGAGGGAAACAAAAGACAUUACUACUAGAUCCGAGGCUCGUGCACCUGCUAGAGCCUAUGCCAUUCGAGCUCGUGAGGAAGCUUCGUAUCCAGAUGUAAUUACGGGUAAUUUUACACUUUACUAUACUUUUGUGAUUGCUUUGAUAGAUCCAGGAUCAACGCAUUAUUAUAUAUGCAUGAACUUAGUGAACAGUAAGACUUUGCCUGUAAAGUCUACUGAAUUUGUAUUUAAAGUUUUGAACCCCCUAAGAAGAUCUAUUUUGGUUGAUAAAGUUUUCAAGAACUGUCCGUUAAUGUUUCGAGACAUUUGUUUUCUGGCUCAUCUGAUGUUAUUGCCCUUUGAUGAGUUUGAUAUAAUUUUGGGUAUAGAUUGGCUAAUUUUGCACGAUGCUAUUGUGAAUUGCAAGUAGAAAACUAUUGAUUUGAGAUGCAAGAAUGAUGAAAUAAUUUGAAUUGAAUCUAGCGAUUUGAAUGGAUUGCGUGCUGUGAUAUCUUUGAUGAAAGCUCUAAGUAUUGUGAAAAAAGGUGGUGAAGCUUACUUUCCCUAUGUGAUUGAUUGGAAAGUGUCAGACAAGAAAGUUGAAUCAGUGCUUGUUGUCUGUGAAUUCCCUGAUGUGUUUCUUAAAGAAUUUCUAAGAUUACCUCUAAUUUGAGAAGUUGAAUUUGGCAUUGAGUUGUUAUUGGGAACUAACCUGAUUUCGAUAGCUCCGUAUAGAAUGGCUCCGACUGAAUUAAAAGAAUCAAAGUCUCAGUUACAAGAGUUGACAGAUAGAGGACUUGCAAGACCAAGUUUCUGACCUUGGGGUGCUCCUGCUCUGUUUGUGAAAAAGAAAGAUGGUACGAUGAGAAUGUGUAUUGAUUAUCGUCAGUUGAAUAAAGUAGCUAUUAAGAACAAAUACCCUUUGCCCCUAAUUGAUGAUUUGUUUGACUAGUUAAAAGGAGCUACUGUGUUUUUCAAAAAUAGAUAUGAGAUGGGGUUAUUAUCAGUUGCGAGUAAAAGAUUCAAACAUUCCAAAAACUACUUUCCAAAUGAGGUACGAACACGAGGAGUUCUUAGUUAUGCCUUUCGGAUUAACAAAUGCACCUGCUAUCUUUAUGGAUUUGAUGAACAUAAUUUUUAGACCGUAUUUAGAUUGAUUUGUUGUCAUAUUCAUUGAUGACAUAUUGAUUUAUUUGCGUAAUGAAUCAGAGCAUGCCGAACAUCUGAGAAUAGUGCUACAGACUUUGCAAGAUAAGCAAUAUGUGAAGUUUAAAAAAUGUGAAUUCUGGUUACGAGAAGUUGGUUUUCUGGGCCAUAUUGUAUCAGCAUUUGGUAUUUGAGUUGAUUCAAACAAAAUUUCAGCUAUUCUGGAUUGGAAGCCUCCGAGAAAUGUCUUUAAAGUCUGUAGUUUUUUGGGACUUGUUGGUUAUUAUAGAUGGUUCAUAAAAGGCUUUUCUAUGAUUGCAACUCCGUUGACAAAAUUGCUUCAAAAAGAUGUAAAACUUGAAUGGUUAGAAAGUUGUUAGAAAAGCUUCGAUUAGUUGAAAGCCCUAUUGUAACAGUCCAAUUUUGACCCUAGUCGGAAUAAUGGUUUCUGAGUUAGAAAAAUAUUUUACCUAUUAUAAGUGAAUUUACAUGUGUGAAAGUCUCGUGUGAAGAUUUAACUAUUUGUGUGUUUAAUUGGCAAAAAAAGGAUUUAAUCUCGUAGAAUGUAAAAGUUGUGUGCUAGAUGCUAAAGUGCCAAAUUGCUAUGUCUUUAUAAUUGUAAGGUCCUUAGGUUGUAAAUGGACCCUUGGAAUAAUGCAUGGACAAAGUUAGUCAUGAUUUUAUGAAUUAUUAAUGUUAUAAAGCAGGGGUAUAUUGGUAAAACAUGUAUUAAUGUAUGUUUAAUAAAACAAAACUUAAAAAUAGGCCAUUAUGUUCAUCUUUGGCUAAAAAUUAGAAAAGAAAAAGAAGAAAGAAUGCAAGCUAGAGUUUCGGCAUGUUGAGCUUGAAUUAAUGUAUGUUUUAGUUUCAGUUUUUGAUGAUUUUUAUGUUUUUGAGAUUGUUGCUUAGUCUACUAUCAAGCCCAUGUCAUAAUUUGUGGAAUUGAUGAUGUGUUCAUGAGAUGAAGUUGUUGAAUAUGUGAUUCUUAUGUUGUUAAAUAAUUAAUUAUGGAAGCUUGGUAUGUGAUUAAUAUAUUUUGUCUUUGGAUUUUGGAUGAAAUUGAGUAUUUUGGGCUAAAUUGUGAAAUUAUUGUUUUGGGGGACUAAAAUGUAAAAUAAAUGAAAUAUAUGGAUUUGUAUGAGAGCUAGGAGAAUUUGGGUAGGCUUUUGUACAAGCAAAUUCUGUGUAAUUUGUGACUUGUUGAAUUAGGGACUAAAGUGUCGAAAUGUGAAAAUGUGAUGGCUAUUUUGAAAAAUGCCCUAAUUGUGUGUAUAUGGAUUGUUUUAAAUAAUUUGGUGAAUAAAAGAGUUAAUUUUGAAUACAUUUAGAUUAAGAAAAGAGGAAUUCGGAUUUAGACCAAUGAAAGCCGAAGAUUGUAGAAUAAACGUUCAAGUCGACAACUUCGAGUACGAGGUAAGUUUGUACGUAGAACAUGGUAUUAUAAGUACAUAUUUAUAUUUUGAUUAUACAUAGAUGUUUAAAUAAUUGAGCUAAAUGUAUAUGAUGAUGAAUCGAAAGCUUUAGCACUAAGUGUGCGAUUUAAACUAGCUUUGGCUACUUGAGGCACUAAGUGUACGAUACCGACUUAGUCUCACUUAUUUGAGAUGGCACUAAGUGUGCGAAAAUAUUCUAGCUUUGGCUGACCUUAUAGCACUAUGUGUGUAGAUGUUUAAAAUAUGAAUAAGCUAUGGAAAGUCUUAUAACAUUCAAUAAGAGGUAAGUAUGAAAGUGAAUAAGUACGGGAAGAUCCAGGUAUGUAUGAUACCUAAGUGGUAGAUGAUAUUAUGUAUGUGAAUUUCAUUGAGUUGAUAUGAUCUUAUGGAUUGGCAUUGUGCAAAUACUCAUAUGUUUCAUAUAAUGUUGAUGAUUUGAGUACGAGCUUACUAAGCUUUUGGAAGCUUACUGUGUUUCAUAUUUUUCAUAUAUCGUAGCUACUGCAAGCUCGAGGAUCUUCUAGGAUCAUCAGCAUACUAUCGAACUUCAUUUUGGUAUAUUUUGAAUAUAUAUAUAUUUGAAGUAUGGCAUGUAUAGGCUAGUAGUUGUAGAAGUAUGUUUUGUGAUGUAUAUAUAUUUAGCCAUGUGAAUUGGCUAAUUUGUGUUUGAACUCAUAGUUGAUAAUGGUUUAUGAUAUGUGAUGUUAAUUUGAAAUUGUAGUAUGCUUAGUUGGAUAAAGAAAAUGGUAAGCGUGGUGAGUUUUUGGAAUGAUAUUGCGUGAUAAUUUGAUAUAAUUUUAGAUUAUGUUCAUUAUAAAUAGGUAAGGUUUAUAAGUAUGUAAAUGGUUGAUAAUAUUAUGGUAUGAGUGAUAUGUGUUUUAGCAUGAAAAAUUGGUUGAUUGGAUUGUACAUAUAUGCUUAUUUCCAUGCUUGUAGGUUGACCCAAAAAGGGGUGGCAAUUUGGCUUAAACCAAGCGUGCAUUGUGCCACAUGGCCAUAGCACACGGGCGUGUCUGUUGGCCAUGGGGAAAAGUCAGUAUGUAAACUUUGUUUUGGCACGGCUGGUUUCAAGGGUGUGUCUGGUGCUCGUGUGAGGCACACGGCCUGGUUACAUGGCCGCGUGACCUCAACAGAAUGGAAAAAUUUUCUAAGUAUUGAAAUUUGUGAAUGUGUUCGGUUUAGUCCCGACCUCUUACUAAUGCAUGUUCAUGGUCUCAUUGACCUAAGAAAGGAACUUAAUGUUUAUGUUUGAUUAUAAUAUGAUGAUGUUUGACUUUUGAUUGUAAAGUGAUUACGAAAUGUUCUGAUGUGUCCAGUAAUGCCUCAUAACCCUAGUCUGAUGAUGGAUACGGGUUAGGGGUGUUACAUUUAGUUAGUAUCAGAGCUAUAGUUUAGUCGGUUCUAGGACUACCAUAGCGUAUGUGAGUCUAGCUAUACAUGCCAUAUAUCUGAAACUGCGAUAGUGUGAUGAAUCUUGACAUUGAAAUGUGCUUUUGUCUAGCAAUGGAUCCCGAUAGAGCUGUACUGAUAUGUUGAAAGCAAUGCACCUACUCCCGUGCAAGGGACGGUGCAAGCUGAUUCUCGACCGGCUACAAGUACCCGUGAUGGUGAGGCUAAGCAAGCCUUCUAUCAGAUGGUGAAUGAUUGGUUCACCCAAUACAUUAGAACCAAUCCGGCUGUACAACAACCUCCACCCCCGGUUGAUCCUCCUCAAACUCCUGUUAUGCCCCAAGUAAAUCCAGUACAAUUGAGUGGGCCACCAGUUGACAAGAUUAGAAAAUAUAGAGCUGAAGAAUUCCGAGCUACCACAAGUGAUGAUGCAGAAAAAGCUGAGUUUUGGUUAAAGAACACAGCAAGAGUGUUUGAUGAGUUAUCUUUGAGUCUAGAAGAAUGUAUAAAAUGUGCUGUUUCACUUCUGAGAGACACGGCGUAUCAUUGGUGGAAAACUUUGACAUCUAUAGUUCCGAGUGAAAGAGUUAGUGGGAUUUCUUCCAAGCUGAAUUUCGAAAAAAAUAUAUCAGCCAAAGAUUGAUUGAUUAGAAACGCAAAGAGUUUUUUGAACUUAAACAAGGUCAUAUAUCUGUCACAGAAUAUGAGCGGGAAUUUGUAAGGUUGAGUCAAUAUGCCCGUGAAUGUGUAUCUUCGGAAGAAAUAAUGUGCAAGAGAUUUGAAGACGGUUUGAAUGAGGAUAUUCGUCUGCUAGUUGGUAUUCUAGAAAUCAAAGAAUUCGUGGUGCUAGUUGAACGAGCAUGUAAAGCGGAAGAUCUUGGGAAAGAUUAAAGAAAGGCUGAUUCUAAAGCUAGAGAGGUACGAAAGAGAUCAUUGGGUAAAUCAUUUCAGUCUGGAUCCAAAAAUUUUAAAGAUGAUAGUAGUCAUUCAAAGGCUAGUGCAGGAUAUCUGAACAGAGAUCGUGUUAGAUUGCAAUCGAAUUACAAAUCUUUAGCCACAUCUAUUGCUAGUGUUGAUAAUGCAAAGAAUGAAAGGCCUAAAUGUGAUCAAUGUGGAAGAUGACACUUUGGUGAAUGCUGGGGAAAGAGUAAUAAUCGACCUUGUUAUAGUUGUGGUUCACGAAACCAUUUUAUUAAAGAUUGCCCAGAUUUAGCUGAACAAGAUAAGUUUCAGAAUCCGAGACAGAGUGGUAAUGAUUCUCGUGGCAGGCCUCCUAAAAAUUUAGGAAAUGUGAGUGGUAGUCAAAGAGGAACGAAAGAUACAACUGUUAGAUCUGAGGCUCGUGCACCUACCAGAGCAUACGCUAUUCGAGCUCGAGAGGAAGCUUCAUUGCCAGAUGUGAUUACGGGUACAUUUACUCUCUUUGAUACUUUUGUAAUUGCUUUGAUAGAUCCUGGAUCAACACAUUCAUAUAUAUGCAUGAACUUAGUGAACAAUAAGACUUUUUCUAUAGAGUCUACUGAAUUUGUGAUUAGAGUUUCGAACCCCCUAGGCAGAUGUUUUCUAGUUGAUAAAGUCUGCAAGAAUUGUCCGUUAAUGUUUCGAGACAAUUUUUUUCAGUUGAUCUUAUGUUAUUACCUUUUGAUGAGUUUUAUAUAAUUCUGGGUAUGGAUUGGUUAACCUGGCAUGAUGCUGUGGUGAAUUGUAAACGAAAAACUAUUGAUUUGAGAUGCAAGAAUGAUGAAAUGGUCAGAAUUGAAUCUAGUGAUUUGAAUGGAUUGCCUGCUUUGAUUUCUUCGAUGAAAGCUUUGAGUAUUGUGAGAAAGGGUUGUGAAGCCUACUUUGCUUAUGUUAUUGAUUCAAAAGUGUCAGAAAAGAUAGUAGAAUCCGUACCUAUUUUCUGUGAGUUCUCUGAUGUGUUUCCUGAAGAACUUUUGGGAUUACAUCUAGUUAGAGAAGUAGAAUUUGGCAUAGAAUUGGUACCUGGUACUACUCUGAUUUCGAUAGCUCUGUAUAGAAUAGCUCCGAAUGAGUUAAAAGAAUUAAAGUCCUAGUUGCAAAAAUUGAUCGAUCGAGGAUUUGCAAGACUAAGUUUCUCACAUUGGGGUGCUCCGGUUUCAUUUGUGAAAAAAAAGACGGCACGAUGAAAAUGUGUAUAGAUUAUUGUCAGUUGAAUAAAGUGACUGUCAAGAAUAAGUAUCCCCUGCCCUAAAUUGAUGACUUGUUUGAUCAGUUGAAAGGAGGAUUUGAAAUCGGGCUACUAUCAGCUACGAGUGAAAGAUUCAGAUGUUCCAAAGACUGCUUUCAGAACGAGGUACGAUUACUAUGAAUCUUUAGUUAUGCCCUUCAGAUUGACGAAUGCACCUGCUGUCUUUAUGGAUUUGAUGAAUAGAAUUUUCAGACCGUAUUUUGAUCAAUUUGUUAUGCUAUUCAUUGAUGAUAUAUUGAUUUAUUCACGUAAUGAAUCUGUAAGAGUCCAGUUUUGACCCUAGUCGAAAUAGUGGUUUCGGGACCACAAAUUCGAGUCUAAAAAAUAUUUUAAUAUUAUUUUCUAUGUCUAUGAUAUGAGAAUUUGCAUUUGUGAAAUUUCUACGAUUUAAUUUGUCUGUUUCUGUGCUUAAUUAUGAAAAAAAAGUAAAUUGCAAAAAGUGUAAAACUUGAGUGUUAGAUGAUAAAACACCUAUUUGGCUUGGCUUUUAAAAUAAAGGUCUUUGCAUGUCAAUUGUACCAUUUGUUUAAAUGGUGGACAAUUAUGGGCAUUAGUGGAUGGAAAUUUAUGUUUUAUUAACAAGGGCAAAAUGGGAAAAUGGUUAAUAAUGUUAAUUAAAAAAAUGAAAACAAAACAAAGAUGGCCUUAUUCUCAUGCAUGUUAACCGAAAAUCAACAAAUGAAAGAAAGGUUUGAAGCUUUUGUAUAUUCGGCACUUUGAUUGAUAAAUUAAGGUAUGAAUUUUAGCCUGUUUUUGAUAAUUUCUACGCUUCUGUGAUUGUUGCUUUGUGUUCUUCAAAGCCUAUGUUCGAAUUUUUAUUUUUGUUAAAGAUUUCAUGAAAUGCCAUUAUUGAUAUCAUGAGUUUUUUGAUGUUGUUGGAUGAAUUAUGAAGUCCUGUUAGAUGGGUUAUAUGUUUUAUUCUUGUAUUUUUUAUGAAAUGAGCUAAUUGGGCUAAUUUGUGAAAUGAGGUUUUGAAGGACUAAUUUGUAAAUUAAAAAUGUUGUAUGUGCUUAUAUGGAAGCCAUGUAUAUUUGGCCAAGUUAUAGUCUUGGUGAAUUUGGUAUAUUUGUGAAUUUGUGAAAAAUGGACUAAAGUGUCAAAAUCUGAAUUUAUAGGGGCUAAAUUGUAAAGUGCCCUAAACAUGUAUUCAUGGACUAUUUUGAAAGAAAUAUAUGAUUGAAUGGUUGAAUUUGAAUUGUAUUAGAUCAAGAACAAAGAAAAUCGGACUUAGAUCGAGGGAAGUCCAAAGUAGUCGAAUAGUCGACUCAUUUUCGUCCGAAAUCCGUACGAGGUAAGUCAAACUACACUUAUGUGUUAAGUUGAUUGAAUUUUGUGUUUAUAAAUUGUUAUAUACAUUGGACGGCCUUGAAAUCCUGAUAAAAUAAUGUUGGUAUUAAUCUGAAUUAUCGUGUAAGACCGUGUCUAGGACACAGGCAUCGAUUUGAAAUUUACGUUUAAGACUAUGUCUGGGACAUCGGCAUCGUAUCUGAUUUCGUAUAAGACCCUGUCUGGGACAGAGGCAUCGAUACUGAAUUACAUGUAAGACCACGUUUGGACGUUGGCAUUAUACUCGUUUAUGAAUAUUUGUAUCGUUUCUGAACCGUCUGAUGUCAAAGUAUGAGAUAUGAAAAUGAAUAUGUGAAAUGUGUAGUCUAUACAGGUAUGUUUGUAUCGUACUUAAUUUCUGAAUAUGAAAGACUCUGUUUCUGCGAAGUAGGUUCGGAAUCAUGGAAAUGAAUAUAUAUGCAUACAAGCAAAUGAGCAUGGUUAAGUUUAUGAACAAGUCUGAGAAAUGUAUAUGAAUUCUUAUUGUUGUUUUGAAAUAAAUAUAUAUGCUUUAGUAAUUAUACCAUUUGUGUUUGGCUUACUAAGCUCUUCGUAGCUUACUCUGUGUGAUUUCUGUCUGUAUUUCAGUUGUCGUAGCUACUGAAGGCUCGGGAAUAGUCGAGGAUCGUCACCACACUAUCGAACUCAUUUGGUACUCUUGAAGUGUAAAUAUUGCUAAGUAUGGCAUGUAUAGGCUAGAAUGUCUAUGUAUUAAGUUUUGAAUUGUAUAAAAGUUAUGCCAUUUGAAUUGGCUAGAAAAUGAUAUGUUUGUGUAUUGUUUUGGUGUAUGUGGUAAUGUGCCAUGUUCUAAUGUCUUUUGGUCAUAUUUGAGCACGGAAUUGGUUGGAAAUGUUAGUAUAAUUGUUGCAUAUUAAUACUUGUAGGAUUGGAACCAUAUGUGGUGGAAAAUUGGCUUAAACCAAGCUUGCAUUGUGCCACACGGCCAGGGAACACGGGCGUGCCUUGUGGCCGUGUGAAAAAGUCAGUAGCUAGCUAAAUUUUACACGUUCAUGGCACACGGUCGUGUCUGUUGCCGUGUUAAAAAGUCAGUAAAGGACCUCUUUUUAGCACGGUUGGAGCACAUGUGCGUGCCUUGUGCCCGUGUGAGUCACACGGCCUAGUCACACGGGCGUAUGACUUUGUCAAUUUUGAAAAGUUUGAUUAAGUUCAGAAAAUUCUGAAUGGGUUCGGUUUAGUCUCGACUUUCCCUAAAUGUAUGUUUUAGGUCUCGUAGACCAUUUUAAUAGAUGAAUUGUUAAAUAAUGCAAAUGUAUUAAUGUUAUAUGAUAUCUGUGAAGCUGUGUUGUUCGAAAAUGCUCUAUCUGUCUGGUGACACCCUUUACCUAUUCCGGUGACGGUUACGGGAUAGGGUUGCUACAUUUUAUUGGUAUCAGAGCCAUGGUUUAGUCGGUUCUAGGACUACCAUAGCGUUUGUGAGUCUAGCUAUACAUGCCAUAUGCCUAAAACUGUGAUAGUGUGAUGAAUCUUGACAUUUGAAAUGUGCUUUGAUAUAGCAAUGGAUCCCAAUAGAACCGUAGCUGACGAUGUUGAAGUAAUACGCCUGCUCCCGCGGAAGGGACGGUGCAAGAAGAUUCUCGACCGACUACGAGCAGCCGUGAUAGCGAGGCUAAGCAAGCCUUCUAUCAGAUGAUGAAUGAUUGGUUCACCCAAUAUAUUAGAACCAAUCCGGCUAUUCAACAACCUCCACCCCCGGUUAAUCCUUCUCAAAUUCCUAUUAUGACUUCCGUGAAUCCAGUUCAGUCAAGUAGACCACCAGUUGACAAGAUUAGGAAGUAUGGGGCUGAAGAAUUUCGAGCUACAACGAAUGAUGAUGCUGAAAGAGCCGAAUUCUGGUUAGAGAAUACGAUACGGGUGUUUGAUGAAAUGUCUUUGAAUCUGGAGGAAUGUGUUAAAUAUGCCAUUUCACUUUUGAGAGAUACGACGUACCAUUGGUGGAAAACUUUAAUAUCUGUGGUUCCGAGUGAACGGGUUACCUGGGAUAUCUUCCAAGCUAAAUUUCAGAAGAAAUACAUUAGUCAGAGAUUUAUUGAUCAGAAACGUAAAGAGUUUCUCAAGCUUAAACAGGGCUGAAUGUCUGUCACUGAAUAUAAACGGGAAUUUGUGAGAUUGAGCCAAUAUGCUCGAGAAUAUGUAUCCAAUGAAGCAAUAAUGUGCAAAAGAUUUGAAGAUGGACUAAACGAAGAUAUCUGUCUGCUAGUGGGGAUUUUGGAGAUUAAUGAAAUGGUAGUACUGGUUGAGCGAGCAUGUAAAGUUGAAGAAUUAAGCCAAGAAAAAAGAAAAGUUGAUUUUAAAGCUAAAGAUGCUAGAAAGAGAUCUUCGAGUAAAUCAUUUCAGUCUGGACCAAAGAAAUUUCGAGAUGAUCAGAAUCGUUGAAAUACUAAUGUGGGACAUUAACACCGAGAUCGAGCUAGAUUGUAUUUGAACACCAGAGCCCCUGUUACUUCUGUUGCAAGUGUUGGAAAUGUCCGAUCUGAGAAACUUGAGUGUAAACAUUGUGGUAAAAGACAUUCGAAAAAUUGUAGAUUGAAUGACUGAGCUUGUUUCUAAUGUAGGUCCCUGGAUCAUUUUGUAAGAGAUUGUUCUGAACCUGCUGAGCAAGAGAAUGUACAGAAUCUGAGACAGAGUAACACCUCAGCUAGAGGUAGACUUUCCAAAAACACGAGAAAUACAAGUGGUGAUCAAAGAGCUACUAGGGAUACUACUGUUAGAUCUAGGCCAGAGCACCUGCUAGGGCCUAUGCAAUCCGAGCUCGUGAAGAAGCCUAGUCUCCAGACGUGAUUACUGGUACUUUCACUCUUUAUGAUACUUCUGUGAUUGCAUUGAUAGUCCCUGGCUCAACGCAUUCUUAUAACUGUAUGAAUUUAGUGCACAGUAAGACUUUGCCUGUAGAGUCUACUAAAUAUGUAAUUAAAGUAUCGAACCCUUUAGGCAAGAGUGUUUUAGUUGAUAAAGUCUGCAAGAACUGUUCGUUAAUGAUUCGAGAUACCUGUUUUCCUGCUGAUCUGAUGCUAUUGCCUUUCGACGAAUUUGAUAUAAUUCUGGGGAUGGACUGGUUAACAUUGCACGAUGCUAUUGUGAAUUGUAAAAGAAAAUUCAUUGACUUAAGGUGUAAAAAUGAUGAGAUAAUUCGAAUUGAGUCUAGUGAUCUAAAUGGGCUACCAGCUGUGAUAUCUGCAAUGAAAGCACAGAAUUAUGCAAAGAAAGGUUGUGAAGCCUACUUAGCUUAUGUGUUAGACUCGAAAGUGGAUGACAAGAAAAUUGAAUCAGUGCCCGUUGUCUAUGAAUUCCCUGAUGUGUUUCCUGAGGAACUACCUGGUUUGCUUCCGAAUCGAGAAGUCGAGUUUGGCAUUGAAUUGGUACCUGGUACUUCUCCGAUAUUGAUAGCUCCGUACAGAAUGGCUCUGACUGAACUAAAAGAAUUAAAAUCUCAGUUGCAAGAAUUGGCCGAUCGAGGAUUUGCUAGACCGAGUUGCUCACCUUAGGGUGCUCCCGUUCUGUUUGUGAUUAAGAAAGAUGGCACAAUGAGAAUGUGUAUUGAUUACCGUCAACUUAAUAAAGUGACUGUAAAGAACAAAUACCCUCUGCCCAGGAUCGAUGACUUAUUCGAUCAAUUGAAAGGUGCUACUGUGUUUUCAAAGAUAGAUUUGAGAUCGGGUUACUGUCAGUUGCGAGUAAAGGACUCUGAUAUUCCAAAAACUGCUUUUAGAACAAGGUACGGGCAUUAUGAAUUUUUAGUUAUGCCUUUUGGAUUAACGAAUGCGCCUGCUAUCUUUAUGGAUUUGAUGAAUAGAAUUUUCAGACGGUAUUUAGAUCAAUUUGUUGUUGUAUUUAUUGAUGACAUAUUGAUUUAUUCAUGUAAUGAAUUUGAACACGCCAAGCAUUUGAGGAUAGUGCUACAGACACUACGAGAUAGACAGUUGUAUGAAAAGUUCAGUAAGUGUUAAUUCUGGUUGCGAAAAGUUAGUUUUCUGGGUCAUAUUGUAUCAGCCUCUGGUAUCCGAGUUGAUCCGAGCAAAAUUUCAGCUAUUAUAGAUUGGAAACCUCCAAGAAAUGUAUCUGAAGUCCGUAGUUUUCUGGGACUUGUUGGUUACUAUAGAAGAUUUGUGAAAGGUUUUUCGAUGAUUGAUACUCUAUUGAUGAAAUUGCUCCAAAAAUAUGUGAAGUUUGAGCGGUCAGAAAAGUGUUAGAACAGUUUUAAUCAGUUGAAAACUUUGUUGACUGAAGCUCUGGUAUUAGUACAACUUGAAUCGGGUAAAGAAUUUAUAAUUUACAGCGAUGCUUUGUUGAUUGGUCUGGGAUGUGUGCUAAUGCAAGAAGGUAAAGUCAUUGCUUAUGCUUCAAGACAGUUGAAGCCACAUGAAAAGAACUAUCCGACACACGAUCUUGAGUUAGCUGCUAUUAUGUUUGCUCUGAAAAUUUGGCAUCACUAUCUGUUCGGCUAGAAAUGUCAUGUGUUUUCUGAUGAUAAAAGUCUGAAGUAUUUAAUGAUGCAAAAAGAUUUGAAUCUGCAACAAAGAAGAUGGUUGGAAUUGUUAAAAGACUACGAGCUAGUUAUUGAUUAUCAUCUGGGAAAACCAAAUGUUGUUGCUAAUGCUUUAAGUCAGAAAUUGUUGUUUGCUUUGCGUAAAAUGACUGUGCAUUUGAAUCUAUCUAAUGAUGGUUCAGUUUUAGCAGAACUGAAAGCAAAACCCUUGUUUAUACAACAGAUCUGCGAAGCUCAGAAAUCUGACAAUGAAUUGAUAGUUAAACAAACUCUGUGUGAUUCUGAAUUUCGGGUUGAUGUCAAACGAACAUCGUAACUGGUUGUUCUAUAAAGACUGAUGUGUGAUAUACCACAACUAUGUAGAGGGAUAUGGUUGAUCAAUAUAGGAUAAGUCCCUCCUACAUAAUGGGUGUAAUAUCUUAGGCCACUUGAUUGAGUGAGACUAGAAAUGCAUGGCCAUGCUCAAAUAAGUAUGAAUAAGUUGAUAUGAGAUGUCAUACUUAUUUGUGUAUCAUAGUUCACUUAAGGUAUCAAGAAACAUGAGAUGGACUAUGCAAGUGUGAUUAUUCCAUGACUUGUGUCCAUUCCAAAGAUAUAGGACUUAAGGAUUAAUGCAUGAAAGGUUAAUCACAAAAGGUUAUGUCGAAUCAUGACUUUUCAUAACUUAGGUAGCAAUGAUGCAUUGCUAGAUGUCACUCAUUGUUUAUAACAUUAGAAUCAUUCUAAUAUUACUACUAACGUUAUAAGAACCUAUAGGGUCACACCCUAUGGUUGAAAUGAACGGAGUAAAACUUAGUUGGUAUUGUAUUCUGAUUGUCAGAUGAAUUAAAUUAAUUAUAGAAUUAAUUUAAUUGGGCAAUCAAAUUGUUGAACAUACUAUAUGUACAAGGAUGUUGUACACAUAAUCAGAACAUAAUUUCAUUAGUAUAUGAAUUUGGUUCAUAUAUAAGUUUAAAAAAAUAUAGUUUACCGAAAUCUUUAUUAUGAUUAAUGUAAUUAUAAUUUUCGGUUAAACAUUAUUAUAUUUAUUUUAAUGAUGACUAUUAUGUUUAGAUUAAUUUUAAUGAAUUAAUAUUCAUUAAAAAAAAAGAUAUACCAAUUAAAAGGGUGUUAUUUAUGGCAAGGGUAAAAACCCUAAAGAAAUAAUAUAUAAAUAAGCCCGAAACUAUGCUAAAGGAUCUAGCAGCCGUCAAGGAUAAAAAUUACUGAAAUAGUUUAUGAGAUUUUUCUACCGUUCAUUGUCAACUGGGUAGACUACGUAGAGGCCGACAUCGAAAAAGUUGCAGCUUGGUCUGAUAGUGGUUCAAGAUUCCCGUUGCCUAGGCGUCGCUGUCUACUCAGAUUGAAGUUUCAGUAAUUUCGAAACCUUUUAUCACCCCGAUAUGUUCCUUACACAUGGAUCCAUGGUUUGGAUCGCCGGAAUAUCUGUAAUUAUUUUAUUUUUCCGCUGCGCCUUAGAGGUAUCGGUGUUCCAACAGUGGUAUCAGAGCCACUUGUGUGAUACAGACUCGGGUUUAAAUACUUGGGUGAUGCAAUUGUAUGAGAUGCAUGUUUUAAUUUUAUUAUGUUUUUCUGUUUAAAUUGUUUAAGUAGAAUCUGAUAAUUGUUCCUCUCGAUAAGUGAUUAAAUGUUAAUCAUGGUGUUAUGGCCUAUUCGAUUUUAUGUUAUUGCUGUAAACCUUAAUAAAUCUGUUAUGAUGUAGCGGUGAUUUUACAAUUUCCAGUAAGAGUUUACUGGCCAGUGGAACAAAGGGUUGUUCCGAUAUGAAACCUCAAGGAUUAAAAUCCUAAAAACACGAUUCUAUUGAUAAAAGUUAUCAAAUCCUGAGGUUAUGGGAUAGGGAUGUUACAGAAUCUAAACAUGCCGAGCAUUUGCGAAUAGUGCUAUAGACUUUGCGAGAUAAACAGUUGUAUGUAAAGUUCAGUAAAUGUGAAUUCUGGUUGCUAGAAGUUGGUUUCCUAGGUCAUAUUGUAUCAGCAUUUGGUAUCCGAGUUGACCCCAGCAAAAUUUCAGCUAUUUUGGAUUGGAAACCUCCGAGGAAUGUUUCAGAAGUCUGCUGUUUUCUGGGACUUGCUGGUUACUACAGAAGAUUCGUAAAAGAUUUCUCGAUGAUUGCGACUCUGUUGGCAAAACUACUCCAGAAAGAUGUGAAGUUUGAGUGGUCUGAGAAGUGCCAGAACAGCUUUGAUCAGUUGAAAGCUUUGUUGACUGAAGCUCCAGUUUUGGUACAACCUAAAUCAGGUAAAGAAUUUGUGAUUUAUAGUGAUGCUCUGUUAAUUGGUUUGGGAUGUGUUCUAAUGCAAGAAGGAUAAGUAGUUGCUUAUGCCUCGAGACAGUUGAAGCCACAUGAAAAGAACUAUCUGACACAUGAUCUAGAGUUAGCUACAAUUGUGUUGCUCUAAAGAUUUGGCGUCAUUAUUUGUUUGGCGAAAAAUGUCACAUUUAUUCAGAUCAUAAGAGUUUGAAGUAUUUGAUGACUCAGAAAGAUUUGAAUAUACGAUAAAAAAGGUGGUUAGAACUGUUAAAAGACUACGAACUUGUGAUUGAUGAUCAUCCAGGAAAAGCAAAUGUUGUUGCAGAUGCCUUAAGUCGGAAAACAUUGUUUACUUUGAGUGCAAUGAAUGCUCAUUUGGUUCUGUCUAAUGAUGGUUCAGUUUUAGCUGAAUUAAAAGCAAGACCCUUGUUCUUACAACAGAUUAUCGAAGCUCAGAAGGUUGAUAAUAAGAUUUUAACUAAACGAGCUCUGUGUGAUGUAGAGAUUGAUUUAGAAUUCAGGGUUGAUAAAGAUAAUUGUUUAAGAUUUUGAGAUUGAAGUUGUGUUCCGAGAAAUCCAGAGUUAAUUCAAAUAAUUCUGAGUGAAGCCCACAGUAGUCAAUUAUCUAUGCAUCCGGGUAGUACGAAAAUGUAUAAUGACUUGAAACAACAUUAUUGGUGGUCCAUAUCUCUGAUUUUGUUUCUAAAUGUUUGAUCUGUCAAUAAGUUAAAACUGAACAUCAAGUGCCAUCUAGAUUGUUACAACCGAUCAUGAUUCCAGAAUGGAAAUGGGGUCGAGUGACCAUGGACUUUGUGUCGGGUUUGCCCCUGUCUCCGGGAAAGAAAGACGCAAUUUGGGUUGUAGUUGAUCGUUUGGCAAAAUCAGCUCAUUUUAUUCUGAUUCGAUCCAAUUAUUUGCUUGAAAAGUUUGCUGAGUUAUACGUUUCUAAUAUAGAGAGAUUGCAUGGUGUGCCAUUGUCUAUAGUGUCAGACAGAGAUCCGAGAUUCACAUCGAGAUUUUGGAAGAAAUUGCAAGAUGCUCUGGGUACUAAAUUGCAUUUUAGCACUACUUAUCAUCCGCAAACAGAUGGUCAAUCUGAAUGGAUUAUUCAAAUACUUGAGGAUAUGUUGAAAUGUUGCAUUUUUAAGUUUGAAGGCACGUGGGAACAAUACUUACCUUUGAUUGAAUUUGCUUAUAAUAACAGUUUUCAGUCGAGCAUCAAAAUGGCACCAUACGAAGCUUUAUAUGGUCUUAAAUGCCGUACACCUUUGUAUUGGACAGAGCUCAGUGAAAAUAAAAUUUAUGGGGUUGAUUUGAUAAAAGAAAUCGAACAGAAAGUGAAAGUGAUCCGAGAUAGUUUGAAAGCAGCUUUUGAUCAUUAGAAAUCAUAUGCAGAUUUGAAAAGAAAAGACGUUGAGUUUGAGAUCGGUGACAAAGUGUUUCUGAAAGUGUCUCCUUGGAAGAAAGUGAUUCGGUUUGGUAGAAAAGGCAAGUUGAGUCCAAGGUUCAUCGGGUCGUAUGGAAUCAUCGAGCGAGUUGGGCCGGUUGCUUAUAUAUUGAGGCUACCAUCUGAGUUAGGAAAGAUACAUCUGAUCCUUCGCAUGUAAUUCCUUCGUCUGAGAUUCAAAUUCAAUCUGAUAUGACUUACGAAGAAAAGCUGAUCCGAAUCUUAGCUCGAGAGGUUAAAGAGUUACGUAAUAAGAAGAUUCCAUUAGUUAAAGUGAUGUAGCACCGACACGAUAUUGAAUAGGCCACGUGGGAGCCUGAAGAUGCUAUGAAACAACAAUAUCCAAAUCUGUUUAACGGUAAGAUUUUCGGGGAUGAAAAUCCCUAGGGGGAGAAUUAUAACAGCUCAGUUUUGACCCUAGUCGGAAUAAUGGUUUUGGGACCACAUAUCUGAGUUAGAAAAAUAUUUUAAUAUUAUUUUUUGUGCCUAUUAUAAGUGAAUUUACAUGUGUGAAAGUCUCGUGUGAAGAUUUAACUGUUUGUGUGUUUAAUUGGCAAAAGAAAAGAUUUAAUCGCGUAGAAUGUAAAAGUUGUGUGCUAGAUGCUAAAGUGCCAAAUUGCCAUGUCUUUAUAAUUGUAAGGUCCUUAGGUUGUAAAUGGAACCUUGGAAUAAUGCAUGGACAAAGUUAGUCAUGAUUUUAUGAAUUAUUAAUGUUAUAAUGCAAGGGUAAAUUGGUAAAACAUGUAUUAAUGUAUGUUUAAUAAAACAAAACUUAAAAAUAGGCCAUUAUGUUCAUCUUUGGCCGAAAAUUAAAAAAGAAAAAGAAGAAAGAAUGCAAGCUAGGGUUUCAACACUUUGAGCUUGAAUUAAGGUAUGUUUUAGUUUCGAUUUUUGAUGAUUUUUAUGUUUUUGAGAUUGUUGCUUAGUCUACUAUCAAACCCAUGUCAUAAUUUGUGGAAUUGAUGUUGUGUUCAUGAGAUGAAGUUGUUGAAUAUGUGAUUUUUAUGUUGUUAAAUAAUGAAUUACGGAAGCUUGGUAUGUGAUUAAUAUGUUUUGUCUUGGAUUUUUGAUGAAAUUGAGUAUUUUGGGCUAAAUUGUAAAAAUGUUAUUUUGGGGGACUAAAAUGUGAAAUAAAUGAAAUGUAUGGAUUUGUAUGAGAGCUAGGAGAAUUCGGCUAGGCUUGUGUACAAGUAAAUUCUAUGUAAUUUGUGACUUUGUGAAUUAGGGACUAAAGUGUCGAAAUGUAAAAAUGUGAGGGCUAUUUUGCAAAGUGCCCUAAUUGUGUGUAUAUGGAUUGUUUUGAGUGAUUUGGUGAAUAAAAGGGUUAAUUUUGAAUACAUUUAGAUCAAGAAAAGAGGAAUUCAGAUUUAGACAGAGGGAAGUCAAAGAUUGUAGAAUAAACGUUCAAGUCAAUAACUUCGAGUACGAGGUAAGUUCGUAUGUAGAACAUGGUAUUAUAAGUACAUAUUUCUAUUUUGGUUAUACAUAGAUAUUUAAAUAAUUGAGCUGAAUGUAUAUGAUAAUGAAUCGAAAGCUUUAGCACUAAGUGUGUAGAAAUAUUCUAGCUUUGGCUAACCUUAUAGCACUAUGAGUGCGGAUGUUUAAAAUAUGAAUAAGCUAUGGAAAGUCUUAUAACAUUCAAUAAGAGGUAAGUAUGAAAAUGAAUAAGUACGGGAAGAUCCGGGUAUGUAUGAUACCUAAGUGGUAGAUGAUAUUAUGUAUGUGAAUUUCAUUGAGUUGAUAUGAUCUUAUGGAUUGACAUUGUGCAAAUACUCAUAUGUUUCAUAUAAUGUUGAUGAUUUGAGCACGAGCUUACUAAGCUUUUGAAAGCUUACUGUGUAUGUGUGUUUGAAUUGUUUUGUAGAUAUCGUAGCUACUACAAGCUCGGGGAUCUUCUAGGAUCAUCAGCAUACUAUCGAACUUUAUUUUGGUAUAUUUUGAAUAUAUAUAUAUUUGAAGUAUGGCAUGUAUAGGCUAGUAGUUGUAGAAGUAUGUUUUAUGAUGUAUAUAUAUUUAGCCAUAUGAAUUGGCUAAUUUGUGUUUGAACUCAUAGUUGAUAAUGGUUUAUGAUAUGUGAUGUUAAUUUGAAAUUGUAGUAUGCUUAGUUGGAUAAAGAAAAUGGUAUGUGUGGUGAGUUUUUGGAAUGAGAUUGUGUGAUAAUUUGAUAUAAUCUUACAUUAUGUUCGUUAUAAAUAGGUAAGGUUUAUAAGUAUGUAAAUGGUUGAUAAUAUUAUGGUAUGAGUGAUAUGUGUUUUAGCAUGAAAAAUUGGUUGAUUGGAUUGUACAUAUAUGCUUGUUUCCAUGCUUGUAGGUUGACCCAAAAAGGGGUGGCAAUUUGGCUUAAACCAAGCCUGCAUUGUGCCACACGGCCAUAGUACACGGGCGUGUCUGUUGGCCGUAGGCUUAAGUCAGUAGCUAGCUAAGAACCACAUGGCCAUAGCACACGGGCGUGUCUGUUGGCUAUGGGGAAAAGUCAGUAUGUAAACUCUGUUUUGGCAUGGCUGGUUUCAAGGGUGUGUCUGGUGCCUGUGUGAGGCACACGGCCUGGUUACACAGCCGUGUGACCUCAACAGAAUGAAAAUUUUUUCUAAGUAUUGAAAUUUGUGAAUGUGUUCGGUUUAGUCCUGACCUCUUAGUAAUGCCUGUUUAUGGUCUCAAUGACCUAAGAAAGGAACUUAAUGUUUAUGUUUGAUUAUAAUAUGAUGAUGUUUUACUUUUGAUUAUAAACUGAUUACGAAAUGUUCUGAUGUGUCCAGUAAUGCCUCAUAACCCUAGUCCGAUGAUGGAUACGGGUUAGGGGUAUUACAGCUAUUGACUGAAGCUCCAGUGUUUGUACAAUCCGAACCGAGUAAAGAAUUUGUGAUCUAUAGUGAUGCUUCAUUAAACGGUCUGGGAUGUGUUUUGAUGCAGGAAGGCAAAGUCAUUGCUUAUGCUUCGAGACAAUUAAAGCCGCAUGAAAAGAAUUAUCCGAUGCACGACCUUGAGUUAGCUGCGAUUGUGUUUGCUUUGAAAAUAUGGCGCCACUAUCUGUUUAGUGAGAAAUGUCACGUUUAUUCUGAUCAGAAGAGUUUGAAAUAUCUGAUGACUUAGAAAGAUUUGAAUCUGCAACAGAGAAGAUGGUUAGAAUUGUUAAAAGACUAUGAGCUUGUUAUUGAUUAUCAUCUGGGAAAAGUGUAACACCCCAAACCCGACCCCGACAUUUUGGUCGAAUUCGGUGCAUCACAUUGAAGUGUUUUAGCGAAAACCAUGUUUUCAUUGAAAACCCUUCUUAAAAUAAAAGAAACCUUAACUAUCUUUAAAAAAAAACUCAUUUGAAUCACUUGUUUAAAAUAUGUGUUCUUAUGAAAAUAUGUCACUUUAAAAAUUUAGUUGCGGAAACGUAGAAAGACAUACUAUAGUUUAAGAAACCAUGUUUAACUUCUUAUAAUUACAUUAUAUAAAAAUAAUAAUCCAAAUAAUAAUAAAAUGGAAGCCCUAUUACAAUCUGUUUUGAAAAGUACUUAAUAACAUAGAAACUUAUGUGCUUUAAAAAGAAAAACAAGUCUGAAUUAUCUUGCUAGCUGGCCACCCAAAGUCCCUCCAAACAUCAAACCUUCUACUGAGCAUCACUUGAAAAUAAAAUAAAAGAGGGGGUGAGUUUUUGCAAACUCAGUGUGUAUAGCCGUCGACGAGUAACAAACAUUCAAGAAACACCAUACAUCAAACAUGCAAUGCAAUCCCAUCCCAAUAAUCCAUCCGCUACACUCUAGCUUCGUCCCCCAUCACAUCAUGUGGGGAUAUAAAUAUCGACCCACCCAACCGACACAUCAAUGGUAGUCCGGUUGCGGAACUACCUUUAUUCACAUAUUGGGCUUUAAAGCCAUCGGUGGAUCCACGAUUUCCAAGCAACCAUGCGAUCCUCAUAUACUUCCUUCGUUCCAUAAUUCCCAACCCAUAUGCAACCUAAGUAGAAUAUUGUAUGCAUGCAGCAGAUAUGCAUGUCACAUCCAUAAAACUUACAUUCAACACCUAGGGGUAUUUUGGUUAUUUUCGUCCUUAGGGGCAUCUCGAUAAUUUUCCCUUUAUUACGGUUUUCACUUACCUUGGCCCGUUAACAAAUCCCUUGAGCUAAGAUGAACGAAUACUAUGCACCAGGUAGGAUUCCAGAGAAGAGGAGGUGAGUCAUUAAGAUCGCUUAAGUACCAAGCUAUCCCUAGAUCCAAUCCUAGACAUGCAUAUACCCGUUGCCACACCUUAACCCUAUGAAUUGUCCACGGUCGCAAUAUAUUAAUUAAGUUUUAUGUAGUUAUCAUAUACUAGGCCCAAAACCUCUACAUACAUGCAUAUGGCCCACUUGGCCCAUCAGGCUCAAUUUACAUUCAUUCAACCCAUCAGGCCCAAUUCAUAUCCAUAUGGCCCAUUAGGCCCACCCGCUAGGCCCAAAUCACCUUGUAUUCAUGCUCACACACAAAUUUUCUAUCACAUAGCAUCAAUUAUCAAAUUUUGCCUAUUAUGGGCCCAACAGCCCAUCGGGCCUAUUAAGCUUAUUCUGGCCCGGUUGACCAGAUCACAGCCCAAGUCCAUGGAAUUGCCCAUGGGCUUCAGACAACCUAUUGGUUUCCUCCUCACGAGUGUUCGCGCACUCGCAAGACUAUUGUAACCAAACUUUCGGCUUUUAGGCAUUUCAGCUUUUCAUCAUUUCGGCUUUUCAGCUUUUGCCGAUCUACUUGUGUGUGCAGUGUAUGUACACACCUGGUAAGCAAGUGUUCUACAAUUCCCUUAUUCACCAACCUACAAACGAUAUCACCCAUUCAAUUAAUCACAUUCUUAAUACAUAUCUUUACUAAAACCGAAACCUCACCUUAACCUUACCUCGCGCGAUAAGUAUAACAGCCCCUUCUUAAAUCGCUAACCACGAUCAACUCAUAGAUCUGCACUAAUCUUAACUAUUUAAACCGAAAUAAUAGGUGACUCGUAUCUAACACAAGUUCCCUUACCUUAACUAUGAACAUUCGACUACCUUAGCCAAUGGGAGAGGAAUACUUACCAAAAUCGAAAACACCUAAAGAGCAAUUUUGGCAGAGAGCUAAGAUCCGAGUUUCGAUACUAAUUCCCUACCACAAUUGAUUAGAAAGAGUGAGGAAAGAACAACGUAACAGAUUCUUAGCCAAACCGGUUGGAAGAGCAAACACUUACACUAGAUUCGGUCAAAGAGUAUUCGGCCCUUGGAAGAUUCAGCUUUUUGGCUUCCAAACUUAGUGUGGUGAAUAAUGUUUAUUUGAUACAUAUUAAAGAAAAAAUCGGCUAAGUGAAACAAAGAAAAUUGUGUAGAGAGAGAAUAGAAAUCGACACAAAGAAAAGAGAGUAAAAUAAAAGGGUUUUCGACUUUUAGGGAAAAGGGUUUUCGGUAACAGGGUGAAAGAAAUUCGGCACUAGCCUGGCAGCCCUGUAUUCGAUAGUUAUUUAUAGCCCCCAUAGCCGAAUUUCCUGGCCCUCAAUUCCCCAUUCGGCUCCAUCACUUCCCCCUUUUCAUCUCCUCGUUUUUCUCCCUGAUAACCCCUUGAUCCUUUCCUUAAUUUUCUCUCCUGAACACUCCUCUUAGAGCCCAUCUUCACGCCACUUCCAACCUUCUAGAAGGCCAAAAUUAAACUUCUAAAAACUCUAAUCUAGGAUUCGAACCUAGGAUCUCCUUGCUAGCUACUAAUGCCACCUCCCUACACUCUAAGUGGCGUCACUUAGCCACUCCACCACAAGGAUUUUUGAUGCCAUUUUUCCCUUAUUUUUAUUUAAAAGCCCAACUACUCACAACCCAGAACUUCUCCAACACACCUAGACACUCCAAAUUCAUUAAACCCUUAAAGCCAACAUAUCAUUUGUCAUUUUCUUGCUCACUUAAAAAUUUUAUGAGACCUAAAGCCCGAAGCCCAAUUCAUCUAGGCCCAAAAUUUGGGGCGUUACAAAAAGCAAAUGUUGUUGCUGAUGCUUUGAGUCGGAAAUAACUAUUUGCUUUACGUACUAUGAAUGCUCAUUUGGUUGUGUCUGAUGAUGGUUCAGGUUUAGUCAAAUUAAAAGUAAGACCGUUAUUCAUUCAACAGAUUAUCGAAGCUCAGAAGAUUGAUAAUGAAAUUUUAGCAAAACGAGCUUAGUGUAAUUUAGAUUUUGAUUUAGAAUUUAGAGUUGAUAAUGAAGAUUGUUUGAGAAUCUGAGGUCGGAUUUGUGUUCUGAGAAAUUCAGAGUUGAUUCAGAUGAUUUUGAAUGAAGCUCAUAACAGUCGUUUAUCUGUUCAUCUGGGUAGUACUAAAAUGUAUAAUGAUUUGAAACAGCAUUAUUGGUGGUUUGGAAUGAAAAGAUAUAUAAUGUCCCUUAUCUGGAUUUGUUUUUAAGUGUUUAAUCUGUCAGCAAGUUAAAGCUGAACAUCAAGUGCCAUCUAGUUUGUUACAACCAAUUAUGAUUCCGGAAUGGAAAUAGGAUAAAGUGACAAUGGAUUUUGUUUCAGGUUUGCCCCUAUCUCCGUGCAAGAAAGAUACUGUAUGGGUUGUAGUUGAUCGAUUGACGAAAUUAGCCCAUUUUACUUCGGUAUGAUCUAAUUACUCGCUUGAUAAGUUAGCUGAGUUAUACAUUUCCAAUAUUAUGAAAGUGCACGAUGUACCAUUAUCUAUUGUGUCAGACAGAGAUCCGAGAUUCACAUCACGAUUCUAGAAAAAAUUGUAAGAUGCUUUGGGUACGAAAUUGCAUUUCAGUACUGCUUUCCACCCACAAACGGAUGGUCAAUCCGAGCGGAUUAUUCAGGUUCUCGAAGAUAUGUUGAGAUGUUGCAUUCUUGAAUUUGGAAGUAAGUAGGAACAAUAUUUGCCUUUGAUUGAAUUCGCCUACAAUAAUAGUUUUCAAUCGAGCAUUAAAAUGGUACCGUACGAAGCCUUGUAUAGUCACAAAAGCCGUACACCUUUGUAUUGGACUGAGCUCAGUAAAAAUAAAAUACACAGGGUUGAUUUGAUAAAAGAAACUGAACAAAAUGUAAAAGUGAUCCGAGAUAGUCUGAAAGCGGCUUCCGAUCGUCCGAAAUCAUAUGCAGAUUUGAAACGAAAAGACAUUGAAUUUGAGAUCGGUGACAAAGUGUUUCUAAAAGUAUCCUCGUGGAUGAAAGUACUCCAAUUUGGCAGAAAAGGCAAAUUGAGUCUGAGAUUCAUCGGGCGUAUGAGAUUAUUGAGCGUAUCGGGCCAGUUACUUAUAGAUUGUUGUUGCCACCAGAAUUAGAAAAGAUUCAUGAUAUGUUUCACGUAUCGAUGCUUCGACAAUACAGAUCCAAUCCUUAGCAUGUAAUUUCUCCAUUUGAGAUUGAGAUUCAGUCUGAUAUGACCUAUGGCGAGGAACCGAUCCGUAUCUUAGCUUACGAAGUUAAAGAACUGCGAAAUAAGAAAAUUUCGUUAGUUAAAGUAUUGUGGCAUCGACACGGUAUUGAAGAGGCUACAUGGGAGCUUGAAGAUGCUAUGAAAUAGUAAUAUUCAAACCUAUACGACGGUAAGAUUUUCGGGGACGAAAAUCCCUAAGGGGGGAGAGUUGUAACAGUUCAGUUUAGACCCUAGUCGGAAUAGUGAUUUUGGGACCACAAAUCCAAGUUAGAAAAAUAUUUAAAUUUUAUUUUCUGUGCUUAUUAUAUGUGAAUUAGCAUGUGUGGAAGUUUUGCAUGAAAAUUUAAUCGUUUGUGUGCUUAAUUUGAUAAAAGGACUUAAUCACGUAAAAUGUAAAAGUAACAUUCUAUUUGUUAAAAGUGUCUAUUUGAUAUGGCUUAUUAAUUAUGAGGUCCUUAUGUUGUUAUUAUGCCAUUUAUAUUCAAAUUGACUAAAAUGGCCUUAUAUGUUAAUUAAGGGCAAAAUUGGAAUUUAGUAAUUUAAGUUAUAUUAAUAAAACAAAACAUGAAAGUAGGCCAUUAUAUGUUUGUUUAUGCCAAAAAUUGAUGAACAAAAGAAAAGAAAAAGAACUCUAAGGUUCAGCUAAGGAAAUCUAUGAUUAAGGUAUGUGUUUUGAUCCGUUUUUGAUCAUUUCUACGUUUUUGUAAUCGUUGCUUAGUAAUCUAUCAAACCCAUGUCUCAAUUCUGACUUUGUUGAUGAUUUUGAGUUGAGCCAUUGAUGAAAUUAUAAGCUUUGUGAAGUUAGUUGAUAGUAUAUGAAAGCUUGAUGUUGGGUUAACAUGUUUUGUCUUUGAAUUUUUGAUGAAUUUGAGUAAAAUGUACUAAAUUGUGAAAAUGAGUUUUUGAGGGAUUAAAAUAUGAAAUAAAUAAAAUAUGUGGGCUUGUAUAAGCUAUAUAAAAAUUCGGCUAGACAUGUGUAUAAUGAAAUUAUGUGUAUUUUGUGAUUUUGUGAAUUAGGGACUAAAGUGUCAAAAUGUAAAAAUGUGAAGGCUAAUUUGUAAAAUGCCCUAAAUAUGUGUCUAUGGAUUAAUUUGAAUUAAAAUAAAAAUGAAUGAGUUUAAUUUGAAUUGAUUUAGAUCCAGAACAACAAAAAAAAAGGAAUUAGAUCGGGGGAAAAUGAAAGUCAUUGAAUAGUUGCUCGUUUCCAUUCAUUUCCGUACGAGGUAAGUCUAUAUACAAAUAAAUGUAUUUGAAAUGGUUUAUUUAUGCUUAUAUGCUAUUGAACUAUGAUGAAUGACUUUAUUCCUUGAAUACGAUACAUCCGAGAAAGUACCGACAAAGUUUCGACGUCUGAAAAGGCCUGUACGAACCAUAAAAAUAGUUAGGAUACACAUGUCAUGACAUAGGAUUCGUUAUGGGUUAUUGUGUAAGACCAUGUCUGGGAUGUUGGCAUCGACUUAUGAUUUACAUGUAAGACCACCACUGGGAUGUUGGCAUCGUAUUUUAUUUACGUGUAAGAUCAUGUGUGGGACGUUGGCGUCGUAUUAGAUUUCAUGUAAGACCCUGUCUGGGACAGUGAUCGCGUGAUUUCGUGAUAGGUUUUAUAAAUUUAUAAUUAAUCGUUCUUGAAACUAACUUUUGUCGCGAUGUAGGCAAGUGUACCUAUCGAACAGUAGUAUAGUUUUAGCAAGACUGGAUUGUCGAACCCAAAGGAACUAAAAGUACUAGUAAUGACUGUCUUUUUAUUAUCUAGCCUAAAAAUAAGAGGGUUUUGUUUUAACUAACUAAUUAUCUAAACUAAGAAUUCACAGAAAGUAGAAUUGGGGGAUUACUUUUGGAAAAUGAUUGAAUUAAGACAAUACCUAAGGAAAAAUCCACCUAGACUUUACUUGUUAUUCUGGCUCCUAAUCGGACGAUUUAUUCAUUUAACUUGUUUUGUAGAGAUCAUUAAGUUAUGUUAUUAUCCCUAUUCAAGACUAAUAACGUCUAAUCCCUAGAUUGAAUAAUUGAGACUUUUCUCUAAUUAACACUCUAGGGUUGCAUUAGCUCGAUCUAUGGAUCCCUUUAUUAGGUUUCACCCUAAUUCGGCAAAAUCUUGUCACCCUAUCUCUAGGCCCGCAAUCAACUCCGCUUAAUUAUGACGAAUGUACUCUUAGAUAGGGUCUGUUCCUCCUCUGAAUAAGAGCUUAUCUUGAAUCAGUAUCCUGGGAUAUCAAAACAAGAAUUAAGAACACAUAAUUAAGAACAAGUUAAAUAUUUAUCAUACAAUUCAGAAAAUAAUAACAAGAUUCGUCUUAGGUUUCAUUCCCCUUAGGUAUGUAGGGGAUUUAGUUCAUAACUAAAAAGGAAAACAUCUCAGAAGAAUAAUGAAUACAAAACAUAAAGAAAACCCAAAACUCCUGAAGGGGAAUUGAGGGGAGAUCUUCAGUCUUGAUGAUGAAUCCGGCUUCUGAGAUGGAUCAAUCGGCUUCCUUCGAGUAAUUCCUUCCUUCCUCCUUGUGUGUGCCCCUUAUUCUUCUCCUUUAGGGUGUAUUUAUAGGCUUUGGAAUGCCUAAGAGCCCUCAAAAGUGGCCUUUUCCAAAUUGGACUCAACUUGGGCUCGGCAGGGACACGCCCGUGUACGAUUACUUUAAGUCAUGCUCGAGCCUAUUAAAUAGGCACAGCCGUGUGGUUUGCUCAUGUGAGGAGGUCCAGGACGUGUUGAUUUCGUACUUUGGCUUGUUUUCUCCAUUUUUGGCCCGUUUCUCGUUCCUUUCGCUCUCCUAUGCUCUCCUAAGUAUAAAACAUGAAAUUAAGGCAUUAGGAGCAUCGAAUUCACCAAUUGUAAGGAAAAAUCAUCCAUAAAACGUGUUAAGCAUGGGGUAAAAAUAUGUAUAAAUUACGAUUUAUCAAAUACCCCCACACUUAAGCAUUUUAUUGUCCUCAAGAAAAAUUCUCAACUCAUAGUCAAAAUAAAUUCUUCUCAACUUAUAAUUUCUAUCGAUAAUAUCUCAAAUUAAUCCAGAGGUAAUCAUACAUUGAGAAUUCAACUAAAAGAACAUCAAAGUUUCAAACAUUCCAAGUUAAGCAUUUUAUUCUGAAAACAAUGGUGUCUCCCCUUGUCUAAGUAAUUAUCUUCGAUUCAAAAUGUCACAGAGUUUCACAUCCUCACUAAAGAUUCAUUCAAAUCACUCGAGGUGUUUAAGGACAAUAAAUGAAGCACUCAAUAGUCAAUAAUUAAAAUGUGAUUACCAUAGGCUUGCAUGAAAAUCAAAUCUCCACACUAUAAAUUGAGAUGAUACAUCAAUCAAAAGGUCUUUAGAGGGUUGUAAUGAGGCUUUGUUAGGGGGUGUGGUCACAAGCUGAAAGAAAAAGUUAGAAUCGAGAGUGAAUUGAAAAAUUACCUAACUAGAAAAAUGACUAGUCAUUAAUCGCGUACAACAGAGCUUCCUCUCAGAAUAUGGAAUUUAACUUCUUUAUCUCAGAAGAUUACUACUACAAAUAUGUAUACAUAUUAUUUAUUUAUUUAUUUUAUUUUUUAGAACAAGUUAAAUAGAAUAAAACAUAGUUAAGCAACUAUUUCAAUUCAAAUCUCGACAAAAAAUGGGGAUCAAAUUAAUUUAGGAGAUUUCAACAAUAAUGGGUUAAGGGUUAUAGAAGAAAGGGGUUGUUAGGCUCAAGGGGGUUCACUAAGGGUCAAUUGUGGAGGUAGGCUUUUCAUGACAUGAGUGGGUUAAUCCUAAGUGCCUCUAUCAUCUUGACAUAUCAAAUCAAAUAGUGUGGUCUUGACAUGCAUAAUCAGGCAAGUUCUAGAAUAAUAGUUUAAUACUGACGCACUUAAAGUAAUAAUAAAAGUGAGCAUGAAAGAAUUAAUAGAUGCUCAAAAGGCUCAAAAAUCUCACAAAAAGUAUGGCUUUUUGAUGUUUAAAACUUGUGAAUUCCAACUCAAAGUAAUACCUAAACUAUGGGGAAACAACUUAAAAUUUUAAAUUCCUAAAGAUCAACUUAUCAUGCUUGAUUCUCUAAUGUCUUAAAGUUUAUACAAUCAAUGCAUAAAUGCCCAUGUUUUAAUUCAGGAUAUAUUAAUCAAAAUCAUAAAUCAAUCAAAAUUUAUCCUAAAUAUGAUAUGAGAGCUUUUCAAAACAACAAGGCAGUCAUUCAGGGAUUUUUCUGAUAAUGAAAUGAAUACCCCCCACACUUAAGAUGUACAUUGUCCUCAAUGUAAAAAAGAUAGAUAUAUUGAAAAAUGUAAGUGUAAGUUCAUAAGAUAGGGAGAAAAGUGAAACUUCCUGAGUUAAAAAUGGAUAGAAUUCCUGGAUUACCGAGAGCGAGUUGUUGGAAAUAAAGCUGGAGGAAAAACAUGAUUCUGAAGGACAAAAGGAGAAUUGGGGGAAUAAUUUGAUAGUAAUCAUAAAGAUAAGCCGUGUUUAAAAACAAAAGAAUCUUAAAAAAUUAAUAAAAGAAAAAUAAAAUAAAAUAAGAUAGAUGAUCUAAUUUUUCAAGUGGCACGGUAGUUCACACGCUCGUGUGGAUUGCGUCCCGCCCAUGUUUGUCGCAAAGAGAGAUAUCAUCACAUGGCCUUCGGGCACGCCCGUGUGUAUAGGCCGUGUGUCUACAUGAUCAUGUUACACAACCAUGUGUGAUGUGGUUCGCUUCUCCCACGGUCGUGUAGUUCGAUGCACACCCAUGUCAUUUUGACAGUGUCGUCCACAAGUGCUAGACACGGGCGUGUCACACGCCCAUGCUGUUUUAAUAGGUUCACCCAUGGUUCUUCCACAUGGGCGUGUUGCACGCCCAUGUUGUUUUGGUAGAUUCGACCACGUACAUGUCACAUGGCUGUGGUGUUUUAUCGAAGCCCGUGUUGGGGAAAAUUUUUGCCCUGUUUUCACACGGUCCUAAGCACGCCCGUGUGCUUGGCCGUGUCUCUGUGGAAAACCGUAUUCAAGAUCUCCAUUAGUAAGUUAGGUGUUAAGUACCAAAAUUUAAAGAAAUUAAUAAUGUUAGUGCUUGGGUUGCCUCCCGGGAAGCGCUUAUGUAUAGUCUAAGCUCGACUUACCUCUCCAUUGAAUGUCAUGGGGGUUUGAGGAGUUUAUACUCCUCAUUCCUGCUAUCAUUCUCAUCAAAAUAAGGUUUUAGACGGGUGUUGUUUACCUUAAAAGUGCCAAACUUGGGAUGACUUACCUCGACUGUACCGAAUGGGAAAAUGCUGAGUACCGUAAGAGGGAUUUCUUCAGUCGGUUUGGUAGUGACAAUGUGAGGAUCUGUGGCAUUUAAUAAAACUUUAUCUCCAACCUUAAGUUGAUUUGGAAAGGUAUUGAGCUUGUUCUGGCGUAGUUUCGGUUUAUCAGGCGUUCUCGGUUUAUGCGUCCGCCAUUCAUCUAGCUCCUCAAUUUGUGGCCUUCGUUCUUCAUGAAUAGGUCCUCUACUAUUGCUUGAGAAUGGUUCAUGUACUUCCUUCAAACUCAUUUCCUGCAGAGUAGGUUGUACCAUAAUGUCUGUUUUAGUAGAUUGGUCUACACAAUCACCUUCAAUUUUCGAUGUGUUGCCAGAAUUGCGAGCUUGCAGGGUGAUUGUUUCGUCUCCCACACGAAGUGUGAGCUCACCUGUGCCAACAUCAAUAAUCGUUUUAGCAGUUGCUAAAAAGGGCCUUCCUAAAAUAAAAUGAGUGUUGCUAUCCUCCUCUAUGUCUAGAAUAAUGAAGUCAAUGGGAAAUAUAAAUUUAUCGAUUUUAACUAGCACAUCUUCAAUAAUACCCAUAGGAAAUCUUAUAGUUUUAUCUGCUAAUUGAAUGCCUAUCCUAGUCUGUUUGGGUUUCUUGAGACCUAAUUGUUUGAACAUUUUGUAGGGCAUGACGUUAAUACUAGCCACCAAAUCAGCUAAUGCAUUAUUAAAAUCUAAACUACCAAUUAAGUAAGAAAUUGUAAAACUCCCUGGAUCUUUUAGUUUGCUAGCUAUUUUAUUUUGGAGAAUAGCUGAGCAAACUGCGUUUAGCUCCACAUGCGAUGCCUUGUCCAACUUCCGCUUAUUUUCUAAAAGCUCUUUUAAAAAUUUCAUUGCGUUUGGCAUCUGCGAUAGAGCUUCAAUAAACGGUAAGUUAAUGUGUAAUUUUUUUAAGAGUUUAAGGAAUUUACCAAAUUGUUCAUCUGAGAGGUCUUUCCUUGUCGCGUUAGGGUAUGGCACAUGAGGUUUAUAUUCGACAUUCACUAAUUUGUUUUUAUUGUGACCUACCUCACUUGGACCUCUACUCACCACAGUUUCUCGUUUCGGUUCUGGCUCAGGCUCAACGAAUCCUUCUUCAUUUUGAACAUUAAUCGCAUUGAGUUGUUCCCUUGGGUUGGGUUCAGUAUUACUUGGCAAGCUACCUUAUGGUCGUUCGGAGAUUAGUUUAGAAAGCUGGCCUAUCUGAGUUUUGAGCCCUUGGAUUAACGCUUGUUGAUUUUUAAGUGCUGUUUCGGUGUUCUGAAAAUGGGUUUCUGACACCAAGAUAAACUUUGUGAGCAUCUCUUCAAGGUUCGAUUUCUUUUCCUAUUGAUAGGGUGGCUGCUGAAAACCCGAAGGAUGUUGUGGUCUUUGAUUUCCUUGACCGCCCCACUAGAAAUUUGGGUGGUUCCUCCAACCUACAUUGUAAGUGUUACUAUAUGGAUUGUUUUGAGAUUGAGGAUUAUUACCCAUGUAAUUUAACUGCUCGUUAUCCAUGUUAUGGCCAUAAGGUUGGUAUUCUGAACGGCUUGUUCCACAUCCGCUUGCUUCACACUGCAUUAAACCUGUGAAGAACUAAGAAAACUAUCAAUCUUUUUAUUUAGAAGUUCUACCUGGUUUGAUAGCAUAGUAACCAAAUCGACGUUAUAAACACCUGCUGUUUUAGUUGGAUUAGUCCUCAUGACUUGCCACUGAUAGUUAUUCAGUGACAUCUCCUUUAUAAACUCAUAAGCAUCUUCAGGUGUUUUAUUAUUGAUGGUUCCAUCAGCAGCUGUGUCAACCAUUUGUUGAGUCGAAGGAUUCAGGCCAUUAUGGAAUGUUUGAACCUGAAGCCAAAGCGGUAACCCAUGGUGAGGGCACCUUCUCAAAAGGUCCUUGUAUCUCUCUCAUGCAUCGUAUCUGCACAAAUGAAGAGAUAUCAUUACGUAAUUUGGCCGUUUUAGCCGGCGAAAAAUAUUUUAAUAGAAAUUUUUCGGUCAUUUGCUCCCAAGUAGUAAUUGACCCUCGUGGUAACGAGUUCAACCACUAUUUAGCUUUGUUCCUCAAUGAAAAAAGGAAUAACCAAAGACGAAUGGCAUCAUCAGAAACACCAUUAAUUUUAAAUGUAUCGCAUAGUUCCAAAAAGUUUGCUAAGUGAGCAUUGGGAUCCUCAUCCUGCAAACCAUCAAACUGAACAAAUUGCUGUAUCAUUUGAAUAGUGUUAGGCUUUAGUUCAAAAGUAUUUGCAGCUACAGCAGGUCUAACUAUGCUCAAUUCAGUUCCUGUUAAAGAAGGUUUAGCAUAAUCAUACAUAGUGCGUGGAGUAGGAUUUUGAUUAACCGCAAUUGCAGGAGGUAGCUGAUUGCCUUGGUUUUCAGCCAUCUCUUCGGUUGGGGGUUGAGUAUCGUCCUCUUGCUCGUUCUCUGUAUAUCUUAAGCUUCGCCUUAUUUCUCGUUGGUUUUUGCGAACUGUGUGAUUGAUUUCUUCAUCAAAAAGUAGUGGUCCUAACGGGUUUCUUCUAGUCAUAAACUAUAAAAACCUGCCAAGAGAAAGAAAAAGUAAAUUAAUAAAUAAUAAAAAAUAAAAUAAAAUUAAUUUGCAAGGAAAAUAAAUGGCUAAAGUAAUAAAAAUUGGGAGUUUCUAAUAUCUUAGUUCCCCGGCAACAGCGCCAAAAACUUGAUCGCGUGAUUUCGUGAUAGGUUUUAUAAAUUUAUAAUUAAUCGUUCUUGAAAGAAACUAUUAUCGCGAUGUAGGCAAGUGUACCUAUCGAAUAGUAGUAUAGUUUUAGCAAGACCAGAUUGUCGAACCCAAAGGAACUAAAAGUACUAGUAAUGACUGUCUUUUUAUUAUCUAGCCUAAAAAUAAGGGGGUUUUGUUUUAACUAACUAAUUAUCUAAACUAAGAAUUCACAUAAAGUAGAAUUGGGGGAUUACUUUUAAAAAAUGAUUGAAUUAAGACAAUACCUAAGGAAAAAUCAACCUAGACUUUACUUGUUAUUCUGGCUCCGAAUCGGAUUAUUUAUUCAUUUAACUUAUUCUGUAGAGAUCCCUAAUGUAACACCCCUAUCCCGUAACCGUCACCGGAAUAGGUAAGGGGUGUCACCGGACAGACAGAGCAUUUCUUAACAACACAGCUUCACAGAUAUCAUAUAACAUUAAUACAUUUGCAUUCAUCAACAAUUCAUCCAUUAAAAUGGUCUACGAGACCUAAAACAUACAUUUAGGGAAGGUCGGGACUAAACCGAACCCAUUCAGAAUUUUCAAAACUUAAUCAAACUAUUCAAAACUGACAAAGUCACACACCCGUAUGACUACGCCGCGUGACUCACACGGGCACAAGGCACGCCCAUGUGCUCCAAUCAUGCUAAAAAGAGGUCCUAUACUGACUAGUUAACACGACCAACAGACACGGCCGUAUGCCAUGACCGUGUAAAAUUUAGCUAGCUGCUGAAUUUUUCACACGGCCACAAGGCACGCCCGUGUUCCCUGGCCGUGUGGCACAAUGCAGGCUUGGUUUAAGUCAAUUUGCCACCACAUAUGAUUCCAAUCCUACAAGUAUUAAUAUCCAACAAUUAUACUAACAUUUCCAACCAAUUCCAUGCUCAAAUAUGACCAAAACACAUUAGAACAUGGCACAUUACCACAUACACCAAAACAAUACACAAACAUAUCAUUUGCUAGCCAAUUCAAAUGGCAUAACUUUUAUACAAUUCAAAACUUAAUACAUAGACAUUCUAGCCUAUACAUGCCAUACUUAGCAAUAUUUACACUUUAAGAGUACCAAAUGAGUUCGAUAGUGUGGUGACGAUCCUCAACUAUCCCUGAGCCUUCAGUAACUACGACAACUGAAAUACAGACAGAAAUCACACAGAGUAAGCUACGAAGAGCUUAGUAAGCCAAACACAAAUGGUCUAAUUACCAAAGCAUAUAUUUUUAUUUCAAAACAACAUUAAGAAUUCAUAGCCAUUUCUCAGAGUUGUUCAUAAACUUAACCAUGCUCAUUUUCUUGUAUGCAUAUUAUAUUCAUUUCCAAUUCCGAACCUACUUCGUAGAAACAGAGUCUUUCAUAUUCAGAAAUUAAGUACGAUACAAACAUACCUGUAUAGACUAUACAUUUCACAUGUUCAUUUUCAUAUCUCAUACUUUGACAUCAGGCGGUUCAGAAACGAUACAAAUAUUCAUAAACGAGUAUAAUGCCAACAUCCCAGACCUGGUCUUACAUGUAAUUUAGUAUCGAUGCCUCUGUCCCAGACAGGGUCUUAUACAAAAUCAGAUACGAUGCCGAUGUCCCAGACAUGGUCUUAUACGUAAAUUUCAAAUCGAUGCAUGUGUCCCAAACACAGUCUUACACGAUAAUUCAGAUUAAUACCAACAUUCUUUUAUCAGGCUUUCAAGGCCGUCCAAUGUAGAUAACAAUUUAUAAACACAGAAUUUAAUCAACUUAACACAUAAGUGUAGUUUGACUUACGUCGUAUGGAUUUCGGACGAAAAUGAGUCGACUAUUCGACUAUUUCGGACUUCCCUCGAUCUAAGUCUCAUUUUCUUUGUUCUUGAUCUAAUACAAUUCAAAUUCAACCAUUCAAUCAUAUAUUUCUUUCAAAAUAGUCCAUGAAUACAUAUUUAGGGCACUUUACAAUUUAGCCCCUAUAAAUUCAGAUUUUGACACUUUAGUCCAUUUUUCACAAAUUCACAAAUAUACCAAAUUCACCAAGACUAUAACUUGGCCAAAUAUACAUGGCUUCCAUAUAAGCCCAUACAACAUGUUUAAUUCACAAAUUAGUCCUUCAAAACUUCAUUUUCACAAAUUAGCCCAAUUAGCUCAUUUUAUCAAAAAUUCAAGAAUAAAACAUAUAACCCAUCUAACAAGCCUUCAUAAUUCAUCCAAAAAAAUCACAAAACUCAUGAUAUCAACAAUGGUAUUUCAUGAAAUCUUUAACAGAAAUAGAAAUUCGAACAUGGGCUUUGAAGAACACAAAGCAAGGAUCACAAAAAUGUAGAAAUUAUCAAAAACGGGCGAAAAUUCAUACCUUAAUUUAUCAAUCAAAGUGCCGAAUAUACAAAAGCUUCAAACCUUUCUUUCAUUUGCUGAUUUUCGAUAAACGUGCAUUAGAAUAAGGCUAUCUUUGUUUUGUUUUCAUUUUUUUAAUUAACAUUAUUAACCAUUUUCCCAUUUUGCCCUUGUUAAUCAAACAUAAAUUUCCAUCCACGAAUGCCCAUAAUUUUCCAUCAUUUAAACAAAUGGUACAAUUGACAUGCAAGGACCUUUACUUUAAAAGCCAAGCCAAAUAGGUGUUUUAUCAUCUAGCACUCAAGUUUUACACUUUUCGCGAUUUACUCAUUUUUCAUAAUUAAGCACAGAAACAGACAAAUUAAAUCACAUAAAUUUUACAGAUGCAAAUUCUCAUAUCAUAGAUACAGAAAAUAAUAUUAAAAUAUUUUUCAGACUCAGAUUUGUGGUCUCGAAACCACUAUCCUGACUAGGGUGAAAAUCGGACUGUUACAAUUCUCCCCCUUAGGGAUUUUCGUCCCCGAAAAUCUUACCGUUAAACAGAUUCAGAUAUUGCUGUUUCAUUGCAUUUUUAGGCUCCGUGUCUAUGGCACAGUACUUUGACUAACGAAAUUCUCUUAUUAUGCAAUUCUUUAAUCUCACGAGACAGAAUACGAAUCGGCUUUUCUUCAUAAGUCAUAUCUGAAUGGAUUUCAAUAUCAAACGGUGAAAUUACAUGCGAAGGAUCAGAUCUGUAUCGUCGAAGCAUCGAUACGUGAAAUACAAUGUGAAUCUUUUCUAACUCAAAUGGUAAUCUUAAUCUAUAAGCAACCGACCCAACACGCUCAAUGAUUUCAUACAGUCCGAUGAACCUCGGGCCCAACUUGCCCUUUUUAUCGAACCGGAACAGUUUCUUCCACGGAGAUACUUUCAGAAACACUUUAUCACUUAUCUCAUAUUCGAUAUCCUUUCGUUUUAAAUCCGUAUAAGAUUUCUGACGAUCAAAGGCAGCUUUCAGACUAUCUCAGAUUAUUUUCACUUUCUUUUCUGUUUCUUUUAUCAGAUCAACCCCGUAAAUCUUAUUCUCACCGAGCUCAAACCAGUAUAACGGAGUUCUACACUUUCUGCCAUAUAAGGCUUCAUACGGUGCCAUUUUAAUGCUCGAUUGAAAACUAUUAUUAUAAGCAAAUUCAAUUAAAGGUAGAUAUUGUUCCCACGUACCUUCAAACUUAAGAAUGCAACAUCUCAACAUAUCCUCGAGUAUCUGAAUAAUCCGCUCAGAUUGACCAUCUGUUCGUGGAUGAAAAGCAGUGCUGAAAUGCAAUUUAGUACCCAGAGCAUCUUGCAAUUUCUUCCAAAAUCGCGAUGUAAAUCUCGAAUCCCUAUCUGACACAAUCGACAAUGGUAUACCAUGCAGUUUUACAAUAUUAGAAAUUUAAAGCUCAGCUAACUUAUCAAGCGAAUAAUUAAACCAAAUUGGAAUAAAAUGAGCUGAUUUUGUCAAACGAUCAACUACAACCCAAAUUGCAUCUUUCUUUUUCGGACACAGUGGUAAACUCGAAACAAAAUCCAUGGUCACUAGAUCCCAUUUCCAUUCCGGAAUCAAAAUUUGUUGCAACAGACCUGAUGGCACCUGAUGUUCAGCUUUAACUUAUUGACAGAUCAAACAUUUAGAAACAAAAUUAGAAAUAUCUCUUUUCAUUCCUGGCCACCAGUAUAAUUGCUUUAAGUCGUUAUACAUUUUCGUACUCCCUAGAUGUACAGAGAAUCUACUACUGUGAGCCUCACUCAAAAUCAACUGAAUUAACUCUGGAUUUCUCGGAAUACAGAGUCUAUCUCUGAAUCUUAAACAAUCAUUAACAUCAAACCAAAAUUCAGAAUCAUACAGAGUUCGUUUAACUAUCAAUUCAUUGUCAGAUUUCUGAGCCUCGCAGAUCUGUUGUAUAAACAAGGGUUUUGCUUUCAGUUCUGCUAAAACUGAACCAUCAUCAGAUAGAUUUAAAUGAGCAUUCAUUUUAUGCAAAGCAAACAACGAUUUCUGACUUAAAGCAUCAGCAACAAUAUUUGCUUUUCCCGGAUGAUAAUCAAUAACUAGCUCGUAGUCUUUUAACAAUUCCAACCAUCUUCUCUGUCGCAGAUUCAAAUCUUUUUGCAUCAUUAAAUACUUCAGACUUUUAUGAUCAGAAAACAUAUAGCAUUUCCAGCCAAAUAGAUAGUGACGCCAAAUUUUUAGAGCAAACACAAUAGCAACUAACUCAAGAUCGUGUGUCGGAUAGUUCUUUUCAUGUGGCUUCAACUGUCUUGAAGCAUAAGCAAUGACUUUACCUUCUUGGAUUAGCACACAUUCCAGACCAAUCAACGAAGCAUCGUUGUAAAUUAUAAAUUCUUUACCCGAUUCAGGUUGUACUAAUACCAGAGCUUCAGUCAAUAAAGUUUUCAACUGAUCAAAACUGUUCUGAAACUUUUCUGACCACUCAAACUUCACAUCUUUUUAGAGCAAUUUCUUCAAUGGAGUAGCAAUCAUCGAAAAACCUUUCACAAAUCUUCUAUAGUAACCAGCAAGUCCUAGAAAACUACGGACUUCAGAUACAUUUCUUGGAGGUUUCUAAUCUAUAAUAGCUGAAAUUUUGCUCGGAUCAGUUCAGAUGCCAGAGGCUGAUAUAAUAUGACCCAGAAAACUAACUUCUCGCAACCAGAAUUCACACUUACUGAACUUUGCAUACAACUGUCUAUCACGCAGUGUCUGUAGCACUAUCCUCAAAUGCUUGGCGUGUUCAGAUUCAUUACAUGAAUAAAUCAAUAUGUCAUCAAUAAAUACAACAACAAAUUAAUCUAAAUACGGUCUGAAAAUUCUAUUCAUCAAAUCCAUAAAGAUAGCAGGCACAUUCGUUAAUCCAAAAGGCAUAACUAAAAAUUCAUAAUGCCCGUACCUUGUUCUAAAAGCAGUUUUCGGAAUAUCAGAGUCUUUUACUCGCAACUGAUAGUAACCCGAUCUCAAAUCCAUCUUUGAAAACACAGUAGCACCUUUCAACUGAUCGAAUAAGUCAUCAAUCCUGGGCAGAGGGUAUUUGUUCUUUACAGUCACUUUAUUAAAUUGACGGUAAUCAAUACACAUUCUUAUUGUGCCAUCUUUCUUUUUCAUAAACAGAACGGGAGCACCCCAAGGUGAGAAACUCGGUCUAGCAAAUCCUCGAUCAGUUAAUUCUUGCAACUGAGAUUUUAAUUCUUUUACUUCAAUCAGAGCCAUUCUGUACGGAACUAUCGAUAUUAGAGUAGUACCAGGUACCAAUUCAAUGCCAAACUCGACUUCUCGAUUCGGAGGCAAACCAGGUAGUUCAUCAGGAAAUACAUCAGGGAAUUCACAGACAACGGGCACUGAUUCAAUUUUCUUGUCAUCCACUUUCAAGUCUAACAAUUAAGCUAAGUAGGCUUCACAACCUUUCUUUACAUAAUUCUGUGCUUUCAUUGCAGAUAUCAUAGCAGGUAGCCCAUUUAGAUCACUAGACUCAAUUCAAAUUAUCUCAUCAUUUUUACACCUUAAGUCAAUGACUUUUCUUUUACAGCUCACAAUAGCAUCGUGCAAUGUUAACCAGUCCAUCCCUAGAAUUAUAUCAAAUUCAUUGAAAGGCAAUAGCAUUAGAUCAGCAGGAAAACAGGUAUCUCGAAUCAUUAAUGGACAGUUCUUGCAGACUUUAUCAACUAAAACACUCUUGCCUAAAGUGUUCGAUACUUUAAUUACAAAUUCAGUAGACUCUACAGGAAAAGUCUUACUGCGCACUAAAUUCAUACAGCUAUGAGAAUAUGUUGAGCCAAGGUCUAUCAAUGCAAUCACAAAAGUAUCAUAAAGAGUGAAAGUACCAGUAAUCAUGUCUAGAGACGAGGCUUCCUCACGAGCUUGGAUUGUAUAGGCCCUAGCAGGUGCUCUGGUCUCAGAUCUAACAGAAGUAUCCCUAGUAGCUCUUUGAUCACCACUUGUAUUUCUCGUGUUUCUGGAAAGUUUACCUCUACUUGAGGUGUUACUCUGUCUCGGAUUCUGUACAUUCUCUUGCUCAGUAGGUUCAGAACAAUCUCUUACAAACUGAUCCAGGGACCCACAUCUAAAAUAGGCUCGGUCAUUCAAUUUACAAUUUCCCGGAUGUCUUUUACCACAAUGUUUACACUCAGGUUUCUUAGAUCAGACAUUUCCAAGAUUUGAAACAGAAGUAACAGGGGCUCUGGUGUUCGAAUACGAUCUAGCUCGAUCUCGGUUUAAAUGUCGCACAUUAGUAUUUGAACGGUUUUGAUCAUCUCAGAAUUUCUUUGGUCCAAACUGAAAUGAUUUACUCGAAGAUCUCUUUCUAGCAUCUCUAACUUCAAAAUCAGCUUUUCUUUUUUCUUGGCUUAAUUCUUCAGCUUUACAUGCUUGCUCAACGAGCACUACCAUUUCUUUAAUCUCCAAAAUCCCCACUAGCAGACGAAUAUCUUCGUUUAGUCCAUCUUCAAAUCUUUUGCACAUUAUUGCUUCAUUUGAUACACAUUCCCGAGCAUAUUGGCUCAAUCUCACAAAUUCCCGUUCAUAUUCAGUGACAAACAUUUGGCCCUAUUUAAGCUCGAGAAACUCUUUACGUUUCUGAUCAAUAAAUCUCUGACUAAUGUAUUUCUUCCAAAAUUCAACUUGGAAGAAAUCCCAGGUAACCCGUUCGCUCGGAACCAUAGAUUUUAAAGUUUUCCACCAAUGGUACGUCGUAUCUCUCAAAAGUGAAACGGCACAUUUAACACAUUCCUCUAGAUUUAGAGACAUUUCAUCAAACACCCGUAUCGUAUUCUCUAACUAGAAUUCAGCUCUUCAGCAUCAUCAUUCAUUGUAGCUCAGAAUUCUUCAGCCGCAUGCUUCCUAAUCUUGUCAACUGGUGGUCUACUUGACUGAACUGGAUUCACGGAAGUCAUAACAGGAAUUUGAGAAGGAUUAACCGGGGGUGGAGGUUGUUGAAUAGCCGAAUUGGUUCUAAUAUAUUGGGUGAACCAAUCAUUCAUCAUCUAAUAGAAGGCUUCCUUAGCCUCGCUAUCACGACUAUUAGUAGCCGGUCGAGAAUCAUCUUGCACCAUCCCUUGCGCGGGAACAGGUGCAUUACUCUCAAUAUCGUCAGCUACGGCUCUAUUGGGAUCCAUUGCUAUAUUAAAGCACAUUUCAAAUGUCAAGAUUCAUCACACUAUCACAGUUUCAGACAUACGGCAUGUAUAGCUAGACUCACACACGCUAUGGUAGUCCUAGAACUAACUAAACCAUGGCUCUAAUACCAAUAAAAUGUAACACCCCUAUCCCGUAACCGUCAUCAGAAUAGGUAAGGUGUAUCACCGGACAGACAGAGCAUUUCCGAACAACACAGCUUCACAAAUAUCAUACAACAUUAAUACAUUUGCAUUCAUCAACAAUUCAUCCAAUAAAAUGGUCUACGAGACCUAAAACAUACAUUUAGGAAAGGUCAGGACUAAACCAAACCCAUUCAGAAUUUUUAGAACUUAAUCAAACUUUUCAAAACUGACAAAGUCACACGCCCGUGUGACUAGGCCGUGUGACUCACACGGGCACAAGGCACGCCUAUUUGCUCCAACCGUUUUAAAAAGAGGUCCUAUACCGACUUUCUAACACGGCCAAAAGAUACAGCCGUAUACCAUGACUGUGUAAAAUUUAGCUAACUACUGACUUUUUCACACGGCCACAAGGCACACCCGUGUUCCCUGGCCGUGUGGCACAAUGCAGGCUUGGUUUAAGCCAAUUUGCCACCACAUAUGGUUCUAAUCCUACAAGUAUUAAUAUGCAACAAUUAUACUAACAUUUCCAACCAAUUCUAUGCUUAAAUAUGACCAAAACACAUUAGAACAUGGCACAUUACCACAUACACCAAAACAAUACACAAACAUAUCAUUUGCUAGCCAAUUCAAAUGGCAUAACUUUUAUACAAUUCAAAACUUAAUACAUAGACAUUCUAGCCUAUACAUGCCAUACUUAGCAAUAUUUACACUUCAAGAGUACCAAAUGAGUUCGAUAGUGUGGUGACGAUCCUCGACUAUCCACGAGCCUUCAGUAGCUACGACAACUAAAAUACAGACAGAAAUCACACAGAGUAAGCUACGAAGAGCUUAGUAAGCCAAACACAAAUGGUCUAAUUACUAAAGCAUAUAUAUUUAUUUCAAAACAACAAUAAGAAUUCAUACCAUUUCUCAGAGUUGUUCAUAAACUUAACCAUGCUCAUUUUCUUGUGUGCAUAUUAUAUUCAUUUCCAUGAUUCCGAACCUACUUCGCAGGAACAGAGUCUUUCAUAUUCAGAAAUUAAGUACGAGACAAACAUACCUGUAUAGACUACACAUUUCACAUGUUCAUUUUCAUAUCUCAUACUUUGACAUCAGACGGUUCAGAAACGAUACAAAUAUUCAUAAACGAGUAUAAUGCCAACAUCCCAGACCUGGUCUUACAUGUAAUUCAGUAUCGAUGCCUCUGUCCCAGACAGGGUCUUAUACGAAAUCAGAAACGAUGCCGAUGUCCCAGACAUGGUCUUACACGUAAAUUUCAAAUCGAUGCCUGUGUCCCAAACACGGUCUUACCCGAUAAUUCAGAUUAAUACCAACAUUCUUUUAUCAGGCUUUCAAGGCCGUCCAAUAUAGAUAAAAAUUUAUAAACAUAGAAUUUAAUCAACUUAACACAUAAGUGUAGUUUGACUUACCUCGUACGGAUUUCGGAGGAAAAUGAGUUGACUAUUCGACUACUUUGGACUUCCCUCGAUCUAAGUCUGAUUUUCUUUGUUCUUGAUCUAAUAUAAUUCAAAUUCAACCAUUCAAUCAUAUAUUUCUUUCAAAAUAGUCCAUGAAUACAUAUUUAGGGAACUUUACAAUUUAGCCCUAAUAAAUUCAGAUUUUGACACUUUAGUCUAGUUUUCACAAAUUCACAAAUAUACCAAAUUCACCAAGACUAUAACUUGGCCAAAUAUACAUGGGUUCCAUAUAAGCCCAUACAACAUGUUUAAUUCACAAAUUAGUCCUUCAAAACCUCGUUUCUACAAAUUAGCCCAAUUAGCUCAUUUCAUCAAAAAUUCAAGAAUAAAACAUAUAACCCAUGUAACAAGCCUUCUAAUUCAUCCAAAAAUAUCACAAAACUCAUGAUAUCAACAAUGGCAUUUCAUGAAAUCUUUAACAGAAAUAGAAAUUCGAACAUGGGCUUUGAAGAACACAAAGCAAGGAUCACAGAAAUGUAGAAAUUAUAAAAAACGGGCGAAAAUUCAUACCUUAAUUUAUCAAUCAAAGUGCCGAAUAUACAAAAGCUUCAAACCUUUCUUUCAUUUGCUGAUUUUCGGUUAACAUGCAUGAGAAUAAGGCCAUCUUUGUUUUUUCAUUUUUUUAAUUAACAUUAUUGACCAUUUUCCCAUUUUGCCCUUGUUCAUAAAACAUAAAUUUCCAUCCACUAAUUCCCAUAACUGUCCACCAUGUAAAAAACUGGUACAAUUGACAUGCAAGGACCUUUAUUUUAAAAGCCAAGCCAAAUAGGUGUUUUAUCAUCUAGCACUCAAGUUUUAAACUUUUCGCGAUUUACUCAUUUUUCAUAGUUAAGCACAGAAACGGACAAAUUAAAUUACAGAAAUUUCACAGAUGGAAAUUCUCAUAUCAUAGACACAGAAAAUAAUAUUAAAAUAUUUUACAAACUCAGAUUUGUGGUCCCGAAACCACUAUUUUGACUAGGGUCAAAACUUGACUGUUACACUUACGUUAUGUUAUUAUCCCUAUUCAAGACUAAUAACGUCUAAUCCAUAGAUUGAAUAAUUGAGACUUUUCUCUAAUUAACACUCUAGGGUUGCAUUAGCUCGAUCUAUGGAUCCCCUUAUUAGGUUUCACCUUAAUUCGGCAAAAUCUUGUCACCCUAUCUCUAGGCGCGCAAUCAAUUCCGCUUAAUUAUGAUGAAUGUACUCUUAGAUAGGGUCUAUUCCUCCUCUGAAUAAGAGCUUAUCUUGAAUCAGUAUCCUGGGAUAUCAAAACAAGAAUUAAGAACACAUAAUUAAGAACAAGUUAAAUAUUUAUCAUACAAUUUAGAAAAUAAUGACAAGAUUAGUCUUAGGUUUCAUUCCCCUUAGGUAUUUAGGGGAUUUAGUUCAUAACUAAAAAGGAAAACAUCUUAGAAGAAUAAUGAAUACAAAACAUAAAGAAAACCCAAAACUCCUGAAGGGUAAUUGAGGGGAGGUCUUUAGUCUUGAUGAUGAAUCCAGCUUCUAAGAUGGAUCAAUCGACUUCCUUGGAGUAAUUCCUUCCUUCCUCCCUGUGUGUCCCCCUUAUUCUCUUCCUUUAGGGUGUAUUUAUAGGCUUGGGUAUGCCUAAGAGCCCUCAAAAGUGGCCUUUUCUGAAUUAGACUCAACUUGGGCUCUGCAGGGACACGCCCAUGUGACACGCCCGUGUGCGAUUACUUGAAGCUGUGCUCGAGCCUGUUAAAUAGGCAGGAUCAUGUGGUCUGCCCAUGUGAGGAGGUCCAACACGUGUUGAAUUCGUACUUUGGUCCGUUUUCUCCGUUUUUGGCCUGUUUCUUGUUCCUUUCGCUCUCCUAUGCUCUCCUAAGUAUAAAACAUGAAAUUAAGGCAUUAGGAGCAUCAAAUUCACCAAUUCUAAGGAAAAAUCAUCCAUAAAACGUGUUAAGAAUGAGGUAAAAAUAUGUAUAAAUUACAAUUUAUUAGACAGUGGCAUCGAUAUUUGAUUACAUGUAAGAUAACAUCUGGGAUGUUGGCAUUGUACGAGGCUUCUAAUUUAUCCGCGUAUCCUUAUGAUUUUGAACUGUUCAAUGAGCAUUAUUGAGAAAUAAAUAAUCAAGUGAAUGUGUAUCCAAUUCAGGUAUGUUCAAAGUUGUAUAUCAUAUUUGAUGCCGAAAGAUAAGUAUAUGUACCUUUAUGAUCAAUUAAGUAUAUGUGACAAAAGUAUAAGAAAAUAUGCAUUAUGUGCAAAUGAAUGAAGAAUAUGUGAAAUGUAUUUGAGCUAUGUGUUUUGUGAUAGUAUGUGGUUAAAGAUUAUAUGUAUAUUAUGAUGCUUAUAUGUUUAAAUUGUUAACUUUAUUUGUAUAUGGCUUACUAAGCUUUUGAAAGCUUACUUUGUGUGUGUUUGCAUUGGUUUAUAGAUAUUGUAGCUAUCAGGAGCUAGGGGAUCAUCGAGGAUCAUCACCACACUGUCGAACUAUAUUUUGGUACCUUUUGAAAAUGUAUAUAUUGAAGUAUGGCAUGUAUAGGCUAGAAGUACUUUGAUUAUGUUUUGUCAUGUACAUAAAUCUAGCCAUGUGAUUUAGCUUGAUUAUGGUUGUGUAUAUGAAUGAGUUCUUGGUAUGAAAUAUGUGAUGUAAUUGAUUAUUAUGAUGUAAUUUGAAUGGAUAUAGAAAUUGGUCAUUUUGGUAAGUAAUGGUAUAUGUUUAUUUGAGAAAAUGGUAAGUUUUGAUCAUGAGAUUAAAUGAUGUAAGUUGAGGUAUUGAAACAUAUGUUUUGGUAUGAUUUUGGUUUAGAUUUGGUAUGAUUUGGUUGAUGGAUUGAGAAUGGAAUUUGUUGAUAAUGUAAUGGCAUGAAUAAUGUAUGUUUUGGUAUUGAAAUUGGCUUAAAUUAUGAUGCAAAUAUGCUUGGUUUGAUGUUUAUAGGUUUGACACAAAAUGAGUGGAAAAUUGGCUUUUCAAAUGGCCUAUUUUUGUACACAUGGGCAGAGACACGGGCGUGUGUCUCAGCCGUGUGUGACACAUGGUCAUGUAUCCCCUAGGAUACCCUAUGAUUUUAAGUCAGGCUUGAGCAUGGGCAAGGCACACGGGCGUGUGGCUAGCCGUGUGACCUAAGUUAGUUUUGGCCAAGGUACAUGGGUGUGUCUUGUGGUCGUGUGAUUAAGUCAGUAUGUAUGCCCUGUUUUUACAUGGCCUAGACACACGGGCGUGUCUAAAGCCGUGUGAGGCACAUGGCCUGUUCACACGGGCAUGUGACUUGUAUAACUUUGAAAUAUGUUUAAGUUUUGCAAAAUUCUGUAUAAGCUCGGUUUAGUCCCAAAGCCUUUCUAAAGCAUGUUUAAGGUCUCAGUGAUCUAAAUAAGAGACACUAUAUUGAUGUUUUGUAACGCCCCAAUUUUCGAGAUUUCUAUAAUUUCCAAUGAAUUUUAGAAAUACUGUGUUUUGACUAUCUGGUGUGGAUCUGAGUAUGUUAGUGGGCCUUUAAAAAGCCCAAGAGUAAAUUUAAUUCGAGGCAAUUCCUGAAUUUUUAAUUUUGAAGAGAGAGGGCUUUGGCGAUAUGGGCUUUUAAAAUUGAGGUGGUAAAAUAGGACACAAAAAGAUCUGAGGUAAAGUGGCAUGUGGCGCCACCUAGGUGUUUGGGGAGUGACGUGUGGAUGAUUAGGGGGAGCUAGAGUUCAAGUCACAAGGUAAGCGUGUUGUUACUUUUAUUUUUGUAUGCAUAUGCAGGGCAUGUGAUAGAGCUUAAGUGGAAAUUCAGCUAGGGCUUUAGGAAGGUUGGGUCGUGGGUUUGAAUGGCCAUUAGGGCAAGCUUUACUUUCUUUUUGUUUUUCCGAAUUAGGGUUAGCCACCUAGAGCCUUCACUUUCAUUCUAUUAUCUUCUCAGUGUCGCAAAAAGCCAAAAAACGCAAAGUUAGAUCUCCUGAGUGCCGAAUUCUUCCUUCUCUUCUCCUCUCUUCUACUAUUUUCUUUUUCUCUUUCUUUUCUUCUCUGGCUGAAACAUUCCUACCAUUCUACUCAUCUCCUCUUUCAUUCCUAUUCUUUUCUAAACCUCUAUAGCCAAUUUCCAUAAAAGCCCAAAUCCAGAAAGUUAUUUCUUGUGCCGAUUUCUUCUAGUCAAAAUCCUCCUAUUUUCUUCAUCUCUUUUGGCCAAUUUUCACAUCCUCUAAACCUCAACCCCUGUCGGCAAUACCACUGCAAAACCACCAUACCAAAUCAUCUUCCUCUUCACAGUUCCAAAAGUCGAAAACACCAUAGUUUUUAGGGACAUGUAGUCGAAUCUUAAAAUCUCUAAGAUUUGAUUUCUGCUAGUGUUUAAGGGCUAGAUCUGCAUCAGAUCUGAGUAGAAACUGAAGUGGAAUCAUUUGGUUGAAAGAACCUGAGGUAGGUACUCAAAUCUAUUCUUUAUUUUGGGUUUUAGAAAAGCCGAAAUCCCUAAAGGCAUAGGGAGGCUGUCGAUUGGAGCUUAAGGCUCUAAGGGUUGUAAAAAUUGAUUUGUUUUGGUGUUAGUGUGAUCCAGAGGCUGCUGAUCGAAGGCUUGGACAAGUGGAACAACUAGAUCUAGAUCUAGUCUCUAGUUUUGGCAAAGGUAGGAUCUCAAGGGCCAUAUGUAUUGAUGGUCGAUUAUGGUAAGUAAGUUUAUGAUGGUUGCCAUUGUAUUUUGGAUCUGAUAUGUCUAGUGACGAUUGUAGGACAUCGUGGGAGAUUUCGGUAGCAGUUGUCACAAAUCAGGUGUGUAAACGACACCCACUCAUAGACUAGAUCGACAAAAGUUGAAAAGCCGAAAUGCCGAAAAGUUGGUAUUUUGUAAACUUGCGAGCGUACGAGCACUCGUGAGGUGGUUUGUUUGUUAAUUUUGGUAAUCACAAGCGGUAAGAUUGCAAAGUGUGAAAUUUCGUGCACUUCGAUAUAUUUAGGCUUAAUAGGCCAAAAUCGGGUUAAUGGGCCAACGGGCCCAAUUCGGUAAAAAUGCUCGGUAAGUGUUUCUGUUAAUGUGUUAAUGGCUGUAAUAUGAGUGUAAACCGUAAAAUAGUUAAAUUUACUAAAAUACCCUUAAGUAUGAAAAUUACCAUUAUACCCUUAGGUGCAAAAUUACCAUUAUACCCCUAGGGUUAAUUUUGACUGAAAUGCAUGAUAUUUUGAUUCUGUUUGUUGUAUGCCAUGACAUGUAUAUCUAUUGCAUGGGAUAUGGGUUAUAUUGAUGGAGGAAGCGUUCUGGUGGCUCUGCCACAAAUAUAUGAUCUGGUGGCUCUGUCACAAAUAUCUGUAUCUGGUGACUCUGUCACAAUAUCUGUUCUGGGAGCCAUGCUGCAAAUUCUGUGACGUGUAGCAGAUGGAUGGGUCGAGUAGUCUCCCCACAUGGUGUAAGGUUGGUACAGGGGUGUAUACUGAUGGAUAUGGGUUGGGUUUUCUGCAUACAAGAUAUAUCUGCUCUAUUUCUGUUAUGGGCCUAUGGGCUUCAUUCUGAAUUCUGUGUAGGGAUAAGGCCCAACUUAAUCUGUUUCUGUGGUUUGAACUGAUCUGGACUAUGGUUGGGUUAGUUUACACAGUGAGUUUUCCAAACUUACCCCUUAAUUUUAUCCAUGCAGGUAACCCCUAACCAUAGUGGACUUGGAGCUGAGAGGGAUUCGGAGUGGCCACAUGUUUUGCAAGCUCAACUUUCUUCUUAUGACUUGAUUAGCUUCAUUUACUUUAAUUGCUUUGGGUUUUAAGUUGUAAUAAGGCUGCUUUAAUUAUUUUUAAUUGCUUUAGUAUGAUUAUUAGCUUAGGCAUGAUAUGGAUUUAAAUGUUUGAAACUGAAUAGCUCUAGGGCACGUUUUUAAAAGAGAUUACCUAAUUUCAAAUAUUGUGAAACAAGACAAAGCUUCCAAAAUGAAAACGUUUUCAAAAAUUAAUAAGUGUUUUCAAAGGCUUAAAAUGAAAUGGUUUUUCCUGAACAAUCAGUCAGUUAAAGUGUGGCAAUGGUUGUGUGCAUGUCUAGGAGUGGAUCCAUGGAGAGCUUGGUACUUAAGCAGUCUAAUAGACUCACCUCCUCUUUUUUCGGCAUCCUACCUGGUGCACAGCUUCCAUUCACUUUAAUCUAUAACGAAAAAAACCCUUUAAAUCACUAAGAAAGACUUUAGAUAAUACAUGACCUAUACAGUAACGCUUCAAUGUGACACACCGGAUUCGACCGUAAUGUCUGGGCUGGGUUUAGGGUGUUACAUGUUUGAUCUUUGAUGCUAUAAUAUUUGUGAAAUGAAUGUUAAAUGUUUCAAUUUUUUCGGUAAUGCCUUUAACCCUAGUCCGGCGAUGGAUACGGGUUAGGAGUGUUAAAACUGCAUAUUUGAUACUGUACUGAGAUGGGCUAAGGCCCAAAUCGUUACUGAUACUGAAAGGAGCUUAGGCCCAAAACUGUAUCUAACUAUGCACUGUGUCUACUAUUGUUUGUUUUCUGUGGGAUUACACAUUGAGUUUACGUAAAUUUACCCCUCUCUGUUUAAUGUGCACAGGUAAUCCCCAGGCCUAGACGGAUCGGUGCGGCAGAGGACUCGACGGUGACCAUAAUUUUUGGACUUUACGUUUUUUAUAAUUUAUUUUUAUGGUUUUAUUAUUAUUGGGAUGUAAUUUGAGGACUCUUGGGGCUUUUUCUUAAAUUUGAGUUUUUUUUUUGUGGAAUUAUAACUGGUACUCAUAGGAAGUUUGAUUUUAAAAAAGCUAAUGUAUUUUCUAAACUCACGAUUACUUAAACUGCUUUGUUUUAAAAGCUUCCGCAAUGAGAAACGUUUUAAAGCAAAUGUUUUAAAUAAGUAAAACGAUUUCCCUUCGAACUAAUAAUAGAUAAAGAUAGGUAAUAACAUGGAAAUGAUUUUAUUGUAAUAAUUUAGUUUUCGAACACACUAUCAUGUGGCAUAGCCAGAUUUGACCAUAACGUCUAGGCCGGGUUUGGGGUGUUACAAGAGCUUUCCCAAACUAAAAAGUUGCAUUAUUAAAUCCAAUAAUUACUUUCAAAAGGUUGAGUUGAAAUGAUUUCUUGAAAUAAGAAAAGUGCAACUUGAAAAGUGAUAUCAUUUUAAAGAGUCAUUUAGGCACUUAUUAGUGCAUUAUAAAUAGAAAAUAUAUUUGGAGAAUAGAAAAUCAAUUUGUUUCAUCUAAUUUGUGAGUGAAAUUUUUAGUACAAAAGUAUUCCUUCUUUUUUAUGACAUAUUUAAUUUGCGAUAUGAAAUUAUUUCUUUAUUUAGAUCAUAAUAUUAGUAACUAGCAUUUGGAUUACAUUGAUGAGACAUUAUUUUCAUUUUUAAAAAUGAAAGUUUGUAGAUGAUCAUAUAAUACAAAUAAUUUUGGUUGUUUUUGUUAAAUAACCUUAACCUAAAUGGGUUUUAUAUAUGAUUGCACAUUUUGAUUCCAUAUUAUAAAGUUUGGACUAGAAGUGGUAUUAACUAGAAAUGGAAUAAGUCAUAUACGUAUGCAUGGUUAAUUUUUCUAGUUAAUUUAGAAUAGUGGAAAGCAUUGGCUUAUAUAAUAAGAUCAUUAUUCUAGUAUGAAAUUUUCUAGUGAGAAUAUAUAACAUGAUAAUCAUAUAUUUGAGUAUAUAACAUGAUAAUCAUAUAUUUGAAAUCAAGAUCCUAUUGUGCAUAUUUAUGAUGGUGCAUGUGGUUUUUUAUAUAUGACUUGGAUAUAAUCUAUAAUCCCAUGAUUUUAUAAAAUUUUGAGAUGUAAAUUUUGAAAUUUACUUUGGAAGCUAUGAAUCAAAGAUCUCGUGAGUAGGGUUGAGUAUUCGAUCGAGUCGAGUUUGAGUAGGGUUGAGUAUUCGAUCGAGUCGAGUUGAGUCGAAUCAAGUUAAAAACUAUUGAGUUAGUCGAGUUAACGAAUCCUAUUUUAGCAAUCGAACUCAAUUUUAAUUUUUUUUUCAAAUCGAGUCGAAUCGAGUCAAAAACUUUCAAGUCGAGUUAACGAAUCCUAUUAUUUAUACUCAAUAUUGUGUUUACAUGGGCAGGUUAUUUAACUAGUAGACGAAGUACAAUAUUAUUUAACUACAUAAAUAAUAUAAUUUACUAAAUAAUUACAUGUAAAGAAUUAUUUUAGGCAUGCAAAAUAACUAUAUAUAACGUUGCAACAUGAUCACUGUGGCCGUAAUUCGAGUCAACUACCUAAGCUAUUACACCACACGCAUAAUUAUAUUUACAUAGUGUAUAAUUAUGCAUCAAGAACUAUCUUAUAUACAAGAUAACAAAAUGAUAUACCGAAAGCAUGAUACAAGGAUGCAUGCCACUACUACACAAAAUAUGAUAUAACAAAAUGAUACACCAAAUGUAUGAUAUAGUUGGUCAUGGUGUGACACUCCAAGACUCGAAUUCAAAAAAAUAAAUUCAAGUGUCCUGCACAACAAAAUCCAGAGUUUAACCAAUUGUUUUGACCAAAACAAAGCAAAUGCAAGGUUGAAGUUUUCAUAAGCAUUAACAAAAUUUUUAUUCCAAAAAGUUAAAAUCAAACUAUCUUCAAGCUUCAUCUUCUUUGAACAUUGUAGAUAGUACCGAAAAUUCUAUAACAAAAAUAAAAAUGUAUUCUUAAAUUACGAAAAUCUUUACUAGAAAAACUAAAAAUAAACAUUCAAUUUUGUGAGUUGUAGUUAAGCAUGUUACCAUCUUCAUGUUCCGAUAACUGUGACAAUUCUAAUAAAUAUCAAAAGAGAAAAAUGUUAGUUAAAUUGUGAGAAUGUUUAUAAAAUUAAAUAAAAUAAGCAAUUAACCUUUUGAAUUAAAGUUAGUCCCUUACCGUCAUCUAUAUUUUGAAGUUCCUCCACAUACUCCUCAAGGUUGAUAGGAUCUUUUAACCUUUGAAGCCAAUCUUGUGUGCAAACCAAAGCCUCAACCAUAGAAGGAGUCAAAGAACUUCUAAAAUUAUCUAGAACACGUCCACUCAUGCUGAAAGCACUUUAGAUGUAGUGGUUGAGAUAGGAACGGAUCACACAUCUCAAGCCAUUUGUGCAAUAAUUAAGAAUCUUGGACUAUUAACUUUCCACCACAAUAACAAACCAAAUGAAUCUGAAUUAUUUUCACAAUCUUCUCCCAAAUAUCUAUCCAACUCAGAUUUACUUUCCAAGCCAACAUGUUGCUUUUUCUUCAUAUAUUGUUGCAUGACUAAGACUAUCUUCGGUUUUACUUGAUCUAUUUCAUUUUCAGUUAAACUUGGAGCUCUAGUAGGAAAAUUAGAUUCAACUUCAAUGUUCAUGUGAAGAUUUCCCUCAACAAUUGCAGAAUAUCCAUCAAACAAACAAUGCAAUUCUCUAUUGACCAUCCUUAUAAUGUCAUCUGCAAUAGUAGGAAAAAGCAAGUUGACUGUAAAUGGAAGAAAACCUAUUUUGCACCUGAUAAUCCAUAAAACUAACAUAUUUUUAAUCCUAUUCUUGAUGCAUUUUUUGGAUGAUUAAUUAUCUAAAUUAGUGAAUUUGAUACUCUUAAUCCUUUAAAUUCAUGUCUUUAUACUUAGGAGAGCAUUUGGGAGCAAAAUGAGUGAAAAAUGAGUCAAAAUUGGACAAAUAGAGUUGUUUACAGAAUCCACACGGGCUGGCCACACGCCCUUAUGAGCCACACGGACUAACCAUACGCCUAUGUGAUAGCCCAUGUCGAUAUUACACCUUGCUUCCCAAAUAUGCGGAAAAACCCAAUUUUUAGGCUUUUUGAGCAUUCUAAAGUCUAUAAAUACCAAUUAGAAGAAGACCUAACGGGGGCACUCAGAGAAGAUUGAAGAGAACAUGCGAAGAACUCCAUUGGAAUCAACUCAAAAGCAGAUCUCCUUCAAGAUUGAACAUCUCCAUUUAAUUUUCUUCGAAGUUUUAUUGAGUUUCUUUAUGUCUUGUUGUUAUCUUAAUUUUGAGAUGUUUCUAUUCAGGGUUAUGAGCUAAAUUCCCUAGAUACCUAGGGAAUAUGAAACCUAUGAUAAAUCUUAUUAUUUGAUUUUUGAUUUACACAAUAAAUACUUGAUUCUUGUUCUCAAUUAUGUAUGCUUAUUUCUUAUUUUAAUAUUUCUGAGAUAUUAAUUCAAGUUUAAUGUGCAUAUUUCAAUAGAGAAAAAGUCUCUGUUUAAGAGUAGAUCUAGCAUAACUGAGUGGAGUUGCAUGUAAUCCGAGAAAUAGGACAACAUAAAUCUACCGGAAUAGAGUCAAAUCUAAUAGGGGAAUCCAUAGAUCAAGUUAAUGUGACAAUAGGGGUUUUAAUUUGAAAGAAAUUUUAAUUAAUCAACCUAGAGUUAGUUGUUCUUACUCUCGAAAGAGAUAUUAACAUAAUUAAGGGAUUUUUAUAGAUCAAGACACAAGUGAAUAAAUCAUUUAAUUCAAAUUCAAAAUAAUAGGUGAAGUCUAGGUGGAUUCUUUCCUGGGUAUUGUCUUUCUCUUUGGUUAUUGUCGAUUAUUUUCCUAUUUUAUUCUCUGCUGUGUUCUUAGUUAAAUUAGAUUAUUAAAUUUAGAUUAAAAACAAUCACUCCAAUUUAUCUACUAAAUAAUAGAAAAACGGUGAUUACUAGUACUUUUAGUCCUCAUAGAUAUGAUAUUCCCUACUCACCAUAGCUAUACUAUUGCUCAAUAGGUGCGCUUGCCUUUGUAGCAAUUAUAGUUAGUUUGGUGAUCAUCAAGUUUUUGGCACCAUUGUCGGGGACUAAAAUAUAGGAACACUCGAUUUUUAUUAAUGUAGCCAUUUUUAUUUUUAGUUUAAUUUUUGCAUUCUAAUUUUUCUUUUCUUUUAUUUGCUUCUGACAGGUUCCUUUAGUUUAUGACUAGAAGAAACCCAUCCGACCAUUACUAUUUGAAAACGAAAUUGAAAGUAUAACUUUCAGAAAUUGUAGAGAAGUAGGGUAGAGUCAACAGAGUAUAGUAGAUGAGCAAGAGGAUAUUAUUAUUAUGACUGAGAAGAUGGGUGAUAAUUAGAAUAAUUUGCUACCUCCUGCAGUUGUUGCAAAUCCAGAUCCUGCUCCUCAUACUAUGUACGAUUAUGCCAAGUCCACUCUAACUGGGCCUGAAUCAAGUAUUGUGAGACCCACUAUUGCUGUGAAUAAUUUCAAACUGAAGCCGAACACUAUUCAAAUGGUACAACAAUUUGUUCAGUUCGAUGGUUUGCAAGACGAAGAUCCAAAUACUCAUUUGGCUAAUUUUCUAGAAGUCUAUGAUACUUUCAAGAUAAAUGGCAUUUCUAACGAUGCCAUUUGCCUACGGUUAUUCCCUUUCUCACUGAGGAACAAAGCUAAACAGUGGUUGAAUUCUUUAUUGUGAGGUUCUGUCACUACAUGGGAUCAAAUGACUGAGAAAUUCCUAUUGAAGUACUUCCCACAAGCUAAGAUGGCAAAAUUAAGGAAUGAUAUCUCUUCCUUCAUUCAAAUCGACCUAGAAACCCUAUAUGAUACAAGGGAGAGGUAUAAGGAAUUAUUGAGACGUUUCUUUCACCAUGGGUUACCUUUAUGGCUACAGGUUCAAACCUUCUACAACAGCUUGAAUCCCUUAACUAGACAGUUGAUCGACACAGCAACCGGUGGUACAUUGAAUAAUAAAACACCAAAGUAACUUAUGAAUUUGUAGAAGAGAUGUCACUAAAUAAUUAUCAGUGGCAAGUCAUGAGGACGAAGCUGAAUAGAGUAGCUGGUGUUUUCAAUCUAGAUCCGGUCACCAUGUUACCGAAUCAGGUAGAACAAUUAAAUAAGAAAAUUGAAAUUUUUUAUGUUUCUACGGAAGUAUAUCUGAUGAUGCAAUGCGAUACAAAUAGAGGUGGAAUGAACAAUCUAGAAUGUUUACCAUUCGCUUCUAGCACAGAGAAUGAACAAAUCAAUUAUAUGGGUAAUAAUUCUAGGCUUCAAAAUAACCCUUAUAGUAAUUACUACAAUGUAGGUUGGAGGAACCAUCCCAAUUUCUCUUGGGUGGUCAAGAAAAUCAAAGAGCAAAAUCCCCUCCAGGCUUUCAACAACCUUACCAACAAGAGAAGAAGCCGAACCUUGAGGAGAUAUUGAUAAAGUUUAUCUCAGUGUCAGAAACCUGUUUUCAGAACACUAAAGUAGAGCUUAAAAAUAAAAAAGCAUCAAUUUAAAGGCUUGAGAACCAAAUCGGUCAACUUGCGAAGUUGAUUUCAAAAUGACCACAAGGUAGUUUGCUUAGCAAUACCGAAACUAACCCAAUAGAGCAACUUCAUGCAAUUCCUAUGCGAGAUGAAGAAGGGUUAGUUGAAUCUGAACCAAAAUCGAGGCAAGAAAUUGUGUUAAGUAAUGGUAAGGUUGAGGUAAGCCAAAAUGAGCAAAAACAGGUUGGUAAAGAAUAUAAACCUCGAGUGUCAUAUCCUAACACGAUGAAGAGAGACCUCACGAAUGAAAAAUUUGGUAAAUUUCUUAAACUUCUGAAAAAAUUUCAUAUUAACUUACCGUUUAUUGAAACUCUUUCAUAGAUGCCUAAUUCUGUUAGAUUUUUAAAGGAGCUUUUGGUAAACAACGAAAGUUAGAUGAUUUGUCGCAUGUGGAACUAAAUGCAGUUUGCUCAGCCAUUUUGCAAAAUAAACAACCCAACAAAUUGAAAGAUACAUGGAGUUUUACUAUUCCUUGUUUAAUUGGUAGGUUGAAUGUUAAUAAUGCUUUGGUUGAUUUAAGGGCUAGUAUUAAUAUCAUGCCUUAUAAAUUGUUUAAGCAAUUAGGUCUUGAGAAACCCAAACAAACUAGGAUGAGUAUUCAAUUAGCAAAUAGAACCUUAUUGAAGAUGUUCUUGUAAAAAUUGAGAAAUUUAUCUUGCCAGUUGAUUUUGUUGUUUUAGACAUGGAUGAGGAUAGUGAUGCACCUUUGAUUCUAGGUUGGCCCUUUUUAGCAACUGCUAGAACUAUUAUUAAUUUUGGUACAGGUGAAUUAUUACUUUGUGUAGGUGAUGAAACGAUUACUCUCCAAGCUCGUGAUUCUAUUAAGACAUUUAGUGAUUGAAAUGAUUUUACAAGUUCUGUUAAUAUGAGUAACCAUGUGGCUUAACCUUAUUUACAAGAAACCCAUCGAAACAAAUGUAAAGAGUCACGUUCCAAUCCAUGUGACAAAAAUAGAAUUACUCAUGAAGAAUGAAUGUUAUAGGUCGAUGAACUAGACAAAUUGCGGACACAUAUCAAGGAGAAACCAGGAAUACACGAUGCAAAGCCAGAGCGACGCCAUGAUAGGCAUUUGGAUAGAACGAGUCAAUUUAAGGUUGGUGAUAAGGUACUGCUAGAAUAAAUGGAUCCAAACUGUAACACCCCUAACCUGUAUCUGUUGUCGAAAUAGGGUUAUGGAGCAUUACUAGAGUUUACAUUUCAAAACUAUAAUUUUUUUUAAAACAUUUAAUUUAUAUCAUCAAUCACAGCAAAACCAAUCAAUAGCAUACAUAGUCCCUUAUACGAGCCCUCAAGGCCCUAAAAACACAUUAGAAACAAAUUGGAACUAAACCAAAAACAUAUAAAAAUUUCAGGGAAAAGAUGAAAAUUUACGACUGCAGGGGUUACACGGUCGUGUACCCUUCGAAAUAACCUCACAUUCCUGUGUGUCAGGCCGUGUGCUAGGCCGUGUAAAACUUGACUUGAAACCCUUUGAAAACUACAGGAACACACAGCCGUGCUACCUGGCUGUGUGUCAUACACGACUGAGACACACGCUUGUGUCUCUGCCUGUGUGGAUGAAAAUAAGCUAUUUUACAAGCCAUUUUUCUCACCCUUUUCAACAUGUACCUAUAAUCCCUUUUGCACAUGUACAUAAGUCCUCAAAAUGCACGAAAAUCAUGCAAAAUCAAGCCAAACACAUAUGGUUUAUUAACAUUCAACCAAUAUGCCUAAAGGCACCCCAAAUGACAACAUUAAAAUAUGUAUAACCAUGUACUCAAUUUGGCCAAAAUAAUUGAUUAACUUCUAACUAAGUUUACAUCAUUAAACAACAUGUAAAUCACUUACCGAAACAUACCAUUUGGUACCAACUGUACCACAUAAUAAUUAGCUUCAAAACACAUGUAUGCUUAUUAUGGCAAAACACCAAUUCAUAACAAGUUAUAUGUCAUAUCUAAUAUGCACAUUCAACUACUUUUCUAUCGACCAUCAUUCAACCAUAAUAAGACAUAUGUCAACCAUUACAAGGCUACAUAUAUACACCUUAUAAUGUAUAUCAUUUUACCAACACAAGGCCAAGAUGCAAAUUAACCAAAUGGUCAAUUCCACAACCAAAGCACAUAGGCCAACAUUAGCCAAAAUACCUAUACAUGCCAUUAUAACAUUAACCAAGACAUCAACAUCUACCGAUAUAAUCACUGAAUAGUGUGAUAAAUCUCCUAUGAGCUUCCAACCUGAUCGAGCUUUCGAUAGUCUAAAAAGUAAAGAAAAAUAACUACAUAAGCAAUGAAUGCUUAGUAAGCUUGUAUAAACUUUAGUCAUAUCUAUCCAUUUCAAAUAUGAAAUUUAUACAAUUCAAGAAUAAUCAUAUAUCGAUACCACACUAUUCAUGAAGCCAAAUUCAACAAUUCACAAAUUGCAUAAUUCCACAACAUCACUUAUACCUAUCAUUCCUAACAAAGUAGGAUUUUAUAAAAACUUUAAGUCUCUUUCAAUUUUCUUCCUUUCUUUUGCAUGUCAUUACUUUCCGUUACAUUUACUUUCUUUAGCUUAAUUAACAUCAUAAAUUCAACUCAUCAUUCCCUUUUUCAUCACUCAUUUCAUAUGCGUAAUACACAAGACACAAGCAUAUCAUCAACCAUAGCCACAAGCUAAUGCAUUUAAAUAUAGCUCUUUUAUAAUUAAUCACAUGAUAAACCAUUUCAUAAGAAUUUGCAUAAUUUAAACCUUACCACUUUUUCAUGAGUACAAGCAUAUAUUCAUUUGAGCACUUACCAUUUCAGUACGACUUAUAAGUAAACAUAAUACCAUUCAACCAAUAGCUUGGCACUUGCCUAAGCAUCAAAUAGCAACACAUGUUAGCAUACUUGAACAUAUUUCAUAUAAAUUCAACAUUUAUAGCCUUAUUUUCUCAACAUGUCACACUUGAGUUCAUUACUCGUCUCAACUUACAUAAUUACCAUGUAUCAACAUAUCAAAGAUAUUCAUAUAUGUAUAUGUCAUGAUACAUAUCAUUAUCUUACCGUUUCAUUAUAUACAUAUAACAUCCAUUUUAAUAUAUCAAUAUAUCAUGUACCAUCAUUUCCAUGUAUUUCAUGUAUAUACCUAUAUUAGUUCGUAUCGAACUCAUAUCAUCUCGUAACAACACAUUUCUCAUUGAACCACUUAGAAUAAUAUCAGAUACGUGGGGAAUCUCGCACACUAUGUGCCAACACAUGGUCAAAACCAUCUCUAUCUCAUAUCUCAUAUAGAUGCUUACUCUCAAGCUAUCACUGGGUUUGCUCACACAAGCUAACGGUCAAGACGUAACUACACAGUGCUGCUCACACAAGCUGACAAGUAAUAGCAACACAUGCCGGAAAACUCAGCCACUGGUAGAACGUACAGGACCAGCACCCAAAACAUGGUAACAUAUAAUGGCAUGUCAUUUGUAUCCUAAAUAUUCCUAAGGUUCAAACGGAACUCGAUAGUCGUUGUGUGUUGUUGAAUUUCCCUCGUUUCAUUAUAAGCCAAAUUGUAUAAUAACAUAUAUAUAUAUCGAUUCAUUUUCAAUAAAAUUUCAUAUAAUAACAUUAAAUUUAAUCAAAAAUAUACAUAGUAUAGUUCAUACGAACUUACUUGGCUAAAUUGUAAAAAUACCAAAGUUUAGGAGCAUUUUUGAAAUUUUCCAUUUUCCUCGAGUUUCCACCCAAUCUUGAUCUAAAUUAAUAAGUUCAUUCAAUAUAUUAAUUUAGACAAUAAAAUAAUUCAUUUCAUACAAUUUGACCAUUUUUGACACUUUUACAAAAUUACCCCUAAAGUUUUAAUUUUAUUCAAUUUAGUCCCUUUCCCAAAACAUGUAAAUUAACCAUUUUUAACCAGAAUUGAGCUUAGCUGAAUGUUCAUGGUAUCAAAAAAAAACCCAUUUAUGCAAUAAUUUCACAUUAAAUCCUUGUACUUUUAUUAAUUUAUCAAAUUAGUCCCUAAUCAAAAAAUUCAUCAAAAUCACUUAGCAAAAUACUUUUAAAUAUAAAUCAACAACCCAAAUUCAUCAUCUAACAUAAAAAACCACAAGAUUCAUCAAUGGAAACAUUCAAAAUAUUUAACAAUUUCAAAAUCGAAGGUACAGGCUAGUUGGACCUAGUUGCAGCGAUCUCAAAAACAUAAAAAUUAUUAAAAACGAACGAAAAAUACUCACAUGCAAGCACAAAUAGGGAUGGCAGAAUGAAGUUGCAUCCAUGGCUGCUUUCUUAUUUUUCUAUUCGGUUGAAGAAACAAAAAUAAAGAUGCAUGUGUCAUUUUGUUUCUUUAAUUAUUAACAUUUAUUAAUUAUUUACUUAUUUAACCUUGAAAACCAGCCAAAAAUUUCAAUAAUGUCAAACCAUUAUCAUCCACUACCAACUCUAAUGGCAUAAUUUCCAUAUAUGGAAUUCCACUUUAAAUUUUUAUAGUUAUUUAAUACCUUUAGCUAUUAGAACUUAAAUUUUGUACUUUACGCGAUUUAGUCCUUUUUACUUAAUUAAUUAUUGAAACGAUAAAAUUUUUCAACGAAACUUUAAUACCACCUUAAUUAAACUCCAUAAAUAUUUAUAAAAAUAGCUUGGUUUAUAAAAAAUGAGGUCUCAAUACCUCAAUUUUCAAAACUACUUGACCUUAGAGCCAUACCACUUGAACUUAAUAAAUCGCUUAUAAAACAAAAAUCAUAUCAAAAACCUUUUUAAAAUCAAAAUUAACUCGUAAAUAUUAAAUAUAAUAUUUAAAAACUUACUUGUCAGAUUUGGUGGUCCGAAACCACUGUUUCCAGCACCACUGAAAAACGGGCUAUUAUAGAAACCCUAGAACUCGUUUCUCAAUUUGUCUGUUUCUUCUUCCCUAACUAAGCUACACCUUUUAUUUUAUUUUAUUUUAUUUUAUUUAUUACUAUUUUUUAUAUUAUUUAUUUUUGUUUUUCUAAUUAUUUUAUUUUAUUUUAUUUUAUUCUUAUACUUAUAUUUUAAAUUUAUUUCAAUUUUUCUAUUAGUUUUAUUAUUUUUAGUAUUAUUAUUACAAUUACCUUUAAGUUUAUUGAUAUCAUUGAGUUUAUUAUUUUUUUAUUUUUUAUUAUUUAUCUUUAUUUUUAAUUUGUUUUAGUUUCUUUAUUUUUUUAUUUAUUUUCUUAAACUUAUUUUAAUUAUUAUUUUUUGAAAUAUAUUUUUAUGGUUGUUUCUAAUCGAGUUAUAACCGUUUAAUCUUUACUAUUUGUGUUUAUUUUCUUAUUAGUUUGCUAGAAAUCAUUCACUGCAACUAGAUUUGUCUACAAUUCCUCUUUUAACCAUUCUGGUAAUUUCAUCCAAUAUUCAAGGCAGUUUCAGUUUUCUCCCUCUCUUAUGAUAUUCUGUUUAUACUGUGAUUAUCUAUGUUUGGAGGUUAUUUAUAUAAUUAUUAGAAAAUCCCUGAAUUAUGUCUUGUGUUUAAGUAAUUUUCUCAUACCUCUAUUAGAAUGAAUUUUUAUCGAUUUGUGAUUUUUAUUGAUGUGUUUUGGAUUAAAUUCACAGAUAUUUUUGCAUUGGUUGUUUUAAACUUUAAGGCAUGAGAGAAUCAAGCAUGAUAAGUUUAUUUUCAGAAUUAAAAAUUUUAAGUUGUUUCCCUGAAUUGAGGUAUUAUCUUAAAGUUUUAAAUUUACAAGUUUGACAUCAAAAACCAUGAUUUUUUUGUGAGAUUUUGAGCCUUUAGAGCUUACAUUUUUCUUGCUCAUUUUAUUAUUGGUUAUGAGUGUGUCAAUUUGAUUUAUUAUUCUAGAACUUACUCGAUUAUACAUGUCGAGACCACACCUUUUGAUUUGAUAUACUGAGAUGAUAAAAGCACUUAGGUUUUAACCCACUUAUCCCAUAAAAAGCUUACCUAUAUAAUUAACCCUUAGUGAACCCCGUUGAGCCUAACACACCGUUUCUUGAUUUACCCAUUAAUGUUAACCCAUAACUCUUUUUUUUGUUGACACUUUUUCCUAUUUUAUUGACUCCUUUUUGUGGAGAUUUGAUUUGAUUAGUUGUCUAAUUGUGCUCUUUUGUUUGAUUUGCUAAAUUAUUUCUUAUUGUUCUCAAAAAAACAAAAAGAAGAAAAAAAUAGAAAAAAAUAUAAUAAAAAAAUAUUGAUCAUUAUUUAGUUUUAUGUUGAUUGAGCUUGAACAGUUAAAUUCAUAUUUUGAGAAGAAGCUCAUUUUUAUUCUUGAAUAGUUUUCAAUUGAUGUAAUUAUUUUUUUUAAUUCUGUAUUUGUUUAUUUUUCUAGUUUGGUAAUUUAUCAAUUCGAUCUCAAUUUUAACCAACUUUUUCAGCCUUUUUCCACACCCUUAACCUAAGCCCCAUUACAACCUAUUAAAGACCUUUUGAUUUGUGUAUCAUAUCAUUUUAUAGUGGUGGAGAUUUGAUUUUCAUGCAAGCCUAUGGUAAUGACUUUUCAUGUUUGACUAUUGAGUGCUUAUUAUUGAACCUUAAACACUUUGAGUGAUUUGAGUUAAUCUUUAGUCAGGAUGUCGAUUCUUGUCGAUCUUUAGUGCUCUUUUAAUUGAAUUAUCAAUGUAUGAUUAUUUGUGAAUUAUGACGAAACAUCAUUGAUGAGAAUUAUAAGUUAAGAAAGAUUAAUUUUAAUUGUGAGUUGAGGAUUUUGCUUGAGGACAAGAAAACGUUUAAGUGUGGGGAUAUUUGAGAAGCCUGUAACGCCCCUUACCCGUAUCCAACACUAGAAUAAGAUUACAAGGCAUUACUGAAUAACACAACGCAUUCACAUACAUUUAUGCAACAUUAAUCAAAAUCCAUUCAUAUGAAUCACAUUGUCCCUUAUAAGGUCCUACGAGACCUUAAAACAUGCUUAGAAGUGGUUCGGGACUAAACCGAUAACAUUUGCAAACUUUGGGUAACUUAGAAAAUUUUCAAACAUUUAAGGGUCACAUGCCUGUGUGAACAGACCGUGUUCCUCACACGGCUAUCAGACACGCCCGUGUCACAGGCUGUGUGAAAAUAGGGCAUACAUACUGACUUGCAUCACACGGCCGGAGACACGCCAGUGUGCCAUUGCCGAGGGAAAAUUAGAGAAGUUACUGACUUGGUCACACGGUGGACCACACACCCGUGUGUCAAACUCGUGUACCUUUUGAAAUGGCCACACACGCCCAUGUGCCAAGGCUAUAUGUCUCACACGGCCAAUAGAUACGCCCGUGUGUCUAGGUGAUUGCGUGAUUUCGUGAUAGGUUUUAAAUAUUUAUAAUUAAUCGUUCUUGAAACUAACUAUUAUCACGAUGUAGGCAAGUGUACCUUUCGAAUAGUAGUAUAGUUUUAGCAAGACCGAAUUGUCGAACCCAAAGGAACUAAAAGUACUAGUAAUGACUGUUUUUUUAUUAUCUAGCCUAAGAAUAAGGAGGUUUUGUUUUAAUUGACUAAUUAUCUAAACUAAGAACUCACAGAGAAUAAAAUUGGGGAAUUACUUUUGGGAAAAUCGAUUGAAUUAAGACAACACCUAAGGAAAAAUCCACCUAGACUUUACUUGUUAUUCUGGCUCUGAAUCAGACUAUUUAUUCAUUUAACUUGUUCCGUAGAGAUCCCUAAGUUACGUUAUUAUCCCUAUUCAAGACUAAUAAUGUCUAAUCCCUAGGUUGACUAAUUGAGACCUUUCUAUAAUUAACACCCUAGGGUUGCAUUAACUCGAUCUAUGGAUCCCCUUAUUAGGUUUCACCCUAAUCCGGCAAAAUCUUGUCACCCUAUCUUUAGGCGCGCAAUCAACUCCGCUUAAUUAUGACAAAUAUACUCUUAGACAAGGACUUUUGCUCAUCUGAAUAAGAGCUUAUCUUGAAUCAGUAUCCUGGGAUAUCAAAACAAGAAUUAAGAACACAUAAUUAAGAACAAGUUAAAUAUUUAUCAUACAAUUCAGAAAAUAAUAACAAGAUUCAUCUUAAGUUUCAUUCGCCUUAGGUAUUUAGGGGAUUUAGUUCAUAACUAAAUAAGAAAACAUCUCAGAAUAAUAAAGAAUACAAAACAUAAAGAAAACCCAAAACUUCUAAAGGGGAAAUUGAGGAGAGAUCUUCAGUCUUGAUGGUGAAUCCAGCUUCUGGGAUGGAUCAAUAGGCUUCCUUGGAGUAAUUCCUUCCUUCCUCCCUGUGUGUGUUCAUUUUAUUCCUCCUCUAAGGUGUAUUUAUAGGCUUUGGAAUGCCUACAAUCCCUCAAAAGUGGCCUUUUACGAAUUGGAGUGAACUUGGGCUCGGUAGGGACACACCCGUGUAUGAUUACUUUAGGUCGUGUUCGAGCCUAUUAGAAUGGCACGGGUGUGUGUUCUACCCGUGUGAGUCAUUCUUCGAUUCUGCCAGAUUGACACGGCCGUGUGGGAUGCCUGUGUGAGGAAGUCCAGGCCAUGUUGAUUACGUACUUUGGCCCAUUUUCUCCAUUUUUGGCCCGUUUCUCGUUCCUUUUGCUCUCCUAUGCUGACCUAAGUAUAAAUCCUAAAAUUAAGGCAUUAGGAGCAUCGAAUUCACCAAUUCUAAGGAAAAAUAAUCCAUAAAAUGAGUUAAGCAUGGGGUAAAAAUAUGUAUAAAUUACGGUUUAUCACUAGGCCAUGUCAAAACUGUAGGGUAUACUGCCUUGAUUCGAAAGGGUACCCUAGGGGACACACAGCUGUGUAACAUGACUGUGUGUUGCACACGGCUAAGACACACACCCGUGUCACUACCCGUGUGGACAAAAAUAGGCUAUUUUUAAAGCCAAUUUGCCACCCUCAUCUCAAACACACCUAGCCAUCAAAUGGUAUCAAUUUAACACAUAUACCGGCAACCAAAAUUAUACCAAUUCAGACACAUAUAAUGACAUUUAUUCACAAACAUUUCACCCACUCAAUUCCAUAUUCAAACAUACCAAAUCAUUAUGCCAAAAUCAUCACAACUUAUCUAAUUUCCAAAUGCAUUUAUAUAUCAUUUACUAAUCAACCAAAUAACAACUAUUUGGCUAUAUCAACAACAAUUCCAAACAUACCAAAGUAAGCCAACAUAUAAGGCAUUAUAUAUGUAACACCCCAAACCCGGCCUAGACGUUAUGGCCGAAUCUGGCGCGUCACAUUGAGGUGUUUUAGCCAAAACCUUGUUUUCAUUGAAAACCCUUCCUCCUAUAUGAAACCUUAGUUAACUCAUGAAAACUCUCCUUUCAGUUGCGAAAGCUUUGUCUAAAACAUUUGAUUUAAGAAAACUUAUCAUUUAAAAAUUUGGUUGCGGAAAAGUAGAAUAGCAUGUUAUAAUUUAAGAAACCAUGUUUAACCUCUCAGAAUUACAUCUCAUAAAAGUAUUAACCCAAUAAUAAAAAAUGGAAGCCUUAUUACUAUUUGGACUAAAAAGUACUUAAUAAAACAGAAUCUCGUAUGCUUUUAAAAAACAAAACGCAAGUCCAUGUUGUCUUGCUAGCUGGCCACCCAGAGUCCCUCCAAACAUCGAACCGACUACUGGGUAUCACCUAAAAAUAAAAUAAAAGAGGGGGUGAGUUUUCGCAAACUCAGUGUGUACAACCCUCGACGAGUAACAAGCAUUCAAUAAACACCAUACAUCAAACAUGCAAUACAAUGUAAUGCAAUACGAUCCCAUCCUAAUAAUCCAUCCACUAUGCACCAGCUCCGUCCCCCAACAUAUCAUGUGGCGAUAUAAAUAUCGACCCACCCAACCGAUACACAUCAAUGUAGCCUGGUUGCGGAACUACUUUCAUUCUCAUAUUGGGCUUAAAAGCCGCCGGUGGAUCCACGAUUGUCAAGCAACCAUGCGAUCCUCAUAUACUUCCUCCGUUCCAUAUUUCCCAUCCCAUAUGCAACCGAAGCAGAAGAUCAUAUGUAUUCAGCAGAUAUGCAUGUCAUAUUCAUAAAACUUACAUUCAACACAUAGGGGUAUUUUGGUCAUUUUCGUCCUUAAGGGCAUUUCAGUAAUUUUUCCCUUAUUACGGUUUUCACUUACAUUGGCCCUUUAACAAAUCUCGUGAGCUAAGAUGAAUGAAUACUAUGCACCAGGUAGGACUCCAGAGAAGAGGAGGUGAGUCAUUAAGACCGCUUAAGUGCCAAGCUCCCCCUAAAUCCAAUCCUAUACAUACAUAUACCCGUUGCCACACCUUAACCCUAUGACUUGUCCACGGUCUUAGCAAUUUAAUUAAGUUUUAUGUAGUCAUCAUAUACUAAGCCCAAAACCUCUACAUACAUGCAUAUGGCCCACUAGGCCCAAUCUCAUUUAUAUGGCCCAUUUGGCCCAAUUCACGUUCUUAUGGCCUAUUAGGCGCAAUUCACAUUCAUAUGGCCCAUUAGGCCCAAUCUCAUUUAUAUGGCCCAAAUCACAUUAUAUUCAUGCUCACACAAAAUUUUCUAUCACAUAGCAUCACCUAUCAACUUUUGCCUAUUAUGGCCCAAUAGCCCAUCGGGCCUAUUUAGCCCAUUAUGGCCAAUUUGGCCUAUUCACAACCCAAGUCCAUGGAAUUUCCCAUGGGCCCCAGGCAACCUAUCGAUCUCCCCCUUAUGAGUGUUUGCGCACUCGCAAGACUACCGUAGCCAAACUUUUGACUUUUCGACAUUUCGGCAUUUCGGCAUUUCGGCUUUUGCCGAUCUACUUGUGUGUGCAGUGUAAGUACACACCUGGUAAGCAAGCAUGUUGCGGUUCCCUUAGUCACCAACCUACAAAUGAUAUCACCUUUCCAUUAAUCGUAUGCUUAAUACAUAUUUUACCCCAAAAAAACUGAAACCUUACCUUAACCUUACCUUGAACACCAAUCCCUAAUAGCUUUUCCUUGGUCACGUACUCCUUAAAUUUGCAUUAAUCUUACUCAUUAAACCCAAAGACUAGGGGACUAGCAUCCAACAUAAUUCACCCCCUUAUCUCACUUAAGAUCAUUCAGACAACCUUAGUCAAUAAUAGAGGAAUACUUACCAAAACCGCAAAACACCUAAGGAGCAAUUCGGUAGAGAGUUAAAACCCGAGAUCCGAUACUAAUUUCCUACCAAAGUUGAUUAGAAAGAGUGAGGGAAGAAUAGCGUAACAGAUUCUUAGCAAAACCGAUUGGGAGAACAAACACUUACACUAGAUUUGACCGAAGUAGAAGGAGUAGUAGUUGCACCAAGGGUAGUCAGCCAAAGAGGUGUUCGGCCCUUUAUGAUUUCUGUAUGGCAAAAAAGGGUUAUUUGGCUCUAAGAAAAAAGAAAGAAAAGUCGGGAAUGAAGUAGAGGAAGAAUGGAAAUCGGCACAAGGAAGAGAAAAGAGAAAUAGAGGGUUUUUGACUUUUAGAGAAGAGGGCUUUUGGUAAUAGGGUAAAGGGAAAUUUGUCAUUAGCCUGACAACCUCCCACUCAGCACCUAUUUAUAGUCCCUAUAGCCGAACUCCUCAAGCCCAAGUUCCCAAUUCGGCUCCACUUUCUCCUCCCUUCUCAUCUCCUCAUUUUUCUGUCUGAUAACCCCUUGAUCCUUUCCUCAAAUUUCUCUACUGAACACUCCUCUUGGAGUCCAUCUUCAUGCCACUUCCAACCUUCUAGAAGGCCCAAAAUUAAACUCCUAAAAAUACUAAGCUAGGAUUCGAACCUUGGAUCCCUUGCUAACCACUAACAUCGCCUCCUUACACCCUAAGUGGCGUCACUUAGCCACUCCUCCGCAAGGCUUUUUUAUGCCAUUUUCCCCUAUCUUUAUUUAAAAGCCCAACUACUUGCCAACAAGGUCCUUUUAACUAUUAACGUAUAAUUUUCUUUUCCCCUCAGUUAGAACUUAAACCUUAGCCAAGACCUACUAUUACCUACUUAACCGAAAAUACUUAGCACAUUUUUCAUCAGAACCAAAAAAAAUGAGGAUUUUGAAAUUUUGGGGGCGUUACAACUCUGCCGCCUAAAGGAAAUUUCGUCGAAAUUUUACCUGAUUCAAACAGUUGAGGAUAUUGACGUUGCAUCACUUGCUCAAGUUCCCAAGUAGCCUCCUCAACCUUGUGAUUAUGCCAAAGUACUUUGACUAAUGGAACGGACUUCCUUCUUAAUACCUUGACAUCUCGACCAAUUAUUUGUAUAAGCUCUUCCUCGAAAGUUAGGUCUGGUCUGACCUCAAUUUCUUCAACCGCCACGACAUGUGAAGGAUCUGAGCGAUACCGCCUUAGCAUGGAAACAUGAAACACGUCGUGGAUCUGGCUUAGUUCAGGAGGUAACUCUAGCUGGUAAGUGACUGGCCCAACUCACCUUACAACCCGAAAUGGCCCAAUGAACCUUGGGCUUAGCUUCCCCUUCCGUCCAAACCUUAAUACCUUCUUCCACGGAGAGACCUUAAGAAAAACUAAGUCUUUUACUGCAUACUCUAUAUCACGACGCUUAAGGUCAGCAUACGAUUUCUGUCUAUCCGAGGCCUGCUUCAACCGAUCUCGAAUAAACUUCACUUUAUCCUCAGUAUCUGUUACCAACUCAGGGCCUAAAACUCUUAGUUCGCCCAACUCCGUCCAAUAUGUUGGAGUUCGACACCUUCGCCCAUACAGUACCUCAUAUGAAGCCAUCCUAAUACUUGCUUGAUAGCUAUUAUUGUACGCGAAUUCGGCUAACAGAAAAUAGUCCUCCCAGCUACCUCGAAACUCAAUCACACAUCCCCUCAGCAUAUCCUCCAAUACUUAGAUCACCCUUUUCCACUGUCCAUCAGUUUGAGGGUGGAACGCCGUACUAAGGUUCAACCUAGUACCCAACACCUCAUGUAGCUUCUUCCAAAAUCGCGAAGUGAAACGUGGAUCCCUAUCAGAUAUUAUGGAGAUUGGCACUCUAUGCAGACUUACAAUCUCCGCCACAUAAACCUCGCUAGCUUUUGCAAUGAGUAAUUGGUGCGAACCCGUACAAAAUGGGCAGACUUGGUUAACCGAUCCACUAUAACCCAUAUUGAGUCUUUCCUAGUAGGCGUCAAGGGAAGCACUCUGACAAAGUCUAUAGUGAUCCUUUCCCAUUUCCAGAGCGGAAUCUUCACUGGCUGAAGUAAUCCCGAAGGUAACUAAUGUUCCGUUUUUAUCUUUUGACAGACCAAACACUUACUUACAAACUCCAUAACCUCUCGCUUAAGUCCAGGCCACCAGUAAAGCUCCCGCAAGUUUUGAUCAUCUUAUUUCAGCUAGGGUACAUAGCAUAGAGGCUGCUAUGUGCUUCUCGUAGAAUAGACUGUCUUAGAUCAUUGUCCUUAGGUAUACACAUUCUCCCACAGAAAUACAACACUCCUUCACUAUUUAUCCCAAAGUCUGAUGUCUCCCCAUUCUCUACUUGUUUAAAACGAGCACCCAAAGUCUCAUCCACUAACUACUUACUCCUUAUCUGCUUGACCCACACUGGUUUUACUUGAAGCUCAGCUAACAAGCUACCAUCAUCCAACAAGCUUAAUUGGGCGAGCAUAGCCCUCAAGUCUGACUGAACCUUACGUCUCAACGCGUUGGCUACCACAUUCUCUUUGCCAAGGUGGUAUUCAAUCGUACAAUCAUAAUCCCUCAACAAUUCCACCCACCUACACUGCCUAAGGUUUAGCUCCUUCUGGUUAAGGAGGUACUUCAAACUCUCGUUGUCCGAAUAAAUUAUACACUUCUCCCUGUAUAAGUAAUGCAUCCAUAUAUUUAAUGUGAAAACCAUCGCAGCUAGCUCCAAAUCAUGGGUUGGGUAAUUCACCUCGUGAGUCUUAAGUUACCGUGACGCAUACGCAACCACCUUUCCUUCUUGCAUCAAUACACAUCCUAAUUCCACCCGCGACGCGUCACUAUAAACCGUAAACUCCUUCCCAGGCACUGGCUGAAUCAAUACAAGGGCCUCAGUUAAAACUUUCUUAAGUUUUCAAAAACUCUCCUGCGGCUUGUCCAUCCAAACAAACGGUACCCCCUUCCUCAACAACUUAGUUAAGGGUGAAGCAAUUACUAAAAAGCCCCCAAUAAACUGCCUAUAGUAUCCUACCAAGCCCAGAAAACUUCGAAUUUUCGAUAUUGACUUGGGUGUUUUCUAGUCUAACAGCGCUUCAAUUUUUCGGGGAUCCACCUUAAUCCCUUUGACUGGCACCACAUGUCCUAGAAAAGUAACCUCCCUUAGCCAAAAUUCACACUUUCUAAAUUUGGCAUACAUCUGUUUCUCCCUCAAAGUCUACAACACAAUCCUUAAGUGUGCAUCAUACUCAUCCUCAUCUUUUGAGUACACAAAAAUGUCAUCUAUAAAGACUACCACGAAUCGAUCCAAGUAGGGUUGGAAGACCCGAUUCAUGAGAUCUAUGAAAGUGGCCGGUGCAUUCUUCUACCUGAAUGGCAUCACCAAGAACUCGUAAUGCCCAUAACGAGUCUUGAAAACUGUCUUAUGAACAUCUGUCUCCUUAACCCUCAAUUGGUGAUACCCCGAACGCAAGUCAAUCUUCAAGAAAAUAGAAGCUCCCCUAAACUGAUAAAAAAGAUCAUCAAUUCUCGGUAGAGGGUACUUGUUUUUAACCGUUAAAUUGUUUAGCUAUCGGUAGUCGAUGCACAUUCGCAACAUCCCAUAUUUCUUCUUCAUGAAUAACACCGGGGCUCCCCACGGAGACACACUUGGUCGUAUGAAUCCUUGAUCCAACAAUUCUUGAAUCUGUGCCUUAAGUUCUACCAACUCCUUUGGUGCCAUCCGAUAAGGAGCGAUGGACACUGGAGUCGUACCAGGUAGCAACUCGAUUCCAAAUUCUACUUCUCUGCUGGGUGGCACCCCUGGCAGCUCCUUGAAAAAGACAUCAGGAAAUCUCCUAACUGUUCUCAACUCCUUAAUAGUAGGGAUCUUGGCCUCCGUAUCACUCAUAUAAGCCAAAAAGGAUUUGCAUCCCUUUCGUACUAACUUCUCAUCCUUCAACACUGAAAUCACAUUCGACAAGUAAUUCCGGCGUUCACCAAUCACCACCACCUCCUUAUCCUCCACCAUUCUUAACACCAUUUUCUUUGCAGCGCAAUCCAAGGUGGCUUGGUGCUUCACCAGCUAAUCCAUACUUAAGAUUAUGUCAAAUUCGCUAAAAGAUAGCUUUAUCAAAUCCGCUAAAAAGGUAACCCCUUGGACUACUAAGGGUACCUUUCUAAACAACUUAUUUACUCCUACAGACUGCCCUAACAGACUGAUCAUAGUCAUUUCAUUCGCAGUAAUUUCAAACAUAUCACCCAAAGAUUUAGUCAUAUUGCAUGAAACAUAUGAAUAUGUCGAUCCAAUAUCAAUCAAUGUUGUGUAAGGUAACUCGUAUAUAAAGAACAUACCCGUUAUCAUCUGGGGCAUCCCUGUCUUCUUGGCAACGAGCAGCAUAAACCAAAGCUGGCUGUCUUGCCUCAGAAUGGCCUGCAUUUUCGCCUGGUGCUCCACAUCCACGUCAACUUCUGUUACCGCCCCUGGCCUGCCCAUGACCCCUUGGCGGCAACUGACCACCCCUUGGUGGCUGAGCACCACCUUGACUCACUACUGGCACUCGACCUAGCAUUCGAGGGCAAUCCUUGAUCCUAUGCUACAUAGACCUACAAUCGAAACAAGCCCCCAUUCUCUUCCAACACUCGCUUCUAUAGCUUCUUCCACAAUCAGCACAAGGUGGCACCUCUGGAUUAACAGUAGGAGGCCCUGCUCUAACUGGCCCAUUAACUCUGGCCCUAGCCCUAGGCCUCUGUCCAACACUAGAAGUCUCAGCUUCCCUCUUGUUCUUGCCCCUUUCCUUUUCUCGAUUUAGGCGCUCAAUGCGGUUCACAUCUUCCACUAUCUUUGCUUUCUCCACUAAUUUCGAGAAAAAUCGCUCACUUUGUGGAGCUAUUAAUACCCUGAGGCUAUCUCUUAGCCCAUCCUUAAACUUAACGUAACGCUCAUAGUCCGUUGCCACCAUAACUCUUGCAUACCUACUAAGGCACAGAAAUUUCACCUCAUACUCCACCACAGAUUUGUUUCCCUGGGUCAAGUUCAGGAACUCCUGCCUUUUAGAAUCCACAUAACUCGCUCCUAUAUACUUCCCUUGGAACGUAGCUUUGAAGAAUUCCUGUGACAGCCCUAAAUUGACCCUAGUCAGAAAGUGGUUUCGGGACCCCUAAACUGAGUCACCGAAGUAUUUGAGUUUAAUAUUUAUUGUCUAAAAUAUGUGAAUAUGAGUGUGUGAAAGUUUUAAGCUUCAAUUUAGUCAAUUGCAUGUGAAUUUAGUUAAUAGGACUUAUGUGUGACACUUUUGAAAUGUGAUAGGUUAAUCUAUAAGGAUCUAUUAGUGCAUGUUAUGAAAAUAAUGGGUUUGCAUGUCAAAUUUCCACCUAUGACAAGUAGUGGCCGACCAUGAUGGGUUAUAUACAUGCAAUAUGUAUUAAUUAUUAGUUAGUAGCUUUAUAUUUUAUAACAUAAAUAAAUAAAAAAGGAAAAGUAAUUGAAAUAAGGAAAUGAAGGGUGAUGAAAAAAAAGCUUGAGUUUCUUUCUUCUUGGCCGAAUAUAAAGAGGAAGAUGGGAGAAAGGCAUUCGGUCAUCUUAAAUUAGCAUUAAGCUCAAGCGCUUAGAGGAUCAAAGUUGGAAAAGGGAAAGGAAAAAGUGAUUGAAUAGCCGUUGAAAACGUUCGACAACAUCCGAGGUAAGUUUUCGAGUAAUGAAACUUAGUUUAUGAUUUGAUUAAGUCAUGACAUAUAAGCAUAACAAAUAAACAGUGAUAUAAUGAUUCUACUUGAAUUGUAUAUUGAGGUGAUUAGUUUAUACCUAUGAUGGGUAGCCGAAUGUGUAUAGAGAUCAUGUUAUAAAGCAAAUCAAAAUCAUGCUCUUUGUAUGUGGCUAUUGAGCCGAAAAUGGUAAUGGUUGAUAAGCGUCUUGUGUUUGAAUUCUAGUUAUGAUAAUGAAAUAUGGAUGUGUCAUGGUUUAUUGGUAUAUGUGCUUGAUUAUUCGGAUGAUGUCCGAGCUAAGUCCCGAAGGCAUUUGUGCAAGUUACUAUAUCCGGGCUAAGUCCCGAAGGCAUUUGUGCUAGUGACUAUAUCUGGGCUAAGUCCCGAAGGCAUUCAUGCUAGUGACUAUAUCCGGACUAAGACCCGAAGGCAUUUGCGCAAGUUGCUAUAUCCGGCUAAAUCCCGAAGAUGCUUGGGUUUGGAAGCGAGCGAUCUUGCUAUAAUAAUUUCAAUUAAUACGCUCAUAAAAUACAAACGAUAAGGUAUGUUUCGUAUAUGCAUCGGAAAGGUUGAUUCCUUUCAAAUAGUACUCGCUCAAUUGAUUAACGAGCUUCCGGCCUCUAGUUAGGUUUGAUACCCUGUGUAUGAAUGUAUUGGUUGAAGCGUGAAGAAAUUAUGAUUUUGAGAAUGUGCAUAUAUGAAAUUAUUCAUUUAGUCAUAUGAACGCUAUACUUUAGUCGUAAAUAAUUUCGUUACUCAAAACUUACUAAGCAUUAAAUGCUUAUUCCGUUUCUUUAAUUCUCUGUUUUAUAGAUUUUUGUUCGUCAGCUAUCGGACUCGGGAUUGUCGAAGUCAAAGUCAUCCACACUAUCUAAACCCUUUUGGUAAUCUUUUAAUUAAACGUUGAUAAUGGCAUGUAUAGGACUGACCUUUGUUGUUAAUCAAGUACCUUUGGUAAUGUGUAUAUAUUCGGAUAGCCAUGCGAAAAUGGCUUAAAUAUUUUGAGCAUAGUAUUAAAAUCAUUUUGUAUAUAUAUGGUUAUUGAGAGGUGUGGAAAUUCUUGGCAAUGAUUAGCCAUUGGAAUGGUUAAUCACGAUCAUAUUUGGUGCUAUGUAUGUCAAAUGGCUAGUUGAAUCAUGGAAACUAUGAAAUAGGUGAAAUUUACCUUAAAAUAGAUGCUGACAGCAGCAGUGAUGUGAGUUUGAAAAUUCACUAAAAAUAGAAGGAAUGUAAUUAAAUAAUGAAUAAAUAAUUUAAUCGAACCUUGAUGAGUCUAUUUUCAUAUGGAAGAAGUGAAAUGACUAUAUGAGCCGUAUUUUAUGAGAUGUCUAAGUUUUCGUUAAACAGGGCCAGAACGGUUACUGGAUCCCCUGUUCUGACUUUGAAAAUUUACCAUAAAUUAACCAGAAAUAAUUAGAAGUCAUGCUUUAUAUGUACAGAUUCCUUUUUGAUUCUAGUUUCCUUAGAAACAAACGACAUAUGUAUUGAAGCCCUGUACAGGGAGAUAUCUAAGUCGUAAUACAUGAAGGUCAGAGUAGUCGAACCCUGAAACAGGGGAGAUUUUAACUAAUAAACUGUACUAACUGAACCAAACAAAAAUUCUAGAAAAAAAAAUAUGUAGAUGGAUAUAUGAGUCUAGUUUCAGGGAAAAUUUACGGAAUCAGUUUUCGAGUUUUGGAACUCGAGAUAUGAUUUUUAUACUGACAGUGACGCAGUUAGCCAGCUUGUCUGGAAAUUUUAAAAUGAACUGUGUAAAUAAAUGAAUUAAGUUCGUUAACACCUCGUGUUCGACUCCGGCAACGGUCUCGGGUGCGGGGCGUUACAAUUUUAUUGGUAUCGGAGCUACGGUUUAGUCGAUUCUAGGACUACCGUAAUACGUUCGGGUCUAGCUAUACAUGCGAUCGUGUGUCUAUUUGAUAGUGUGGUGAUUUCUGACAGUUAAAAAUGUGUUUGUUUAUAGUAAUGGAUCCCGAUCCCAACCGAGCGGUAGCUGAUGAUCUUGAGAGUGUAGCGCCUGCUCCUGCACAAGGGACAGCGCCGGUGGACUCUCAACCUAUUGCUAGUAAUCAGAAUGACGAAGCUAGACAGGCUUUUUAUAGCGUAACGAAUGAUUAGUUCAACCAAUACAUUCGAACUAAUACGGCUGUUCCACAACCCCCAUUUUCGACUAAUACAACCCCUGCACCUGCGAUACCUCCGGUAACUGACCAGAUAAGGUUAAAUAAGCCCCCAGUUGAUAGAAUCCGAAAACACGGGGCUACUGAAUUUAAAGCUACAGACAGCGACGAUGCCGAGCAAGCUGAAUUUUGGUUGGACAACACUAUUCGGGUACUUGAUGAACUAUCUUGCACAUCAGAUGAAUGCCUAAAGUGUACGAUCUCCUUGCUACAUGAUUCUGCCUACUAUUGGUGGAAUACGUUGAUUUCUGUUGUGCCCAGAGAGCAAGUAACUUGGGAGUUUUUCCAAACCGAGUUUCGAAAAAAGUAUAUCAGCCAGAGAUUCAUUGAUCAAAAACGAAAAGAAUUUCUUGAACUUAAACAAGGUUCCAUGUCGGUUACUAAUUAUGAACGGAAGUUUGUAAGGCUUAGCCGGUAUGCGCGAGAAUGCAUUUCUUCAGAAGCUGUGAUGUGUAAACGUUUCGAAGAUAGACUGAACGAUGAUAUAAAGCUGUAUGUUGGCAUUUAGAAAUCAGAGAAUUUGUGGUACUUGUCGAGCGAGCUUGCAAAGCCGAAGAGCUCAGUAAGGAGAAAAGAAAAGCUGAUAUGGGAGCAAAGGAGUUUCGUAAGAGAUCUUCGGGAAAGCCCUUUCAACAGUCAUUGAAGAAAUUUAGAGAUGAUUUAGGCCGAUCUAGAGACACGUCGGGCUUUUCUAGACGAGACCGUGAUCGACCCCCUGUGAGUACACGAGUUACUUCGGUCACCAAUGUUGGAAAUGAUCGUCGAGGCAGAACAGAGUGCCAGUAUUGUGGUAAAUGGCAUUCGGGGAGUUGUAGAUUCCAUGACCGCUCCUGUUACAAGUGUGGAUCAAUUGACCACUUUAUUAAAGAUUGCCCGAGAUUGUCUGAACAGAAUGUAAAUCAGAGUGGGAAACCGGGUGCUACUACUGCUCGAGGUAGACCAUCUAAAAAUGCGGGGAAUGCUAGUGGCGGUUAGAGAGGAUCUAGAGAUGUUACCACCAGAUCUGAGGCUCGUGCUCCUGCCAGAGCUUAUGCUAUACGUGCACGCGAGGAUGCUUCUUCGCCUGAUGUUAUUACCGGUACAUUCACUCUCUUUGAUACUAAUGUGAUUGCAUUGAUUGACCCUGGUUCUACUCAUUCUUAUAUAUGUGAGACUUUAGCAUCCAGUAAGACUUUAGCAUCCAGUAAGACUUUACCUGUUGAGUCUACUGAGUUCGUUAUUAGAGUGUCGAAUCCUUUGGGUCAUUGUGUGCUUGUUGAUAAGGUGUGUAAGAAAUGUCCCCUAGUAAUUCGAGGUUCCCGUUUUCCGGCGGACUUGAUGCUUUUACCGUUUGAUGAAUUUGAUGUUAUUCUCGGUUUGGAUUGGUUGACCGUGCAUGAUGCGGUUGUGAAUUGCAAAAGCAAGACUAUUUAUUUGAGGUGUGCAAAUAAUGAGAUAAUCCGAGUUUAGUCUACUGUCUUGAAUGGAUUGCCAACAAUAAUAUCCUCGACGUUAGCUCAAAAAUAUGUGAGAAAGGGGUGUGAAGCGUAUCUUGCAUACGUGCUUGAUAAUGAAAAAUCAUGAAAGAAACUUGAAUCGGUACCAGUGGUUUGUGAAUAUCCGGAUGUUUUUCCUAAAGAAUUACCGGGGUUACCACCUGUUCGGGAGGUAGAGUUUGGCAUCGAACUUGUACCUGGGACUACACCGAUUUCGAUAGCUCCGUAUCGUAUGGCACCAACGGAAUUAAAAGAACUGAAAACUCAGUUGCAAGAGUUGACGGAUAGAGGUUUUGCUCGACCGAGUUUUUCACCUUGGGGUGCACCAGUAUUGUUUGUGAAAAAGAAGGACGGAACCAUGAGGUUGUGCAUCGACUAUUGUCAGCUGAAUAAAGUGACAAUAAAGAAUAAAUAUCCAUUACCGCGUAUUGAUGAUUUGUUUGAUCAACUAAAGGGAGCCUCAGUGUUUUCAAAGAUAGAUUUGAGAUCGGGUUAUUAUCAGUUGCGAAUUCGAGAUUCGGAUAUACCCAAAACUGCUUUCAGAACGAGAUACGGUCACUACGAGUUCUUAGUGAUGCCAUUUGGGCUCACUAAUGCCCUAGCGGUAUUUAUGGAUUUGAUGAAUCGGAUCUUCAGACUGUUUUGGGAUCGGUUUGUAGUUGUGUUUAUUGAUGAUAUUUUGGUCUAUUCGAGAAAUGAAACCGAUCAUGCUGAACACCGGGGUUAGUGUUACAGGUUUUACGGGAUAAGCAGUUAUAUGCUAAGUUCAGUAAAUGUGAGUUCUAGUUGAGAGAAGUUAGCUUUUUGGGACAUGUGGUAUCUGCAUCGGGUAUUCGAGUUGAUCCGAGAAAAAUUUCAGCCAUACUUAACUGGAAGCCCCCGAGAAAUAUUACUGAGGUUCGGAGCUUUUUGGGACUUGCCGGUUACUACAGAUGGUUUGUAAGGGGUUUCUCGACGAUAGCCACACCAAUGACGAAGCUACUUUAGAAAGAUGUUAAGUUCGAAUGGUCAGAAAAAUGUCAGAAAAGUUUCCAUCAAUUAAAAACUUACUUGACUGAAGCUCCAGUGCUAGUGCAGCCUGAAUCAGGCAAAGAGUUUGUCAUUUACAGUGACGCAUCCUUGCUUGGGUUGGGUUGUGUAUUGAUGCAAGAAGGUCGAGUUGUAGCUUAUGCAUCGAGACAAUUGAAGCCACAUGAGAAAAAUUAUCCAACCCAUGAUCUCGAACUAGCUGCCAUCGUAUUCACUUUGAAAAUAUGGCGACAUUACUUAUUUGGUGAGAAGUGUCAUGCAUAUUCGGAUCACAAAAGUCUCAAAUAUUUGAUGACUCAAAGAGACUUGAAUCUGCGACAAAGACGUUGGCUCGAGUUGUUAGAAGAUUAUGAGCUUGUCAUUGACUAUCACCCGGGAAAGGCUAAUGUGGUUGCAGAUGCUUUAAGUCGUAAAUCACUAUUUGCUUUACAAGCGAUGAAUGUACACCUGUCUGUUCUAUCCGACAAUGUGUUAGUAGCAGAAUUAAAGGCCAAACCAUUGUUGAUUCACCAAAUUCGUGAAGCUCAGAAAGUCGAUGAUGAAUUGGUUGCAAAAUGGGCUGAAUGCGUUUCAAAUAUGGAAUCAGAGUUCCAAAUUGAUGAUGACGAUUGUUUGAGGUUCAGAAGUCGUUUGUGUGUUCCAAGAAAUUCAGAACUUAUUUCGAUGAUUCUGAACGAAGCUCAUUGAAGCCGAAUGUCAAUUCACCCGGGGAGUACGAAAAUGUACAACGAUCUGAGACGUCAGUUUUGGUGGCAUGGUAUGAAACGAGACAUUUCUGAUUUUGUUUCGAGGUGUUUAAUAUGUCAACAAGUGAAAGCGGAACAUCAAGUACCUACAGGUUUACUUCAGCCGAUCAUGAUACCUGAAUGGAAAUGGGAUCGAGUCACGAUGGAUUUUGUAUCUGGGUUGCCAUUAUCGGCAAGUAAGAAAGAUGCGAUUUGGGUUGUUGUUGAUAGACUGACUAAGUCGGCUCACUUUAUCCCCGUACGUACGGAUUUUUGAUUGGAUAAACUAGCUGAAUUGUAUGUUUCUCAGAUUGUAAGAUUACACGGGGUACCUAUUUCUAUUGUGUCGGAUAGAGAUCCGAGGUUCACCUCGCGAUUUUGGAAGAAAUUGCAAGAAGCUUUAGGUACCAAGUUGCAUUUUAGCACCGCCUUUCAUCCAUAAACUGAUGGUCAAUCCGAGCGGAUAAUUCAGAUACUUGAGGAUAUGUUGAGAUGUUGCAUCCUUGAGUUUAGUGGUUCAUGGGAGCGGUUUUUACCUUUGAUUGAAUUCGCUUACAACAAUAGUUUUCAAUCAAGUACUAAGAUGGCGCCUUACGAGGCUUUGUAUGGUCGUAAAUGCCGUACACCAUUGUUUUGGACCGAGCUCGGUGAAAGUAAAAUUUUCGGAGUUGAUUUGAUUAAAGAUGCUGAGCAGAAAGUAAAAAUAAUUCGUGAAAGUCUGAAGGCAGCAUCAGAUCGUCAGAAGUCGUACGCGGAUUUAAAACGAAAAGAUAUUGAGUAUCAGGUGGGAGACAAAGUGUUUCUUAAAGUUUUACCUUGGAAAAAGAUACUCAGAUUUGGCUGUAAGGGCAAACUGAGUCCGAGGUUCAUAGGGCCAUAUGAAAUAUCCGAACGAGUUGGCCCAGUGGCAUAUAGAUUGAUUUUACCCCCUGACCUCGAGAAGAUUCACAACGUUUUUCAUGUCUCAAUGCUUCGACGUUACAGAUCUGAUCCUUCGCACAUAAUAAAUCCCUCCGAGGUUGAAAUUCAAGCCGAUAUGAGUUAUGAAGAAGAACUGAUUCGCAUCCUAGCUCGUGAAGUGAAAGAGUUGCGAAACAAGAGGGUUCCGUUAGUAAAGGUGUUAUGGCUCAAACACGGGAUCGAAGAAGCUACUUGGGAAACCGAGAACUCUAUGAAAGAACGAUACCCAAACCUAUUUACCGGUAAGAUUUUCGGGGACGAAAAUUUCUUAAGUGGGGGAGAGUUGUGACAGCCCUAAAUUGACCCUAGUCGGAAAGUGGUUUCGGGACCGCUAAACCGAUUCACCGAAGUAUUUGAGUAUAAUAUUUAUUGUCUAAAAUAUGUGAAUAUGAGUGUGUGAAAGUUUUAAGCUUCGAUUUAGUCAAUUGCAUGUGAAUUUAGUUAAUAGGACUUAUGUGUGACACUUUUGAAAUGUGAUAGGUUAAUCUAUAAGGAUCUAUUAGUGCAUGUUAUGAAAAUAAUGGGUUUGCAUGUCAAAUUUCCACCUAUGACAAGUAGUAGCCGGCCAUGAUGGGUUAUAUACAUGCAAUAUGUAUUAAUUAUUAGUUAGUAGCUUUAUAUUUUAUAACAUAAAUAAAUAAAAAAGGAAAAAGUAAUUGAAAUAAGGAAAUGAAGGGUGAUGAAAAAAAAGCUUGAGUUUCUUUCUUCUUGGCCGAAUGUAAAGAGGAAGAUGGGAGAAAGGCAUUCGGUCAUCUUAAGUUAGCAUUAAGCUCAAGAGCUUAGAGGAUCAAAGUUGGAUAAGGGAAAGGAAAAAGUGAUUGAACAGCCGUUGAAUCGUUCGACAACAUCCGAGGUAAGUUUUCGAGUAAUGAAACUUAGUUUAUGAUUUGAUUAAGUCAUGACAUAUAAGCAUAACAAAUAAACGGUGAUAUAAUGAUUCUAAUUGAAUUGUAUAUUGAGGUGAUUAGUUUAUACCUAUGACGGGUAGCCGAAUGUGUAUAGAGAUCAUGUUAUAAAGAAAAUCAAAAUCAUGCUCUUUGUAUGUGGCUAUUGAGCCGAAAAUGGUAAUGGUUGAUAAGCGUCUUAUGUUUGAAUUCUAGUUAUGAUAAUGAAAUAUGGAUGUGUCAUGGUUUAUUGGUAUAUGUGCUUGAUUAUUCAGAUGAUGUCCGGGCUAAGUCCCGAAGGCAUUUGUGCAAGUUACUAUAUCCGGGCUAAGUCCCGAAGGCAUUUGUGCUAGUGACUAUAUCCAGGCUAAGUCCCGAAGGCAUUCAUGCUAGUGACUAUAUCCGGGCUAAGACCCGAAGGCAUUUGCGCGAGUUGCUAUAUCCGGCUAAAUCCCGAAGAUGCUUGGGUUUGGAAGCGAGCGAUCUUGCUGUAAUAAUUUCAAUUAAUACGCUCAUAAAAUACAAACGAUAAGGUAUGUUUCGUAUAUGCAUCGGAAAGGUUGAUUCCUUUCAAAUAGUACUCGCUCAAUUGAUUAACGAGCUUCCGGCCUCUAGUUAGGUUUGAUACCCUGUGUAUGAAUAUAUUGGUUGAAGCGUGAAGAAAUUAUGAUUUUGAGAAUGUGCAUAUAUGAAAUUAUUCAUUUAGUCAUAUGAACGCUAUACUUUAGUCGUAAAUAAUUUCGUUACUCAAAACUUACUAAGUAUUAAAUGCUUAUUCCGUUUCUUUAAUUCUAUGUUUUAUAGAUUUUUGUUCGUCAGCUAUCGGACUCGAGAUUGUCGAAGUCAAAGUCAUCCACACUAUCUAAGCCCUUUUGGUACUCUUUUAGUUAAACGUUGAUAAUGGCAUGUAUAGGACUGACCUUUGUUGUUAAUCAAGUACCUUUGGUAAUGUGUAUAUAUUCGGAUAGCCAUGCGAAAAUGGCUUAAAUAUUUUGAGCAUAGUAUUAAAAUCAUUUUGUAUAUAUAUGGUUAUUGAGAGGUGUGGAAAUGCUUGGCAAUGAUUAGCCAUUGGAAUGGUUAAUCACGAUCAUAUUUGGUGCUAUGUAUGUCAAAUGGCUAGUUGAAUCAUGGAAACUAUGAAAUAGGUGAAAUUUACCUUAAAAUAGAUGCUGACAGCAGCAGUGAUGUGAGUUUUAAAAUUCACUAAAAAUAGUAGGAAUGUAAUUAAAUAAUUAAUAAAUUAUGUAAUCGAACCUUGAUGAGUCUAUUUUCAUAUGGAAGAAGCGAAAUGACCAUAUGAGCCGUAUUUUAUGAGAUGUCUAAGUUUUCGUGAAACAGGGCUAGAACGGUUACUGGAUCCCCUGUUCUGACUUUGAAAAUUUACCAUAAAUUAACCAGAAAUAAUUAGAAGUCAUUCUUUAUAUGUAAAGAUUCCUUUUUGAGUCUAGUUUCAUUAGAAACAAACGUCAUAUGUAUUGAAGCCCUGUACAGGGAGAUAUCUAAGUCGUAAUGCAUGAAGGUGAGAGUAGUCAAACCCUGAAACAGGGGAUAUUUUAACUAAUAAACUGUACUAAUUGGCCCAACAAAAAAUUCUAGAAAAAAAUCUGUAGAUGGAUACAUGAGUCUAGUUUCAGGGAAAAUUUACAGAAUCAGUUUUCGAGUUUUGGAACUCGAGAUAUGAUUUUUAUGGUGACAGUGAUGCAGUUAGCCAGCUUGUCUGGAAAUUUUAAAAUGAACUGUGUAAAUAAAUGAAUUAAGUUCGUUAACACCUCGUGUUCGACUCCGGCAACGGUCUCGGGUGCGGGGAGUUACAAUUCCCAAGUGACCUGCUCGGGUUGAGUGCCCUCUUUCACUGUCAACCACCACUGGUAAGCUUCUUCCCUAAGCAAUGAGACUGCCCCUUUCAGCUUUUGUUCUGGUGAACAGUCCAAAUCCUCUAUUAUCCUUUCCAUGGCCUCCAACCAAUAUUCCACCACGUUAGGAGCAACACCAGCCACGCCCUUAAAGAUCUCAGCCCCAUUCGAUUGAAGUAGCUCCGGAAUGGACCCCCGAUUUCCAGUGCCAUUAUUGGGCCCAGCGACCCUUUCCAAAAUUCUCAGCAAUACUUGCGACAAUGCAUCUUCUCUCACGGCCUGAUCAUACGAUCUAUUCCCAGCCACAGGUGCGGCCGGAGCCUCUUUUAAUCCAACAUCUGGCAUAUGGCCCAAUGCCGACGAUUUAGCCCUAACACUUCCGCAGCCUCGGCCACGGCCUCUUGCACCUCUUUUAGCACUCAUCGUCAAUUCACGUAUUAUCUGGAUUAGAAAUUUUAUGAAGUUUUAGUUAGUUUAAUAAUUAAACCGAUGUUUUAUGGAAAUAUUUAAAGAGAAGAUUGUUUUCGAAAAGCCUCUACAGUUUCAAGAUCCUACGGGCUUCAGUUUCAUUCUACAUAAUCAUCUAGAGUAGCCCUCUAACUAUCUACUGUAUAACAAUUUAAACAUGUUUAAGAAUAAAAGAACUUACUUGGUGUGACGUCGGAGACUUAGUGUGCCACUCAGCAAGACUUCCCCUUUUCCAAAACAUUGUAAUUCAAUCAGAAAUAUAUAUAUAUUAACACAAAAAGAAAUCAAGUAAUAAGGCCCACUUCACAGCCCGCAUUUUGCAACUUGGGCUCUAAUACCAUUAAAUGUAACACCCCAAACCCGGCCCAGACGCUAUGGCCGAAUCUGGCGCGCCACAUUGAAGUGUUUUAGCCAAAACCUUGUUUUCAUUGAAAACCCUUCCUCCCGAUAUGAAACCUUAGUUAACUCAUGAAAACUCUCCUUUCAGUUGCGAAAGCUUUGUUUAAAACAUUUGAUUUAAGAAAACUUAUCAUUUAAAAAUUUAGUUGCAGAAACGUAGAAUAGCAUGCUAUAAUUUAAGAAACUAUGUUUAACCUCUCAUAAUUACGUUGCAUAAAAGUAAUAACCCAAUAAUAAUAAAAAAUAAGCCAUAUUACAAUCUGGACUGAAAAGUACUUAAUAAAACAGAAUCUCGUAUGCUUUAAAAAAACAAAACGCAAGUCCGUGUUGUUCUUGCUAGCUGGCCACCCAGAGUCCCUCCAAACAUCGAACCAGCUACUGGGUGAAGGGAAAUUCGGCAUUAGCCUGACAACCCACUCAUCACCUAUUUAUAAUCCCUAUAGCCAAAUUCCUCAUGCCCAAGUUCCCAAUUCGGCUCCACUUGCUCUUCCCUUCUCAUCUCCUUGUUUUCUCCCUGAUAACUCCUUGAUCCUUUUCUCAAAUUUCUCUACUGAACACUCCCCUUGGAGUCCAUCUUCACACCACUUCCAACCUUCUUGAAGGCCCAAAAUUAAACUCCUAAAAAUACUAAGCUAGGAUUCGAACCUUGGAUCUGUAAUAUCCUGAUUUUGGGCCUAGUUGGAAUAGUGGUUUCGUGACCAUAAAUCCGAGAUAUAAAUAAUUAUUUUAUAAUUAUUUUAAGGUUUAUGAUAUGAUUGCAUGAUUGUGUGAAAAUUUCGUGAUGAAAUUCUAUGCCUAAAGUGCUUAAACUAAAUGUAACGCCCCCACGCCCGAGACCGUCGCCGGGGUCGAGUAUGAGGUGUUACUAAGCUUAAUUUAACAUAUUUAGAACUUUGGAUUAUUUAUUUCUACAUUCACGGCUUUUAAGCUACUUGCAUCACAGUCACAAGAAAAAUCAUAUCUCGAGUUACAAAACUCGAAAUCAAGAUCCGUAAAUUUUCCUUAAAUCUAAACUCAUAUACCUAUCUACUAAUAUUUUUCUAGAAUUUUUGGUUGGGCCAAUUAGUACAGUUUAUUAGUUAAAGUUACCCCUAUUUCAGGACUUGACUGGUCUGACCUCUGUUUACUACGAACCGCAUUUCUCUCUGUACAAACUCCAUAUAACUAUGAGGUUCAUUUAUACUGAAACUAGACUCAAUAAAUAUUCUGAUAAUAUAAAAUACACUACCUAAUUAUAUAUUUACAAUUUAUGGUGAAUUUCUAAAGUUGGAAUAGGGGAUUCAGAAACUGCUAUGACCCUGUUUCACUAAAAUUCAAAUAUCUUGUAACAUAUAAUUCCUUUACCUGUUUCAUUUGUUUCAUGUGAAACUAGACAUAAUAAGCUUCAAUUUGAUAUGUAGUCCAUCAGCAAGUUCAAUUUCUAUGAUUUUUAGUAAAUUUUUAAACUCGCAUCAGUGUUGCUGCAGUAUUCUAUUUAUGGCAAAUUUCAUCCCUUUUAUUAGUUUUUAUGCACUAAGUAUCUUAAUAAUUUUCCUUAACAUCAAAUAUAAUCUAAACUAACUAUUUUCAUAAUUUAUCAUUAUCAAGCAUUUCCUCAACCAUUCAUGGCCAUAUCAUAAAAUUAUUUACACAAAAUAAAUAUAUUGCUAUACAUGCCAUACUUAAGUUUUACAAGCCAUUUACCCAGAUGAAAGUCCUUUGGAUAGUGUGAUCGAACCUUCGACCCGUCCCGAUUCCCGAGCUGGCUUGUUCAAAACUGUCCAAAGUGUCCAUUUCACAACACUUACCAAAACGUCGCUUGCAUCUUAAGUGUUCUUCCAUUUGAGUAGAAUUUUACCCGUUGAACACAUCGGAAUACAACUCGGAUACACGGAUAAUUUGCACAUAAGUGCCUCAUAUGUAAUCAAGAAAUCAUGUAACCCGCCCCUAAGUGAACUCAGACUCAACUCAACGAGCUCGGGCUUCGCAUCCAUAAGUGAACUCGGACUCAACUCAAUGAGUUCGGAUGCCUAGUUACAUUUCACGAACUCGGACUCAACUCAACGAGUUCGGACAUUCGCAUCCAUAAGUGAACUCGGACUCAACUCAACGAGUUCGGAUGCUCAACCAUCCUAGUGACAUGUCACUUGUAUCCUAAUCUAUUCCUAAGGUUCAAACGGGCUUUUUUCCUCGAUCUCACAUUGCCAUCUUCCAUGGAAUAUCAGAACCGAUACUCGGUAGCAAUUCAUAUUUAUCAAGUAGUAAACAUAAUUUGCAUAUUACUCAACAUUAACCACAAAGCAUAAUAUUUCACGAUAAAAAAAAUCAGCAUAUCAUAUAAUUAACAUCAAUAACUUAAAAAUAACAAUUAUGCUACAUUAUUUACACAUGAACCUACCUCGUAUGCGAAAAUCGCUACUUUUACCAUUUUCGUCCACAACUUGGUAUUUUUCCAUUUUAGCCCGAAUUUCAGUUUUCCUUGCUCUAUCAUUUAAAAUAUAGUCUAAUUAGGACUCACAUUAUUCAAAUUGACCCAAAAUCAUAUUUUGGAAAAAUUACAAUUUUUCCCCUAAACUUUUACAUAUUUACACUUUUGCCCCAAAGCUCGUAAAUUAAACUUCAACCUAUUUUCUUAUGUUUUAUGACAUGCUGAUCAUUUUUCCCUUCUAUGGCAACAUCAAAUUCUCACUCUAACAUGUACUUAUGACUAUUAGGUAUUUUUACCGAUUAAGCCCUUUUGCUAGUUUUCGCUUAAAACCGAGUAGCACAAGUUGUCUAACAUAAUUUAAAACCUCAUAUUCUAUCAUAAAACACCAAAAUACACAAAUUUAACCUAUGGGUAUUUUUCCAAAUAUAAACCCUAGGUUAAAUUAUUGCUAGCAUAAGCUUAAUCGAGCUACUGGGACUCCAAAAACGUAAAAAUCAUUAAAAACGAGGCUAGAACGGACUUACAAUAGAGCUUGGAAGCUUGAAAAACCCUAGCCAUGGUUUCUCCUUGCUAUAUUCGGCCAUGGGGUUGAAGAUGAGCAAAAUUGGCUUUUAAUUUUGUAUUUUAAUUCAUUUUACGCCUAAAUGACCAAAAUGCCCUUACUACUAAACUUUCCAAAAAUUCCAUCCAUGUCCAAUUUAUGUCUAUAGACUUAGAAAUUGGUAAAAUUGCUAUUUAAUACCUCCUAAUUAAUAUUUCAAAACAAUUUCAUACUAGAAACUUCUAGAAUGCAAGUUUUGCAACUUAUUCGAUUUAGUCCCUACUUUCAAUUUAAGCACUUUAGGCAUAGAAUUUCAUCACGAAAUUUUCACACAAUCAUGCAAUCAUAUCAUAAACCUCAAAAUAAUUAUAAAAUAAUUAUUUCUAUCUCGGAUUUAUGGUCACGAAACCACUAUUCCAACUAGGCCCAAAAUUAGGAUAUUACAGGAUCCCUUGCUAGCCACUAACACCGCCUCCCUACACCCUAAGUGGGGUCACUUAGCCACUCCUCUAUGAGGCUUUUUGAUGCCAUUUUCCCUUAUCUUUAUUUAAAAUCCCAACUACUUGCCAACAAGGUCCUUUUAACUAUUAACGCAUAAUUUUCUUUUCCCCUCAGUUCGAACUUAAACCUUAGCCAAGACCUACUAUUACCUACUUAACCGAAAAUACUUAGCACAUUUUUUAUCAGAACCAAAAAAAAAAAGAAAUUUCGGGAUUUCGAGAUUUUUGGGGCGUUACAAUAUACAUUACAUACAUAUCACUUAUCAACAUAUAAAUCACACUAACAUAAAUGGCCAUAUUCCAACAUUUGCAAGCGAAAUCUCAUGGCUAUAAUAACAACUCAAAACAUAACAAAAUGACACUAGCCUAUACAUGCCAUAUAUCAUAUAUACAAAGCUCCAAAAGUACCAAUAAGUAGUCGAUAGUGUGAUGAUUGUUCCCGAUGAUCCUCAAUGUCCGAGCUAGCUUCAAUAAUCUAUAAAACAUGGAAAGAACACACAAAGUAAGCUAUAAAAGCUUAGUAAGCCAUAUACAAAUAAAGCUAUCAGAUGAACAUUUGCAUUUUAAAUUCAAAUUUGUUUAACAUAGUUAAUUUCAUUCAAAUUCACAAACCUUUCCCAUUGGACAUAUAUUCAAUGUCUUAAUCGAGUUCAUCAAAUAUUUCCCCUUUUCAAUACUCGUACGAAUUUUGUACAUACUUGAGUCAUUUAUCUCAUUCACAUAUUCUUUCUCAACUUGAAUUUGCCCAUUGAACCAUUCGGAAUCAUUAAGGAUAUUCGGAAAUCACAUAAGCUCGUACAAUGCCAUAUCCCAGAUAUGGUCUUAAAUGUUAUCACAUAUCGAUGCCACUGUCCCAGACAGGGUCUUACACGAAAUCGAUUAACGAUGUCAAUGUCCCAGACAUGGUAUUAUGGUCACUAAACUAACUAAAAAUUUGACUAAGGAAAGCUCACCUAUCGAACAGUAGUAUAGUUAUGGUGAGAUUAGAAAUAUCGUACCCACAAGGACUAAAAGUACUAGUAAUUACUAUUUUUUUAUUAUCUAGCCUAAGAAUUAAAGGGAUGUUUUAAACUAAGAUUAACUAUUUAAUUAACUAAGAACACGACAGCAAUUAAAAUUGGAAAAUACUUUUAGAAAACCGAUGGAGAAGACAAUACCCAAGGAAAAAUCCACCUAGACUUCACUUAUUACUUUUGAAUUAGAUGAUUCAUUCACUUGACUCAAUCCGUAGAAAUCCCUAGCUUAUGUUAAUAUCUCUCUUGAGACUAAAAACAACUGAUUCUAGGUUGAUUAAUUGAAAUCCCUUUCUAAUUAAAACCCCUAUUAUCGUAUUAACUCGAUCUAUAGACUCCCUUAUUAGAUUUGACUCUAAUCCGACAGAUUUAUGUCGUCUUAUCUCUAGGAUUGCAUGCAAUUCCGCUUAAUUAUGGAAGAUCUACUCUUAAACAGGGACUUUUGCUCCACUGAAUAAGCACAUCAAAACUUGAAUUAAUAUCCUAAAAUAUUAAAGUAAGGAUUAAAACUCAUAAUUAAGAAUAAGACAAGUAUUUAUCAUAUAAUUCAAAUAAUAAUAAGAUCUAUCUUAGGUUUCAUCUCCCUAAGGUAUUUAGGGAGUUUAGUUGAUAACAAUGGGGAAAACAUCUCAAAAUUGGGAAAAUAACAAAACAUAAAAAACCUAAAAACUUCGGUAGAAAUUGAAUGGAGAUCUUCAGUCUUGAAGUAAUUUCUACUUCCGAGCUGAUUCCAAUGGCUGUCUUUGAGUAUUUUCUGCCUUCUACUAUAUGUGUACCCCUUGAUCCUCUUCUUGUGUGUUUAAAUAGACUUUGGAAUGCCCAAAAUAGCCCAAAAUUAGCCUUUUCUGAGUAGAACUAAAAUAGGUCUCGACAGGAACAUGGUCGUGUGGCACGCCCGUGUGAUGGUGCUCAAGCCGUGUGCAAUUCUGAUAUGGUUUUAAGUCAACACGGCCAUGACACACGGGCGUGUAGUCUGCCUGUGUGUCUCACACGUGCGUGUGGAUUACUUGUGUGGAAAUGUCUGGGCCGUGUGCAGCACUGAAAUAAACCUAUUUUGUCCGUUUUUGGCCUUUUUCUUGCACUUUUCUCUUUCCUAUUCUCAUCUAGAUAUAAAACAUGAAAUUAAAGGAUUAGGAGCAUCAAAUUCACUGAAUCUUAUGAUAAAUCAUCCAAAAAUAUGCGAAGCAUGGGAUUAAAAUAUGUUACUUUUGAGGUUUAUCAAAUAUCCCCACACUUAAGCAUUUGCUUGUCCUCACAAUUAAAGUGUAUUCUUCUCAACUUAUAAUUCUUAUAAAAAAUGUGUUUGAAAUAAUCCAUAGAUAAUUAUACACUGAGAAUUCAACUAAAAUAACAUUAAAAAUUUCAAACAAUCCAAGUUGAGCAUUUUAAUCAUAAAAUCAUAGGUACCCCCUUUAUCUAAGUAAUUAUCUUUAAUUCCAAAUCGACAAUGGUUGACAUCCUUACUAAAGAUUCACUCAAAUCACUCAAAGUGUUUUAAGGUUCAAUAAUUAAGCACUCAAUAGUCAAACAUGAAAAGUUAUUACCAUAGGCUUGCAUGAAAAUCAAAUCUCCAUCACUAUAAAUGAGAUGAUACACAAAUCAAAAGGUCUUUAAUAGGGUUGUAAUGGGGCUUGAGUUAAAGGUGUGGAUAAAGGCUGGAAAAAAGGGUUAGAAUCGAGAUUAAUUUAAAUAAUUACCAAACUUAGAAAAAAAAGCUAAUUAUCGAAUUACAAACAAGUGCCAAACUUAUAUCCAAAACUAAUGAAGUGAGCUUUUUCUCCAUAUAAUAACUUUAACUUAUCCAAGCUCUUUAUCAAAAUAUGUAAUUAUAUGAAUAUAAAUAUACAUUUUUUUUAAGAAUAAGACAAUAAUGGAAAGUACAUAAUAAGGAAUAAUUCAGCAACUGAAAUGAACAAACAUAGUUAGGUAAUUAAUCAAAUCAAAUCUCAAUAAAAAGAGAGUCAAUAAAAAGGGAGAAAUUCUUAACGAAUCAAAAAGGGUUAAGUUGUGGGUUAUCAUUAAAGAGAAAUCAAGAAAUGAUGUUUAAGGCUCAAAGGGGCUCACUAAAAGUUAAUUAUGUGGGUGGGCUUUUUAUGGAGUAAGUAGGUCAAAACCUAAGUGCCUUCAUCAUCCUAGUAUAUCAAAUCAAAGGUGUGGUCUCGACAUGUAUAAUCGAUGCAAGUUCUAGAAUAAAAAAUCAGCAUUGACUCACUCAUAACCAUCAACAAAGUGAUCAAGAAAGAUAUAUGCUCUAAAAGGCUCAAAAUCUCACAAAAAUUAUGGGUUUUUGAUGUCAAUCCUGUAAAUUCAAAACUUUAAGAUAUUACCUCAAUUCAAGGAAACAACCUAGCAAUUUUAAUUCUCAAAAUUGCAACUUAUCAUGCUUGAUUCUCUAUUGUCCUCAAGUUUAAAUAAUCAAUGCAUAAUUACCUAUAUUUUAAUCCAAAACAUAUCAAUAAAAAUCAUAAAUCAAUCACAAUUCAUUCUAAUAGUAAUAUGAGAAAAUUAUUUGAGAACAAGAUAUAAUUCAGGGAUUUUCUGAUAAUGAUAAUAUCAUAACCUCCCUACACUUAAGAUGUACAUUGUCCUUAAUGUACAAAGAUAGAUAAUAAAAAUAUAAGCAUAAUAUCAUAAAAGAGGGGGAGAAGCGAAACUGUCCUAAAUUUGGAUGUAGUCCUUGGAAUAGCAAAAGCGGGUUUAUAGACAUUGGAAAUUAUGUGGAUGUGGAACUAGACAGAGGUGAAGGUGGUGGUAGAGGUUGGGUUCCACAAUCACAGCGCCAAGUGAAGAGGUUAUCGCGGUGGUCAGUGUCGUGAUGGCUAUGGUCGUGGUCGAGUAGGACAUGGCAGUUGUGGAAUAUCUUUCCCCAUAGGAUUGUUUAUAUAUUCCUGAGUAGCACCAAUCGACUGAACCUUUUGAAACUACGAUAUCACCAGUAAUAUUUUAGGGAGUUAUAUCAAUGGGGUUGUUAUGGUUAUUCAAAAAGGAACAACCAUAAAAUUAAGGGGUUCAAAAUAUACUAAUAAAAGUCUUUUAGAACAUGAAAAAUGAAAAUAAAAAUAAAAAUAAAAAUAAAAAUAAAAACAGAAGGGAAAGCAAAACAAAGUGAAAAUAAAUGGACUCAAAAGUCUUCAUCGACAGCUGGAUUGUGAGGUGGUGGUGCUAAAGGCGAAAUGUGGAAAUGUUGGCAAAUCUACUGUAGAGUUGCAUCUAUGUGUCGAAUCACUGAGUGCAAUAUUGCUCGAAUUGAUUCAGGUGGUCCAAAAUUUAUGUUAAUGAAGCAGUCGCAUGUACUGGUUUGGGACUCAGCUGUGGAGGAGAACUUGGGUUCUCAUGGAAGAAAGGGAUAUUGUCAGUAAUAUCCUUACGGUCAUCCUGGUUGGUGGCUCGUGCUAAUUGGUAUUGAGGAGGAUCGAACCCACAACGACACUCUAUUAUCCUCAUGUGGAGCAUACUUGAGAUGCCCUAUAGGGACAUCUGACCGAUGAGUGUGAGUGAUGAGGAUUGUGCUAAUGUGUUCAGGAGCCCAAAGUGUCGAGCUAGACGGGUCACGUAAGGGCUGAUGUUGAUGACUCCAUUUCACUGCCGUUCAAUCUGAUGGCGAAAGGUGAGGGCGAUUAAGUAUGCAAGAUCGAAAACGUGCCCUUGCCUCAUGCUCCAUAAGAAGUAUGUGUCGUGAGUGUUAACGACGCUAGUGCUCUCUCGUCGCCCUGUUAAAGUGUGAGCUAAAAGGGCGUGGGGGUAUCGUAAUGCUGGAGAUAGAGUUGAUGCCUUGAAGCGGCUGGGGUCAUAGAUGCUUGUAGCAAGAAUGAGGGCUGCCCAAUAAGAGGAAGGUGCAUAAUGGAUGUGACAGUGGAGAUGGGAAAAUUUGUCAACCUCCAUAAAGUUUUCUGUAUAAAGUCCCAAAGCAACUCCGAAUUCUGGGACACUCAAUUGCCGCACUAGACCUCCAAGACGGAAUUGGACUGUGCCUAGGUCGUCGUAAUCUGUCAUAAUCAUCUGUAACUGAAAUGUCGAACAAAGUUCCAAAGUGAACUCCAGGUAUGUUGGCUCAAUAAUGUCGAAAAAAGGGUCCCAAGGAGCGGUAGCAAGGAGGGCCCAAACUGAGUCAGCAAGGUGGACUUGUUCCAAUGCAGCCCAGUCGAUGCACUGACCCACGCUUAGGGGUCCGGCACGUAGAAUCUGGAACAACUCCUCCCGAGGUCCUAGUGGAAAUUGGAGGAAUGGAUGGCGUAUCUCAGUGGUCGCAGUUGAGGAUGUCGCUCCUUUUCGUUUUGUAGAAACGAGAACUGCGGUUUUGGUCUUUCCAUGUAUUUGUCAUAAUGAGUCUGAAAGAAAAAAUAUUUCAAUAUAAGAAAAAUAGAAACAAACACAACAUCUAAUAACCGCUUCAAGAAGGUUAAAAGUAAAUCAUGUAACAUUUAUUCCUAUAUGCACUAAUGUUAACAAGUGUAAAAACUCAGCAUAGGAAUCGGAACCAAACGAAUUCAAACCAGCCAGUACACCUAAUGGUAAGGAAUAAGCAAGAGAUUUCUAUCAUAUUUAACUAUUAACCAAAUUUAAAACUAUCGAAAGAACCUAUUAUUUAGAAUUAGGAAUCAAAAUAAUAAAAUAAAAAUCAAGUUAUCCUAUGCUAUGAAUGCAAUAACAAUAGUCAUAAAUUUCCAAUAAGAAUGAAUGCUAAAAACUAAGGACAAAAUUAAAAGAAUAAAAUAGAGCAUAAAGGAGUCGAAGAACAUAGGAACCAACUGUAGGUGGUGGUCAGAGGGUUGGCCGUGUGAUGGUGCUUAGUGGUCGGCCAAAGGGGUGGGCGAUGCGAGGGUUGCGGGUCGGAGAGAGAAAAAGGAAAAGAAAGGAAAAGAGGAGGGGAAGAGAAGUAAAACAAGAAGAGGGAUGUGGUGGCUCGGCAGAGAAUGGUGGCCGGAAUAGGGAAGUUGUUGACUAGUGGCUAGCGGGUGAAUAGUGAAAAUGGAGGAUGAAUAGUAGGUUUAAAUAGGGAUGCGGGAUUUUUAGGGUUAGGGUUUCAAUUAAAAAGGGGGCCACGAUCGUGCAGGCCCCGUUUUGGACCACACGGCCGUGGCCCAUGCCCGUGUGUCUCACUCCUAGCCCGUGUUUUUUGUGAAAUUUUAAGUGUAAUCAUUUCGAUCACUCACCUGUACCGACAUCAAUAAUAGUCCUAGCAGUUGCUAAAAAGGGUUGUCCUAAAGUUAAAGGAAUGUCACUAUUCUCAUCCAUGUCUAAAACAACAAUGUCUACUGGAAAUAUAUAUUUGUCGAUUUUAACAAGCAUAUAUUCAAUUAUACCCUAGCAAAUCUAAUGGUUUUAUCAGCCAAUUGAACGCUCAUCCUAGUUUGUUUGGGUUUCCCAAGACUUAGCUGUCUAAACAUUUUAUGAGGCAUAACAUUAAUACUUGCCCCUAAAUUAGAUAAAGCAUUGUUAACAUUCAAACUACCAAUUAAACAAGGUAUCGUAAAACUCCCUGGAUCUUUCAAUUUGUUAGGUAGCUUGUUUUGAAAAAUAGCUAAGCAAACUGCAUUUAACUCCACAUGCGAUAACUCAUCUAACAUCUGUUUUUUUUACUAAAAUCUCUUUUAAAAAUUUAACUGCGUUUGGCAUCUGUGAAAGAGCUUCAAUAAACAGUAGGUUAAUAUGUAAUUUUUUAAGUAGUUUAAGGAAUUUACCAAAUUGUUCAUCUGUGUGGUCUUUCCUUGUCGCAUUGGGGUAUGGCACACGAGGUCUAUAUUCUUUGCUUACCGGCUUUUGUGUAUCAUGACUCACCUCAACCUUACCAUUGCUUACCAUAGCUUCUUGCCUCGUUUCAGAUUUAGGUUCAGCUAACCCUUCUUUGUCCUGUACAGUGAUGGCAUGGAGUUGCUCCCUUAGGUUAGUUUCUGUAUUACUGGGCAAGCCACCUUGCGGUCUUUCAGAGAUCAACUUAGCAAGCUGACCUAUUUGAGUUUCAAGCCCUUAAAUUGAUGCUUGUUGAUUUUUAAGUGCUAUCUCGGUAUUCCAAAAAUGAGUUUCUGACACCGAGAUAAAUUUUAUUAGCAUCUCCUCAAGGUUCAGCUUUUUCUCCUGUUGGUAAGGUGGUUGUUGAUAACCUGGAGGGUGUUGUGGCCUUUGAUUCCCUUGACCACCCCACGAGAAAUUGGGAUGGUUCCUCCAACCUGCAUUGUAAGUGUUACUAUAAGGGUUAUUCUGAGGUCUAGAAUUAUUCGGUGCUGGGGUUGAAGGAUGGAUAGUCUGUGUUAUGCAUCCUUCCUCCAUUUGAAUCACACCUCAUCAGUGGAUGUACCUAAGUAGAAUCAUACAAACCAUCAAUCUUUUUAUUCAAUAGUUCUACCUGGUUAGAUAGCUUAGUGGCCGUGUCAAGAUUGAAAACACCAGCUGCUUUUGUCGGCUUUGUUCUUAUGACUUGCCACUGAUAGUUGUUUAGUGACAUCUCUUUAAUAAAUUUGUAAGCCUCUUCAGGUGUUUUGUUGUUCAAGGUUCCAUCGGCAGCAACAUCAAUCAGUUGCCUUAUUGAAGGGUUCACACCAUUGUAGAAGGUCUGAACCUGUAACCAUAAAGGUAACCUAUGGUGAGGGCACCUUCUCAAUAAAUCCUUGUAUCUCUCCCAUGCAUCAUAAAGUGUUUCUAAAUCCAUCUGCACAAAAGAAGAGAUAUCAUUCCUCAAUUUAGCCAUUUUAGCCUGUGGAAAAUAUUUAAGCAAAAAUUUUUCAGUCAUUUGUUCCCAAGUAGUGAUUGAACAUCGUGGUAACAAGUUUAAAAACUGUUUAGCCUUAUUCCGCAAUGAAAAGGGAAACAACUAAAGGUGAAUGGCAUCGUUAAAAAUGACAUAGAUCUUAAAAGUGUCGCAGAAUUUUAGAAAAUCUGCUAAAUGAGUGUUUGGAUCCUCGUCCUGCAAACCAUCAAACUGAAAAAACUGUUGUAUCAUUUGAAUCGUGUUAGGUUUCAGUUCAAAAUUAUUUGCAGAAACAAUAGGUCUAACUAUACUCGAUUCAGUUCCUAUUUAAUUGGGCUUAGCAUAGUCGUACACAGUACAAGGAGCAGGAUUCUGAUUCACUGGAUUUGCGACAGCCACAGGAGGCAGCGGAUUAUUUUGAUUUUCAGCCAUCUCCUCAGUGUUAUUGGUGUCCUCCUCGUGCUCUUCCUCUAUAUACCAUAGACUUCGCCUUAUCUCUCUAUAAUUUCUACGAGCUGUGCUUUCAAUUUUUCUGUCAAAAAGCAGAGGUCCUGACGGGUUUCUUCUAGUCAUAAACUAUAAAAACCUGCCAAAAGAAAAUAAAAGAAAAAUUAGUAAUUAAAAUAAAAACAAAAUUAAAUUGCAAUAAAAAUAAAAAUGGCUAAAGUAAUAAAAAUUAAGUGUUCCUAAUAUCUUAGUUCCCGGCAACGGCGCCAAAAACUUGAUGGUCACUAAACUAACUAAAAAUUCAACUAAGGUAAGCACACCUAUCGAACAGUAGUAUAGUUAUGGUGAGACCGAAAAUAUCGUAUCCGCAAGGACUAAAAGUACUAGUAAUUACUAUCUUUUUAUUAUCUAGUCUAAGAUUUAAAGGGAUGUUUUUAAACUAAGAUUAACAAUUCAAUUAACUAAGAACACGACAACGAUUAAAAUUGGAAAAUACUUUUGGAAAACCGAUGGAGAAGACAAUACCCAAGGAAGAAUCCACCUAGACUUCACUUAUUACUUCUGAAUUAGAUCAUUUAUUCACUUGACUUAAUCCGUAGAAAUUCCUAGCUUAUGUUAAUAUCUCUCUCUAGACUAAAAACAACUAACUCUAGGUUGAUAAAUCGAAAUCUCUUUCUAAUUAAAACCCUUAUUGUUGCAUUAACCCGAUCUAUGGACUCCCUUAUUAGAUUUGACUCUAAUCCGGCAGAUUUAUGUCAUCCUAUCUCUAGGAUUGCAUGCAACUCCGCUUAAUUAUGGAAGAUCUACUCUUAAACAGGAACUUUUGGUCUAUUGAAUAAGCACAUCAAAACCUAAAUUAAUAUCUUGGAAUGUUAAAGCAAUGAUUAAAACCCAUAAUUAAGAAUAAGACAAGUAUUUAUCAUAUAAUUCAAAUAAUAAUAAGAUUUAUCUUAGGUUUCACCUCCCUUAGGUAUUUAGGGAGUUUAGUUCAUAACGAUAGGGGAAAACAUCUCAAAAUUGGGAAAAUAAGAAAACAUAAGAAACCUAAAAAUUUCGGUAGAAAUUGAAUGGAGAUCUUCAGUCUUAAAGUAAUUCCUGCUUCCGAGCUUAUUCCGAUGGCUGUCUUCAAGUAUUUUCUGCCUUCUACUAUAUGUGUACCCCUUGAUCCUCUUUUCGUGUGUUUAAAUAGACUUUGGAAUGCCCAAAAUAGCUCAAAAUUAGCCCGUGUGAUGGUGCUCAAGCAGUGUGCAAUACUGAUAUGGUUUUAAGUACACAUGGGCAGACACACGGGCCUGUAGUCUGCCCAUGUGUCUCACACGGGCGUGUGGAUUACCCGUGUGGAAGUGUCUGGGCUGUGUACAGCACUGAAAUAAACCUAGUUUGUCUGUUUUUGGCCUUUUUCUUGCACUUUUCACUUUCUUAUGCUCAUCUGGAUAUAAAACAUGAAAUUAAAGGAUUAGGAUUAAAUUUAAAAUUAGGCAUAAAUUGAGUAGAAAUUUAAUUAAUUAUUUAAAUUAAUGUUGUAAUUAAUAAUGUAAGUUGUUAUUAUUAUUUUUAUUUUCGUAGCGAAUAAGGAAAACGAGGCAUCGACAUCCAAAGGAAAAGAAAAGAUCGUUGAGGAGUAAACUCGUUUUCCAGGUUUGUAUUACUAUAACUCAAACUAUUUAUUAAUUUGUAUAUUGAAUUUAUAGGUAUGGAAUAAUUAAGGUAAGGUAAGUAUUAUAUUUGAAAUUAAAUAUGAGUAUGUGUGAAAAUUAAUUUGUAUAUGAAUUAAGAUAAUAGAUGUUUGAAUUGAUUGAGUAUUGAAAAUUUUUGUGGAAAUGAAAUUGAAAUUGGAAAAGUAAAAUAAUACCCUAUUAACUUGUCAGAUUAGAUUUGAUACAAAAGGCAUGCCAUUGGAUUUGUGAUGUGAUGAGGAGAUUUGUAGUUCGGCCGAGAAGAUGUUUCUGUUAUUAUAUACUUCGGUUUAUCCGAAGAGGUAUUUAAUGCCUUGUUGGUGUGUUUGGGAAGAUAUGAUAUACUGGUGUGUUUGGGAAGAUAUGAUAUACUGGUGUGUUUGGGAGGCUAUAUUAUACUGGUGUGUUAUGUAGGAUUUAUAAUAUUCCAGGUGUGUUUAGCCUGGAUAUUCUGGUGUGUUUGGGUGAAAUCCGCAUAUCUGUCAGAGUCCGAGCCUUGUUAAUAGGGUAAAUAAUUGAAAUGAAAUUUUGAAAAUGAGAUUAAUUGUUUUGGCACUAUUGAAAAGUAUAAGAAAGAAAGUAUGAGUUAAAUUAUGAUUUGAGUUAGUAUGUGAAAAAUGAUAUAUGAAUUUAAGAGUUAUGAGGUAAUAUAAUUAUAUAUAAUUAGUUUAAAUGAUUAUAAAGUUUAUGGUUGAUGUUUGUAAUUUAUUAAUGUUAAAUAGUUUUGAUUUAUAGUAAUACCACUGAGUAUGAAAUACUCAGCGUACGGUUGUUUUCGUGCGCAGGUCAUUAGAGUUUCGGAUCCGGUCCAGCAUCCAAAACAAACCCGACUCCGACAAGAAAAUUUUGGUGACGUAUUUCUUCUUUUUGUUUAAGUGGCAUGUAUUAGGUGGUUGUAAAUGAGUUAUAUAUAUAGGUUAAAUGAUCUUGUUGUAAUUAGAUAGUUAUGCAAUUUUGAGGUUUAUCAUCUUACAUGUAAUCUUAAUAAAAUGCCAAUGUCCCAUACAUGGUCUUACAUGUAAUCACAUCUCGAUAACCAAAUGUCACAACAUUCGUAUCCUAUACAAUUCUUGAGGUUCGCAUGAGACUUUCGGAUGUCGUAACUCUGUUGAUUCUUACCCGUUCAAAAUUCAUUGCAAUUUAAUCAUAAUAAAACAUAUAUAAUUUAAUGUAAAGACGUUUAUUUGCAUAUGAAUUUACCUUGUGUUCGGAAUAAACGGACGGAAUUGACUAUUCGUCAACUUUCGAUUUUCCCCGAUCUAAAUCCAUUUUCUUUCAUUCUUGAUUUAUAUACAUUCAAAAUUAACUCUUUUAUUCAUCAACACAUUCAUGUCCACAAACACAUAUUUGGACAUUUUUUCACUUUAGCCCUUAAAGUUCCACACUUAUUCAAUUUAGUUCUUCUUUCACAAAAACACAAAAUUCAAUAUGACCCAUGCUUAGCUGAAUUUUCUAUAGCUUCAUAACAGCCCAUAUUUUCAUUUAUUUCACACUUUUAACCACAACAUUUCACAUUUUCUCAAUUUAAUCCCUUUUGUACAAUUUCACUAAAAAUCACUUUACAAAACAUGAUAAUCAAUCAACAAAUACUCAUUUUCCAUCAUCAAACAUUCAAGAGCUCAAGGACCCAUCAAUGGCAUUUCACAAAAUCAUCAUCAAUUUCAAAAAUUAGGGCAUGGGCUAGCUAGUACUCAAAGCAACGAUCACAAAUACAUAAAAAUCAUAAAAAACGGAACAAAAAUCACAUACCAAUUGAGCCUUGCAAGUGCCGAACCCUAACAAGCUUCCAACCUCCCUUAUUUUCGAUGAUAUUCGAUCACCAAGAGAAAGAUGAACACAAAUUAUGAAUUUUUGUUUUUUUUAUUAACCUUUAUUAUUCAAAUUACAAGUUUAACCUUAAUGAAAUAACAUAGAAUUUUAUAAUACAUGUCCAUAAUGGUCCACUUAACCUAUUAGUGGUAUAAUAACAUCAUAAGGUCCUUUCUUUUAAUAAGCCAUGGCAAUUAAGCACUUUUAACAUAUAGAAUGCAACUUUUGCGUUUUACGUGAUUAAGUCAUUUUCUCAAAUUGAGCUAUUAAACGAUAAAAUUAACUUACGAAAUUUUUACACAUAUUUAAUCAAAUGCUGUAAACACAAAAAAUAAUAUUAAAAUAAUUUUACGACCUCGAAUUUGUAGUUCCGAAACCACUAUUCUGAUUUAGCUAAAACCAGGCUGUUACAACUCUUCCCUUUAGGUAUUUUCAUCCCCGAAAAUCUUACCAGUGAAUAGGUUUGGAUAUUGCCUUCUCAUAGCAUUCUCGGGAUCCCACGUAGCUUCUUCUACCCAGUGUCGAUGCCAUAACACUUUUACUAAUGCUAUUCUUUUAUUUCUCAGCUCUUUGAUCUCACGAGCUAAAAUUUGGAUCAGUUCUUCACUGUACGAUAAAUCUAAUUGGAUCUCAACUUUGAUCGAGGAAAUAACAUGCGAAGGACCAGAUCUGUACCUUCGUAGCAUUGAUACAUGAAACACGUUAUGAAUCUUUUCUAACUCAGAUGGAAAUGCUAGCUGAUAAGCGACUAGUCCAACUAGCUCGAUAAUCUCAUACGGCCCGAUGAAUCUCGAACUCAAUUUGCUUUUACGACUGAAUCGAAGUAUUUUCUUCCAGGACAACACUUUUAAAAACACUCUAUCCCCGAUUUGAAACUUAACAUCUUUUCUUUUCAAGUCUACGUAUGAUUUCUGACGAUCUAACACUACUUUCAAAUUUUCACGAAUUACUUUCACUUUUUCUUCUGUUUCUUUAAUCAGAUCAACACCGUGAAUCUUAUACUCGUUUAGUUCAGUCCAGUACAAAGGUAUUCGACAUUUUCGACCGUAUAAGGCUUCGUACGAUGCCAUUUUAAUACUAGAUUAAAAGCUAUUAUUAUAUGCAAAUUCAAUCAACGGCAAAUACUUUUCCCACGUACCUUCAAACUUUAGAGUACAACAUCUCAACAUAUCCUUGAGUAUCUGAAUAACCGUCUGCGAGUGAAAUGUGAUACUAAAAUGUAAUUUUGUACCUAGUGUAUCUUGUAAUUUCUUCCAAAACCUCAAUGUAAACCUCGGAUUUCUAUCUGAAACAUUAGAAAUAGGUACUCUGUGUAAUCUCAAAACCUCAGAGAUAUACAAUUCAGCUAACUUUUCAAGUGAAUAGUCUGUUCGUACUAGAAUGAAAUGAGCUGAACUAUAACCUAGAUCACAUCUUUCUUUCUCAGAGAUAAGGGAAAUCCCGACACAAAAUCCAUAGUCACUCUAUCCCAUUUCCACUUGGAAAUCAUAAUCGACUAUAAUAAACAAGACGGUACCUGAUGCUCAGCUUUAACUUGCUGACAAAUUAAACAUCUAGAAAUGAACUCUCAAAUGUCAUGUUUCAUACCAUGCCACCAAUAGAUUUGCUUCAAAUAGUUAUACAUUUUCGUACUUUCCGGAUGAACAGAUAAAUGACUACUAUGUGCUUCGUUCAAAAUCAUCUGAAUCAACUCAGAAUUUCUCAGAACACAUAUUCGGCCUUUAAAUCUUAAACAAUCAUUGGAAUCAACUUGCAACUUUGAAUCAGGGUUCAAAUCACAUUAAGCUCUUUUAACUAACAAUUCAUUAUCGACUUUUUGAACUUCACUAAUCUGCUAUAAAAACAACGGUCUCGCUUUCAACUCAGCUAUAAUCAAGCCAUCAUUAGAUACAACCAACUGAGUAUUCAUUGCACGUAGAGCAAAUAAAGAUUUCUGGCUUAAAGCAUCAGCAACAACAUUUGCUUUUCUUGGAUGAUAGUCAAUCACUAACUCGUAAUCUUUUAACAAUUCAAGCCAUCUCCGCUGUCGCACAUUCAAAUUUUUCUGAGUUAUCAGAUAUUUUAAACUCUUGUGAUUUGAAUAAACAUGACAUUUCUCACCAAACAAAUAAUGACGCCAGAUCUUCAAUUCAAAUACAAUGGCUGCUAACUCUAAAUCAUGCGUCAGGUAAUUCUUUUCACGUGGCUUCGACUGUCUCCAGGCAUAAGCUAUGACUUUGCCUUCUUUCAUCAAAACACAACCCAGGCCAUUCAAUGAUGCAUCACUAUAGAUCACAAAUUCUCUACCUAAUUCUGGCUUUACUAACACUGGAGCUUCAGUCAAAAGAGCUUUCAACUGAUUAAAACUUUUCUGACAUUUCUCAGACCAUUCAUACUUUACAUCUUUCUGAAGCAAUCUCAUCAACAGAGUCGCAAUCAUCGAAAAGCCUUUUAUAAACCGUUGGUAAUAGCCAGCUAGUCGUAGAAAAUUACGGACUUCAGAUACAUUUCUCGGAGGCUUCCAAUCCAUAAAAGUAGAAAUCUUGCCUAGAUCAACUCGAAUACCGAUGCUGACACAAUAUGCCCUAAAAAACAACCUCACACAACCAGAAUUCACAUUUAUUGAACUUUGUAUAUAACUGUUUAUCACGCAGAGUCUGCAAUACAAUUCUAAAAUGCUUGGCAUGCUCAGUCUCAUCUCUUAAAUAGAUCAAAAUAUCACAGUUAGAAAAUUCAGUUCAUUAAGUCCAUAAAGAUAGCAGGUGCAUUUGUUAAUCCAAAAGGCAUAACUAAAAAUUCAUAGUGACCAUACCUCAUUCUAAAUGCAAUCUUUGGCACAUCAGAGUCUCUAACUCGCAACUGAUAAUAGCCCAAUCUCAAAUCUAUCUUUGAAAACACUGUAGCCCUUUUCAAUUGGUCAAAAAAAUCAUUGAUUCGUGGUAGAGGAUAUUUGGUCUUGAUCAUCACUUUGUUAAGCUUUCGGUAGUCUAUAUACAUUCUCAUCGUGCCAUCUUUCUUUUUCACAAACAACAUAGGAACACCCCACGGCGAGAAACUCGAUCGUGUAAAUCCUCUAUCAGUUAAUUCUUGCAAUUGAGAUUUUAAUUCUUUUAACUCUGUCAGAGCCAUUCUAUAUAGAGCUAUCGAUAUUCGGAAUUGUACUCGGCACUAAGUCAAUGCUAAAAUCAACCUUUCGUAUUGGUGGUAAUCCUAUUAAUUCUUCAAGAAACACAUCCAGAUAUUUACACACAACUGGCAUAGAUUCAAUCUUCUUUUCAGUCACUUUCGUAUCAAGCACAUAAGCCAAGUAAGCUUCACAACCCUUUCUCACAUAUUUCUGAGCUAACAUAGAUGAAAUCACUACUGGAAAACCAUUCAGAUCAUCUGACUCAAUCUGGAUAAUUUUAUUAUCCUGACAUCUCAAAUCAAUCAUCUUUCGUUUGCAAUUCAUAACAACAUCAUGCAGCAUUAACCAAUCCAUACCCAAAAUUAUAUCAAAUUUGUCAAAUGGUAAAAACAUUAGAUCAGCCGGAAAAAAAAAUCCCAAAUCAUCAAUGGACAGUUCUUGCACACUUUAUCAACCAACACGUACUUGCCUAAAGGGUUUGAUACUCUAAUUACAAAUUUAGUAGACUCUACAGGCAAAGUCUUAUUGGAUACUAAAUUCACACAUAUAUACAAAUGAGUUUAUCCUGGAUCUAUCAAUGCAAUAACUUUAGUAUCAUAGAGAGUAAAAGUACCAGUAAUGACGUAUGGAGAUGACGCUUCUUCGCGAGCGAGAAUAGCGUAGGCUCGUACAGGUGCUCUAGCAUUAGAUCUCACAGUAAUGCCUCAUGUCUCCCUCUAACUACCGUGUUACUUGGUCUCGUACUCUAAACAUUAUCUUUUUUAGCUAACUCUGGGCAAUCUCUAAUAAAAUGAUCUAAUGAUCCAUAUUUAAAACAAGCCUAAUCAUUCGAUCUACAAUCACCGAAAUGUCAUUUCCCACACUGUCUACAUUCGAGUCAGUUUUGUAUCACACUGCCAACACUAGCUAUCGAAGUAGCUGGAGCACUGAAGCUCGACUAUUGUCUUACUCGAUCUUUAUUUGAAUGUCCCACCAAUGCAAUAGAAUGAUUAAACGAGUCCUAAAAUUUCUUCGAUGCAGACUGAUAAGACUUACUAGUUGAUCUUUUUCUAGAAUGUCUUGCUUCAAAGUCAGCUUUUCUCUUUUCUGUGCUGAGAUCUUCGGCUUUACAAGCCCUUUCAACUAAAACAACGAAUUCUUUAAUUUCUAGAAUCCCAACUAAUAGCUUUAUAUCUUCAUUCAGUCCAUCAACGAAUCGUUUACACAUGAUCUCUUUGGUAGAAACAUAUUCCCAAUCAUAUUUGCUCAAUCACACAAAUUCUCUUUCGUACUCAGUCACAGUCAUUCGACCCUGUUUCAAUUCUAGAAACUCUUUAUGCUUCUUAUCAAAUAAUUGCUGACUUAUAUAUUUCUUUCGGAAUUCAGAUUGAAAGAACUCCCAAGUAAUCCAUUCUCUAGGAACCACUUAUUAAGGUUUUCCACUAAUGAUAUGCAUUAUCUCUUAGCAAUGAUGCAACGCAUUUGAUACAUUCUUCCGGAGUAUAGGACAAUUCAUUAAAUAUUCUUAUCAUGUUCUCGAGCCAAAACUUAACUCUCUUAGCAUCAUCAUCAACUGUAGCCUGAAACUCUUCAGCCCCGUGUUUCUGAAUCUUAUCCUUUGGUGGCUUACUCAAUUGAAUCAGAUCUAUCACCUGUGGCACAAUUGGGAUUUACUGAGGAACAGGUGGGGUGGAGGUUGUUGAGCAGCUAGAUUUGUUUGUAAGAACUUCGUGAACUACUCACUCAUCAUUUGGAAGAAGGCUUGCUUAGCCUCUCCCCAUUGGCUACUUGAAAUAGGCCUAGAAUCGGCUGGAACUACCCCUUAAGUGGGAGCAGGCUCAUUACUUUCCACAUCAUUAGCUCGAUCGAGAUCCAUUUGCUAUAAAAAACACAUUUUUAACUGUCAGGAAUCAUCACACUAUCGCAGUUUAUAUAUAUGGCAUGUAUAGCUAGACUCCAACACGCUACGUUAGUCCUAGAAUCACUAAAUCAUAGCUCUGAUACCAAUUAAAUGUAACACCCCUAACUCGUAUCUGACACUAGAAUAGAGUUACGAGGCAUUACCGAAUAACACACCUCAUUCACAUACAUUUAUGCAAUCAUAAUCAAAAUCUAUUCAUAUGAAUCACAUUGUCCCUUUAAGGUCCUACGAGACCUUAAAACAUGCUUAGAAGUGGUUCGGGACUAAACCAAUAACAUUUACAAACUUUGGAUAACUUAGAAAAUUUUCAAACAUUUAAGGGUCACACACCCAUGUGAACAGGCCGUGUGCCUCACAUGGCUAUCAGACACACCUGUCUCAUAGGCCAUGUGAAAACAGGGCAUACAAUACUGACUUGCAUCACACGGCCGGAGACACGCCCGUGUGUCAUUUCCAUGGGAAAUUUAGAGAGGUUACUAACUUGGCCACAUUAUUGACCACACGCCCGUGUGUCGAACCUGUGUACCUUUUGAAAAGACCACACACACCUAUGUGCCAAGGCUGUGUGUCUCACACGGCCAAUAGACACGCCCGUGUGUCUAGGCCAUGUCAAAAAGGCAGGGUAUACUACCUUAAUUAGAAAGGGUACCUCAGGGGACACAUGGCUGUGUAACAUGACCGUGUGUCGCAUACGGCUGAGACACACACCCGUGUCUCUGCCCGUAUGGACAAAAAUAGGCUAUUUGCAAAGCCAAUUUGCCACCCUCAUCUCAAACACACCUAGCCAUCAAAUGGUAUCAAUUUAACACAUAUAUGGGCAACCAAUAACAUACCAACUCAUAAACAUAUCAUGACAUCUAUUCACAAACAUUUCAACCACUCAAUUCCAUAUUCAAACAUACAAAUCAUUAUGCCAAAAUCAUUAAACUUAUCUAAUUUCCAAAUGCAUUUAUACAUCAUCUACUAAUCAACCAAAUAACAACUAUUUGGCUAUAUCAACAACUAUGACAAACAUAUCAACAACUAUAUCAAUAACUAUUUAUACAUCAUCAGGACUUCGAUAUAUAAAGAAACUUUAUUUUGGAAAUCAAUGGCAUGUAUAAGCUAAUAAAGUAAAUGAUUCUGUGAAAUGAAUGUAAGGUCAGCCAAUGGUAUGGCUAACAAAUCUUGGUUUUGAUUUGUGAUGAGGUUAUCUUAUAAAUACGCAUGAAUUUAUCUUGAAAAUAUGUUGAAUUGGUUUGGUUGAUCUGGAUUGGUCUCGAUUUAAUAUUACAUGAAAGGUUAGAUAUUUAUAAAGGGGCUAUAUUAAAUAUAAAAAUAAAUAAAUAAAUAAAAUAAUUCGUAAACUCCUGUAAUGCCUCGUACCCUAUUCUGGCAAUGAGUACAGGUAAGGGGUAUUACAUCUACCUAAUUAGAGAGCAUGGUGACCGAAUCGACAUUAUAAACACUGGCUACUUUCAUUGGCUUUGUCCUCAUGACUUGCCACUGAUAGUUAUUAAGUGAUAUCUAUAAACUCAUAAGCAUCUUUAGGUGUUUUAUUAUUGAUGGUUCUGUCAGUAACUGCGUCAACCAUUUGCCGAGUCGAAGGAUUUAGGCCAUUAUGGAACGUUUGGACCUAUAGCCAAAGCGGUAGCCUAUGGUGAGGGCACCUUCUCAAAAGUUCCUUGUAUCUCUCCCAUGCAUCGUAGAGUUUUUCUAAAUCCAUCUGUACAAAAGAAGAGAUAUCAUUAUAUAAUUUAGCCGUUUUAGCCGGCGGAAAAUAUUUUAAAAGAAAUUUUUCGAUCAUUUGUUCCCAAGUAGUGAUUAACCCUCGUGGUAAUGAGUUCAACCACUGUUUAGCUUUGUUUCUCAAUGAAAAGGGAAACAACUGAAGACGUGUGGCAUCAUCAGAAAUGCCACUGAUUUUAAAUGUAUCGCAUAGUUCCAAAAUUUUCGCUAAGUGAGCGUUAGGAUCUUCAUCCUGCAAACCAUCAAACUAAAUAAACUGUUGUAUCAAUUGAAUUGUGUUAGGUUUCAGUUCAAAAGAGUUCAAAAGUAUUUGUAGCUACAGUAGGUCUAAGUAUGCUUGAUUCAGUUCCUGUUAAAGAAGGUUUAGCAUAAUCGUACAUAGUGUGUGGAGCAGGGUUUUGAUUAACCGCAAUUGCAGGAGGUAGCUGAUUGCCUUAGUUUUCAGCUAUCUCUUUGGUUGGGGGUUGAGUAUCGUCCUCUUUCUCGUUCUCUGUGUAUCUUAUGCUUCGCCUUAUUUCUCUUUGGUUUCUGUGAACUGUGCGAUCAAUUUCUUCGUAAAAAAGUAGUGGUCCUGACAGGUUUCUUCUAGUCAUAAACUAUAAAAACUUGCAAAGAGAAAGAAAAAAUAAAUUAAUAAAUAAUAAAAUAAAAUUAAUUUGCAAGAAAAAUAAAUGGCUAAAGUAAUAAAAAUUGAGCGUUCCUAAUAUCUUAGUUCCUUUGCAACAGCGCCAAAAACUUGAUCGCGUGAUUUCGUGAUAGGUUUUAAAUAUUUAUAAUUAAUCGUUCUUGAAACUAACUAUUAUCGCGAUGUAGGCAAGUGUACCUAUCAAACAGUAGUAUAGUUUUAGCAAGAACAGAUUGUCGAAUCCAAAGGAACUAAAAGUACUAGUAAUGACUAUUUUUUUUAUUAUCUAGCCUAAGAAUAAGGAGGUUUUGUUUUAACUAACCAAUUAUCUAAACUAAGAACUCACAGAGAAUAAAAUUGGGGAAUUACUUUUGGGAAAAUCAAUUGAAUUAAGACAAUACCUAAGGAAAAAUCCACCUAGACUUUACUUGUUAUUCUGGCUCCAAAUCGGACGAUUUAUUCAUUUAACUUGUUCCAUAGAGAUCCCUAAGUUAUGUUAUUAUCCCUAUUCAAGACUAAUAAUGUCUAAUCCCUAGGUUGAAUAAUUGAGACCUUUCUCUAAUUAACAUGCUAGGGUUGCAUUAACUCGAUCUAUGAAUCCUCUGAUUAGGUUUUACCCUAAUCUGGCAAAAUCUUGUCACCCUAUCUCUAGGCAUGCAAUCAACUUCGCUUAAUUAUGACAAAUGUACUCUUAGACAGGGACUUUUGCUCCUCUAAAUAAGAGCUUGUCUUGAAUCAGUAUCCUGGGAUAUCAAAACAAGAAUUAAGAACACAUAAUUAAGAACAAGUUAAAUAUUUAUCAUACAAUUCUGAAAAUAAUAACAAGAUUCGUCUUGGGUUUCAUUCCUCUUAGGUAUUUAGGGGAUUUUGUUCAUAACUAAAUAAGAAAACAUCUCAGAAUAAUAAAGAAUACAAAACAUAAAGAAAACCCAAAACUCUUAAAGGGGAAAUUGAGGAGAGAUCUUCAGUCUUGAUGGUGAAUCUGGCUUCUGGGAUGGAUCAAUUGGCUUCCUUGGAGUAAUUCCUUCCUUCCUCCCUAUGUGUGUCCAUUUUAUUCCUCCUCUAGGGUGUAUUUAUAGGCUUUGGAAUGCCUACAAGCCCUCAAAAGUGGCCUUUUCUGAAUUGGACUCAACUUGGGCUCGGCAGUGACAUGCCCGUGUACGACUAUUUCAGGCCGUGUUUGAGCCUGUUAGAAUGGCACGGGCGUGUGUUCUACCCGUGUGAGUCGUGCUUCAAUUCUGCCAGAUUGACACGACCAUGUGGGAUGCCCGUGUGAGGAAGUCCAAGCCGUGUUGAUUUCGUACUUUGGCCUAUUUUCUCCAUUUCUCGUUCCUUUCGCUCUCCUAUGCUCACCUAAGUAUAAAUCCUAAAAUUAAAGCAUUUGGAGCAUCAAAUUCACCAAUUCUAAGGAAAAAUCAUCCAUAAAAUGCGUUAAACAUGGGGUAAAAAUAUGUAUAAAUUACGGUUUAUCAUAGAACUAUUAUUGAUGUUGGUACAGGUGAACUCACACUUCGUGUGGAGGAUGAAACAAUCACUCUUCAAGAUCAAAAUUUUACUAAUACUGAUCAUGUGGUGCAACUUUUUUUUGCAGGAAACACGUUCGAAGAGUAUACAGGAACCUUGUUCAAGUAACAACAAAGGACCCAUCUAUAAAGAACGAAGGCUACAAAUCGAGGCAUUAGAUGAAUGGGGAACACAGAAACCGAGAACAGACGAUAAACAAAACCACGCCAUGACAGGCUCAAUGUUUCACCAAAUCAAUUUAAGGUUGGAGACAAAGUACUAUUAGAUGCAGCAGACCCUCGUAUUGCCACUUCUGAACCUAAUGGAGCAAUCCCUCUUAUGGUACUUAGCAUUUUUUCAUAUGGUACAGUCGAAGUAAUUCAUCCCAAAUUUGGCACUUUUAAGGAAAAUAUUACUCGUCUAAAACCUUAUUUUGAUGAGAUUAAUAGCAGGAAGGAGGAGUGUAAACUCCUCGCACCACCAUGACGACGCAACAAGAGAGGAAAGUCGAGCUUAGACUCUAAAUAAACGCUUCUUGAGAGGCAACCUGAGUACUAACAAUGUCGAUUUCUUUACAUUUUUGUUUUUAACAUCUAAAUCAUUAACUGAGUCCUUAAACGCAGGUUUUCCAAAUCCACAUGGAAAGGCACACGGGUGUGCCUUCGGCAGUGUGCAACCACAGGAGGCGACAUGGUAGUGCGUUACGGCCAUGGGAGAACAGAGCAAAAUUUUUUCCCAACACGGGAUUCAAUACAUUGCCACUGCCGUGCGGCAUGGCCAUGGGCAAUUCUGUCAAAUCAACACGGGCGUGCGACACGCCCGUGUUUAUAAACCAUGGUCAAAACUACCAAAUUAACACUGGCGUGCGACACGCCUGUGCCCACUAGUCGUGGUCGAUACUGUCAAAAUAACACGGGUGUGCGUAUAUAUACACAGGUGUGGGAGAAGCAAACGAAGCAGGACACGUGUCACAGAAGCAGGACACGGCCAUGCGACACGACUGUGUGCACCAGCACACCCAAGGAACACGGGCGUGGGCCGAAUUUCAGACGUGGCCAAAUUUGAAAAUCACGAAAUGCACAGGCUAAAAUAAGGGCACACGAGCAUGACCCAUGGCAGUGUGCCCCAAUAUCUAUAUAAAUGCCUCACUAUUCAUCAUCCCCUUCCUCAAAAACCCUAACCCUAGCCGUCGCAAUCUUCUUGCCUCACCAACCGGCCACCCCCUAACUCUCCUUUCUUCUUCCAUUUUCUUCCUCCUCAUACCUCAUUUCCCUUUUCUUUUCCAUUUUCUCAUUUUUUUCACCCUUACGAGCCCCAUUGCAAACCACACGGCCUCACUACCCACGCCCGUGGCUGACCCACACCCCUACCAUCAUGCCGUCGCUCCUUCGGCCACAAGUCCUCCACUAACGAUUUUCUCUUCUUUUUUAUUCCCUUUUGAUGCUUACUAUCAUGAUUUUAUUACUUACAUUUUGUUGCUAAUUGGUUAUCAUAAUAUUCUCAUCCUUAGGAUCUAUUUCAUCCAUCUUGUGUUGAAUUUAGUCAUGAUAUUACUAUGUCAUUUGCCAUAAAAUUUCUGUCAUCAAGUUAGAUUGCUUUUGGUUGAGUCUUGUUAGUGUCAUUAGUUUGGUUGGAUUUGUUAGUUUAACGAUAUUCAUGGUUAAUUCAUGAAUUUGUUAGAAUAUGUUAUUUUCGUCGUUAUUCUUACAGAUACACCAUGUCAAACCCACGAGGGAAAAAGACUAUCAUCCCCGCCUCGAAGAAGCGAAAAGGACCAGCAUCCUCCUUGGGUCCUACCACCGAAAUCCUGCACCCAUUCCUACAGUUUCCCCUGAGACCUCAGGAGGAACUCUUUCAGAUACUACGGGCCCGACCCCUAGGUGUGGGCUGUUGCAUUGAUUGGGUUGCACUCGAGCAGAUCCAACUCACUGAUGCUAUCCGGGCCCUCAGACUACUGACCCGUGGGGCCUUUUCUUCGAGAUCAUCGAGCCGACGUACCUCGAGCUCACACUCGAACUCUGCUCGACCUUCCACCUUCAAGUUGUUGUGACAGAGUUUGAUGAUCCUGGAAUGAUCCAGUUCUGUCUCGGCAUUUUAGUUUGCCAGCUGAGUGUGUAACACCCCGAACCCGAGACCGUCACUGGAGUCGAACACGAGGUGUUAACAGACUUUAAACCACUUAUAAAAAAAUUUCCCAGACACUGCCAAUCUGCGUACUAGUCGCUUAAAAAAAUCAUAUCUUGAGUUCAGAAACUUGGAAUCCAGUUCUGUAAAUUUUCCCCGAAACUAGACUCAUAUGUCCAUCUACAUAUUUUUUUCUAUAAUUUUUGGUUGGGCCAAUUAGUACAGGUUAUUAGUCAAAAUCUCCCAUGUUACAGGGAUUGACUACACUGACCUUUGCGCAUUACGACUUGGAUAUCUCCCUGUACAGGGCUUCAAUACUGAUGUCGUUUGUUUCUAUAGAAACUAGACUCAAAGAGGAAUCUAUUCAUAUAUGGCAUGACUCCUAAUUAUCUCUGGUUAAUUUAUAAUGAAUUUCCAAAAUCGAAACAGGGAAUCCAGAAACCGUUCUGGCCCUGUCUUACGAGAACCUGAAUAUCUCUUAACAUACUGUCCAUAUGAUUGUUUCGUUACUUUCCUAUGAAAAUAGAUUCAUCAAGGUUCGUUUACAUAAUUUAUUCACUAUUUAAUUCCAUUCCUAAUAUUUUUAGUGAUUUUCCAAAUCUACAUCACUGCUGCUGUCAGCAUCUGCCUUUAAGGUAGACUUUACCUAUUUCAUAGUUUCCAUGAUUCAACUAGCCCUUUUAGCAUAAAUAGCACAAUUUAUGAUAGUGAUUAACCAUUCCCAUGGCCAAUCCUUGAUAAGCAUAUCCACACCUCUCAAUAACCAUAUCCAUACCAAAUGAUUAUAACAUUAUACUCAAACAUAUAUAAGCCAUUUUCGCAUGGCUAUCCAAAAUUAUACAAGUCCAAAGGGUCCAUGACCCACAACAAAAAGGGUAGUCCUAUACAUGCCAUUUCGAAGUUCAACCAAAAUUGUACCAAAAGGGGGGGCUUUGAUAGUGUGGGCGACUUCGACUUCAAAAUCCCGAGUCCGAUAGCUGGAGAACCAAAAUCUAUAAAACAGAGAAUCAAGGAGACGGAGUAAGCAAUUUAUGCUUAGUAAGUUUUGAGCAAGGGAUUCCAGCACAACAAAAGUAUAGCAUUCAUGUAGCUAAACGGAUAAUUUCAUAUGCACAAUUUUUCAAUAUCAUACUUACUUCACAUUACCAACCUUUUUAUUCAUACACAAAGAUCAACUUAGCCAAAGGCCGGUAGCUCAUUUAUCAACUGAGCGACUACUUAUUUGUAAGGGCUCAACUAAUUCAAAGCACAUACGAAACAUACCUCAAUGUUGGGAUGUUUCAAGCGUAUUAACUGAAAUUUUUACAGCAAGAUCAUUCAUUCCCAAAUCACGUACCUUCAGAAUUUAACCGGAUAUAGCUACUCGUUCAAAUGCCUUCGGGACAUAGCCCGGUUAUAGUAACUCGCACAAAUGCCUUCGGGACUUAACCCGGAUUUAGUAACUCGGACAAAUGCCUUCGGGACUUAACCCGGAUUUAGUAACUCGCACAAAUGCCUUCGGAUCUUAGUCCGGAUAUGGUCACUUAGCACAAAGCCUUCGGGACUUAGCCCAGACAUCAUUCAAAUAACCAUGCACAUUUAGCAAUAAAUCAUGGCACAUUCGUAUUUCAUUUUCGUUAGCAAAACUCAAACACAAGACACUUAUCAUUCUUGCAAUUUCGGCUCAAUAGCCACACAAAGAGCAUGAUUUUAAUUUGCUUAAAACAUGAUCUAAUCAAAUCAUAAUUUAAGCUCUUUUACUCAAGAACUUACCUCGGAUGUUGUCGAACGAUUCCGAUAGCUAUUCGACCACUUUUUCCUUCCCUUUAUCGGAUUUAGUUCCCCUUUGCUCUUGAGCUUAAUUAAACAAAUAAAUUGAUUUAAUCAUUUGAGCAUCGAAAAGAGGAACACAAGGCACUUAGCCCAUAUUUAUACAUUAGACAUUAAAGUCACAUAUGUACGGAAUCAUGAAUCAAACUCAACAUUUUGGCUAAUUUUCCCCCUUGGCCGAACUUUCUAAGCCAAGACAAAAGCAUCAAUAUGCUUGCCUCUAACCGAAUACAUGCAACACCAAUCUCCUUCCUAUGGCCGAAUAUGCAUGUCUAUGUUGGGGCCGAUUGCAACACUUAAUACAUUCUACAAGUAUGGUCACUUAUAUUGACUAAACACCAUUUUGUUUCAAGUUCAAAACUUGGCUAAUACACACAUAUAUACACUAGUGAAGCAUCCUCUCCCUUUCCAUCAAUUUAACACAUGCAUUACUCAUUAAUAUACAAAAAUUAUAUUCGGCCUUAGCACACAACUUGCUAGCCGAUUCUUCUCCAUCUAGCAACCAAUGCACAUAUGUGCUCACUCAAAAAUGCUAAAAAGAAGAUUCAGGAAUCAUCAAUCCACCAUCACAUGCAUCAUUAACAAGCUUCAUAUUUAGCAUGCAAUGGCAUUAACACAAAAUCCACCUAGGCCGAAUAUCAUCCCCAUGACAUAGCAAAGAUUUGAACCAUGGGCUAAUUAGAACUCAAGCUAGCAACUAAAAAAAAACAUGCAUGAAUCUCAUGGCACAACCUCAAACAUACCUUGAUCUAGAUACAAGUAUGGCCAAACCUCCUCCUAAUCCUCUUCCAAACCAAACAUGAAACAAGAACUCCUUCCUCCUUCCUUAAAAUUUUAGGCCAAAAGAAGAUGAAAAAGGAUGAACAAAAUUUUUCUUUUCUUUUCUUUUACUCACGGCAAUGGGGGGGGAACAACCACAUACUUUUUUUUUUGUUUUCAUCAUAUUCCCUUUCAUUAUUUUAUGCCCAUGCUCCUUAUUUUAUCAUACUUCCCAUGACACACUAACUCAACAUGUUUAUGACAUGUUCUUGCCCAUCACACUUGGUCUACCAUGCUUGUCAUGGCCGGCCACUACUAAUUAGGGGGGAAUUUGACAUGCAAGUCCCCCCUUUUUAUUUCAUGCACUAAUAGGUCCUUAUGCUUUGACCUAUCACAUUUCAAAAUUUUCUCACAUAAGUCCUAUUUACUAAAAUUCACCUACAAUUAAACAAAAUUCAAACACGAAAUUUUCACACAUGCACAUGUACAUAUAAUGAGCAUCAAUUAUGACGGUUAAUUAUUUUUAUGACUCGGUUUAGCGGUCUCGAAACCACUUCCCGACUAGGGUCAAUUUUAGGCUGUCACAGAGUGUGCCUGAGUUCGGAGUCGCGUUAGGACUAUACACGGAGGAGUUCAUGGACGACGAUGACUUCGCCAGCCUCUAUCGCCAUAUCCACUACUUUCCUUCUAACUGUUGGAGGGCCCUCGUCCCUGCUUCGGCCACCUAUGACCCUAGUCGCUCCAAGGCAUCGACUCUUGCCCCAUCCUUGAGAUACCUACACGCCAUCCUAGCCCACACCCUGACAAGACGACGAGAGAGCACCGGUGACAUCAACACUAACGACGCCUAUUUUUUAUGGAGCAUGGAGCAUGGGCACGUAUUUGACCUCACUAUUUCGUUUCCCUCGCCAUUCGCCAUCAGGCGGAGCGGCAUAGGAAGGGAGUCAUUUUCAUCGGCCCUUAUGUGACUUGCCUGGCACGAUACUUCGGUCUCCUCAACACGGCGACGUAAGCAUCCUCCCUCACCCUCAUUGGUUAGAUAUCCCCACAGGGCAUCUCAAGUAUGCUGCAUAUGAGGAUAUUCGAGUGACGACAUGGAUUUGAUCCUCCCCAGUACCGCCUCAUCUAGUCAGCCGAGUAGGAGGACCCAGAGGACAUUGCCGAUGAUGUCCUUCCACCUCACGAGGAUCCAGCCUCUCAGGCACCACCUAUUCAUCAUCCAGUUCAUGCGGCGGCUUCACUCUCUGACAUCUCUGAGCGCCUCACUCGAUUUGAGCAGCAAUGUUUUUAGCGCUUUGAUCACAUUGAUGCAACUAUACAUAAGAUAUGUCAGCACCUUCACAUCUCAUCGCCGCCCCCACCUCGCGAACCAUCUAGCGAUAAAGAUGUUUAAAGACUUUUAUUUAUUAUUUUUAUGUUUUUACUUUUAUCUUUUUAAAACAACUUUUUAUUUUAUUUUUCUUUAAUUUUAUUUUUUACUACAUCCUUAGGUUUUAUAAUUUAUAUUAAACAAUUUAUAUUUUCAGCCAUUUCUUUAUGAGUAAUCAUGCUAUUUUAUAUUUCCUAAAGAAUUAUUGAUUUUAUCGUAGUUAUAAAGAGCUCCAAAGCUCACUAUUACUUAGGAAUUUGCAACUCCACUGGAAAAGGUUCUCCAUGACUGCCAUGUCCUACUCGACCACGACCAUAGCUACCACUAGAAUAUUCUUUUGGCGCAGGACUUGUGGACUAACGAACCUCUACCACCACCGGAGUAUCCUCCUCCAAUCUUACAUUUGCCUUAACCGACUACUCUCUAUGAAUCUAAUUCAAGGAUUCCAUUUAACAUUCAGGAAGUUUCACUCCUCUCCCUAUCUUGUGAUCUUAUAUCUAUAUUUUUCAGUAAAUCUAUCUUUGUACAUUGAGGACAAUGUACAUCUUAAGUUUGGGGGGGUUAUUUAUAUCAUUAUCAGAAAAAUCCCUGAAUUUUGUCUUGUUCUUAAAUAAUCUUCUCAUAUCAUUAUUAAAAUGAAUUUUGAUUAAUUUAUGAUUUUUAUUGAUAUGUCUUGAAUUAAAACAUAGGCAUUUAUGCAUUAAUUGUUAAACUUUAAGGAAUUAGAGAAUCAAGCAUGAUAAGUUGAUUUUUGAAAAUUAAAAAUUUUAGGUUGUUUCCCCAAGUUUAGGUAUUAUCUUGAGUUGAAAUUCACAGGUUAAACAUAAAAAACCCAUAAUUUUUGUGAGAUCUUGAGCCUUUAAAGCAUAUAUUAUUUCUUUCAUGCUCACUUUUAUUGUUGCUUUGAGUGCGUCAAUAUCAAAUUAUUACUCUAGAACUUGCUUGAUUAUGUAUGUCAAGACCAAACCUUUUGAAUUGAUAUGUCAAGAUGAUAAAGGCACUUAAGUUUAACCCACUCACUCCAUAAAAGCCUACCUUUAUAAUUAACCCUUAGUGAACCCCCUCUAGCUUAACAAGCCAUUCAUUGAUUUACCCUCAAUACUAACCCAUAAACCAUUAUUGUUGAAAUCCCCUCAUUUAAUUUAAUCCUUAUUUUUGUCGAGAUUUGAUUUGAAUAAAUUACUUAGCUAUGUUUUAGUUUUAGCAAAAUUCUAUGUUAAUUUGAUUUGUUCUUAAAAAAAUUAUGUAAUGCUUAGAUUAAAAUGAUGUUAUCCAUGAAGAAAAGUUCAAUUAGGAAUGUAAUUUGUUAGUUGUAUUAAUUUUUCUAGCUAGGUAAUUUUUCAAUUCAAUUUCGAUUCUAACCUUCUUUGUUAGCUUAUGACCACACCCCCUAACCAAAGCCAUUUACAACCCUCUAAAGACCUUUUGAUUGAUGUAUCUUCUAAUAUAUAGUGGUGGAGAGUUGAUUUUCACGUAAGCCUAUGGUAAUAACUUUUCAUAUUGACUAAUGAGUGCUUCAUUUGUUUUCCUUAAACACUUCGAGUGAUUUGAGUGAAUUGGUAGUGAGGAUGUUGAAUUCUGUUAUAUUUUGAAUCAAAGGUGAUUACUUAGAUGAGGGGAGACGCCUAAUGUUUUCAUGAUAAAAUGCUCAACUUGGAAUGUUUGAAAAUUUGAUAUUCUUCUAAUCGAAUUCUCAAUGUAUGAUUACUUAUGGUUUAUUUUGAGAUAUUAUUGAUAGGAAUUAUAAAUUGAGAAAAAUGAAAUAUUAAUUGUGAGUUGAGGAUUUUGCUUGAGGACAAGCAAACGCUUAAGUGUGGAGGUAUUUGAUAAAUCGUAAUUUAUACAUAUUUUUAUCCCAUGCUUAGCACAUUUAUGGAUGAUUUCUCCUUAGAUUUGGUGAAUUCGAUGAUCCUAAUCCUUUAAUUUCAUGUUUUAUACUUAGGUGAGCAUAGGAAAGUAAAAAGAGUGAGAAACGGGCCAAAAAUGGAAAAAAUGGGCCAACGUGGGAAAUCAACAUGGCCUGGACUUCCUUACACGGGUAGACCACACAUCCGUGUCUAUUCAAUAGACUCGAACACUGGUUGAAGCACUUGUACAUGGGCGUGUCACACGGGCGUGUCCCUGUCAAGCCCAAAUCUAGUCCUAUUCAGAAAAGGCCACUCUUGAGGGUUUUGAAGCAUUCUAAAGCCUAUAUAAACACCCCAAGACAUACCUAGAAAGGACACAUGGAGUAGGAGGCAAGGAAUUACUCGAAGGAAGCUGAUUGAUCCAUCUCAGAAGCCGGAUUCUCCUUCAAGACUGAAGAUCUCCCUUCAAUUUCCUUCGGGAUUUUUGGGUUUCUUUAUGUUUUGUUAUCAUUAUUCUUCUGAGAUGUUUUCUUUUACAUAUAUGAACUAAAUCCCCUAAAUACCUAAAGGAAAUGAAACCUAAGGCGGAUCUUGUUAUUAUUUUCUGAAUUGUAUGAUAAAUAUUUGACUUGUUCUUAAUUAUGAGUUCUUAAUUCUUUCUUUAAUAUUGCAGGAUAUUGAUUCAAGUAUUGAUGUGCUUAUUCAGAGGAGCAAAAGUCCCUAUCUAAUAGUAGAUCUAGCAUAAUUAAGCGGAGUUGAUUGCACCCCUAGACAUAAGGCGACAUAAUUUUGCCGGAUUAGGGUAAAACCUAAUAAGGGAAUCCAUAGAUCGAGUUAAUGCAACACUAGGGGUUUUAAUUAGAAAGAGAUUUCAAUUAAUCAACCUAGGGUUAGACAUUGUUAGUCUCGAGAGAGAUAAUAAUAUAACUUAGGGAUUUCCACGGAUCAAGUCAAGUGAAUAUAUCGUCUGAUUCAGAGUCAAAUAACAAGUGAAGUCUAAGUGGAUUUUCCUUUGGGUAUUGUCCAAAUCAAUUAAUUUUUCCCAAAAGUUAUUUCCCCAAUUUUCUUCCUAUGUAUUCUUAGUUUAGUUAAUUAAUUUAGAUAAAACAAACCCCUUUAUUUUUAGGCUAGAUAAUAAAAAGAGAGUUAAUACUAGUACUUUUAGUUCCUGUGGUUCAACAUUCCGGUCUUGCUAUAAACUAUACUACUGUUCGAUAGGUGCGCUUGCCUUUAUCGUGAUAAUAGUUAGAUUUCAAGUACGAUCAAUCAUAAAUUUAAAACUUAUCGUGAUUUGCUUCAAUGAAAAACCUUCUCAAUCCCCCAAUCCUGGAGACAUUUCUCAAGGGCUUGACCAAUGCUCUCAUCUCUAUGAGUAGAAAUUAGGAAAAAUUUUAUAAUUAUCUUUUGUAACUUCCACUCAUUAUCUAUCCAAUGAGAUAUUAGAACCAUGUAAGACAUCCUUUGCAAUGACGUCCAAGUGUUUGUCAUCAAACAAAUUCUACUUACCUCUUUUUAAAAAGAUUGUUUUAAUGUAUUCUUCAUGGAAUUAAACAAAUCAAGACAACAUUUUCUAAUUGUCCAAUGAGAUGGAAGAUGAAACAUUGGGCAUGCUAUAGAAAUAAAUAACUUAAAACCCUCCCCUUCCACAAAUAUAAAAAGUAAUUCAUCCACAAUGAUCUUAUGAAUUAAUCCAUUUCUAAUAUCAUCUUGGUUAAAUACCCAAGUUGACAAAUCUACAUUUUCUUGGCUAGAUUUUGUAAAUGCAAGUUUUUUUUGCUUAAUAUCAGAGAUAUUACCUUGGAGUUUUCUUGAGCAAAUCUUGUAACACCCCAAACCUGGCCUAGGUGUUAUGGUCGAAUCUGGAGAAGAGCUAUAGAACACCAAAGAAAUGUAAUCGUGAAACUAAGAGUGACAAGUGGCAUUGAAAAUAAAAGAAGAAUAAGCCAAGAUUUUGCCAAAAAGGGAAAAGAACGUCAAAAGAAAACUAAAGAAAAUGUUUUUAGGGGAUAAAAACAAAAAUAAAAUGGGCAUGAUGGCAUAUCCCUAACUUUCCUCUGAUUUCUAGCUAAAUCGAGACUCUCCUAAACAACCAAGAAAAAAAAAAUUAAGUACCCACACUCGCGCAGAGAUUCGAACACAAGACCUCCAACACACCAAUACCUUUACCACUCGAACCAGCAGGCUCAUUCUGAUAUGGUACUACAAUCAAUUUAAUAUAAGCCUAUUGAACAGAGAUAGGGCUUAAUUCUAAAAAAAAAAUUGCCUAAGCUAAGGCUUGAACUUGGGACCUCUCACAUACAUUCAGAGCGGUUAACCACUAAAGUAGAUACAUAGUUAUGUCACAUUUUCACAAAAGCAGAAAUAAGAAUUUUAGGGCGUCUUCAUAUGGUUAUUUAGAUUGGUGGUAGAAGCCCCAGUUUCCAUUGUGUAAGUAGCAUUGCAAUAAUUACACUUUGCCCUAUUCUCCCUAUCUUCAAUUGAGUAUUUGCUAAAAUGUUGCCAACAAGAUGCCCUUGGUUUGGUCUUUUUUCGAGUAUUUCCCUUCUUUGUUGUGCGGACAACUUUAGCAGGAAAAAUAGGUCUAACUUCUUGUAAUGUUUUUUUGGUUUGGGACGUUUGCGAUGAUAUUGAGUCAUUUAUCUUCAAAAAUAAAUAUAACCAGUUAAAAUUACAAAAAUGGUCAAGGGCCAUAAUUUCAUCAAAUUUUUAUACUCAUAGAUAUGUUCCACACAAAUAUCCAUCAACAAUUCAAAUUAAAGCAUUCAAAAUUAACUCAAAACAAAAACAAUAGAGUAGUUUAUAAAAUAUACUAAUUUAACUUAUCAAAUAUAUUAACGAAACUUAUAAUUGAGUAAAAGUAACAAAAUUUUAAAAAAUUGAGAAUAAAAAGCCAAAUUUUUAAAACUCUUGUUUGAAAAGUUGUUGUUCACAUAAAUAAUAAUAAAAAGAAAUAAAGUUUUCAAUAAAUAAUAUAAAAAAUCAAUAGUCAAAGAUGAAAGAAGCCAUGACCAUAACACUUAUUUUGGAAGAUUGGAGUGAGAUUCCCAAUCAUUUCAACUAAUGUUUAUAAUGGAUAGAGAUUAACAAAUUAUUUUAGCUUGCAAAUCAUUCUCAUCCACAUGUUCAGGAAUAGAAUUUGAAAGAGCUAAAAUCCCAUCACGUUUGUCACAUACUGCUUAAAUAAAUGUAAUAAACAUAACAUUAUUAGGCAUCAACAGGUUAAAGGUCGUGAUUUCUAGUUUUGGCCAAUACAUACUUUGUUACAAUCUAACAAAUUGGAUUAAGCUGAAGACUUGAGUGGGAAGUUAGCGUAAGGCAUUUUUUUCUUUCAUGUUAGGACAUUUGAUGCACUAUGUCUUCGUCUAUUUUUCAAACACACUAUUGGAAGAAUUAUGAUUCACGUGUUGUUUAAGAUAAAAAAUUGCAUGCCUAAAUAAUACUUAUCAGAAACAAAUAACGUAAUAGGUCAUGUUCGUUUUCACCUUUAAUAUCCAUGGCUUGGUCUUCAUCUAGAAUGUUGCAUUAAAGUAGCUAUAUUUGUUUUUUUUUCUUCUAUAAAAUUAAUUUAUUCAAAUAGUUUAUUAGUUUAAUUUGAAUUGGUUUUUAUAAUAUAUAAAUAUGCAUGACUUAAAUGAAGCUAAACCUACUAAUAAUGGUUAAUUAAACUUUCAAUAAUGAGAAUGAAUAACAAAACCUGGAAACCUUGACUAGUAAAGACAGACCCUUAAAUUCAUAAAAAGGCAGGUAGACGAGGCAAUCUUGAAAUGAGAAUUUUUUAAAUGUGUGAUGAGCUAACUUAGUUGGGAUUCCCUCUAGCAUUGAUAUUGUAACAACCCGAUUUAGGGCCUAGUUGGAACAGUGGUCUCGAGACCACAAAUUUGAAGUUAGAAAAUUUAUUUUUUUAUUAUUUUUAUGAGAAUAUGGUACAAUUAUAUUACUGCAGGAAAAAUUAGGUGAGUUAAUUUUAGCGAUUUCUAGUCCAAUUUCGAAAAAUGACUAAAUCGUAUAAAAGGAAAAAGUUACAUUUUAGUACCCAAAUGUGUUAAAUAACUAGAGAAUCAAAAUUGAGGGCUUUUAAAGGGCAAUUACACUCUUUUUAAUAGUGUUAGCCGGCCAUGGAGUGAGGGGAGACAAAAUUGUCAAAGUUAGGUGAAGCUUAGGUCACCAAUUUUGACUAGUUUCAUUUUUAAUAAAAGAAAAAGAAAAAGAAAGAAAAAGAUAUCAUCUUUUCUCCCUUCUUAGCUGAAAAUAUCAGCAAAUAUUUGGGGUUUAAGAGCUUGAAAUUUCAGCAACUUGAAGCACUCAUAAGUAAGUGAUUUUGAUAGUUUCUCUUAAUGAUUUUUGCAUUUUUGAGACCCUUGAAGCAUGAGCUUUCAAAUGAGGGUGAUAUCUUACAAAAUAGUCAAGAGUUUAGGAUUUUUCCAUGGAUGUAUUUGUGAUAUAUGAUGAGUUUUUAUGGAAGAAUAUGAGUCCUAGUUGUGUUAUAAACAACUUUUGUGAAAGGUGUUAGCAUGAAAACACUUGAAGGGACUAUUUUGCAUAAGUUGCAAAAUAGGUGGUUAGUAUGUGAAAUAGUGAGAAUUUGGGAUUGCUCUAGUAGUAAAUAGAGUUUAUCUAGGCUUGAAAUACGAAGAAAUUAGAUAAAAAUUGAUUUUCGAGCAUAGGGGUGAAAUGGUCAUUUUGCCAAGGCCUAAGGGCAAAAUGGUCAUUUUACCAAAAUUGUGAAGUUAUUAAUGCCUAAUUAUGUUUUGUGACUAAAUGGAUGUAUAUUGUUAAUAUAGAUCAAGAUUUGCCAAAAUUGAGCCUAGACUGGGGCAAAGCCAAGCAAUCCGAUUAAGCCGUCUAGUCAAGCACUUUUUGUAAUCCGAGGUAAGUUGUAUGUAAAUAAUACAACUACACUGUUAAUACUUGUAUUCAUAUUGUCAUUGAAUUGAUAUUGUACGAGUUGUUAAGUUAUAAAUUGAGAAUGCCUUGUAAUAUUUGAUAUAGUAGAAAUAUCCCGUUGAAACCUUAGGAUAUGAACUGGAUAUUCGUGCCAAGACAUGGGGUGAUUUGUGCGCCAGUGUAAGACAUGUCUGGAACAUGCUUCAGCCACAUUAUGAGAGCCAUUGUAAGACCAUGUCUGGGACAUGGCAACGGCAUCCAGACGAGGGCUAGUGUAAGACAUGUCUAGGACAUGCUUCAGCCAUAUUAUGAGAGCCAGUUUAAAACCAUGUCUGGGACAUGGCAUCGACAUAGAAAUGAGUGCCAUAGUAAGACAUGUCUGGGACAUGCAUUGGCCUCGACAAAGAUAGCCAUUGUAAGACGUGUCUAGGACAUGCAUCGGCUAAGAGUUGUGCUAGUGUAAGACAUGUCUGGGACAUGCAUCAGCACGUAUAUAUGAGAGCCAGUGUAAGACCAUGUCUGGGACAUGGCAUCGACAAUGUAUCCCAUGUUGAAGGUUCAUAGAAUAUCCAGUAGUAUUCCAAACGGUUCAAUGGUGAAAGUUGUAGUUCAAUUUAAUAAAGAAAUGAUGAUCAUGUUACAAGUGUUACAGGUACCUAUAUGAUAGGCAUGAGUAACGAGCUAAUUUAGAAAAUGAGACUCGAGUAGAUGAUAAUGAGUAAGUUAAGUUAUGUUUACCUUUGAGCUAUAAGCAUGAUGGUAAAUGGUGAGAUUCUUGUAUAUUUAUUUAUAUGCGACUUACUAAGCUUUAUGCUUACCCCCUUUUCUUUCCCUCUUAUUUCAGUAUUGCCAGGUUAGGUUAAAAGUCCCGUAAAGUCAGAGAUAUCGAUCACACAUCAGCCACAACACUCGGUAUAGUUUGAUUUAUAUUUUUGAAGGUGACAUGUGUAGAGCUAGACUAGGAUGUUGUAUUAAGAGGAUUAUUCAUGUAUUUUGGCUCCAGUCAAAAGCCUUUUCACUUUGUAUUAAGUCUGGAAUAGUGGUUAUUAUUCAUUUUCAUGAAUGAAUAUAAUGUUCUUUCUAUGGAUGAAUUGGUGCCCAUUAUGAUGAAAUUUGUAUAUUGACAGGAUCUUGUAUAGGUUGUGCAAAAUGGGUGACAAAAUGGCUUGGGAAAUAGCCUAGUUUGUCCACACAGGGAAGACAGACGAGCGUGUGUCUAGAUCGUGUGUGACACACGGCUCUCACCCAUGGGUGUGUGUCAUGGCCGUACGUCCCCUGCACUUAAAAUUUUAAAGUCAUUUUAGUACACGGGCAGGCCACACGGGAGUGUGCCGAUGCCGUGUCAUAAAGUCAGUAUGCAUGCUAGUGGUACACGGGCAAGAGACACGGUCGUGUGUCUUGGCCAUGUGAAGGACACGGUUAUAGGGCACGGGUGUGUGCUUGGGCCAUCUGGUUUUGGCAGAAUGCCCAGGUUUUCAGACACGGGUUCGGGACAUGGGCGUGUCCCUAGCAUACGGUCAUGUGUUCUAUACCCACACGGUCAUGUGGAGUCUUGAUGCAUGAAAUUUUCUCAGUCUUUCAUGAGUUCUCAGUUGGGUUCCGAACCACCCUAGAUGUAUGUUUUGGGCCUCAUAAACCCGUAUAUGAGACAAAUUUCUGGUGAAAAGAGAAGUUUUUAAAUUGUUCAAAAUUUCACGGCCCAGUUUAUACAGUUGGUUGAGUUUAAGUAAGGUAGCACCAUAAACCCUAUCCUAGCAUUGGAUACGGGCGAGGGGUGUUACAUUUGGUGGUACCAGAGCAUUGUUUAGUCGAUUCUAGGACUAACCUCGCUAAAGUACGAGUCUGGCCAUACAUGCCAUAUAUAUAUUUAUAGUGUGACGAUUCUUGACAAUUAUAAAUUGUGUUUUUCUUAUAUAGUAAAUGGAUCCUGAUAGAACCACAGUAGAUGACGUGAAAAGUAAUACGUUGGCUCCCGCAAAAGGGACCGCACCGAUAGAGAGUGAGCCCGUAAGUAUAGGCCAAAGCAGAGGGGCUAGGGAAGCCUACCUCCGAAUGAUGAAUGCUUGGUACACAGAGUUCAUUCGUGUGAACCCGAACGCUCCACCUCCCGCACCUCCUCUGAUUCCUCAGUAUGCCCUGGUGGCUCCGCAAGGUCGGAUAUGUUCAGGAGGGAAAAACCUCUGGUAGAAAAGAUUCGGAAGCAAGGGGCCAAGGAACUUCGGGCUAGUAUAGAUGAUGACCCAGGGAGAGCUGAGUUUUGGCUAGAGAAUACCAUGAGGGUAUUUGAUGAGCUACCAUGCACACCAAUAAGUGCAUGAAGUGUGCCGUGUCAUUCCUACGAGACUCGGCUUAUUAGUGGUGGAACACUCUCGUGUCUGUUGUACCGAGAGAGAGGAUCACUUGGGAAUUUUUCCGAGAAGAGUUUCAAAAGAAGUAUAUUAGCCAGAGGUUUGUGGAUCAAAAAAGGAAGGAAUUUCUAGAGUUGAAGCAAGGUAGUAAGACUGUGACAGAGUAUGAGCGUGAGUUUGUGAAGCUCAACAAAUAUGUGUGAGAAUGCGUAUCCACUGAAGCUACUGUGUGUAAGAGGUUUGAGGAUGGCCUCAAUGAAGACAUUCGAGUGUUUGUAGGCAUCCUAGAGUUAAGAGAAUUCGUGGUGCUCGUUGAGAGAGCAUGUAAAGCAGAAGAACUGGUGAAAGAGAGGAAGAAGGCGGCCAUUAAGUCGCGAGAUUUAAAGAGAAGAAAAAUGGGGAAAAUGCAUCAGUCUUCCUCCAAGAGGUCGAAAGAAAUUAAUACCUGAUCGAACGCUUCAAUGGGAUUUUCAUGGAGGAACAAGAAUCAACAGAAUAUGACGUCUACAGCCCAGACCACUUCGGUUGCUAGUUUCGGCAGUAUAUGGCCAAAUAGGAAGGAGUGUAUGCAAUGUGGGAGACGCCACUUGGGUGAAUGCUGAGUAAAUGAGAGGGGCUGUUUCAAGUUUGGGUCGUUAGGCCACUUCAUCCGAGAUUGUCCUGAAAUAAAUGACAAGGAGAAAAAUCAAGAGAUGAGAGCGAGUAGUGCUCCUUUGAGGGGCAGACCCCAAAGGAAUACGGGCAGUAGAGCUAACAGUGAGGCGUAACUAGAGAUGCAGUGGCAAGGUCCGAGGGCAGAGCGCCUGCAAGGACCUAUGCUAUACGAGCCCAUGAAGAGGUAGAGUCUCCAGACGUGAUCGCGGGUACCUUUUCUAUUAAGAUAUAACUGUUUCGCUAUUAUUGACUCGAGAUCUACCCACUCUUACAUAUGUAUGGAAUUAAUACCUCGUAUAAACAUGCUAGUAGAGUCCACUAAGUUUGUAAUAAAAGUGUCUAACCCGUUAGGCAAGCAUAUAUUAAUAGACCGAGUAUGUAGAAAUUAUCCUUUGGCGAUUAGAGGCCAUUGUUUUCCGGCCAACUUGAAGUUGUUGCCGUUUAAUGAAUUCGAUGUAAUUCUUGGGCUGGAUUGGUUGAUCUCUCAUGGCGUUGUAGUAGAUUGUGGGAGAAAAGUAAUUCAGUUAAGAUGUGAGGAUAGAAAUUGGGUCAGACAAGUCAUAUAACUUGUCUGUGGUAAUAUCAUCUUUGACUGCCAAAAGAUAUUUGAGAAAAGGUUAUAAAGCUUAUCUAGCUUUUGUGCUAAAUACCCAAGUGUCCAAGUCUAAGAUUGAGUCAAUACCAGUGGUUUGUGAGUUUAUAGACGUCUUUCCGGAGGAGUUACCAGGGUUACCCCUAAAGAGAGAGGUUGAGUUUGGUAUCGAAUUGGCUCCUAGUACGACGCCAAUCUCGAUUGCACCUUAUAGGAUGACCCGCACCGAGUUCAAGGAUUUGAAAGUACAGUUGCAAGAGUUAACAGAUAAAGGUUUUGCUAGACUGAGUUAUUCACCAUGGAUUGCUCCGGUACUUUUUGUGAAAAAGAAAGGUGGGUCGAUGAGGUUAUGUAUCAACUAUAGACAGCUUAACAAGGUGACAGUGAAGAACAAGUAUCCCUUGCCGAGGAUUGAUGACCUCUUCAAUCAAUUGAGAGGAGCCACUACAUUUUCCAAAAUAGAUUUGAGGUCAGGUUACUACUAGUUAAGAGUCAAGGAACAAGAUGUAUCGAAGACCGCUUUUCGGACGAGAUAUGGGCAUUCCAAGUUUCUUGUUAUGCCUUUUGGAUUAACAAAUGCCCUGGUAGUAUUUAUGGACUUGAUGAACCGCAUCUUCCUGCCGUCCUUGGAUAAGUUCGUUUUCAUUUUUAUUGAUGACAUAUUGAUUUAUUCGCGUGAUGAGAGUGAGCAUGCAGAACAUUUAAGAACUGUGUUACGAAAUUUGAGGGAUAAACAACUUUAUGCUAAGUUUAGUAAGAGCGAGUUUUAGCUUAAGGAAGUUGGAUUUCUAGGACACAUUAUGUCGAGUGAUGGGAUCAAAGUUGACCCAAAUAAUAUCUCAGCUAUUGUAGAAUGGAAACCGCUGAGGAAUGUAACAGAGGUUCGUAGUUUUCUAGGGCUAGCAGGGUAUUAUAGACAUUUUGUAAAUGGAUUUUCUAUGAUAGCUAUACCGAUAACAAGACUGUUGUAGAAAGAUGUCAAGUUUGAAUGGACAGAAAAGUGUCAGCAGAGUUUUGAGAAAUUAAAGGCUUUGUUGACUGAAGCCCCAAUUUUAGUGCAAUCGGAGUCGGGUAAAGAAUUUGCAAUUUAUAGUGACACCUCCUUAAAUGGUUUGGGGUGUGUACUCAUGGAAGAAGGCAAAGUUAUAGCCUAUGACUCGAGACAGCUAAAACCUCAUGAGAGGAAUUACCCGGCCCAUGAUUUAGAGCUAGCAGCUGCGGUGUUCGCACUAAAAAUUUUGCGACACCAUUUAUAUGGUGAGAGAUGCUGAGUAUUUACCGAUCACAAGAGUCUAAAGUAUCUAAUGACUCAGAAAGAGUUGAAUUUGAGGCAACGACAAUGGUUAGAGCUAAUAAAAGAUUAUGAGUUGAUCAUUAACUACCAUCUAGGAAAGGCGAACGCAGUCACCGACGCUUUGAAUAGAAAGUCAUUGUUUGCUUUGAGAGCUUUGAAUGCUCAGUUGAUCGUAUCUAAUAAUGGUUCGAUCCUAGAAGAGUUGAGAGUUAGGCUGACUUUUCUUCAUGAGAUCCGAGAAGCUCAGAAAAGUAAUGAGAAGUUGUAAGCUCAGAAAAGUCAGUGUGAGUCAGGUGUUGAAUCAGAUUUUCAGAUUGGAACCGACAGAUGUUUAAUAUUCAAAGGUAAAGUUUGUGUACCUAAAGAUAAUGAGCUCAUUCAUAAGAUCUUACAAGAGGCACACAGCGGUUGUUCAUCAGUUCACCCAAGUAGCAUGAAAAUGUACAAUGACCUUAAGAAGAUGUAUUAGUGGUCGGGUAUGAAAAAAGACAUUUCAGAGUUCAUUUCCAAGUGCCUAGUGUGUCAACAAGUAAAGGCUGAACAUCAAGUGCCUUCAGGUUUACUUCGGCCUAUUAUGAUUCCCAGGUGGAAAUGGGAUCGUAUCACCAUAGAUUUCGUGACCAGUUUACCAAUAACCCUGAAAAAGAAAGAUACAGUACGGGUUAUUGUUGAUAGACUCACUAAGUCAGCACACUUCAUACCAGUGCGUGCCGACUACUCCCUUGAAAAGUUGACCUACUUGUAUGUUUCUAAGAUUGUGAGGCUUUAUGGUGUACCGUUAUCAUUGUAUCUGAUCGAGACCCGAGGUUCACCUUGAGGUUUUGGAAAAAGUUACAAGAGGCUCAAGGAACCAAGUUGAAUUUCAAUACGGCAUUUCAUCUGCAAACUGACGGACAGUCGGAAAGAAUAAUACAGAACUUAGAAGACAUGUUAAGGUGCUCCGUUUUUGAAUUUCAAGGAUGUUGGGAAAAAUACUUAUCAUUGGUUGAAUUCACUUACAACAACAGCUAUCAGUCGAGUCUGAAAAUGGCACCUUAUGAAGAUUUGUACGGGCGGAAGUGCCGAACACCCUUAUUCUGGACCGAGUUAAAAGAGAAUUAGAUUCACGGGGUGGAUUUGAUUAAAGAGGCUAAGGAAAAAGUUAAGGUGAUUCGUGACUGUUUGAAAGCUGCCUCAGAUAGACAAAAACCUACACGGAUUUGAAACGAAGGGAGAUUGAUUUGAAGUAGGGGAGAAGGUAUUUUUGAAAGUUUCCCCAUGGAGGAAAGUCCUCAGAUUUGGUAGAAAAGGCAAGUUGAGUCCUCGUUUUAUAAGACCUUAUAAGGUUACUAAGAGAAUGGGGCCUGUUGCCUACCGUUUGAGUUUGUCACCAGAGUUAGAAAAGAUUCACGACGUAUUUCAUGUGUCCAUGCUACGCCAAUACAGAUCUGAUCCUUCACAAGUAAUUACGCCAACUGAAGUUGAUAUUAUUUCAAAAAUGACUUAUGGUGAAGAACCAGUCAAGAUCUUAGCUCGAGAGGUCAAACAGUUAAGAAAUAAGAAUAUACCACUUGUGAAGGUUUUGCGGCAUAUACAUGGAAUCGAGGAAGCCACAUGGGAAACCAAGGAGUCUCUGAGCGAGCAGUAUCCAAACUUAUUGACCGGUAAGAUUUUCGAGGACGAAAAUCCCUAAGGAGGAGAAACGUAACAACCUGAUUUAGGGCCUAGUUGGAACAGUGGUCUCGGGACCACAAAUCCGAAGUUAGAAAAAUUAUUUUUUUAUUAUUUUUAUGAGGAUAUGGUACAAUUAUAUUAGUGCAAGAAAAAUUAGGUGAGUUAAUUUUAGUGAUUUCUAGUCCAAUUUCAAAAAAUGACUAAAUCGUAUAAAAGGAAAAAGUUACAUUUUAGUACCCAAAUGUGUUAAAUAACUAGAAAAUCAAAAUUGAGGUCUUUUAAAGGGAAAUUACACCCUUUUUAAUAGUGUUAGCCGGCCAUGGAGUGAGGAGAGACAAAAUUGUCAAAGUUAGGUGAAGCUUAGGUCACUAAUUUUGACUAGUUUCAUUUUUAAUAAAAGAAAAAGAAAAAGAAAGAAAAAGCUAUCACCUUUUCUCCCUUCUUAGCUGAAAAUAUCAGCAAAUAGUUAGGGUUUAAGAGCUUGAAAUUUCAGCAACUUGAAGCACUCAUAAGUAAGUGAUUUUGAUAGUUUCUCUUAAUGAUUUUUGCAGUUUUGAGACCCUUGAAGUAUGAGCUUUCAUAUGAGAGUGAUAUCUUAAAAAUUGUCAAGAGUUUAGGAUUUUUCCAUGGAUGUAUUUGUGAUAUAUGCUGAAUUUUUAUGGAAAAAUAUGAGUCCUAGUCGUGUUAUAAACAACUUUUGUGGAAGGUGGUUAGUGUGUGAAAUAGUGAGAAUUUGGGAUUGAUCUAGUAGUAAAAAGAGUUUAUCUAGGCUUGAAAUACGAAGAAAUUCUAUUAAAAUUGAUUUUCAGGCAUAGGGGUAAAAUGGUCAUUUUACCAAAGUUGUGAAGUUAUGAAUGCCUAAUUAUGUUUUGUGACUAAAUGGAUGUAUAUUGUUAAUAUAGAUCAAGAUUUGCCAAAACCGAGCCUAGACUGGGGCAAAGCCAAGAAAUCCGAUUAAGCCGUCUAGUCAAGCACUUUUUGUAAUCCGAGGUAAGUUGUAUGUAAAUAAUACAACUACACUGUUAAUCCGAAAAUUUUGAAUUUUUUUGAGUCAAUCCGAAUAACUCAAACUAUUUAGUUCAAAUUUUGAAUUUUUUAUCUAAUUUUUCAAAUCGAGUUGGAUUUUGCUCACCCCUACUCGUGAGUAUGAAAACAACAAUAUGAAUGUUAUUUAACCCAUUUAGGUGAUGAACAUGGUUUUGAUCAUACUCAAAAAAUAAUUGAUAAUGUCCGUGGUGAAGGGUGAAAAAAUGUAUAAUUUUAUAGUCAUUUGAUUGGACAAUUGAUGGUCCUCUAAUAUGACUAUAUAUGUUACACCAAGGAAUAAUGUUAAGAAAAAUAAUGUUAUUUGACUAUGAAUGCAAAAAGUGUUAAAGUUAUGUAUUGACUUUGAAAAGAAGAUAUGACAAAUAGAAAAUAUAUUGUCUAGUUUCACCAAGGAAUUCGAGGCCUCUUUACAACUUACUUAGUGAAAUAAACAUGAUGUAUGGUUUCAUAUAUAUGGUGAUUGUGAAACUAAUUUCUUCGAUAUCAAGAAAUAAGUAAAGUAGCCAAAUAUGAAAUUAUCAUGAUAAGAAAAAAUAAAGUGAUCAUCAUAAUUUGAUAAUAGUAGAAAGGAUAUCAUUGGUAGCAUUCUUUUGUGAAAGAAUGGGUAAUUUAACAUGGUGCGGAUGUUGGACUUGUGAAUUUUCAAGAUAAAAAUAAAUAUAAAUUUUUACCCUAUGGUAUAAAUAAUUAACAUAGCUAUGUUGAAAAUUUGGAAAUCUAGGGGUAAGGUACAAGCUUUAUAAUAUUCUAGUCAUCCAUGAUGGAAACUCAACUCAAUGCUUAGAAUAACGUCAAGUCUUGAGUUCAAUAAGACAAAGUACAACAUCAGUAUGUGACUGCUAGCACUAUAAAAUAAUAUAUAAUAUAUCAUUUCAAGGGAAAAAGUGUUAGGUAUUCGUAGUGAUAAGGAAAGUGUGAGAGUAUUAUACUUUUAAUAAGCCUAUAACAUAAAUAUGUUAAAGUAUUAUAAUUACAGGAAUACUCUUGAUGGGAUAUACCUAUGUGAGUGGAAGUGUGGUUGUUUCAAAGAGCUCAAAGGACUUGGCUUUGAGAACACUCAUGAAAAAAGGUUACAAACACAUGGGCAUAAUAGUGUCCCUGGAUACUGUGCAUUUACCGGUGUUGAAAUCAUUGUGUGAGAUAUGUUCAGUUAAUCAAAUGGAAUAGUUGGUUCAAAGCAUAGUCUAUCAUGCAAUUUCGAUUAAAUUUAAUAUGUUUUCACUAAGUGAAGGUUCAAUUAUAAGAGACAUUCAUUUAUGCAAUUGAUUUCCAAGAUUAUCAAAAUCUAGAAUAUUUUGAAAAUUGGGGGAGACUGUUGGAACAUUUUCAAAAUAUAUAUAGUGUUCUAAUAGUUGCAAAUGAAAAAUUAUAAGUAAUUAAAAGUUAUGUCACUUUAUUAUUGAAAAAUAGUCAUAAUUAUUCAAAUAGAUAUAUAUUGAAUAAUUAUAUUUAUUGCUAAAGGUAUGACUAUCCAUUUUGGUAGUUAUGUCCCUAUGAAGACACAUGAGACCUCUUAUAAAUAGGAAAUAAAUUUUAUUUGUAUGACACACCUAAAAAUGUAGAAAAAAAGUUUCUUUCUAUUCUCUCACCAUCUUUUAUAUUUCUAGAUUGUUUUAUAAAGAAUUACUGUAGAAAUUUUUUAUAGAAAUUAAUAUUCUUGCUAUGCUUUGCUCAGUGCUUAGUGAAUUGUUUCCGUGAGUGUAGAACAUAAACAAUCGUUGGGCUUCAUUGUAUCCUCGAGGUUCAAUUGUCAGUAACAUUUUUGCACACCAUGAUAUAGGUGGGGGCAAAUAGAACCUUAAAGAAAGUAGCAUUAGUACACGCCUUGAAGCCUUCGUUAAUUUCUUAUAAGUUUAUUUUUAUCCCUAUGCAUCAAGAUAUCUGGACUUAGAGCAUGUUUUAAUUUUUAAUUUUUUUAUUCUAGAAUAUGUCAAAACAAAUAAGCAAUCCAAUCGAAAUGUGGGCGAAAAAUCUUACUAAUUUUUAAUAUAGAAAAGGGUUUAGGGAUUUGAAAAAACAAAAUUAUGUUCAAACAAUAGUACAUAUCUACAUAACUUUAGUUUUAGCAUUUAAAAUUUUUUUUUUUUGGAAUUUAAGAAUUUAUAUUUGAUGGUGCAAAAUUUAUAUAUUGUCAAUAAAUUAAAUGAUAUUAUUUUAUAAAAAUUAAAAAAUACAAAAAAUUUCAUUUUAAAUAAUAUAACAUUACAUAAUUCACUAAUAUUUCAUAAAUUUUGUGGGGUUAUAAAUUUAAAAUUUAUUAUAAGGUUGAACCAUAUAUUAAAAAAUGUAGUGAGAUUAAUCUUGUCUUUUUCGUUAGCCAUUCAAUUGGGAAAUUAAUCUAAUAAAUUUGUUAAAGGUUUUUUUAAUGAAUGUGUUAAAUUCCAAUUCAUAUCCAAUUUAUUUAUAGUGGGCAAAUUCAAUGGAUUGUUCGGCAGAAGUUGGGUGUCUAAUUUAUUUGGGUAAAGUUGACAUUAUAAAUAGUGAAUGUAUGAUUUGCUUAAUGAGUCUAGAUUAAUUUUUGGCAAAUAUGGGUAAGUCUUGACAAAAUUUUAAGCUCAUAUUUCAGGUCGCAUCAAAUUUGGAUAAGCAUAAAAUAUAUUAAUAUCAUGUUUAGACUUAACCUGAACUCGACCAAAUCCGCCACAUGAACACCUCUUAUUUCCUAUUGUUGGGAUAAUGCCUCAGCUUCACCUUGAAACUCAUAGGCUCCAUGACUGAAUUACUAAGACUCUACAAAGAUGUAAUGACACUAUUCUUUUUCGUGGCCAUUGGUUUGCUAGGAUUAACAUGUUGCUGACUUGCACCUUAUAAAAUAAUAAUUUUUGUUCUUAACAUUUACAAUAUUUUCGGUUAAUUUGAUCAUUACCUUUUAAAAUUAUAUAAAAAUUUAAAAAAAAGGAAAAAACCCUUUUUAUUUUUUAAAUAAAAGUUUAUAAUUAAAAAUUAUAAUUCUUAAAAAAUGUUAUGAAUAUUUUAUGCAGUGGAUGUCCAUCAUAAUCAAGAUAAAGUUUUGAUGUACCUUAAAUUCUAAUAGUUAUAAGAAUUAGAUCUCUACUUCUUUUAUACUUCUUAUUCCUAUAAAUAGAGACUCUGAUGAAGCAUUGUAAAUCACCCCUUUUGAUCAAUAAAUUACAUUCUCUAUUGCUUUCAUAUUUUCUUUGUUUUUUAUUCUCUCCAUAUCUCUUUAUUUUAUAACACGUUAUCAGCAUAAUGAUUCUCUAUUUUUUUCUUUUAAUAUCUUUUGAAGUCUCCCCCUAAUCCAAUUCCUCUUUCAUCUUAAACUUUCACCUUCACAACUGCAUCUUUAGGAUAUUGAAAGAUUCAAUCUCAUAAUGGAUCAUGGUGAUGAUGAUGAUGUUAAAGAUCUUUAGGUAUAUUUUACUAUUUUUCAUUUAUUACAUCAUGUUUAUUAUAAUUGGAGACUAAUCAUGACAAAAUUAAUAGAUAGAUUAUGAUUUAAAAUCCACACAUGUUUGCGAUGGUGCUUAUGAAAUAAAGAAUCUAUUGGGAUGUUUAUAAGUCCGUCCUACUAGAUUUGUUGCAUUCCUCGAAGUGAAUGUAAACGUAAAGAAAAUUAAAUAUAUAAUCAUGGACCACUAAAAGUGGGAACAUAGUAAUAAAUAAGAGAACAAUGAGAGUUCCUAAGAUAACUCUUCAAAGGAUAAAGAUAACUUAUGUUAUCAAUGUGAUAUGAAAUAUAUUGGCCAUAUAUCUAGCAUAUGCCCAAAUAUUUUAUUUCUAUUAAUAUUCUUUGAGGAAGAAUAUGAAAAUGUAGUAAUGAAUUCUAUCAUUAUAGAUAGAAAAUAUUUAUCUUAUUUGGUACUAAAACAAACAAAUAUUAUUCCAAUAUUUGAUAGUAUAAAAUUAGUCGAAAGCUCCAGAAGAGCUAAUAUAUCACUAUCUAAAAAGCACAAAAUUUGUGAUGGAUAAUACAUUACUUUUAAAAGUUAUUUGUAAUGGAUCUCAUAUUGAGAUUGUGAAUGAGAAAAAUAUUAUAUUUCAUAUGAAUAAAAAAGGGGAUUGAGUUAUUAAUUUAUAUUUAUUUUAUAAUCUUUGUGAUAUUCUUUUGUCAUCAUCCCUAUUAAAGGGUUGAAAGCAAAAUAUUUGACAGUGAAAGAUCUACUUAUGAGCGAUAGAAUAUGAUAAUUUAAUCUAAAGCUUAUUAUGGUUGGAUGCACCUAAAGUUGCAAGUUUUUUAAAAAAAAACUGUGAGUAUAACUCUAUAGUAUUUAGAAUAAGUCCUCAAUUAAAAUUAUAUGGUAAAAUAUUAUUGAUGAGAACUUGAAAGAGAGAAAAAUUUUGUAUGAAAAGUCAUUGGUUAUGUACAUGUUGUACACCUGGAAAAUAAGAUCCACUCUCAAAGUUUUCUAUUAAUAGAUUUUUAGGCAUUUGAAGAUUUUAGCAUAUUCCCUGAAGUGAAUAUUGCAUACAAUUAUUUGGAAAUUAUAUUUAUUAACUUGGUGGCAUUAUAGACUUCACAUUGAUUUAGACAUUUUCAGUAGUAAAUGUCACAAUAGUACUUAUGUGGAUACAAAUUAAAAGGAAUGAUAAUAAAAUUUUUAAUUUGUUACAAUUUAGUACAAUUGAAACACAUGUUAUGUAACGCCCCAAAAUUUUGGUAAUUUCGGUUUUUGCGAUUAUUGAGUGUGAAAAUAUUGAAACUUUUGUUUUGAUUCUUUUUUGUAUAAAUAUAUGUGGUUAAGAGGUUGUGUGCUUUGAGGUGUGUCUUGGAGGUCCCAAGUUCAAGCUUUAAAUUUGGCUAAAUUUUGGUUUUUAUUGAAUAAAGCCUGACUUUAGGUUAGUGGGCUUUUAAGGAAUUGUUGGUAAAAACUUAACAGAAUGGGCCUACUGGUCUAGUGGUUAAGUGACAAGAGUUUAUCUUAGAGGUCUUGUGUUCGAAUCCUGGCUUGGGCAUUAUAUUUGCCACUAGGGCCGUGAUAGAAUUGGAGGUGAACUAAAAUUCUAUAGUGGUAGGGUUUAUCAGAUUUUUCUGAGUGGUUUCCCCCAAAAGAACUCUCUCUGUCGUAACUCCCUAUUAUUUUCCUCCAUCCACGUUCUUUUUCUUUUCUAUUUUGCUGAAAUUUCCCCUGCAUUCCUCCCAUUCAUGUUGAUUUCAUACUAACGGGCUUCUAAGAUUCAUUGACGUUCUCCUCAUUGGUAAGUUUUCUGUUUCGCUCGACUUGUAUAUUGUUUGAGUUAAGUGUCUAGUAAGGGGUUUCUAUUGUUUGAUCGGAGUGGAUCAAGGGGCUGAAAAACAGCUAUUAACGCUUUAAGGAUUCAGGUUUGCUACUUUUUAUUCAAGGGUAAGUUGAUCGUCCGUUGAGUGGAUAUUUCAUUUGAGGUUAAGUGACAACACUCGUUUAUGAGGUUCUAAUAGGUUGGAUAUACUGAUUAUAGGUCUUAAAGUGCUCGAGAUUGCGUUAAGCUACAAUCAAAACCAGGUGUGUACUCCAAUAGAUCUGAAAUCGCGUUUCAACGAAAGUCGAAAACGUUACUGUCGAUGCCACGCUGGAGUGCAAACAGGUCGUGUGGCGAGACACGACUGUGUGAUCGAUGAACUAGGCCGUGUGCCAUACGGGCACAACGGACACAGGCGUAUGAUGGCUUGUAGGCUGUGUGCGGGGCACGGGCUUAAGUAAAUGGGUCGUGUAACCCACACAGGUGUGUGGGCCCACACGGGCAAGGCAUACAGGCUUGUGAGCCCCUUUAAUCUGAAAUGUUUUGUAAGGUUGCACGGGUCACCCAAGUCGACUGUGACUUGUAGUAGGGUCGGUAAGCCUUAACUAGACUAUUAAUUCUGGGAUGUAUGUGUUCGCAUGAUAUACUUAGCAUGGUUAUCUGACCUGUUCUGUAAAUAAAUGCAUGAUCUAUUUGUCUACAUUACAGCAUGCCAUAUUUGUAUGAUACAUUGCAUCGGGGCGGGUUUGACGAAGUGAAGGAAGUAUCUGAAGGGCUUCAUAAGCCUAUUAUCUGGCAGCUAAGCUGCAUACUUAUGAUAUGAAUCGCGAUGCGGUACCUUAUAGUGUGUAGGGUUGGACGGGUCGAUUAUAUCCCCAUAUAUGGUGUACAGGGAUGGGUGGGUCGAUUUUAUCCCCACAUGGUGUAAUGGUUGGACGGAGAUGGUGUGUAGGGCUGGUGGGCAUGAUAUUUCUGAUAUCUAAUCUGUUAUGCAUGCAAUAUUUGUAUGCCUAAGGUCGAAUAACUAUAUUCUGUUAUCUGUUUGUAUGCAUGCUGUUUAUGGGGAUAUACACACUGAGUUUGCGAAACUCACCCCUUUGUUUAUUUUAUUUGUAGAGUAAUCCUCGGCAGUAGAUGGAUCAAUGUGACGGAGGGCUCGAUGGUGACCACUAGUAGACAUUCACGAAUUUUUGAGUAACACUUUAUUUUGUCAACUUUAUUUAAAUAUAUGUUUUGGGAUUUUAAAUUGUUAAAUUAUUGAUUUAUGAGUUAAUGGUGUUUUAGCUUCCGCGUUAAUGAAAUAUUUUCAGUUAAUAUUUGGAAUAGAUAUUUCACGACUUAAGUAAAGAUAACGAAUUGGAUGAUUUUUAACUUGCUAAGGUUUUCCUAAAAAGCACUCACGUAUGACGCUGCCAGAUUCGACUAUAGCUUCUAGGCCGGGUUUAGGGGUGUUACAUUUAGUGGUAUCAGAGCCUGGUUUAAAACUUGGCUGUGAAUUUUUGGUUCCAAAUUGGUUAUAAAGAAACACUUUCAAAUGUUUUCAAAUACUCUGAUUAAGUAUGUGGUUCACCGAGUCUCCGGCACUGAUCCUAUAAGUUCACUGAAACUCUGAUAUGUAUUGUCUGAUUAAGUUCCUGUAAGUUCACUAAAACUUUGAUUAAGUAUGUGGUUCAUCGAGUCUUCGGUACACGUGGUAAUCGUGGACGGCGUACUGAAACUAAGGUAAAAGUCGUAGAGGGAUUCGAGUUGAGUCAUUUGCAUCUGAUACGAUCCUUAAUCUAGACACUAGUGAAAUGCCAGUGUCACCUGUUAUUGGGACUGGUGCUGAGUCUCAAAACCGUGCAGCUAGGGACAACGCAUUGUCCCAAGCCAUGCUACGAAUUUUGGAGAGGGUCGUUGGGGCUAAUGCUAGAUCUGGAGGUCGUGGGUCGGUUACGGAAUGACUCCGAUCCAAUAGGGCUGAGGUAUUCAGGGGCAUGGCUGGAGUUGCUCUUAAUGUGGCUGAGUACUAGAUGGAGGCCAUGGAGCGUAUUAUGGAUGAUCUAGAUUUUACUGACGAGCAGAAGCUCAAGGGGGUUGUUUCGUUACUUUGCGAUGAAGCAUAUCAAUGGUGGCUGACAGUUAGGGAUGGCACUCAGCCUGACAGUCUGACAUGAGAUUUGUUUAAGCCGGCUUUCCAGAGCAAGUAUGUGGGGGCUAGUUAUAUCGACGCUAGGAGGCGUAAGUUCCUAAAACUUACUCAGGGAACCGUUCGGUGGCUGAGUAUGAGGCCGACUUUCUGAUGCUGAGCCUUUAUACACGAGGCAUGGUGGUGGCUGAGUAUGAGCACUGUGUUCAUUUUGAGAUAGCCUUAGGGACAACUUGAGGGUCCUGAUAGCUCCGCAGAGGGAGCGUGAGUUUUCUGUGUUGGUCAAGAAGGCCAAGAUCGCGGUGGAGGUUAAGCGCGCUGAGCGUCAGAACCGUGACAGAGGGAAGGCUAAGAGGAAUGUAGAGUCUUUGAAUGCUAGGGUAAGGCCAAGGAAAAAGGCCAGAUCUGACGGGCCCGUGAGAGUUGGGCCUACUGUUGCACCGACUGGGGUGGCAAUUUGUCAGCUUUGUAAUAGACGCCAUCUGGGCGAUUGUUGGAGGCCUACUGGAUCUUGUCUUAGGUGUGGAUCUUCUGAGCAUCAAGUUAAAGACUGUCUAUUAAGGACUAAUCAGAUGCAAGCUUCGGCUACUAAGACUGCACAGCUGCCAAGGGUAGUUCAGCAGCCACCUAGGGGCCGAGGCUAGGCUAUGGGUGGUAACAGAAUAGGCCGAGGACAGAAAGCACCGGGUCAAGGUGCUGGGCCGACUGAGGCAAGGAAACCUACGCUUGUGUAUACUGCACGUCGUCAUGGGGAUGGAGAUGCUCCAGAUGUCAUCACGGGUACGUUCUUAAUCCUUAAUGUACCUUAUGUUGCACUGAUAGACAUAGGCUCUACAAAUUCCUACAUCGCAUAUUCUGUGUCUGAGACUUUGGGAAUACCGUAUGAGAGCACUUCUAGUGAGAUUUCAGUGGUGAGUCCGUUGGGGUAGUCUAUUAGGGUUAGUAAAUUGUUCAGAGACGUUUCGUUGGAAGUACAAGAUUAUCUGACUAAUGUGAUAUCUGCAUUAGUGGUAGAAAAGUUGGUAAGGAAGGGAUGCGAGGUGUACUUGGCAUAUAUCAGUGUUGCUGAUUUUGAAAACUCAUCAGUUAAGGACAUCUGAACAGUGAGGGACUUUCCAGAUGUCUUUCCACAGGAACUACCAGGAUUACCUCCGAAUCGUGAGGUAGAAUUUGGGAUUGAGUUGUUUUUAGGCACAGUUCCGGUGUCUAUCGCCCCUUACCGAAUAGUGCCGAAGGAGCUGAUGAAACCUAACGCUCAGAUUCAGGAGCUGUUGGAUCUUGGAUUUAUUCGUCCCAAUGUGUCUCUGUGGGGAGCACUUGUUUUGUUUGUAAAGAAGAAGGACAGUAAAAUAAGGAUGUGUAUCGACUACCGUCAAUUGAACAAGUUGACGAUUAAGAAUAAGUACCUACUUCCGAGGAUAGACGACUUAUUCGAUCAGUUCAGAGGGGCUUCAGUGUUUUCUAAAAUCGAUAUGCAAUCAGGUUAUCAUCAGUUGAGGGUUAAGGAGGCCGAUGUGCAUAAGACGGCAUUUAAGACUCGUUAUGGGCAUUACGAGUUUCUAGUCAUGCCUUUUUGGUUGACUAAUGCACCAGCAGUAUUCAUGGACUGGAUGAACCGUGUGUUUUAGCCUUACUUGGAUUAGUUUGUGGUGGUAUUCAUCGAUGACAUUUUGGUGUAUUCUAAGUCUGAGGUCAAGCACGACGAGCAUUUAAGAGUGGUUCUGCAGAUCCUUCGUGAGAAACAAUUGUAUACGAAGUUCAGCAAGUGUGAGUUCUGGCUUCGGGAAGUGGCAUUUCUGGGUCAUAGAGUUUCUGCUGAGGGGAUUUGGAUAAAUUCUCGUAAGAUUGAGGCUGUGAUGGAUUAGAAACAGCCGAAGAGUGUGUCAAAAAUCCACAGUUUUUUGGGACUGGCAGGGUAUUACCGAUGUUUUGUUAGGGGGUUCUCGUUGAUCGCAGCACCAUUGACUAAGUUGUUGCGUUAAGGAGUUCCUUUUAUUUGGACUGACGCACAGUAGGAGAGCUUCGAGAAGCUUAAAACAAUUUUGACUCAGGCUCCAAUGCUGAUACAGCCUGAGCCUGGUAAGGACUUCAUGGUUUACAGUGAUGCGUCACAUGUGGGUUUGGGUUGCAUCUUGAUGCAAGAAGGUAAGGUAGCUGCUUAUGCAUCUCGACAGCUUAAGACUCACGAGGCUAAUUAUCCGAUGCAUGAUUUGAAGUUGGCGGCAGUGGUUUUUUCAUUGAAGAUUUGGAGGAAUUAUCUGUAUAGAGAGAAGUGUACCAUCUACACUGAUCACAAGAGCCUCAAGUAUCUCUUCACUCAGAACGAGUUAAAUCUUAGGCAGCGACGAUGGGUCAAGCCACUUAAGGACUAUGACUGCAGUAUAGGGUAACACCCUAGAAAGGCCAAUGUGGUGGCCGAUGCAUUAAGCCGUAGGGUUGUGGAUGAUUUAAGAUCGUUGUUCGCUUGACUGAGUCUUUAUGACAAUGGGAGUCUCCUAGCUGAGAUCCUGGUUAAGCCGACGUGGCUGGGUCAAAUUAAGGAUAAGCAGUUAGGAGAUGAGUCUCUUCAGUUGCGAUUUUGUCAAGUUGAGACUGGGACUACUACUGACUUUAGGAUUAAUAGUGAUAGGGUACUGUGUUUCCGAGGUAGGAUCUGUGUACCUAAUGAUGAGGAGUUAAGACUGUCGAUUUUGAAUGAGGCACAUAGUAGCAUUUAUGUUAUGCAUCUUGGUGGGAACAGGAUGUAUUAAGAUCUUCGAGAGUUGUACUGGUAGCCAAGGUUGAAGCGUGAGGUGACUGAUUUCAUUGCUUACUGUCUAACGUGUCAAUAGGUUAAGGCUGAGCAUUAGUUGCCUUCGGGGUUACGGCAGCCAGUUAAGAUACCGAUGUGGAAAUGGGAGCGAGUAACGAUGGACUUCGAUAGUGGGUUGCCCCUAACACCCACUAAGAAGGAUUCUGUUUGGGUCAUCGUGGAUCGAUUGACCAAGUCUUCACAUUUUAUUCCAGUUAGGAUGGACUUCUCUAUGCAAAAGCUAGCUAAGCUCUACAUUUUCGAGAUAAUGAGGAUGCAUGGGGUUCCUGUUUCAAUCAUCUCCGAUAGGGAUCCUCGUUUUACUUCUUUAUUUUGGGGAAAGCUUCAUGAGGCUUUGGGUUGACGACUUGACUUCAGUACUGCAUUUCAUCCUCAGACUGAUGGUCAAUUAGAGAGGGUGAUUCAGGUAUUGGAGGAUAUGUUGAGGGGAUGUGUUAUAGAUUUUCAAGGUAGCUGGGAGGAGUACUUGCCUCUAGCAAAGUUCGUUUAUAGCAACAGUUAUUAGUCUAGUAUACAGAUGGCACCAUAUGAGGCACUUUAUGGUCGUAAGUGUCGCACUCCUUUGUGUUGGACUAAGUUGGGUGAGUGACUUGUUCUGGGUUCAGAGCAGAUCUCUGAGACUGAGGAUAAGGUGCGGUUGAUCCGAAAACGUCUAAAAGCGACUUCUGAUAGACAGAAGUCCUAUGCUGAUCUAAAGAGGAAAGACAUUCAGUAUUCUGUGGGGGACUUGGUCUUUCUUAAAGUUUCACUGUGGAAGAAGGUUCUGAGGUUCAGACGCAAGGGUAAGCUGAGUCCUCUGUUUAUUGGGCCGUACCAGAUUCUAAAGCGAGUAGGGCCAGUUGCAUAUUAGUUAGAGCUACCUCCAAAGUUGGAUCUUAUAGAUGACGUGUUCCACGUCUCGAUGUUGACGCGCUACCGCUCUGAUCCCAUGCACAUCGUGCCUGUGGAAGAGAUUCAGGUUAGACCAGAUCUGACGUUUAAGGAGGAGCCUGUUCAGAUCUUAGAUCGUGACGUGAUGGUCUUGCAUAGGAAGUCUAUUCCCUUGGUGAAGGUGUUGUGGCAGAAUCAUAAAACUGUGGAGGCUACUUGGGAGCCAGAGGAUUCGAUGCAGCAGCAGUAUCCUCAUCUUUUCUAAUCAGGUAAAAUUCGAUUAUGAAUUUUCUUUAAUGGGGUAGACUUGUAACGCCCUAAAUUUCGGUAAUUUUGAUUUUGGCGAUUAUUGAGCGUGGAAAUAUCAAAACUUUUGUUUUGAUUCUUUUUGGUAUAAAUAUAUGUGGUUAAGAGAUUGUGUGCUUUGGGAUGUGUCUGGAAGGUCCCAAGUUCAAGCUUUAAAUUUGGCUAAAUUUUGGUUUUUAUUGAAUAAAGCCUGACUUUUUGUCAGUGAGCUUUUAUGGAAUUGUUGGUAAAAACUUAAUAAAAUAGGCCUACUGGUCUAGUGGUUAAGUGGCAAGAGUUUAUGUUAGAGGUCCUGUGUUCGAAUCCUGGCUUGGGCAUUAUGUUUGCCACUAAGGCUGUGAUAGAAUUGGAUGUGAACUAAAAUUCUGUAGUGGUAGGGUUUAUCAGAUUUUUCUGAGUGGUUUCCCCAAAAGAACUCUCUCUGUCAUAACUCCCUACUAUUUUCUUCCCUCCACGUUCUUUUUCUUUUCAAUUUUGUCAAAAUUUCCCCUGCCUUCCUCCCAUUCAUGUUGAUUUCAUACUAACGGGCUUCUAAGAUUCAUUGACGUUCUCCCUAUUGGUAAGUUUUCUGUUUCACUCAACUUGUAUAUUGUCUGAGUUAAGUGUCUAGUAAGGGGUUUCUGUUGUUUGAUAGGAUUGGAUCAAGGGGCUGAAGAACAGCAAUUAACACUUUCAGGAUUUGGGUUUGCUACUUUCCAUUCAAGGGUAAGUUAAUCGUUCGUUGAGUGGAUAUUUCGAUUAGGGUUAAGUGAAAAGACUCGUUUAUGAGGUUCUAAUAGGUUGGAUAUACUGAUUAUAGGUCUUAAAGUGCUCGGGAUUAUGUUAGGCUUCAAUUGAAACCAGGUGUGUACUCCAAUAGAUCUGAAAUAGCAUUUUGACGAAAGCCGAAAACACUACUGUCGACGCCACACGGUCAUGUGGACAGGCCAUGUGGCGAGACACGACCAUGUGAUCGACGAGCUAGGCCGUACGCAUGCCACACAGGUACGACAGACACGAGCGUGUGAUGGCUUGUAGGCCGUGUGCGAGGCACGGGCUAAGGCGAAUGGGCCGUGUGGGCCACACGGGCAUGUGGGAAUUUGGGCUAGGCCAUGUGAUCCACACGGGCAAGGCCAAUUUGGGCCGUGUGACCCACACGGGCAAGGCACACGGGCGUGUGAGCCCCUUUAAUCUGAAAUGUUCUAUAAAGUUGCACAGGUUGGCCAAGUCGACUGUGACCUGUAGUAGGGUCGGUAAGCCUUAACUAGACUCUUAAUUCUAGGAUGUAUAUGUUCGCAUGAUAUACUUAGCAUGAUUAUCUGAUCUAUUCUGUAAAUAAAUGUAUGAUCUUUUUGUCUGCAUUACAGCAUGCCAUAUUUUUAUGAUGCAUUGCAUCGAGGCGGGUUUGACGAAGUGAAGGGAGUAUCUGAAGGGCUUCAUAAGCCCGUUAUCUGGCAUCUAAGUUGCAUACUUAUGAUAUGAGUUGCGAUGCGGUACCUUAUGGUGUGUAGGGUUGGAUAGGUCGAUUAUAUCCCAAUAUAUGGUGUACAGGGAUGGGUGGGUCGAUUUUAUCCCCACAUGGUGUGAUUGGUUGGAUGGAGAUAGUGUACAGGGCUGGUGGGCAUGAUAUUUCUGAUACCUGAUCUGUUAUGCAUGCGAUAUCUGUAUGGCUAAGGCCGAAUAACUGUAUUUUGUUAUCUGUUUGUAUGCAUGCUGUUUGGGGAUGUACACACUGAGUUUGCGAAAACUCACCCCUUUGUUUAUUUUGUUUGUCAAGUAAUCCUCAGCAGUAGAUGGAUUGGUGUGGCGGAGGGCUCGAUGGUGAUCGCUAGUAGACAUUCACGAAUUUUUGAGUAACAUUUUAUUUGGUCAACUUUAUCUAAAUAUAUGUUUUGGGAUUUUAAAUUGUUAAAUUAUUGAUUUAUGAGUUAAUGAUGAUUUAGCUUCCGCGUUAAUGAAAUAUUUUCAGUUAAUAUUUGGAAUAGAGAUUUCACAACUUAAGUAAAGAUAAUGAAUUGGAUGAUUUUUAACUUGCUAAGGUUUUCCUAAAAAGCACUCACGUGUGACGCCGCCAGAUUUGGCCAUAGCGUCUAGGUCGGGUUUGGGGGUGUUCCAUGUUUAAGUAAACCAAAAGUUUACUAAUACAAAUGCGCUUACUACUUGGUAUGAUUAGUUAGACCAUCCUGGAUCGUAAAUGAUGCGAAAACUACUUGAGAUAUCAUAUGGACAUCCAUUAAAGAACCAGAAGAUUCUUUAAUUUAAAAGAAUUCUCAUAUGUUGCUUGUUCUCAAUGAAAAUUGAUUAUUAGUAGCUCACUAUCUAAAGUUGAGAUUUAAUGUCUUGCAUUUCUGAAACAAAUAUGGGCCCAUCCAUCCACCAUAUGGAUAGUUUUGAUAUUUUAUGAUUUUGGUAGAUGCAUCUACAAAAUAAUCACAUAUGUAUUAUCAGUUUACAACCUGUCAUUUGCAAGAUUGCUUGUUUAAAUGAUUAAUUUCAGAUUAUGCAAUUAAAACAAUUCAUCUUGCUAAUGUUGGUGAGUUUACAUCCCAAGUUUUCAAUGAUUAUUGCAUGUCAAUUGGGAUAAAAGUUGAACAUCCUAUAGUUCAUGUUCACACACAAAAUGAUUUAGCUGAAUUGUUUAUCAAAUGCAUCCAACUAAUAGUUAAAUCAUUACUUAUGAGAGCUAAAUUUCCUAUUUCAACAUGAGUUAAGUUGAUUUAUGUGUUGUACGCAUCAAGCCAAUAAGUUAUAAAUACUCCCCGUUACAAUUGGUUUUUGAUCAAUAGCUAAAUAUUUCUCAUCUUUGAAUUUUUGAAUGUGCAUAUAUGUUCCAAUUACUCUACCACAACGCACAAAGAUGAGUGAAUCCUCAAAGAAAGUUGGGAAUAUAUAUUAAUUACAAGUUUAUUUAUAUUAUUAGAUGUUUUGAAUGCAUUGGAAUUCAAUUAUGACAUGAUUUGUGAUUACAAUUUUGAUUUGAUAGUUUUCUCGACAUUUGGGGGAGAGAAAUAAUAACUUAUAAUGAGUUAAAGGGAGAGUAAUUUGAACCAGAAGUUCAAUAAGGAUAAGUCAUUACAAGUUAACUAUUAGAUGUAUUUACAAACUUAAUAAGAAUAACCAAGUGUUAUAUAGAUUGAUUGGUUCCAAAGAUGAAAAAUUCUUCUAGGUAGUCAUAUAGUGGAGGCAGGUGCUCCAGAAGAGACCCAAGACAUAACUAAUAAGUAAAACUCCAGAAGAGAUUCAAGUACCUAAAAUUGAAUUUUAAAAUAAUGAAAAUAAGAGAUCUCGAUAAGUUAUGUCAAUUUGAGAAAAUGUGGAACCGAAUAAUAAAAGUGGUCGACAAUGAUUUUGCAUGCAAUAUUAUUAUUGAAAUAAUGAAAUAAAAAGAGGAUCCUAAGUAAAUCUAUUGAGAAAUAUAUAUAUAGAAUAAAUUGAUCAAAAUAUAAAGACGCAACUCAAGUACAAUUAAAUUCGUGGAGUUUUUGGACCAACCAUCCAAAUAUCUAAAGGUAUAAAACCAGUAAAGGUGCAAUUGAAGUAGUUUUGCAAAACAAAAUAAAAAUAUGAAGUGUUUCGCUAAGUCCUGCCAGUGAUUAUGAAAAGAUAUAAUAUUCUUUUGUGGUGGAUGCAAAAGCCUUUAGAUAUAUUAUUAAAUUGACAAUUCAUAAAAGUUUAACUUGUGUCUAAUGGUUUUUCUUACAACCUUUUAUGAAUCACUAUAUAGUAAAGUUUAUAUUAAAAUCCUUAAAAGGAUCUAGAAUGCUAGUAGCAUAUUAAAAUUCUCAGGAAAUUAUUCAUUUAUAUGAAUUGAAAUAAUUUGAACAUAUGUGGUAAAUUUGAGUAGUUGAAUGAAGAUUAUAAAAUGAUCCAAAAUACCUAUCUGUGUUUUUAUAGAAGAAUCAUGAUUAAAGUUUGUUAUGAUUAUUGUUGAAUCUCCUGAAGAGAUCAAAAUAUAUUUCCCCAAAUUUCCUUCACUUAUGACUUAUAAAAUAUAAAUGCUUAGCAAAUACAUUCAAAUAGUCAAUUGAAAAACUAGUAUUCAAGAUUGAAUACGUAGAAUAUGAGAAAGUAUGUGAUGUUUUCAUGAGGGGGAAAAUACGCGUUGUACUCUUUUUCCCUUAACAGAGGUUUUGUUCCAUUUGGUUUUCCUAGUAAGGUUUUUAAUGAGGCAAUAUAUUAUCAUAUUAUAGAUUGUGUACUUUUUUUUCCUUGUUAGGUUUUUAUCCCACAGGGUUUUUCCUAAUAAGGUUUUAAUGCGGCACAUUAUCUACCAAUGAACAUAUAAGGGGGAGUGUUAUGAAUAUCUUAUUAAGUGGAUGUCCAUCAUGAUCAAGAUAAAGUUUUGAUAUAUUUUAAAUUCUAAUAGCUAUUAUGUAACACCCUUCGCCUGUAUCUGAUGCCGGGAUAAGGUUCGAAAUGUUACCGGAUUUAAGCCAAGACUUCCAUACUAAACCGGCCAUGAAAUUUCUUUCGAAUUUAAAAAUUUUCAUUUCACAUGCAUACUGUCCCUUAAACAAGCUUACACGGCCCAAAACAUACAUUCGGGGUAGUUCAGAACCAAACAGCGAACAUAAGAAAAACUUGGAAAUUUCAUGCUUUAAGGCUCUACACGCUCGUGUAAUCAUUUUGAUAUGGCCGCGUUGGUUGCCCGUGUGCACCACACGGCCUAGUGUUCAUCGGGACACACCCGUGUGUUUACUACCAUGCAUACUGACUUGAAUUUCCAAGGUGCAGGGGACACACAGCCAGGUCACACGCCUAUGUGGGCAGACCGUGUGUCACACACGGCCUAGACACAUGCCCGUGCGUCUACCCGUGUAGACAAAUACAAGGCUAUUUUCCAAGCCAUUUUGUCACCCUCACAACAUAUGCACACAUACUUAUACAAUAGCAUACAACAAGGCAUACAUGGGCACUUAAACGUCCAUAAACAUGUUAUGAUCAUGUCAAUUUCUCAUCCAAUAGAUAUCAUAGAUUUUACUCACAUCUUUACCACAUUCAUGCCAUAAUCAUUAUAAACUCAUUACAUAAGACCAUAGCACAUGCAUGCAUAUAUAAAUAGGUUUACAACCUCAAUAUCUAAUGUAAGCCAAUACAUUUGGCUAAAAAAAUGUCACACACUCAAAUAUUUAAACUCCUAUACAUGCCAUAGAAUCAAAGUCCUUGAAAUCACUUGCACCAAUAGCAAUAGCUUGACAGUGUGAUAAUAUCUCCGAUGAACUCCAACCCGAGCUAACCUGGAAAUAUUAGAGAACUUGGGAAAGGAAGGGGGUAAGAUUUACGCUUAGUAAGUUCAUAUGAAAACAAUAAGAAACUCAUUUACAUGCUUUUAUCAAGGUUCCCAACAUAUUCUCAAGUUCAUGAUAAGUUGUCUUCUUGUACAACGGUCAAUAAAAUAUUUAUAUCUGGAGCUACAAACUCCAAAUUAAGUUCCGUUAAUUUUCCUUGAACUAGAGUCAUGUACCUUUCUACCAUAGAAUUUCCAGAAUUUUUGGUUUAUCCAAUUAGUACAGUUUAUUCCUAAAAUUUACCCCUGAUUCAUUGUCUGAUAGUUCCGACCCUUUUGCACUAAAGUUUAAUUAUCUCAUAGCACAGGACUCAAAUAAUGUUCCCAUCUAUUUCUCUCAUUAAGAAUUCUAAACAUAUAAAUUAUAACUCAUAACUUUUUUUUUUACAAUUUAUAAUGAUGUUCUCAAAUUAGAAAAGGGGAUUUCGAAUUCGUUCUGACUAUGUCUAACACAACUUCAAAUAUCUCACUAUAUGAAAUUCUUUUGCUUACAUGGUUUCUUUUAUAAGAAACUAGACUCAAUAAGAUUUAAUUCCAUAUUUUAUUAAGCCUCUAACUCAUUUUCCACUAUUUUUAGUGUAUUUUCAAAGUUACACCACUGCAGUAGCCCAAAACUGUCAAGGCUAAUUUACUCAUUCAUAAUUAUUGUUCACCAAAUUAAUACCACAUCAUUUCAUCCAUCAUGGUAAGAACACAUAGCUAUGCAUCAUAAGCAUGGACCCCUAAUCUCAAUGUCCUUAAUUAUCAAAGACUUAGUCCUAAUCAUGCCAUUUUCAUAGUAUUCACCAAAUACUAUAUACAUCAUAGAUUAUCCCAUAUCAAGGCAUUACUCAUAAGUUUAGUGUACAUACUUGUACAACUUGUAACAUAACUCAAGUACAUACUCACCAAUGACUUACCUCAUUGGGACCAUUAUCAACUCUUUCCUCGGAUUUCCCGUUGAACACUUGGAAUACUAAUAGAUAGACGGAAGAUUGCACAUAAGUGUUAUAUAUGCAGCUAGACCACUCAAUAGAGCAUAAUAUAUGUAGCCAAAGCUACCUCAUAACAUGUAACACAUCCAUAAUGAACUCAGACCACUCAACGAGCUCGGAUGCUACAUGCAUCGCAUCCAUCAUGAACACGGACCACUCAACGAGCUCAGAUGUUCACAUCCAUAAUGAACUCGGACCACUAGACGAGCUCAGAUGUUACAUGCAUCGUAUCCAUCAUGUUCAUAACAUAUUCAUACUUUCAUGGAAAUAAUUGACAUUUAAGGCAUGUUUCAUCAAACACAUCACAUGGUAUCAAUAAAGCAUUUAAUUUCACAUAUUUCAUAGACCACAUUUGUACAAUAUCAAGUAUUAAGCACACGAUAAUGAAGUUGAUAAAUUACUUUCAUACAAACUUACUCCUUUCAAAGAAACAUCAUAUUCCAUCAAACUUCCAAUAUGUUAAAUCAUAUAAAAUAUGCAAUAUUAACAAGGAAUGUAAUUCAAACAUAACUUUGCAUUAUUAUUAUCAUACGAACUUACCUCGACACCAAAUUGGUAAAAGAGGCCUAAACAUCAAUUUCUUAUUUUUCCUUGUUCUAAGCCCGAAUCUCAUUUUUCAUCAUUAGCAUGGGAGUUUCUUUACUGAAAUUUUCCAGCUUCAAAACGUUUUCUUUGCUACAUAUUUCGGUGGAGGAGAAGAGAAAAAGUGAUAGCUUUUUCUUUUUGAUUUGUUAAUAAUAAAACUAGUCAAAAUUUGUGACCAAAUUUCACCUAAUUUUGACUUUUCAACAAUUUUGUCUCCCAUGGCCGGCCAUGCUUUAUUUAACGGUCUUAUUGCACUUUAAAGGCCCCCAAUUUUAAUUAUCUAGCUAUUAGACACAUUUAAGUACUAAAAUAAAACUUUACCUUUUUCGUGAUUUAGUCCUUUUUCGAAAUUAAACUAGAAAUCGAUAAAAUAAAAUUACCAAAAUUUUCUUGCACCUUUAUAAACAUGCUAUAUCACAUAAAAUAAUCACUAAAAUAAUUUUUUCAGCCUCAAAAUAGUGGUUCCGAAACCACUGUUCUGACUAGGCCUAAAAUCGGGCUGUUACAAUUCUCCCUCCUUUAGGUAUUUUCGUCCCCGAAAAUCUUACCAGAAAAAGUUGCUUUCAACUUUCACGUGUCACUUUCACCCUUUUCUCAAAAUUACAAAUCAACUUAGUGUCAUACUCAGGAUUUCCUGUAGCCAUUCCAUAGUUGCGGUAUAAACCUCGAGCUCAAUUCGAACACUGGAGGCUGAUAUUCUAGGAGUUAUAAACUUGGAAACAUACAACUCAGUUACAUCUGUCGAAUAAUAUAUCUGUACAUACUAAAAUAAUCAUGUAGACUUCCAUCAUCACUUUAACACAAACCAAUUGGCAUCUCUCCUUUUUCCUGGAGAUGAGAGAUAUCCCUAUACGAAAUUCAUAACAAUCCUUUCUCAUUUUCUUUUCAAUGUCAUCACUGACAAUAAUAAUCUCGAAUACAUUUGAUAUUCGGCUUUUCCCUGUAGACAACUCAAUAUCCUUUGGAAGAACAGGUAAGAUGCUACUGUGAGCUCUCUACACGAUUCUCUGCAUAACCCAGAGUUUCUCGGUACUCAAAUCUUACUGGGAAAUAAUAAUAAUAGAAACCAAAAAUCAAAUCCUCCUUGAAAUUCCAAAUUGAAAGUUGAAUCAUGCUUUACUAGCCUAAUUUAUCAUUUAUAGUAACAUCUAUAUGCUCAGGCCAUCGACUAUUUAGAAAUCUUACUAACAUGAAUUAAAUGAUUUCAACUUCAUAAAUUUGAUCUCCUUAUCAAUCAGGACAACUUUACUUAUAACAACAUCUCUCAAAUGAUAAAAGUCCAACUAAUUUAUUUUCGUAUCAUACUUAUAAGAAUAAAAUUUCUUCAUUUCAGGCUGUACAUCUAUUUAACCAUAAUUGCACAACAUUAUUCCCAGACUAUAGAAUAAACUUAAUGCACAUAACUUAAUUUACCUUUGCUGAUAAUAUUUCUUUACAUGAAGAUUAUAGAAAUCAAAAUACUAGAAUCCCCACACUUCCAUAGUCGAGCCACAAGCAUAAUCAUAAUAAAAAUUAUUAUCACAAGUCAAAGAAUAUACUUAAAGAUAAGCCAGAUUUGAUAAUUCUUAAAAUAAGAACGAUAGCAAAAACCAAGAUAAAGAAUUCCAGAUAUAAUACCAUACCAGAAAUCCUAGAAUAUAACCCCGAAGAAAAUAAUGAGGAAAAUCUGGAAAAUCCCUUAGAGAAAUCCAGAAAGAAACUACCGUUUAUACGCUCUGGAAUUCCAUCAUGACAGAGAUAAUAUGUUUCCCGCAUAUAUAUAUACAUAUAUAUAUAACCAUAAUCAAUAGAAACAUCAGAAUGGUCUCACCUGAAUUUUCACCAUCAACUUCCUUUCGGCAUAUCAGAAAAGAAUUCCAAAAUAUAAGAAAUGUUGAUCAUAACUAACCAGAUUAAUAGAGCUUUCCAUCUAAUAUCACAGUUGCUAACGUUCUAAUCUAACAAGAUUUUCACUAGGAAUGGGCAACGAUACAUAUUCCCAAGGAUAGAGGAAAAUACAGAAUACUUAGAAGAGAGAGAUAGCCAUAAACUUUUUACUUAAUUGAAUCCGUCAUACUCAGACAUCCUUGCAAGUCUGACAUCAUUCCUCUGAUUAAUUCUGUCCUCACUAAUCCCAUAAUAUUCCAUUAUUGUACUCUUUAGUUCCACUUUUGCAAGUUUAUACUAUAAAUCUCUCGCGAGUCUCAUCAUAUAACUCUAUUCUGCUAGGGGGUGAAGAUUGUAAAGCCUUUAAAUUUUUCAACUCUUACAAAAAUAAACAUUUAACAAAAUCACCGCAUCAUGCACAUCUGAUUCAAACAUUUCAAAUUUCUAACUUGUUAUAAACACACUUUCACAUAUCUUAGUAACACAUGCAACUUUAUUUCAUAAGAAUAUUAGCCAAACAUCAGUGAACUUAUCACAAUACAAAUUUUCAUUUCUUUUACUCGAAUCAUCAUUAAUAUCUAAUCAAGUUUCAACACUUAGCCUUAUUUUACUUACCAACCUUUAUCAAAUUAGAGAACAUCUUACAGUCUUGAGUACAUCAUUGAUGCCAUAGUCCAACUAUGGUCUUGUAUUAGCUCUCAUCCAUCUGUGUCGAUGUCGUGUCCCAGAUAGGUCUUACACUAACACAUAUCAAGCAAUGCCAUGUCCCAGAUAUGGUCUUACACUAGCUUUCACAUCUGGCUGAUGUAUGUCCCAAACAUGUCUUACACUAGCACACAUAUCUGAGUCGAAGCCAUGUCCCGGACACGGUCUUACACUGACACAUCUUGUAACCGAUGCAUGUCCCAGACAUGUCUUACACUGGCUUACGUCCUGAGGCAGAUGCAUGUCUCAGACAUGUCUUACACUAGCACUCGUUUCAAUGCCGAUGCCAUGUCCCAAACAUGGUCUUACACUAGCUCUCAUAAUGUGGCCGAUGCAUGUCCGAGACAUGUCUUACACUGGCGCACAUAUCAUAUGCAUUGCCAUGGUCCAACCAUGGUCUUAUCCGUCAAUUCAUCAUUGAACGAUCGUACUCAUUUCCAGCGUUCUACUCAAUUUGAUCUUUCAUUUCAGUUUUCAUGCUAUCAUAACAUUUAUGACAUCUUUAAUGCAGAGAUUUAAACAUAAAUGUCAAUCACAUGUACAUACUAAUUAGACAUCAUUAAAUAGAAGUACUUAUACACACAUUCUGUCAUUUCGAGUAAAGUUUUCUUUUCAUAAUCACUAGGCCAAAUGAGUUAGGCACGUAACAUCGUAUGAAUACUAACAUGCAUGAAAGAGCUUAUCACAACUUAACUUUCAUUUCAUCCUACGCUUCCACAUUCUUCAACUCAUGAUUAUCACAUAUUGAGUAUUAAUUCAUAAAAAAAUCAUGAAUUUAUUUUCAUACCUUUCCAAAUUUCAACAUAUCACAAGCACGUUUCAAUCAUCUCAAUAUUACUUCUAUCAUUAACAAGAUUUGCUCGGUUGGAAAUCUUUCCUGUCUUAGCAAACAGUUUCGUUAGUGCCAGGAGAUAUCACACUAUCACGAGUAGUACUAUGGCAUGUAUAGCUAGACUCACUUAUGCUAUGUUAGUCUGAUAAUCGACUAAACCAUGCUCUGAUACCACUAAAUAUAACAUUCUUCGCCUGUAUCCGACGUCGAGAUAGGGUUCGAGGUGUUACUGGAUUUCAGCCAACACUUUCAUACUAAAUCGACCAUGAAAUUUCGUUCCACUUUAAAAAUUUUCAUUUCACAUGCAUACUAUCCCUUAAACGAGCUUACGAGGCCCAAAACAUACAUUCAGGGUAGUUCGGAACCAAACCGCGAACUUAAAAAAAACUUGGAAAAUUCAUGCUUUAAGGCUCUACACGCCCGUGUAAUCAUUUUGACAUGGCCGUGUUGGUUGCCCGUGUGCACCACACGGCUUAGUGUUUAUCGGGACACGCCCAAGUGUUUAGUACCAUGCAUAUUGACUUGAAUUUUCAAGGUGCAGGGAAUACACGGCUGGGUCACACGCCCAUGUAGGCAGACCGUGUGUCACACACGGCCUAGACACACGCCCAUGCAUCUACCUGUGUGGACAAAUACAAUGCUAUUUUCCAAGCCAUUUUGUCACCCUCACAACAUAUGCACACAUACUUAUACAAUAGCAUACAACAAGGCAUACAUGGGCACUUAAACGUCCAUAAACAUGUUAUGAUCAUGUCAAUUUCUCAUGUAAUAGAUAUCAUAGAUUUUACUCACAUCUUUACCACAUUCAUGCCAUAAUCAUUAUAAACUCAUUACAUAAGACCAUAGCACAUGCAUGCAUACAUAAAUAGGUUUACAACCUCAAUAGCUAAUGUAAGCCAAUACAUUUGGCUAAAACAAAUGUCACACACUCAAAUAUUUAAACUCCUAUACAUGCCAUAGACUCAAAGUCCUUGAAACCAAUUACACCAAUAGCGAUAGCUUGAUAGCGUGAUAAUAUCUCCGACGAACUCCAACCCGAGCUAACCUAGAGACAUUAGAGAACAUGGGAAAGGAAGGGGGUAAGAUUUAUACUUAGUAAGUUCAUAUGAAAACAAUAGGCAACUCAUUAACAUGCUUUUAUCAAGGUUCCCAACAUAUUCUCAAGUUCAUGAUAAGUUGUCUUCUUGUACAAUGGUCAAUAAAAUAUUUAUAUCUAGGGCUAAAAAACUUGAAAUUAAGUUCCGUUAAUUUUUCUUGAACUAGAGUCGUGUACCUUUCUACCAUACAAUUUCCAGAAUUUUUGAUUUAGCCAAUUAGUAUAGUUUAUUCCUCAAAUUUACCCCUGAUUCACUGUCUGACAGUUCCGACCCUUCUGCACUAAAGUUUAAUUAUCUCAUAGCACAAGCCUCGAAUAAUGUUAUCGUCUAUUUAUCUUGCAAAUAGACUCAUGAAGGACUCUAAAAAUAUAAAUUAUAACUCAUAAAUAUUUAUGUACAAUUUAUAAUAAUUUUCUAAAAUCAGAAUAGGGGAUUUCAAAUUCAUUCUGACUAUGUCUAACACAACUUCAAAGAUCUCACUAUAGGAAAUUCUUUUUCUUACACGGUUUCUUUUAGAAGAAACUAGACUCAAUAAUAUUUAAUUCCAUUAUUUAUUCAGCAUCUAACUGAUUUUUCACUAUUUUUAGUGUAUUUUCAAAAUUACACCACUGCAGUAGCCCAAAACUAUCAAGGCUAAUUUACUUAUUCACAAUUAUUGUUCACCAAAUUAAUACCACAUCAUUUCAUCCAUCAGGGUAAGAACACAUAGCUAUGCAUCAUAAGCAUGGACCCCUAAUCUCAAUGUCAUCAAGUAUCAAAGACAUAGUCCUAAUCAUGUCUUUUUCAUAGUAUUCACCAAAUACUAUAUACAUCAUAGAUUAUCUCAUAUCAAGGCAUUACUCAUAAGUUUAGUGUACAUACUUGUACAACUUGUAACAUAACUCAAGUACAUACUCACCAAUGACUUACCUCAUUGGGACCAUUAUCAAAUCUUUCCUUGGAUUUCCCGUUGAACACUUGGAAUACUAAUGGAUACGCGGAUGAUUGCACAUAAGUGCUAUAUACACAGCUAGACCACUCAAUAGCGCGUAAUAUAUGUAGCCAAAGCUACCUCAUAACAUGUAACACAUCCAUAAUGAACACGGACCACUCAACGAGCUCGGAUGCUACAUGUAUCACAUCCAUCAUGAACUUGAACCACUCAAUGAGCUCAGAUGCUCACAUCCAUAAUGAACUCGGACCACUAGAUGAACUCAAAUGUUACAUGCAUCGCGUCCAUCAUGUUCAUAACAUAUUCAUACUUUCAUGGAAAUAAUUGACAUUUAAGGCAUGUGUCAUCAAACACAUCACAUGGUAACAAUAAAGCAUUUAAUUUUAGAUAAUUCAUAUACCACAUUUGUACAAUAUCAAGUAUUAAGCACAUGAUAAUGAAGUUGAUAAAUUACUUUCAUACAAACUUACUCCUUUCAAAGAAACAUCAUAUUCCAUCAAACUUCCAAUAUGUUAAAUCAUAUAAUAUAUGCAGUAUUAACAAGGAAUGUAAUUCAAACAUAACUUUGCAUUAUUAUUAUCAUACGAACUUACCUCGACACCAAAUUGGUAAAAUAGGCCUAAACAUCAAUUUCUCGUUUUUUUCUCGUUCUAAGCCCGAAUCUCGUUUUUCAUCAUUAGCAUGGGAGUUUCUUUGCUAAAAUUUUCCAGCUUCAAAACCCUUUCUUUGCUGCAUAUUUUGGUGGAGGAGAAGAGAAAAAGUGAUAGCUUUUUCUUUUUGAUUUGUUAAUAAUAAAACUAGUCAAAAUUGGUGACCAAAUUUCACCUAAUUUUGACUUUUCAACAAUUUUGUCUCCCAUGGCCGGCCAUGCUUUAUUUAAGGGUCUUAUUGCACUUUAAAGGCCCCCAAUUUUAAUUAUCUAGCUAUUAGACACAUUUAGGUACUAAAAUACAACUUUUACCUUUUUCGCGAUUUAGUCCUUUUUCGAAAUUAAGCUAGAAAUUUUUAAAAUAAAAUUACCAAAAUUUUCUUGCACCUUUAUAAACAUGCUAUAUCACAUAAAAUAAUCAUUAAAAUAAUUUUUCUGACCUCAGAAUAGUGGUUCCGAAACCACUGUUCCGACUAAGCCCAAAAUCGGGCUGUUACAUAUUAAAAUUAGAUCUCUACUUCUUUUAUACUUCUUGUUCCUAUAAAUAGAGACUCUAAUGAAGCAUUGUAAAUCACUCCUUUUGAUCAAUAAAUGACAUUCUCUAUUGCUUUCAUAUUUUCUUUGUUCUUUAUUCUCUCCAUCUCUCUUUAUUUUAUAACAAAAAAAUAUUUUUUAAAAUUUUUAAAAAAUAUAUUUUCUAAAAUUAAAAAAUGAAAAUAAAAAUAAAAAGUCUUUAAAAUUAAAAAAUAAAAUAAAAAUGAUUUUACAAAUAUAAACAAAAAUUUCAAAAUUCAAUGUUGACUAAAUCGGACCAAAUCGAGUGGUCAGAUUGGGAACAAAUUUAGGUACCAGUCUGGUGAAAGGUAAAAAAAAUGAAAUGACCCACAAAUCUGUACGGAUUGGUUUAACUGAGCUAGAAAAUCGAUUGUACCAACAACUGAAUCAGUUUCGAACUGGAUUGACUAAUAGGUUCCCAAAACAACUGCUCUAACUGGUUCAAAGCAAAAAAUUUAUUAAAAAUAAAAAUAAAAAUAUUUUAAGAAAUAUCAAAAUCAAUUCAAUUUUCAGUUCAAAUUUUUUUUUUGUCCAGUUCAACUAGUUCAUAUCAGUUCGCGGGUCUACUGGUUGUUAAAAUUUUAUAACUUUAUUAGUGUUAUAAAAUAAAGAGAGAUGAAGAGAAUAAAGAACAAAGAAAAUAUGAAAGCAAUAUAGAAUGUACUUUAUUGAUCAAAAAGUGUGAUUACAGUGCUUCAUCAGACUCUCUAUUUAUAGGCAUAGGAAGUAUAAAAGAAAUAGAGAUCUAAUUCUAAUAACUAUUAGAAUUUAAAGUAUAUUAAAAUUUUAUCUUGAUCAUAAUGGACAUCCACUUAAUAAGAUAUUCAUAACAUUCCCCCUUGGAUGUCCAUUGGUAGAUAAUGUGCCUCGUUAAAACCUUAUUAGGAAAAGCCCUGUGGGAUAAAAACCUAAUGAAUGAAAAAGAGUAUUCAAUCUAUAAUGCGCAUAAUAUGUUGUCUCAUUAAAAACCUUACCAGGAAAACCUAAUGGGACAAAGGCUCGAUUAAGGGAAAAAUAAUGCAACCCGUAUUUACUUCCCCUUAUGAAAACAUCACUUUUUUUCUCAUAUUCUACGUAUUCAAUCUUGAAUACUAGUUUUUCAAAUCAUUAUUUGAAUGUAUUUGCUAAGCAUUUAUAUUACUAUUCUUUUAAAAGUCAUGAGCAAGGGAAAUUUGGGGAAAUAUAUUUUGAUCUCUUCAGGAGAUGCAACAAUAAUCAUAAUAAACUUUAAUCAUGAUUCUUUUAUAAAAACACAAAUAGGUAUUUUGGAUCAUUUUAUAAUCCUCCUUCAACUACUAUUCACUAAGUCAAAUUUACCACAUAUGUUCAAAUUAUUUCAAUUCAUACAAAUGAACAAUUUCUCAAGAAUUUCAAUAUGCGUCUAGCAUCCUAAAUCCUUCAAGGAUUUUAAUAUAAAUUUUACUAUAUAGUGAUUCAUAAAAGGUUGUAACAAUAACUAUUAGACGCAAGUUAAAUCUUUUAUGAAUUGUUAAUUUAAUAAUAUAUCUAAAGGUUAUUGCAUUCACAACAAAAGAAUAUUAUAUCUUUUCAUAAUCAAUGCCAGGACUUAGCGAAAUACUUCAUAUUUUUAUUCUGCUUUUGCAAAACCACUACAUUGCACCUUCAUUGGCUUUAUACCUUUAGAUAUUUGGACUACUGGUCCAAAAACUCCACAAAUUUAAUUGUACUUGAGUUGGGUCUUUUUAUUUUGAUCAAUUUAUUCCAUAUCUAUAUUUCUCAAUAGAUUUAUUCAAGAUCCUCCUUUUAUUUCAUUAUUUCAAUAAUAAUAUUGCAUGCAAAAUCAUUGUCAACCACUUUUAUUAUUCGAUUCCACAUUUUCUCAAAUUGACAUAACUUAUCGAGAUCUCUUAUUUUCAUUAUUUUAAAAUUUAGUUUCAGGUACCUGAAUCUCUUCUGAAGUUUUACUUAUUAGUUAAGUCUUGGGUCUCUUCUGGAGCACCCGCCUCCUCUAUAUAACCAUCCAGAAGAAUUUUCAUAUUUGGAACUAAUCAAUCUAUUAUUUAUUCCAACUGAUUGUCCUACUGGGACUUUGAUUCAAAUUAAAAUAUUAGAUGGUAUAUAACACUUGGUUAUUCUCAUUAAGUUUGUAAAUACAUCUAACAGUUAACUUGUAAUGAGUUAUCCUUAUUGAACUUCUAGUUCAAAUUAUUCUCCCCCUAACUCAUUGCAAGUUAUUAUUUCUCUCCCCCUAAUGUCAAAAAAACUAUUGAAUCAAAAUUGUAAUCACAAAUCGUGUCAUAAUUGAAUCUCAAAUACAUUCAAAACAUCUAAUAAUAUAAAGAAACUUGUAAGUAAUUAAUAUAUAUUCCCAACUUUCUUUGAGGAUUCACUCAUCUUUGUGUGUUGUGGUGGACAAUUGGAACAUAUACACACAUAGAAAAAAUUCAAAGAUGAGAAAUAUUUAGCACUUGAUCAAAAAACAAUUGUAAUCGGAAGUAUUUAUAACUUAUUGGCUUGAUGCGUAAACACGUAAAUCAACAUAAUCUCAUGUUGAAAUAGAGAGUUUAGUUCUCAUAAGUAAUGGUUUAGACAUUAAUCAGAGGUGUUUAAUCAAUAAUUUCUCUAAACAAUUAUGCACAAACUUUUACAAAAUUUUUUCAAACUCAAUCAAUAAAAGAUUGAGAUAUAAACUCAUCUGUAUUAGCAAGAUGAAUUGUCUUAAUUGUAUGAUUUGAAAUCAAUUAUUUAAACAAGCAAUCUUGCAAACGACAGGUUACAAAUUGAUAACACAUAUGUGAUUAUCUUGUAGAUACAUCUACCAAAAAAAUAUAAUGUCAAAACCAUCCACAUGGUGGAUGAAUGGGCCCAUAUUUGUUUUAGAAAUGCAAGAUAUUAAAUCUCAACUAUAGCUAGUGAGUUUCUAAGAAUCAAUUUUCAUUUGGAACAAACAACAAAUGAGAAUUCUUUAAAUUAAAGAAUCUUCUAGUUCUUUAAUGAAUAUCCAUAUAAAUUCUUAAUUAAUUUUCACAUCAUAUAUGAUCCAGGAUGGUCUAAUUGGUCACGCCAAAUAGUAAAUGUAUGUGCAUUAGUAAACUUCUGGUUUACUUUAACAUGUUUUUCAAUUGUACUAAUAAUGUAAAAUAUAAAUUUUGAUAAUUGAUAAUUUUAUUGUCAUUCUUUUUAUUUUGUAUCCACAUAUAAAUACUAUUGUGACAUUUACUUCUGGAAAUGUCUAAAUCAAUGUGAAGUCUAUAAUACCACUAAGUCAAUAAAUAAAUAUAAUUUUCAAACAAUUAUAUGUAAUAUUCGCUUCAGGGAAUAUGUCAAAAUCUUCAAAUAUAAGGCAUUUGGUCUAGUGGUAUUUUUCUCUCUUAGAGUGCAAGAGGUCUUGAGUUCGAUUCAAAAUAUAAAUAACCCAAUCCUUUUCUGAUUCAUAUGAAAUAUAAUGUUUUCCUCAUUCACAAUCUCAAUAUGAGAUCCAUUAUUAAUAUCUUUUAAAAUUAAUCCAUUAACCAUCACAAAUUUUGUGCUUUUUAGAUAUUGAUAUAUUAGCUCUUCUAGAGCUUUCAACUAAUUUUGCACUAUCAAAUAUUGGAAUAAUAUUUGUUUGUUUUAGUACCAAAUAAGAUAAAUAUUUUCUAUCUGUAAUGAUAAAAUCCAUUACUACAUUCUCAUAUCCUUCCUUAAAGAAUAUUAACAGAGACAGAAUGUUUGGGCAUACACCAUAUAUGUGACCAAUAAUCUUUCAUAUCACAUUGAUAACAUAAGUUAUCUUUACCCUUUGAAAAGUUAUCUUGAGAACUCUCAUUGUUCUCUUAUUUAUUACUAUAUUCCCACUUUUAGUGGUCAAUGAUUAUAUCUUUUAUUUUCUUUAUGUUUACAUUCACUUCGAGAGAUGCAACAAAUUUAGUAGGAAGGACUUAUAAACAUCCCAACUGAUUCUUUAUUUUAUAAUCACCAUGGCAAACAUGCGUGAGACUUCAAAUCAAAAUCUAUCUAUUCAUGUUGUCAUGAUCAAUCUCCAAUUAUAAUAAACAUGAUAUAAUAAAUAAAACAUAGUAAAAUAUACCUGAAGAUUUUUGUAACGCCCUGAAAAAUUUAUUUUUUUUCCUGUAAAAUCUAACACAAAUAUAUGUCUGCUUCUGUGGUUAAGUGUUCUGGGUAUGUGUGAGAGGUCUUGGGUUCAAGUCUCACCUCUGCUAAAUUUUGUGAUUUUUGGAAUCAAACCUUAUAUUUUUUCAGUGGGCUUAUAUUAAAUUAUCUGUAAAUCCAUAUCAGAAUGAGCUUACUGGUUCGAGUGGUAAGGGUGUUGGUGUGUUGGAGGUCCUAUGUUUGAAUCCUUGUGCAAACGUAGGUAUUAUUUUUGUUCGGUUAGUUGAUAAAGUUUUGAUUGAGCCAAACUUUUGAGGUAGUUGUGUGUAGUGGGUUAGUGGGAGAGAUAUGGGGGACUUUGGGAUAUUAUCUUUUAUUUUAUUUUUGUUUUUUUUCAAAAAAAAUAUUUUCUCUCUCUCUCAAAAGAAUUUUGACAUCUCUACUCUUCCCUUUUCAGGGUCUCUACAAAUUUUUCUUUGUUUUCAAUUGUUCUUUGAUUCUGUCACUUUCCUUUUUGUACAAACUGUCUUAUUUCAGCUUUUUGGUGAUCUUUGUGCGUUUCUGGUAAGUCUAGUACAUGUGGUUUUUGUUUUGGUUUCUAAAUUGAUGGUUAAUAAGGCUCGUUUUCUACUUAAAAGAAGAUUAAAGGGUUGGGUGUUUCCAACGGCGCUCUUGUUGUGCGAAAUCGUCGUUGUUUGCUCGAAGGUAAGGGUUUUGUUAUAUUAAAAGGAGUGUUCUAUUUGAUAUAGUCUGGUUGAGUAUCGUUUUUAAAUAACUAAUUCAGUAUCUGGUUGGACAAUUUUAGGUUUUAGUGUUUCGGGAGUGUUUUUGCAUCAAAAUCGUAACAGGUGUGUACCCGAAAUGAAGAAAACAAGGUUUCGACAAAAGCCAAAAAACUGCACUGUCGAUGCUACACGAGCGUGUGGUCGCCCGUGUGGAGCCUAGUGAGUGGCGUGUGAGCCACACUGUUAGGCCUAGUUGGGCGUGUGGGCCACACGGUCAUGUCAGCCCACACGGGCAUUCCACAUGGGCGUGUGAGUUUUUGGGCUAGGCCGUAUGGGCCACACGGGCAAGGCCAAUUUGGACGUGUGGACCCAUAUUUCUAAAAUUUAUCCUAGGGUCGCAUGGGUCAUUCUGAUCGACUGUGCACCUACCGUAGGGUCGGUAAGGGCUAACCAAACCCUAAAACUGUGGAUCUGAUAGACUGAUAUUCUGUUCUAAGUAUGUAAUGCUAUGCAUGUCUGAUUGUUAUGCUAGAUGCAUAUCUGUUAUCUGUAUAUGAGCAUGUUGAACAUGUUUAAUUUGUUAUAUUUGUAUUUGAUUUUUGCAUCUGUUUAUUAGGGUGGGAUUGUAUAUUAGGAAGUGUUCUAAAUGGGGAUCAUCGCCUAUUUUCUAGUAGCUUGGCUGCACAUUAUCUGACUUGUGUCGUAUUGGCACGAUAUGAUGUGUAGUGAUGGGUGGGUGUGUUUAACCCCACAUGGUGUGGUGGGAUGGAUAGAGUUAGUGUGUAGAGGAUGGGGAUAGGAUUCUAUAUGUUCUGAUCUAUAUAUCUGAUUCCGAUGACUGUAUCUGAAAUGGGCAUGAGCCCGAAUCUGUAUCUGAUUGUUAUGAGAUUUAUGUAUGUUUGCAUGCUUAAUUAUGUUGGGUUACACACUGGGUUUACAAAAACUCACAUCUGUUUGUCUGUUUUAUCCAGGUAAUCCACAAACUUAGGCGGAUUGGUGAGGCGGAAACUCAACGGUGACCACUCGACUGUAAAUUGUUUAAAUUUAAUAAUUUAUGGUUUUCAUAUUAAAUUUCAGAUUAUUUGAGAGUUUGUAAAUUUCUGGACUGCAUAGACUUUUAACCGUUGAUUUUGGUUUUCGAUAAUUUGUUAAACUGCACACUUCAAUAAAAUGUUUUAUGAUAACGAAGGUUUUAUACAAAUAAAGUUUUUAUAAAAAUACAAAUCGGGUUUUCAGUAAGGUAUCGAUUUUAUUAAACUUCUCUUGUAAUUAAGUUUUGGCAAAAGAAACAGUUAAUUAACGUUUUCGAUUAGGUUUAUAAAAGAUUUGAGAUAAUAGACUGAAGGGAUUUAACGUAACAACUCUAUUUUCAAAACCCAUUCUUUGUGACAUCUUCGGAUUCGGCUAUAACGUCUAAGCCAGGUUUGGGGUGUUACAAUUUUUAACACCAUCAUCAUCACCAUGAUCCAUUAUGGGAUUGAAUCUUUCAACAUCUUGAAGAUGAAGUGGUAAGGGUGAAAGUUUAAGAUGAAAGAGGAAUUGGACUUGGGGGACGACUUCGAAAGAUUUUGAAAAAAAUAGAGAAUCAUCGUGCUGAUAACGUGUUAUAAAAUAAAGAGAGAUGGAGAGAAUAAAGAACAAAGAAAAUAUGAAAGCAAUAGAGAAUGUACUUUAUUGAUUAAGAAGGGUGAUUGUAAUGCUUCAUUAGAGUCUCUAUUUAUAGGCAUAAGAAAUAUAAAAGAAAUAGAGAUCUAAUUCUGAUAACUAUUAGAAUUUAAAGUACAUUAAAACUUUAUCUUGAUCAUGAUGGACAUCCACUUAAUAAGAUAUUCAUAACAAUUAGAACUCAACUUUUAUAGUUUUUUUUUCAAUUUGGUCAAUACCUUUUAAAAGUACGUAAUUUUUUAAAAAAUAUAUUAAAAAUCAUUUUUUAUUUUACAUAUAAAUUAUUAAAAUUUUAAAUUUAUAUAAUUUUUUAAAGAAUAAAAAAUGAGAAAAAAAACAAAAUAUCUUUAUAAUUUAAAAAUAAAAAAAAUAAAGAUUUUAAAAAUAUAAAAAAUUCCAAAACUCAUUUUUAUCUAAACUAGACCAAACCAUUUCAAGAACAAGUUAGGGUAUUGGUCUGCUGAGAGGUAAAAAAUUGAUUGACCCCACGAACCGUACAGACUUGUUGAACCGAGCUAAAAAACUAGUUGAAUUACCAAUUGAAUUGAUUUUUAUAUAAUUUUAAUAUCUUUAUUUUUAUUUUUCAUAAUUUAUUUGCUUUGAACCGAGGGAUCAAUUGCUUUGGGAACCAAUUGGUUAGACUAGAUCAAAAUCGGUUCAAUCGAUUUUUUAUCUCGAUUUAACAAGUCCGUACUAGUUCGCAGGUUAGUUGAUUUUUUAGCUUGUGCUAGAUCGAUACCCCAAUCUGUCACUACACCAAAACAGACUUUUAGCGGCGUUUUAAAAGAAAAUGCCGGAAAAAAUCAAAUAGAUGGAGUUUUAGCGGCGUUUUUAAAAAAAUGCCGCAAGAGAUCGAGCUUUAGCGGCGUUUUUGAAAAAGUGCCGCUAAAGGUUGACCAUUAGCGGCGCUUUUUCAAAAACGCCGCUAAAAGUUUAAGCAAGACGGCGUCGUUUUACAUGAGCUUCAUUGGCAGUAGCGGCGUUUUCCCAAAAACGCCGUAACAGAUCAAACUUUAGUGGCGUUUUUAGAAAAAAUGUCGCUAGAGUUCUGCCUUUUGAGGCUUUUUUAGAAAAAUGCCGCUAAAAUGUUAAACAAAACGACAUCAUUUUAUAUGAGCUUCAAUGACAUUAGCGGCACUUUCCUAAAAACGCCGCAAUAGCUCGCACUUUAGAGGCAUUUUUGUAAAAAAUGCCACUAUAGGUCGCAUAAUUAGCGGCGUUUUUUUGUAAACGCCGCUAAUAGGUUAAGGCAAACGAAGUCGUUUUAAAUUAGCUUCAAUGGCAUUAGCGGCCCUUUACUUAAAACGCUACAAUAUAUCAAUCUUUAACGGCAUUUUUACAAAAACGCCGCUAAAACAUUAAGCAGACCGACGUCGUUUUGUUUGAACUUCAAUGGCAUUAGCGGCGUUUCUCGAAAAACGCCGCUAGAGUUUAUGGGGCAGACACAUUUUCUCUCUUUAACAAAGUAAAACACAAUAAAAUCAUUACAUUUUUUAGUUCUUUAUUACUUAAUAUUAGGUGUUUAUGGGUGCUAAAUAUAAUAUUUGUUUAAAUAUAAUAUCAUAUAUUUUAUAUUUGUUUGAAUUUAUUUUUAGUGGGGCUUAAAAUAUAGGUUUAACAUUUUGUUAAAUCCCACUAAUACUUGCAAAUGAUUAACCUAAGUCUAUUUUAAGUCCAAUCAUAUUAUAUUUUUAAUUUUUGUAAAAUUAUGUCAUUUUAAUUUAAUAUUUUUUAUUUAUUUAAUUUCUUUAUAUAGUUAUCUUAAUAUUAUUUUAAUGUUUAUAUUAGACUACUAUAUAUUAUACAUUUAGUAUAAAUUUAUUUUUUUAUAAAUUAUAAAAUUACAUAGUAUAUAUAUAAAAUAUUAUGAAGUUGAAAACGGAUUAGACCAAACUCAAGUGUUAAAUGUUUCAGUCUAACUUAUUUUUUAAAUGAAUUUAAAAUUUUCUAUUUAAACUGAUUUUUAAAUUUAAUAUUUUUAUAGGUUUAAGGGUUAUGAUUUAUGGUUGAUGAUUUAUGUUUUAUGAUUUAGGGUUUGAGGUUUAUAAUUUAAAAGGUUAUGGGUUUAGGGUUUAAGAGUUAGUGGUUAGUGGUUAGGAUUAAGGGAUAUAUAUGGGUUUAAGGUUUAUGGGUUAGGUGUUAAGGGUUUAUAUGGGUUAAGAGGAUAGAGGAUAGGGGUUUAGUGUUUUAAAGUUUAUUAUUUAGGGUUUAUUAUUUAGGGUCUAAGAUAUUAGUGUUUAGUGAUAUUAUGGUUUAAGGGUUUAAGGUUUAGGGGUUAUGAGUUUAGGGGUUAAGGGUCAAUGGUUUAUGAAUUAUGUUUUGUGGUUUAAGGUUUAAGGGAUAGAUGUUGGGGUUAGGGGUUAUGGUUUAUGAUUUAUACUUUAAUGGUUAAUUAAGGUUUAGGGUCUAGGGUUUGGGGUUUAGGAUUUAUAGUUUAGGGUUUAUGGUAUAGGGUCAGGGUCUUAGCACUGUUCAAGGAUUUAGGGGUAAUGUUGUCAGGGUUUAAUGUUAUGGUUUUAGCUGGUAAGCAAUAAGAUUUUAUUUUUAGCGUUUUAGGAUUUUAGGGUUAGGGUUUAGGGUUAUAUUUAGUGUUUAGGGGUUAUCAGGUUUAAGAGUAUACAUAUUUAAUAUUUAAGGGGUAUAUUGGGUUAGGGAGAUUUUAGGGUUUUAAGGUUUAGGGAUUGGGUUUUAUGGUUUAUGGUACGGGGCUUAUGGUUUGGGUUUGGGAUUUGGGGUUUGGGAUUUAGGGUUUAGUGUUUAUUUUUGGAAAUAAAAACUUAAAAAUUUAAAAUUUAAUAUUUUAGUUACUAAGUUAAAUAAAAAAAAUAUAAAAAAUGAUAAUCUCAGCAGGAAAAUUUGAAAUAAAAAAAUAUAUGUUAAAAAUGAAAAAAAAAUUAAAAUUAUGAAUUAGUGGCGUUUUUUCAAAAACGCCACAAAAAAUGAGCUAUAAUGGUGUUUAUAAUAAAAAACGCCACUAAAAGUUGACCUAUACCGGCGUUUUAAAUAAAAACGCCGCAAAUAUUUGAGUUUUAAUAGGUUAAACGGCGUCGUUUUUCUUUCAUUCUCUUUAUCCCCAAGUUAAGCCCCGAUACUUAGUAUUUUUUCCCAAAACAAAUUUUUCCCUAUACCCUCAGUUUCCCUAAAUCAAACCCUAAGUUACUUUCCUCCAUAUUUCACCGAUUGAAGGCCUGAGCUUGGUGUUUCUUCUCAAUCGAUCUUCAUCCCCUUUUUUUAACUCUCUUUCUCUCUCAAAUCCUCGAUUCCACUUCACUCUCCAGAUCUCCCCAGGUAAUAUUCAAACCUUUCUUACGUUUUUUUUUUCUAUUAUUCUUUAAAUUUAUCAUCUUUUCACUUUGCACUUCUUUCUCAUUUGUAUUUCAUCUUAAAAUUUGAAAUUGUUGUAGAAAUUCAUUAUCAAUAAAAUGUCAAAAUUUAUGACUAUUUUAACACAGACCAAUCUGACGAGCCUUCAUUGUGCUGCUGAACAAUCUGCUUGUUGUCUACGGCAAUAUAAAUCGUAAGUGUUGCUUUAAAUCCUAAUUGAUGCGCAGUUAUUUGGUUUCUGAAGUUCUAUUAACACUCCUAAUCCUGUUACUUUCAUUUAUUUUCAUGGGGAGUGGUGGUUUUUUUUUCCUUCACUGGCAAACAGAAGGUCAGGUAACUUUAAUUUCUAAGUCUCUGUUUCUUUUAAUUUCUAAGUCUCUGUUUACAAAUACAAAUACAUAAGCUUAUGUACAUUGUUGAACGUAUGGUGUUCCAUAAAGGUUAGGCUGAUUGGAUAGUGUUGUAGGUUUCCUUGCUUAAAUAUUUUGUUUCUUUUAAUGGUAUUGAGCUUGGUCCUAUUUCUUCUCACAAUGGUCUUCAUUAGGGUGACCUGAUUUCAUUGUAUUUGUUUAUUUUGUGCACAAAGGGCUUUAGCUAUUGGUUGCGAAAAGCCAGGAGUAGAGGCAAUUUGCAUGGUAUCAAUAUAGGAUGGAUUAGUAAUGAUUAAAUUAAUAAUAGAUUGAUGAGGAAAAUAUAGUUAUUUUCAUGUGAUCAUCCUUGGGGAAAUUAAUAAUUGUCUUUGUUGAUAUAUAUAUAUAAGGGGUAAGUUGGUGAUUAAGCUUAGAUAAAUUUAUAUCAUAUUAGUUGAAUUGAUUAUGGUAACAUUUUUUAUAAAAUAAUAAUACUUGAUUUUAUGGAAGGUAAAAAAACUUUGGUGAAUUAAAGUAUAUAUAUUACUUACUUGUGACUUGGUGAUUUAUUGAGUUAAAACUUAUCGUUAUAUUUAUAUUGUGCUCUCAUAAUUUGAUUUCAAUUAUGCUUUAAUAGACCGUUAAAAAUAAUCAAAUGAUAAUGGUGUCGAACAUAACUUAAGGUACAUAUACUUGACUACUUGAUUUCUAUUGAAAUAUGUCAAAAUAUGUAUACAUUUGUGACUGUGAAAAUUGAAUUAUAAUAAUGUUAUACUAUCUUAUUUAUAAUAUGUUAUGAAAAUUUUAUUAUAAUAUGCUUUGGUUAGAUAUGGAGCUAUAAAAUUUCUUUUGUUGAGUUUUAAUGCUUGAGUAAUGAAUAAGCAUGCAUGGUUAUAAGUAUUAAGCCAUUUAAUCAACUACACUAGGUUGAGUUGACUUGAUUGCUAAGUUGUCUAGAUAUUUUAUUACAUAAUUGUUUGUUAAACUGAUGCAUAUGAAAAUACUAUAAAAUUUGCUUAAUUUUGCAUAAAUUGAUUGGUGUUUGAAUGCAUUUAAAUGUUCAUUUUAGUUAAUAUCACAUUAGUGUUUUGUCAAAACAUAAUGAUUAUGUCUUGAGAUCCUAAGAACAAAAAUAAUCAAAUUGUACAUUUCUGGGUACAAGUCUCUAGACUUACCAAGCAAGCCUUAAGAUAAUCAUGAUCGGAGUCUUGAGACACAAAAGUUUGUGUCUCAAGACUGUAAAACAUCGAAACUAAAAUUAUUUUCAAUUUUUCAAAAAAUUGUACUAUCUUUGAUUUUAAUAUUGCUCUUAAUCAUGGAGAUACUGGGGCUUACUGUUACUUACUAAGCAUAAUAUUAGAAGCUUUAAUUUUUUGUCUGAGUGUUCACUUUUUUCUUAGUCCAAAUCUUAGUCUACACAUUUGCAGGGUAAGUAGUUUCAGUCAUGGCUUUAUCUCGUCGUCUUUGCUUGCCAUUCUUAUGGUUUCUCCUCCUGUGCUUGCUUUUGCUGAUUCAUUUAAAUAUCAUCACUGUGAUGCCGCAAUAACACAAUCUAAACAGGUUUAGUUAACAAGAAUUUUAAUCAUCACUUUAUACAAGUAAAGACUAAUUUAAUAAUUUUUAUAAUUAAAAUUUGUUUAUUAUAAAAUUCUGUUGUUACGAUUGAAAAGUUCUUAGAUAUUAUUAUUUAUUAUUUUAAUUAACUAUGAAUAAAUCGUAUAUAUACAGUGAAUAUUAAUUGAAGUUCAUUUGUAUAUAUGAUAUAUCAAAUUAUGAUCAGUUAUUAUUUGAAUAAAAAAUUAUUUUAAUAAUUUAUAAAUUUAUGUAAAUUAAAGUUUUUUUAAAAAAUUUAUUAAAGUAAAACGUUGUGUUGACGUAGCUUUAUUUUUAGUAAUUCUUGUAGCAUCUAUUUUUUUUAUCAUUUUAUUUGUUUAUUCCCACCUGUUAUUAGCAAAUAUAAUUAAUAUUAUACCAAUCAUUAAAUGUUGUUUAUUUUUAGAACUCAUUUGAUUGUUUUGUCGACCAAAAACAAACUUCUGUUCUUCAAAUGCAAUGAGUAGGGAAGUCUCUCGACAUUAUUAGAGAUCAAUCCCAAGCAUCUCCAAAUAAACCCUAAAGAAAACAUUUCCAAUUCAAUCAACGUAAACAUUGUCUUCCCUAACAUUUAUGUUUCUUUCAACAUGUUUUUCCUUUUAUGUUUUUAAUGUUUAUGAUGAAAGAUUCAACAUCUCUAGAAACUGAAUCAUGCAUUUUUUCUGCUAGGAUUAGCAAUCUAGUAUGAAUAAGUUUGAUCAUUGUUUAAAUAUAUUAUAAUAUAAAAACGUAAUGGGUGUUAAGAUUUAUUCUACUCCACUUUCAAGAUCGGGUUAGUGUUCAAUUAACUGACGUAAGCCUACCACUGUUAAGAUUUCUCUUGUUGCUGCAACAAGCAUAAUGGGUGUGACCUCAUUUGCUGCUUAAAAUAUAACAGCCCAGAAUGGAUUACUAUGAUGAGGAAUAAAUAAAUCUGGUAAAUCAGUAUGUUGUUGUUAGGACUUACUUGUGGAAUAUUUUUGACAUCAUGUGAAACUAGGGUGUACAGUGUUUUCAAGUAGAAGCAGAACAAUGUGCACCUGCUUCCUGCUUCUAAAGUUCCAUCUAUGUCAGCUUUUCUCCAUUGCAGUGAAAAUGGAAGAUGUAUGCCUGUGUGUUUGUGUCUUUAUAUAUGUAUGUAUUUGGUACUAGAUGAAAGCUUUACUCCAGUUUUGAAAUAUAGACCAAUUUUUGCAUACAUUGAUCAUUUUCUGCCUCUUUUCCUUUGAAUACAUCGUUCUCUUGAUACUAAAUACUCAGGUACUUUCUGCAUAUUCUGUGAUUCUUAUUAGAUAAGUUAUAUAUCAACAGUUAUGUUAGUUUUCAUCAAGGCCUCUGUAAACAUAAAGUUGGUACUCUGGUUAGGAGAAGUUAAUGUUUAUGAGUUGUGUGGAGUAUGAUUCUGCACAUGCAAAGUUGGUUUGUUUAAAGCUGUGCAUUUUUAAGUUGAUGUUCAACGGCGCAAAGAAAAGAAAAGAAAAACUUAAAGCAUUUGUUAGGUUAAUUAGUCUUUGCUUUAGUAUGAUUUUCAUGUUUUCAUAAUAAUGGUGAUUCCAUUUUGGUUUUUUAGAUGUUCUUUUAGUCUGUUUUCAUGUUUCUAUUAUGUGUUUAGUAUGGACUUAGAUUGAUUGAAGAGUUUAAUGCUGUCUUGUUGCUCACGUUUUAUAUAAAAAAUUGUUAUAUUUUGUUUCAAAAUGCUUUUCAAUUUCUAAUUAUAAAAUGAGAUGUGGAUUGAAGGUAAUAAAUGCUAUAGUGAAGGAAUAAAAUGGCACUGAUAAUGGUAUUUAGAAUGGCAAGCUUAUAUUGGAUAUAGUAAAUUGCAGUAAGACUCAAUAUAUUAUGAUGUUUUUCAUGGUCAUUGGCAAAUUCCAAUUGAUUGGCGUUGAAGCAAAUAAUUUUAAUAUUUAAUAUUUUUAAAUGUCUUUAAAAGUUAUAACUAAUUUUUAUCAAAAUAGUAUUAAUUAUUAUUUGAAGUAUGAAUAAGUAUGAAUAAGAACACGUGAUAAUCAGUGUCUUCUUGAGUAGAUCCUGUCUUCACAUUCUUAAGUUUCCUUUGUCCCAUUGAUGAUAAGUGUGCUUUCUAUACAGUGCAGUUUUGGCAGAUUUUGCUGAGGUGUACAACUUCAUUGGCAGUGUCUUUGAUCCUGGUACAAGUGGGCACUUGCAGAAGUUGAAGUAGAUGGACCCAAUAAAUUUGGAAACUGUAUGUCAUCCAAAUGAUAGUAAUAAUUUUAUUGUAUACUAAAUAUGAAGUAAUAUAUAUGAAGUAAAAUUAUAUUGUAUACUAAAUAUGAUACAUAUACUUUAAUUCCUUGUGUUUUGACUUUUAGGAUAUAGUUCCAUGUGUCUGUAUUAGUGAAUUAAUGUUGUAUGUAUUUCAGUUACUGCUUCCUGCUCCUCCUGCAGGUAUUGGUUCAACUGAAGCUGCCAUUUAAUCUUCGAAUUAAUAUUUGGUACUGAUAUAGAUAAAGUUUUUAUAUUUGCUUAAACUGAAAUAUAUUUGGUGCUACUCUUAUAAUCUUACAUAUGUUCUAGGUACUAUCGAGCAUCUGAAAUAAUAUUUGGUGCAACUAAAUACACCACAGCCAUUGACAUUUGUUCUAGGUAUGUACAGGUUUCGUUGCUAAAUUUUUUUCCUUAUUUCUAUGCAUUUUCACUUUAAAUUACUUAACAAAUAUUACUUUUUGGACUCCAGCCUCUGUUUGCUGGUGAGAGUGGAGUAGACCAGGUACGUUUUAUUAAGGUACGUUUUAUUUCAAAAUUGUAAUCAAUAAUAGUUUUAUCAUGAUGAUUUUGGAAAAUUUAAUAUUUUGGGGUUGCGAUUUUGUAAAGAUUUAAUUGCUGGUUCUGUUUGGAGCAGAACUAUUUUGUUUCCAAAUUAAUUUUUUUAUAUUUGGUUCAACUUAAUUAUUAUUUGAUUCAACUUAAGUAUGAAUAAGUAUGAAUUAAUUUUAUUACCAUAGAUGUAGCUUGCUUGUCCAUUAUGAUUACAACAAUAGCUGACCUUCUCUCCAACCUUAUUUUAAAUAUUUUAAAGAUUCAAAGUAUAUAGGCUGGAAACCUGACGGGUUGUCUUAUAUCGAGCUGCAAGAUAUAAUGGAUCCUCCCUAGGUGUAACAACGCCACGUAUGAUGAAUCUUAAAAAAUUCAAAGAGACUUGAAAAAAGUUCUAUCGCUAUUGAAUAUUUAUAUAACCUUAAUUUAUUUCCAAUUUACUUAUAAAAAUUAAACUACGAUUCUUUUUUGAUAUUAUUAUAUUCAAAUUACUAUUUUUUAUAUUAAUAAUGUUUGAUUUUAAUAUUUAAUAUUUUUAAAUGUAUUUUUAUAAAAAAAAAGAUUUCAAAAAAAGUUCUAUGGAGCUUAUAAACAAUUUUAUUACCAUAUAUGUAGCUUGCUUGUCCAUUAUAAUUACAACAAUAGCUGACCUUCUCUCCAACCUUAUUUUAAAUUUUUAAAGAUUCAAAGUAUAUAGGCUGGAAACCUGACGGGUUGCCUUAUAUCGAGCUGCAAGAUAUAAUGGAUCCUCCCUAGGUGUAACAACACCACGUAUAAUGAAUCUUAAAAAAUUCAAAAAAUCUUGAAAAAAGUUCUAUCGCUAUUGAAUAUUUAUAUAACCUUAAUUUAUUUCCAAUUUACUUAUAAAAAUUAAACUACGAUUCUUUUUUGAAAUUAUUAUAUUCAAAUUACUAUUUUUUUAUAUUAAUAAUGUUUGAUUUUAAUAUUUAAUAUUUUUAAAUGUAUUUGUAUAAAAAAAGAUUUCAAAAAAAGUUCUAUGGAGCUUAUAAAUAAUUCUAUCGACCUUAAAAAAGAAUUAAAAUUUUCAACAACUGAAGUGCCACUUAUAAAUAAUUUUAUCAAUAUAAUAAUAUUGAUCAUUGUUUAAAUAUAUUAUAACUAAUUUUUAUCAAAAUAGUAUUAAUAUUGAUUAUUACUUAAAUAAAUUACAUAACUCACAUAACGUACAUAACAACUUACAUAACUUAACUAAUACAUGUAGUUUAAUCUAAUAAUUUCCUUAAAAGCAUAUAGUUUAAAGUUCAAAUUUCAUAACUUAUAUAAUCUACAUAACUUACAUAAAACAUAAAUAUAUAUCAUAUCAAGACUUACAUAAUAAACAACUUACCCGUGUAACUUAUUGCCAACUUUAGACUUCAACAACUACGAAAUAGAUAGGACUUGGAUGAAUUUCUCAAGGGCAAGCAACGAGUAUCAAAAUGGAGUGCAAUCUUUUUUAGAUUUUGCAUUUCACAAUUCAAGCCAAGAGAAUAUGAUUCUUUGCCCGUGUAAGAAGUGUGGCAAUAUCUAUUGGCAUUAUCGUGAAGUUGUCUACGAACAUCUAAUUGUUGAUGGCUUCAUUCGGGGGUAUAAAAAAUGGAUUUUCUAUGGAGAGUGUACACCUAGUGGAGCCUCUUCGACGAUUAAUCCGGGUUAUCCUUAUAGUGGUUACCAUCAGUAUGUUAGAGAAGAUGACAUGGAAGGUAUGAUGCAGGAUGCAUUUAAUAUGCGGAGUGAAGGUUUCCAAUCAUUUCCACCAAACUAUGUUGCAUCCGAUGAUUAUAAUAUCGGUGGGAAUACUUUUAUGGAAACAAGAAGAAGUGUACCGGAUGAACAACCGAAUGAAGACGCGGCGAAGUUCCACACGUUACUUGGUGAAAUGAAUGAAGAACUUUAUGAGGGAUUAAAAUUUUUGAAAAUGUCAUUCUAUAUUCGCCUUUUCCACUUAAAAUGUUUGGGAGGGUGGACCGGAAACUCUUUGACAAUGCUGUUAGAGCUUUUGAGAGAAAUGUUCCUGUUUGCAAAAAUCCCUCAAUCAUGUAAAGACAUGAAGAAAGUGAUAAAAGAUUUGGGCCUUGGUACAACAAAAUUCAUAGUUGCCCAAAUGAUUGCAUGUUGUAUUAGGGUGAUCGGAGAAAUCAACAGUCUUGUCAUGUUUGCGGUAAAUCUCGUUGGAUGAAUAGAGAUGUAGAAGAUGCUAAUGAGGAUGAAUAUGGGCCACAGUCAAUAAAGAAGCCGAACAAGAUUUUGCGAUAUUUCCCGCUAAUCCCAAGGCUUCAAUGGCUAUUCAUGUCGUCAAAGACAGUCGAGUUUAUGACGUGGCAUCAUGAUCAACGAACGGAUGAUGGAUUAUUAAGGCAUCCUGCAGAUUCUUUAGCAUGGAAAUCAUUUGACAAUAAAUUUCCAAGCUUUGCAAGUGAUCCUCAGAGUGUAAGGCUCGGGUUAGCAUCUGACGGAUUUAAUCCUUUUAAAAUCAUGAGCACCUUGUACAGUACUUGGCCUGUGGUCCUUGUUCCUUAUAAUUUGCCUCCAUGGCUCUGCAUGAAGCAAUCUUCUUUGAUAUUAUCUAUGAUUAUCCCCGGAGAGAAAGGCCCCGGAAAUGAUAUUGACAUAUAUCUGCAGCCACUUAUUGAAGAGUUAAAACAAUUAUGGGCGGGUGUUGAGACGUAUGAUGUAUUGAGAAAGGAAAACUUUUACCUACGUGCUGCUUUACUGUGGACAAUUAAUGAUUUCUCGGCAUAUGCGAAUUUAUCUGGUUGGAGUACCAGAGGACGUUAUGCUUGUCCUUGUUAUGCUGCUCAAACGUGUUCACAGUGGUUAUAUAAUGGGAAGAAGUUCUACUAUAUGGGGCAUCGUCGGUGGUUAGAUGAAAAUCAUAGCUAUAGAUUUCAGAGGGCUUUAUUUGACGGCACUGAAGAGUUGAAAAAAGCUCCUGAGCAAACCAUUGGAUCUGAAAUCUUAUUCAUGUUAAAAGAUAUGGAUUUCAGUUACGGGAAGCUGAAUCAACCAUCUAACAGGCAAACAAAUAGACGAUCGAGGGAUGAAUCUGAUGAUGAAUCUGACGAGGAGGAUGACCCUAAUGAGGCGGACUUGUGGAAGAAAAGAAGUAUUUUUUUUUUGAGUUGCCUAAGAAGUAUUUUUUUUUUGAGUUGCCUUAUUGGGAGCAUCACAUAUUAUGCCAAAAUCUUGAUGUGAUGCAUAUUGAAAAGAAUGUCUGCGAGAACAUCAUCCAGACAAUUUUGAACGUCGAUGGUAAAUCAAAAGAUAAUCUUCAGAGUCGACUUGAUUUAGUUCACAUGGGAAUUAGGCGUGAUCUUCAUCCCCAAGUACGUCCUAAUGGAAAAUAUUGGUUGCCGCCUACAAUUUUUUCAAUGUCAAAGGAAGAGAAAGAAAUGUUCUGCACGGUUUUGAAGGAUAUAAAGGUUCCGGAUGCGUAUGCAUCAAAUAUAUCUCGAUGUGUAAGUCUUAAAGAUCGAAGACUAUAUUCAUUAAAAUCACAUGACUAUCACAUCUUGAUGCAAGAUCUACUUCCAGUUUCUUUACGGUACUGUAUGUCAAAGAAGGUAACGUCCUGUAUAAUUGAACUGUCCAAUAUAAUGAAAGCAAUUUGUGGCAAAUUUUUGAAUGUUGAAGAACUUGAAAAAGUACAAGAUCGAGCCGCUUUGACAUUAUGCAAUUUGGAGAAGAUCUUUCCACCUUUCUUCUUCACAAUUAUGGUGCACCUUGUCAUUCAUCUCCCUCGUGAAGCAAUAAUUGGUGGGCCGGUUUUCUAUCGUUGGAUGUAUCCAAUUGAAAGGUGCUAAUUUAUUUCAAAGGCAUUCCACCUUUAUACCUAUAGUUACCAGUUUUGAUAAUGUUGUAUAUGGUGUUUAGGUUCCUAAGCAAAUUGAAGUCUUAUUGCCGUAACAAGCGUUAUCCGGAAGGAUCGAUUGCUGAAGGCUACUUGGCAGAGGAGUGUAUGACAUUCUGUUCUAGAUAUUUAGAAGAUGUUGAAACAAGAUUGAAUAGACCAAGUAGAAAUACCGGACUCAAUAUCCUAGCUUGGCCGAAACUUAUUUAUUUCAAAGUUAUGGAGAACCAAUCGGCAAAGUUGAAAUUGCAGAAUUAGAUGACCGAUCUUGGAUACAAGCACAUAGAUAUGUUCUUUUCCACCACGAUGCACUUGAACAAUUACGCAAGUAAGUUCUAGAAUAUGAUAAAUAUUCAUCUUUUUUUGAUUUGUUUAUUUUUUAACGAAUUAAACAUGUUUUUAACAUAGUGAGUACAAACAAGUCUUAAGAUCUCGUUCACGCUCACGAAGAUUACAACAUCGCGAGAUUAAUAGGUUAUUCGCAGAAUCUUUUCAUGAAUGGUUAAGCCAAAUGGUAUGCAACUCAACAUUUUAUUGACAAAUAAUAAUGUUUUCUCAUAACAUUUACAAUUACUCAAUUUACUUUUGAUUCAAUAGGUUUGGAGUGGGAAUAUCGUUAAUGACGAAGUUAAAUGGCUUUCCCAAGGUCCGAAUCGAGUAGUAAAAAGAUAUAGUGGCUUCAUCAUGAAUGGAUUCAGAUUUCAUACCAAAUAUCGCGAGAGAUUGAGGAGAACUCAAAAUUGUGGAGUAGUUGUUAAUUCUUUAAUUACAAGUUACGCUAGUGCUAGGAACAGUAAUCCUGUCGAGGGAAAUGUGGAGUAUUACGGACUUCUAACCGACAUUAUUGAGUUGGAUUACUAUGGAAAAUGGAAAUUUGUCUUAUUUCGAUGUGAUUGGGCUGAUGCUAAUACUGCUCGCGGAAUUAAAAAUGAUCAGUUUGGUUUUACAAUGGUGAAUUUCUCUCGAUUAAUUCACAUUGGAGAACAUUUGAUAGACGAGCCGUAUGUAUUUUCUUCUCAAGUUAAACAAGUUUUUUUACUCGAAAGAUCCAAUUGAUGAGGGUUGGUACGUUUUUGUAACACCCCGUACCCGAGACCGUUGCCGGAAUCGGACACGAGGGGUUCACAGACUAAAUUCGCUUACUAUCGCAGUCCAUUUUAAAAUUUUCCAGGCAGUUGGCUAACUGCGACACUGUCACCUUAAAAAUCAUAUCUUGAGUUUCACAACUCAAAAAUCAGUUUCGUAAUUUUUCCCUAAAACUAGACUCAUAUGCCCAUCUACAUAUUUUUUUCUAGAAUUUUUGGUUGGGCCAAUUAGUACAGUUUAUUAGUCAAAUUCUCCCAUGUUACAGGGAUCGACUACACUGACCUUUGCGCAUUACGACUUGGAUAUCUCCCUGCACAGAGCUUCAAUACUGAUUCCGUUUGUUUCUAUAGAAACUAGACUCAGAGAGGAAUCUAUACAUAUAUGGAAUUACUCCUAAUUAUCUCUGAUUAAUUUAUAAUGAAUUUCCAAAGUCGGAACAGAGAAUCCAGAAACUGUCCUGGCCCUGUCUCACGAGAACCUGAAUAUCUCUUAACAUACUGUCCAUAUGAUCGUUUCGUUACUUUCCUAUGAAAAUAGAUUCAUCAAGGUUCAUUUAAAUAAUUUAUUCAUUAUUUAAUUCAAAUCCUACUAUUUUUAGUGAUUUUCCAAAUCUACAUCACUGCUGCUGCCAGCAUCUGCCUUUAAGGUAGACUUUACCUAUUUCAUAGUUUCCAUGAUUCAACUAGCCCUUUUAGCAUAAAUAGCACAAAUUAUGAUAGUGAUUAACCAUUCCAUACCAAAUGAUUAUAACAUUAUGCUCAAACAUAUAUAAGCCAUUUUCGCAUGGCUAUAUACAUUAACCAAAAUAUUCUUCCGCCACUAGUCUAUUUUAUACAUGCCAUAAGAUAAUCCAAAACAUAGCAGUACCAAACAGUGGAUAGUGAUAGCGUGACUAGUUGCUGACGAUCCCCGAGCCUGUAGCUUCGCAAUGAGAUCUAUAAAACAGAGUAAACGGAGUAAGCAUUACAAUGCUUAGUAAGUUUUAAGCAGUGUCAACAGAUAACAAUCAAAUUAUAACAUAGUUGUUCGUAUUUUUAUUUCACUCUUCCUUCGGGCAUACCAUCCCUUUACCGAAUAUGCACAUCUCAUCAUAUACAAUAGGCAGAUAAACUUUCACAUAAAAGUGAGCUCAUGUGACAUAGAUAUAUCGUAUGAUUUCACAUAACCUCUCACACUGAUCCGAUGUCACAUAAUCAUAGGAAUAGUCUCAUAGAUUGCUCUCGUAUGCAUCACAUAACUACCUUAUGAUUUAGUGCAAAUCAAGCUCACAUAUAAACUUGGAGUACAUACCUGUUUAACCUUUUGCAUUGAAUAUAUUUAUAAGCAAUUCUUAUUACGAAGUCUUACCCGGACAUAAUCUCCACACGAAGUUAUCGGGUCUUACCCGGACAAAAUCCCCACACAUAGUCAUCGGGUCUUACCCGGACAAAAUCCCCACACGUAGUCAUCGGGUCUUACCCGGACAAAAUCCCCACACGUAGUCAUCGGGUCUUACCCGGACAAAAUCCCCACACGUAGUCAUCGGGUCUUUAGAGCUCGGAUAUAGUACGAGCACGAAGCUUACGGACAUUAAUUAGUGAUAAUAUUCUCGCAUAGAGCCUGCGGGGUUUUAACCCGGAUAUAGUACUAACACAAAUGCCCUUCGGGACUUAUCACAUUUAUACACUUUCACAUCCAUCACGUUGGCCACUCGGCCCUGUCACAUAUAUACACUUUCACAUUCAUCACAUUGGCCAUUAGGCCUUAUCACAUAUAUACACUUUCACAUUCAUCACAUCGGCCAUUAGGCCUUAUCACAUAUAUACACUUUCACAUUCAUCACAUCGGCCAUUAGGCCUUAUCUCAUAUAUACACUUUCACAUUCAUCACAUCGGCCAUUAGGCCUUAUCACACAUAUACACUUUCACAUUCAUCACAUCGGCCAUUAGGCCUUAUCACAUAUAUACAAUUUCUUGGCUGAAUAUACAUCUAUCAUUUUCCAAUAUCACAAUUUAGAAUUCACGUAUGGGUUUAAUCGAUAGCUUAUGAGCAACUAGAACAAGUUUAUCAAGGUUUACAACACAAUCUCAAAUUCAGCACAAGCUGUUUUUCCUGAGCAAUAGUCACUAAAUCAUUUAUAACUGGAGCUACAAAACUCCAAAUCACUUUCCGUUAAUUUUUCCUGAAUAUAAACUCGUAUAUCUUCCAUCCAUAAAAUUUCCAGAAUUUUAGGUUUGGCCAAUCAAUACCAGAUUUUUCUUAAAGUUUCCCCUGUUUCACUGUUUGACUAAUCUGACCACUCUUCACUACGAAUCAGAUUUCUCAUUUUACAGAAUUCAAAGUGUGUUGUAUUUGAUUUCAUUUGAAACUAGACUCAUUAAGAGGUAUAAGCAUAUAAAUUUUAUCUUAUAACCAUUUUUUUACAAUUUAUAAUGAUUUUCUAAAAACAGAACAGAGGAUUACAGUGUCAUUCUGCGCUGUCUCACACAACUUUAAGUAUCUCAUUAUCGGAAAUCCCUUUGCUUACAUGGUUUCUUUUAUAAGAAACUAGACUCAUUAAGAUUUAAUUUCAUGUCUCAUUCAGCCUCUAAUUAAAAUCCAUAAAUUUAUGGUGAUUUUCUAAAGUCACGUUACUGCUGCUGUCCUAAGCAGACUAUUUCAAAUUACCCUUAAAUUCCCAAGCUCAAACACUUAAGAACUUACCAUUUGAGCUUAGAACAUAUCAUGGCCACUUAAGAAUUAUCACGAAUCGACUAUUCAGCUACUUUCUCUUUCCCUUAUCCGAAAUUUGUGCCCCUUUUUGUCCUUGAGCUUAAUUAAACAAAUUCAACUUAUCACAUCUCUAUUAUUCAAAAAAAAAAAUCACAUUCGGCACAUUUAAAAAAACAUUGAUAAGUCUCAAAACACAAGCAACACUUAUCAAAGUCAUGUAAUUUACGCACUUUACAAGGCACUACUACAUUUAUAAUCUUACUUUCAUACAACCAUUCUUCUUUGACCGAAUGCUUCCACACUCAUGUCUUCAUUAACAACCUCUGAAACUACAAUUUAUUCACAUCCUUAUUUAUGUUACAUUCGGCUAUCAUAAUAAAAAUAUAUAAAUAGUUACACAAUAACCACUUUAGCCUAAAGUCAUUUUAGCAUAUAAUGCACAAACAUUAUACCACCACCAUUAAAUACAUGACAUAACCGAAUCAACAAAAUCAUGAGCAAUGUGUCAAAUAUAAUUCACGCUUAUCAUUACACUUUGGUCAAUUUAUCAAAAUCAUUAAUAACCAUCAUUUGAUGAAAUCACCAUAACCAACUUAACAAUAUAAACAAGCCAUUUAAACCCCCAAUUUAUCAACUUUGACAAGUUUAAAACUCACCUAAUGACUAAUUACAAAUUAAAGCUUCAAGCAAUCAAAUUUAACUCAUCAAGAACUUGGCCGAAUACACAUUCUUUGACCAAAAUCGAAAUUCAACGUGGGGUUUAUAAGGGAUUGCAUCUAGCUCAUAAAUUAAGUUCACAAUUUCCUAUUCAUAUGAAAUUUAACCUCAUGGAGUCUAUUAAGUACUCUUAAUCCCUUUUCUAACAACAAAUUUCAAACAUAGGAUUUUCUAUACAAAACCGUACAUGCUUCCAUAAAAAAAAUCUAAGAGAAUAACUCAUGGUUUAAGAUAGAACUAAGAUACAAACUCAAUUUCACAAGUUUUCAAAAAAAAUGACAUAAACUCAUACCUUAGAAUCAAUCUAUGCUAAUGGCCAAAUGUGUCUCAAGCUUUUUUUUUUCCCUUCUUUCUCUUUUCUACUCACGGCAAUGGAGAAGAAGAAAAAGAUGAACCAACUUUGUUUUUAUCACCCAUUUCUUUUAAUAUAUGUUCAUAUUUCAUAUUAUUUAUUCAUUUAACAUUUAGUUUAUUAAUAUAAAAGGCAUAUAUUUUGUAUCCCAUACUCCUUAUUUUAUUGUUCCUAACAUCCAUCACUAACAUAACAUGUUUGUGACAUGUUUCCACUCAUAGCAUGGCCGGCCACUAUGCCUUAAUUUGGGUAAAUUGACAUGCAAACCCAUCAUUUUCACAAUAUGCAUUAAUAGGCCACUUUGCAAUUGCCUAGCACAUUUCUAAAUUUUCUCACAUAAGUCCUAUUUGAUAAAAUUCACUUACAAUUAACAAAAUUCAAACAUGAAAUUUUCACACAUGCACAUGUACAUAUAAUGAGCAUCAAUUAUGACGGUUAAUUAUUUUUAUGACUCGGUUUAGUGGUCCCGAAACCACUUCCCAACUAGGGUCAAAUUAGGGGUGUCACAGUUGUACUCCGAAACACCCCUAGAGACUUAUUUGACAUGGGGAAUGGAAGUAGAGAUGACAUCGUUGAAAGAUCAGAAACUUUGCCUUUUCCAGAACAAAACUUAAAUGAAAAUAUCCCUAGUACUAGUACACAAUUUCAAUGGGUUCGUCAGGAUGUGGACGAAGAUAUUUACGAUUUAUGAUGUAGUAAGAUUUUAUGAGUUUUUGUUUAUAUGUAAUGUUAUAAUUUUAACAUUGGUCAUGUUAUAUAAUUUAACUAUUUUAUAUUUACUAUUGUUGUUAUUUCUUACUAAAAUUUUAACUAUUUUAAGUGUUGCAGGAAAAAUGCCUAGAAGAAGAUUAAGAGAUCUUAAUAUUGUACAGAAUACUACAAAUUCGGAAGAAGUAAGUACUGAACAGUAGACAGUUGUUGGAUCUUCAAGCGUGCCGGAGACACUUGACGAGUCUGUGGAAUUUCAAAGUAAUGUUAAGUUUAUUUUACAAAUUGUAUUAAAUUUUAUUACUGAUUUAUUUGUAAAUUUCAAUAUAGUAAUAAUAUAUUAUUUUUCAGCUGAAAAUGGUCAGACGCGCAGAGGUCGAGGACGUACGCUCCUAACAGAUUUAUAUAACUUAAAUUCUGUCGAGCGUGUCAAAGUAACUAGAAACAGCCAUGGUCAGCCUGUUGGACAAGAAGCUCGACUUUUAGCAGGCUAUUUGGGCAUUAUAGCACGAAAUGCCAAUAUGUUGCCCAUCAACUAGGAAUCAUGGCAUAACAUGCCUGAUAGCAAUAAAAAUUAAGCUCUCUCUAAUAUUAAGGUAACAAAACGUUAAUGUAAUUUAUAAUACUUUGGUUUAAGUUUCAUUUAUAUUUACUUCCUAAACUGUGUUUAUUAGGAGAGGUUUGCUUUAGAGGUCUUUGAUGCCUAUAUCAAGAAGGCAUUGGGUAAAAAAUGGAGAGACCAUAAAAGCAUUUUGAAAAAAGAAUAUUUUAAAAAACCCAUAAGCCUCGAAGAAAAAUUGCAAAAUGUCCCACCGGGAAUGCUGAGGUACCAAUGGGAAGAUGCGGUUCGAUUUUGGAAUUCGAAGAAAGGAGAGGUAUUAUGUACUUGCAAACUUUUAUAAAUUUUUCGGUUUAUAGUAUUUACUAUAUACGUAAUAAUAAUUUCAUUAUGUAGGACCGUGAGCGAGUUGGAACAAGCAGCAGGCAAAAACAAAAAUUUACGCACACGGCAGGAUCGAGAAGUUUUGCUUGUGUAGCUCAGGCCGCGAUACUAUGGAUUUAUUAAUUCUAUCAAGUAUUAAUGACUUUUUACUAUUAAAUAAUAUUUACUACUAUAUUGUAGGAAGCCUCAUCUGGUCAAAAAGUUGGACGCCUUCAGCUUUUUGACAUUACGCACAGGAAAAAAGAUGGAACUCCGAUGACAUCUGAGGCUGUAGAAAUUAUGGUAUAUUUACUUAAUAAAAUUUGAUUCAUUAUAAAUAUUUAUAAUAUUUAAUUAUAAUGUUUUAAUUUGUCAUUUUUAUUAGUUUAAUUUAAAUAAUGUUAUGUUGUAUUCCUUUUUAUUGUAUAUUUCGUUUCUAACUCUUUAACUGAUUUAUUAGGAGAAACUAAAAGAUAAGAAGGCAGAGUAUGAAGCGACUGCUUCGACUGAUAGUUCUGUUAAUUUUGAGGAUAUUGAUAACAGAAUUAUUAAUGAAGUUUUGGGUCCUGAAAGGUAUGGUCGGGUUAGAUUUCAAGGAUCUGGUGUUAACCCGACCCAAUAUUUUGGAUCCGCCUCUCACCAAUACAUGCCUUCCGAGAGUCAAAGUCAAGCUGAAGUUCAGAGGCUAAAAGAUCAAAUAGUUCAGAUACAAGCUAGCACAGAUGAGCAAAUUUCUCAACUUAGAGCGGAGACAGCAGCGCGGGAGGCGGAGGCAGCAGUGAGGGAGGCGGAGCAGAAUAGAAAAUACAAUGAACUCCAGCUCCAGCUUCAGUCUAUAAUGACUAUGUUCCAGCAAUUUCAAAAUCCCCCAUCUUAGACAUUUGUUUUCUUGUAACUUUUAACAUUAUUGUAAGAAUAUUUUGAAUAUUCAUUUACAAUUUAUAUAAUAUAUUUUUUGUAUAAUUUUGUAUUAUUUAAAUUUACAGGUUUUUGUUGGAUUUCAUGGUAUAUUUGCUGUUUUUGGUUGAAUUUCUUACAGGAGGGUUGGAUAUAGGUGCAAAAAUACAUACUGCAAAACUGGGCAAAUUAGCGGCGUUUUUCAAAAGCGCUACUAAAAGUGCUGGUCUUUAGCGGCGUUUUUUUAAAAAGCACCACUAAAAAUCCUGGUCUUUAGCGGCGCUUUUAUAAAAAUGCCUCUAAAUGUCUGGUCUUUAGUGGCGUUUUUUAAGAAAGCGCCGCUAAUUUUACCGGCGUUACAUAUAGCGACGUUUUUUGCGGUGCUUGAGAAAGCGCCACUAAAGUUUUUAGCGGCGCUUAAAAACGCCGCUAAAGGCAAAAAAAACGCCACUAAAAGUCUAUUUUCCUGUAGUGUGUUCUCAUUCUGACUGACUGGUCCAAUCUAGUUUAAAUAACAUGAAAUUUUGGAAUUUUUGUUUAAAUUAUUAAAAUCAUAUUUAUUUUUAAAAUUUUAAAGAGUUUAUUUUUUUAUUUUUAAAAAAAAAUUAAAAUUUUCAUUUUUAUGUUCUUAUUUCAAAGAAAAAAAAUUAAUUUUUAAAAAUUUUAAAAUCUUAUAAGUACUUUUAAAGGGUAAUUACUAAAUUGACACAAAAAAUAUAAAUGUUGAGGGUUAAAAAAGUUAUUUUACAUUUGACAAUGUUAACUUUAACGGCAGAAUUAAACAAAAUGACCAAAAUUUUUAAAUAAAACACUAUAGAGACUAAAUAUCUCAAGACUAAAGUAUAAAGACUAAAAUUUAAAAUUUUAAAAAUAACAUAUUUAAACUUUUAAAGGAAUCAGUUAUUAAUAUAUAUUUUAUUUCCUCCUAAUUUUUAACAUUUUUAGUUGGAUUUAAAUUUUUCUUAAAGAAAAAGUUAAAAAUUAAGAGAGAAAAAUCUAAAUUAUAAUUCUCCUAUUAAAAAGAUAUAAAAAUUAAGUUGAAUCACAGUUUUCAUACAAUCCAUUUUCAUUACUACAAGACUUUUCAAUUACAUUCACCAAACAUAUAUUACACUGAGUUAUUUUUAAUCAUAUUGCACUUGAUAUUUAACUUUGUAGUAAGUUAUCAUACAAUCAAUGCCAUAGCAUCACACUAGUCAUUCUUCUUUUGAAGCAGGCUAUCAGACAUUUAUUCCCAUCGCUUGGAGAUCCUAGUCAUCAGUCCAUACUCGGUGUGCAGGACAAUCGAUACGGCUGGAACAACCGGAGUUUCUUCCACUACAUGAAUACGAUAAUUGUAAAUCAGAGUAGAUGCCACGGCUUUGAUCUGAAUAAAUGAUGUUUCCUUCCCCAAACAUAUCCUUGGCCCUGCACCGAAAGAUAAGAACUUGUAUGAUGGCUCAUGUUUGAUCUCUCCUCUCUCAUUAAUCCAUCUCUCAGGCUUGAAUUCAUAGCAAUCUUCUCUCCAGAUUGACUUCAUUCUUCCCAUUGAAUACACACUAAACAAGACUUUUGUCUUUGGAUGAACUGGAUGCCCGCUUGGAAGCAUGUCUGGUUUGACAGGUUCCUUGUGAUUGAAAGGGGCUGGUGGAUACAACCUUAAUGCCUCACACAAUGCUCCAUGGAGAUAAACCAAAUUCUUUACCUCAUCGACAUUGAAUAGCCGCCUCCUUUUGGUU